rnacentral:lncRNA from 1 species
UCAGAUCUACAUCAACGACCAUCUUUCCUUCACAAGAGAGAAGCGACCGCCAUCUUGUGAAGCCAUCCUAUCUAUCCUAAUACAAGCUCACCACCGAGUCUUGUAUCAUCUGGUAUCAGAGCCUCACGCUGUUCCCUUGCCAGGUUUACCUUUUCCAUUUUCUUUUGAUAGUUUUGAUUUCUAGUUUUGUUUUAUUUGAUUUAAAAAAAAAUUAAGAACCCUAGUUUGCUGCAGCCUUGUUUCUAUAGGUUGUUUAGUUUUAUUUUUUUUCUUAACAAAAAAAAAAAUAUAUAUAUAUUCGUCAUUAUUCUUUCCUUAAUCGUCUGUUUCAGUCUUUGAUUUAGUUUCUGUACUAGUUCAAGGUUUUCGUCAAAAAAAAAAAAAAAAAACGUUUUUAAAAUUUUUGUGUCAUUAUCUUUGUUAGCUAGUAUUGUUUAAGUAUCUUAAAGCUUAUUUAAAUUAAAAAGUUUUCAUUUUCUUGUCUAAUUCAGCACGUGCAUCAGUUUCUUGUUUCUAAAGUUUUCAUUUUCGAUUUCUGUGGUACGUUGAUUUCUUUGUUGUUUUUGUCUAAGUGCAGGAUAAUUUUUAGACACUCACAAUGGGAGAACACGCAGCCAUACCACAAGAUGCCAUGAUGCAAAUGAUGCAAACCCUAUCGAAACAACUAGAAGGGUUUGGCGAAAGAAUAGGUCGUUUGGAGCAGCCUCAGCCCAGAGCUGAAGCUGAACCAGUUCAGGUUCGAAGGAACGCCCGUGAAGAGGAAGAAGACUCCCUUGACCCGGAUGACGACGAUGAUCCACCACCUGAUCCAUUAAGGCGUCAACAUCAGCGGAGAGAAGAUCCCUUGAUGAGGAACCGCGCUCGNNNNNNNNNNNNNNNNNNNNNNNNNNNNNNNNNNNNNNNNNNNNNNNNNNNNNNNNNNNNNNNNNNNNNNNNNNNNNNNNNNNNNNNNNNNNNNNNNNNNGAGGUUUACAUGGAUUGGGAGAAAAGGAUGGAAUACAUAUUCCAAUGUUAUGGAUAUGGAGAACUCCGAAAAGUAGCCUUAGCAUCGGCACAACUCACCGACAACGCCUUAUCUUGGUGGGAUAGGACAGUGGCCGAAAGGAGGAGGCAAAGAUUUGCUCCCAUCAACAAUUGGGGAGACAUGAAGUACUUCUUGAGGUUGAGGUAUGUUCCUGAUCACUAUCAUAGAGACUUACAAAAACGUUUUAGAAAAUUGUCUCAGGGAACAAGGACCGUGGAAGAGUACUUUGAGGAGUUUGAAAAGCUCAUAAACUCCUUGGAGUUAGAAGAAUCCAGCGAGUCAUUGAUGGCUCAAUUCAUUGACGGGUUGCAAGAGCGUAUAGCCCGAAAGGUGGAGACGUCCAACUAUAGCAGCAUACAUGAACUACUUCACAAGGCUGUACAAGUAGAGCAACAAAUCAAGCGUAAGAUGUCUUUGAGCAAUCGUACCAGAAGUAGUACACCUUGGAACGCAAGUAACAACCGAGGCAUGGACAAAGGCAAAGCUAUAGACAACGAUUCUCGAUUCAAGAAUAAGUCUAGUGAAGCGCCUNNNNNNNNNNNNNNNNNNNNNNNNNNNNNNNNNNNNNNNNNNNNNNNNNNNNNNNNNNNNNNNNNNNNNNNNNNNNNNNNNNNNNNNNNNNNNNNNNNNNNNNNNNNNNNNNNNNNNNNNNNNNNNNNNNNNNNNNNNNNNNNNNNNNNNNNNNNNNNNNNNNNNNNNNNNNNNAACCUGAAUGAUCCAGAGGAAGAUGUGGAGUAUCCUGAUGUAGGAGAACUUCUUGUGAUACGACGUAUGCUGAGCGUGUAUAUCAACCCCGAGGAGAAAGUUCAAAGAGAAAAUAUCUUUCACACUCGGUGCACAAUCAAUAACAAGGUAUGUAAUUUGGUUAUUGAUGGAGAUUCUUGCACUAAUGUUGCUAGCAAGUAUAUGGUAGACAUGUUAGGUCUUCAAAAGAGAAAGCAUCCGAGACCAUACAAACUUAGGUGGCUGAACGAUGAUGCUGAGCUAAAGAUCGCUGAACAAGUGACUGUAUCAUUCAGCGUUGGAAAGUACCAGGACCAAGUUAUUUGUGAUGUAGUUCCAAUGAGAGCCGGACAUCUUCUCCUUGGAAGACCAUGGCAGUUCGAUCGAGCUACUAAUCAUGAUGGUCGCACAAACCACUACUCUUUCACCCACAAUGACCGUAAGUUUAACCUUGCCCCUCUAAGUCCAUCAGAAGUUCAUGAGUUGCAAAAACACAUGAACAAAGAGGUCGAGGUAAGAACUUCUAGCCUUUACUUAAGUUCUAGUCAAAUUUGUAAAACCAUGAGUGCUCAUGGCACCGUGCUACUAAUGGUUUUCAAAGAAUGUCUAAGUACAGGUUUAGGUGAAGUUGAACUACCUGCUGAAGUACGAGCUGUACUAGAUCAAUACAACGAUGUUUUUCCGGAGGAGAUUCCACCAGGACUACNNNNNNNNNNNNNNNNNNNNNNNNNNNNNNNNNNNNNNNNNNNNNNNNNNNNNNNNNNNNNNNNNNNNNNNNNNNNNNNNNNNNNNNNNNNNNNNNNNNNAAACCAGCUUACCGAAUGAAUCCGGAGGAGUCUAAGGAGUUAGAAAAGCAAGUGCGCGACUUGAUGGACAAAGGGUACAUCAGAGAGAGCCUUAGCCCGUGUGCUGUACCAGUUCUCUUGGUACCAAAGAAGGAUGGCACAUGGAGGAUGUGUGUAGACUGCCGAGCAAUCAACAACAUCACCAUCAAAUACCGACAUCCUAUUCCGAGGCUAGACGACAUGUUAGACGAGCUAAGUGGUGCAAUCAUCUUCUCUAAAAUUGACUUGCGAAGCGGCUAUCACCAAGUCCGAAUGAGAGAAGGCGACGAGUGGAAGACCGCAUUCAAGACCAAGCAAGGUCUCUAUGAAUGGCUCGUUAUGCCCUUCGGGCUAACCAAUGCACCAAGCACCUUCAUGCGAUUGAUGAACCAGGUUCUAAGGUCAUUUAUUGGUAAAUUUGUUGUUGUCUACUUUGAUGACAUACUUAUUUACAGUAAAUACUAUUCUGAUCAUACUAAGCACUUAGAGUUAAUUCUGAAAACGCUUCGGAAGGAAGGCCUUUAUGCUAACCUAAAGAAGUGCUCAUUUUGUACUGACAAGUGUGUGUUCUUAGGUUUUGUAGUGAGUAAAAAUGGCCUACAGGUAGAUGAAGAAAAGAUCAAGGCGAUCCGUGAAUGGCCUACUCCAACAUCCAUUGGACAUGUUCGCAGUUUUCAUGGACUAGCAAGCUUCUACAGGAGGUUUGUCAGAGACUUCAGCACAGUGGCUGCACCAAUGACUGCUGUAAUCAAGAAAAAUGUACCAUUCUCAUGGGGAGAAGCCCAAGAACAGUCAUUCAACACGCUGAAAGAGAGGCUCACACAAGCACCAGUUUUAGCACUUCCAGAUUUUGAAGUUAUGUUUGAAGUGGAGNNNNNNNNNNNNNNNNNNNNNNNNNNNNNNNNNNNNNNNNNNNNNNNNNNNNNNNNNNNNNNNNNNNNNNNNNNNNNNNNNNNNNNNNNNNNNNNNNNNNGGAAUUGGAGCUGUACUACAUCAGAGGAAAAGACCAGUCGCGUUUUCAGUGAAAAGUUAAGUGGAGCAGCAUUGAACUACCCGACCUACGACAAAGAGCUUUAUGCCUUAGUACGAGCACUUGAGACAUGGCAACACUACUUGUUGUCCAAGGAAUUCAUCAUUCACACCGACCAUGAAACUCUGAAGCAUCUCAAGGGUCAGACUUCACUCAAGAGGAGACAUGCAAAGUGGUUGGAGUUCAUCGAGACGUUCCCAUAUGUGAUCAAGUACAAGAAGGGAAAGGAGAACGUGGUAGCUGAUGCUUUGUCAAGGAGACAUGCCCUUAUAGCUACAAUGGAGGCUAAAGUAAUGGGUUUUGAGCACAUCAAGGAGUUGUACAAGGAUGAUCCAGAAUUAGGAGAGUGUUACAAAGAGCAUGGUAAAGGAGCUUUUCAAGCAUUCUACUUGCAAGAUGGGUUCUUAUUCAAAGACAAGCGGUUGUGCAUCCCUCAAGGUUCAAUGCGAGAGUUGAUACUCACCGAAGCACAUGGUGGAGGGUUGAUGGGUCACUUUGGUGUUGACAAAACCUUGGCAAUGGUCAUGGAUCAUUUCUUUUGGCCCCAUCUCAAGAAGGACGUGGAGAGAUUUUGUUCUCGAUGCAUUGUUUGCCACAAGGCAAAAUCCAGGUUACAUCCUCAUGGUCUAUACUUACCAUUACCUAUUCCUAACGCCCCUUGGGUAGAUAUUUCUAUGGACUUUGUCUUAGGAUUGCCUAAGAUUAGACACAAGGAUUCAAUCUUUGUCGUCGUGGACCGGUUCUCCAAGAUGGCACACUUCAUCCCAUGUGACAAGACCAAUGACGCUACUCAAACCGCGGAUUUGAUCUUCAAGGAAGUGGUGCGCCUCCAUGGUAUCCCGAGAACCAUUGUCUCCGAUCGUGACACCAAGUUCUUGAGUCACUUUUGGAAGACACUUUGGAGAAAGUUAGGUACCAAGCUUCUAUUCUCUACAACUUGUCAUCCUCAAACGGAUGGACAAACCGAAGUGGUAAACCGAACUCUCUCAACUUUACUUAGAGCCACUCUUGGUAGGAAUAUGGCUACAUGGCUUGAUUGCAUUCCUUUUAUUGAGUUUGCUUAUAAUCGUGCCGUUCACUGGGCUACAAAACUAUCUCCCUUCGAGAUAGUCUAUGGAACUAACCCUUUCUCUCCCAUAGAUUUAGCACCUUUACCUCAGAUAGAACAGGCUUGUCAAGUUGGGUUAAGACGAGGAGAAGUCAUAAAGAAGUUGCAUGAAAAAGCAAAAGACAACUUGGAGAAGAAGGCUGUCGACAACAAACGCAAAGCUGAUCGAGGAAGAAAAGAAGUGUUAUUUGAACCAGGAGAUUGGGUCUGGCUACAUAUGAGGCCUGAGAGGUUUCCAACACAAAGAGCAUCCAAGCUAUCACCAAGAGGCGACGGACCAUUCAAGAUCCUCGAGAAGAUCAAUGACAAUGCUUACCGUUUGGAGCUACCUAAUGAGGUAAAAAUUUCUCAUACUUUUAAUGUCGCUGACUUGUCUGCUUAUGAUCCAGGAGAUUCAGUUUUGAGGGCAAAACCUUUUGAAGAGGGAGGGAAUGAUGCGGACAUCGAUUAUCCUGUACAACCCGCUGAACUAGAUCAACUACCAGAUCUUUUACCACACCCUGUACCAGUCGUCACAGUAGGUCCCAUGACUCGUUCAAAGUCUAAACAACUUAGAAAGAGGUUCAAUCUAGCUGUACAAGACAUUGUGAGCUCACUAGAGCUGAACUACGUCAACUGGUCUGUACCACCGUUACUCCAUCACGACGGAUAUGAUCCCAUCGCCAAGGAAGAGCUUGCUGAAGCAUUCACCCAAAUGAGUCUUUAACAUACCAUUUCCCCAGGUAUGAAUUCUCCUUUGACAGGUCAAGAAACCUCUAGAAUCCAAGAGAAGACAAUGGAGUCACAAGAGACGAGCAAAACAAGCUUCACCUUCGAGAGUGAUCGAGAGAGUGAAGAUCAAGAACAAGAUAUCAAGGACUUGGAAGAGCUUCAAGAUACUGAUCAAGCUACCCAAGAGAAACUCCAAGAAACCAUCUACUUCAAGAAACCAACAAACAAACAUGCACCUGACAAGACCCCUGAAGUAGAUCAAGACGUAGUUCAGAGAACAUCGAUUGGGCCUAGAUCGCAUCCAGGUAAGUUCUAUUCAAUAUUUUCGAUAAUUGCAGGUCCAUUAAGCCACAACAACGGCUAGGAGACGUGCUCAUCACGAGGUUUCAAGUUUGCUUUAGUAUUUUACUUAUUUUCUUUCCAAAAACAAUGGCUUUGUAUUUGUAGUUUUAUUUGUUUCCUUUGUUGCACUUUUACAUUUAUUUCGGCCUUAGGGCUAGCUGAAGGACUCUUAUAAAGUCCCCCUGCAGCAGUUGUACGAUUUUUACCCUUGAUUAUCAAUAAAGAACCGAACUUUCUUCACUUCUUCUCUUUAAGUGUUCUUAAGAGAAAAGCUUGUCCUUUGUCUUGUGUGUGUGAUUCCACAAGGCUGAGUUCGUGUACUGUAUCAGAGACCAAUCACAUCUCUGUGGUGUACUUCAAUCCGCCAGCACUUCCCCCUUAUUCGAUCCCACACGAGAGAAGCGACCGCCAUCGUGUCAGAUCUACAUCAACGACCAUCUUUCCUUCACAAGAGAGAAGCGACCGCCAUCUUGUGAAGCCAUCCUAUCUAUCCUAAUACAAGCUCACCACCGAGUCUUGUAUCACUAGCAGUAAUAAUACAAAUCACCUAAGAAUUUGGUACACAUCAAUGUGCAAGACUGGUUUGAAAUAGUAUUAGAUCUUUGAUCUUUUAUUUGACUAGUUUGAAUUAUUAAUUUUUUGGACAAAAUUACCCUUAAUAAUCCAUCAAUUUAACCACACGUCCCCUUCCCCAGAAAAAGCAAACAAGAAAGGAAACAAAUAUUUUCAAUUUUAUUCUUAAUUAAUUUAAUUUGUUGAUUAUCAAAAAUAAAGAAAUAAAUUAUUUGUUGACUAAAUAAACUUAUUUAAAUCUGAAGUCAAAGCGGCACGUUUCAAAUUACCAUAAAUUAAAUAAUCAUUAAGUGGUAAGAAAAGAUUUAGCUUAUCUUUACAUUUAGGGUUUUUUCCCCUUUAUUUGUUUUUGGUUUGGGUUUAAAUAUCAUUUAGAAAACAAAAAAAAAAUUAUUUCCGUCUUCCAUCUCUUCUCUUCAACCAGAUUAUUCACAAAACAUUUCUUUCUCCAAAGGCAAAAGAUAAUGUUUUCAUGUCAAUGCCUGUGAGAUACGACAAAUACCUAAGCGAGCAANNNNNNNNNNNNNNNNNNNNNNNNNNNNNNNNNNNNNNNNNNNNNNNNNNNNNNNNNNNNNNNNNNNNNNNNNNNNNNNNNNNNNNNNNNNNNNNNNNNNNNNNNNNNNNNNNNNNNNNNNNNNNNNNNNNNNNNNNNNNNNNNNNNNNNNNNNNNNNNNNNNNNNNNNNNNNNNNNNNNNNNNNNNNNNNNNNNNNNNNNNNNNNNNNNNNNNNNNNNNNNNNNNNNNNNNNNNNNNNNNNNNNNNNNNNNNNNNNNNNNNNNNNNNNNNNNNNNNNNNNNNNNNNNNNNNNNNNNNNNNNNNNNNNNNNNNNNNNNNNNNNNNNNNNNNNNNNNNNNNNNNNNNNNNNNNNNNNNNNNNNNNNNNNNNNNNNNNNNNNNCUUGUUCUAUAUGUUAUACCUUGAGUUUUGGUUUACAUUGACAAUGUUUUACUGAAGCUACAUACCAAAUUUUGUAUGGAAUAUGUUAAAUAUAUGAAUCAAUUAAACUUAAACCACGAAACUAGAGAUUUUAAUUUGGGUUGAUGGAUUUGAUUCAUAUAUUAUAAGUUUUUCCAUAUUUGUUAGUUCACCUCUUUUGUAAGUUGUAAAACAGGCCUGAAGAAGAAUCAUAUAAGGACAGAAGAAAGUGUGAACCAGAUAAAAUAACACCAUCUUAGUUUGAUGAGUUUUAGAUGAAGGGAUUUGAAGCUGGGUUUUACUUGCGUUGUUUUUUUGUUGAUAUAGUACGUACGAGAGGGAAAAAAGUGUGGAUGAACAUUUCACACCCGAAGCUGGUUUGUCUUCAUUGAACAAUUCUAGUUGUGUGCGCUAUGCUAUGGCUUCAGAAUCAAAAGACAAUUCUCUGGUGAGUUCACUCGCAUAUGAACUGCUUUGAGUAUCUUGUUUCUGAUGUGAUUUUUUUUUGUUAGUCUAGAUUGGUUUCAGAGUGUUAAUACUUUUUGAAACAAAAUGGAUUAGCUCAAUAUGAUUUUUUUUUUAGUUUUUUACAUAUGUUAGGCUUACCUAUUGUAUUUGAUUGUAUUUAUAGUUGUAUAGAGUGAAAAUUGUACAGGAGAAAACCUUGCUUCUACAAACAAUUCUUGUAUAGCCAUCGGAAAAUUAGCAUUCCAGGUAACACCAAUAUGUUGUUUACUCUUGAUGUAUGCUUGAACUUUUUGGUUAAGUACAAAAUCGUUAAUGACAAGAGCUAAAUAUAUAUUUCAUUAUCGUUAGAAAGUUUCAUCAAUUGUGACCAAUUUGUCUCUUCCUUCGGCUGGAUUAUUCAAUAUGGCGAAGUGACUCUAGCAGCCUAAUAAGUCCAAUAUUUUACUGGCAAUGUCUAGACAUGCAUGCCGAAUAAAACAUUGCUUCAUUUAUAAGGCUGCUAGAGUCACUUCUCCAUGAUGAAUAAUUAAGCUUAGGGAAGAGACAACAUUGGUCUCAAUUAAUGAGACUUCAUGACUAAACUAAAAAGUAAAUUAAUCUCUUAUCAUUCACGACAUGUUACUUAAACAGAAACUUCAAGCAUUCGUCGACAAUAAACACAAUAAUGGUGUAACCUUGUAUACUAAUUCUCCAAUGGCUAUACAAUGAAUGUUUGCAAAAGGAAGAAUUUCUCCAGUAAAACUUCCACUAAAUACAAAUCAUAAAAACUAUCAAAUACAAUAGCUAAUUAUAAAUACAAUCAACAGUAUGUACUUGUUCUAUUAGUUUUACCUUAGUUCUGGUUUACGUUGAUAGUCAUUUAUUGAAGCUAGCUAUACAAAAUUUUGUUUGGAAUCUGUUAACUGUAAUCUAUCAAAAUAAAAAAUAAGGAAAUUAAGAGAUGUUGGUUGAUGGAUUUGUAUCAUAUAUUAUUGGAUUUUCUAUUUUUGUUUGUUAUGUUUUUUAAUGAUAUUGCAAUUGUAAUGAAGCGUUACUCCAAUAAUAGUUUUAAGACAAUCCUACAUAAAAUCAACAGUUUCAACCCAACUCGAUAAAAGUGUUUUCGAAAUAACAUUAACAAAAUAAGCAAGAUAAAAUGAAACUGAAAAAAUCUAUAGUGCUAUAAUUAAAGAUAAGUCGGAAAAAAUGGAGUGGAUAAUAGAAACGAUAAUCAACAUAGAAAGAUAUUUCAAUAUCAACAUAGAGGGCCGCAAACAAAUUUUGAAUUUGAUGUUAAUAUAAGAGAUAUUUAAUUAAAUAGAUAAUCUCAGUUACCUUGUGUAUAUUAUUUUCUGUUCAAGUAUCACCUUAAUAAUUAUUACUUUAAUAUUUCUACUAUUUAUAACUAUAUUAUGCAUUGGAAAACUCACCACAAGGAAAAUUCUAAAUUAAUCUUAUCACAAAAGAAAAUGUGAUCAUAUACUUAUCUACCAUCAAUGAAUGUGCAACUAUUUUAUAAAACGAUUAAGUAAGUUAAUCAUAGGGGAACCCAACCUCUUUCCAUUUGUAUGUUAUUAACUGGCUUAGCAAAAUAAAACAACCUCGGAUCAAGCUUUCUCUAGCCUAGAACCACCAAGAACCAGCCUCAAAACGCACUAGAAUCCCACCAAAAUUCACUAGAGAACACUUAUAAGCUUUUCCCUCUAUGGGAUAGGACAAAAGCGGCGAAACACUCCAUAGUCGACUUCUUCUUCUUUAAAAAGUUGAGUCCUAGGGUUAAACCAACCCUCCCAAAUCGAUUUCUCAAAUUAAAACAAACCGGCUGACCGGAAAAAUGUUGGUGUCGAUCGACACCCAUCCUUAGUGUCGAUCGACACCACAUAUUUUUACCCAUAUCGUUUCUAAUUUUCAUUUCUUAUUUUGGAGAGCAAAAACGCUGUGUAUUCCUUAAGAACACAUUGAAUUCUAUAGUAAAUUUUGAAAGCACGAAAUGAUAAACUUUUUGACGCUAAGGAUAUAUCUCUGAUAGACACUUACCAACUUGCUAUGCCAAAAGCAACUAGCUGGAUAAUUACCCAAAUCGUUGAGGAAGUCGUGGAUACAGACCUAGAAGUUACGGUGGGCCCAUCUUAACCGGAACCGAUGACUAAAGCAACACGCUGUCAAAUUGAUGCCUCAUGGCAUAGUGAUGAUCUUUAUUUUGGGUUGGGGUUUGUUCUUGAUUUAGGUACGUUUCAUUUACUUGGACUAAAAGGUACUAUAAGAUUUCUAUCCCUCUUCCAUGCUAAAUUAGAAUCCCUCCUUUGGCUAUGGAGGCAACUUUAUCUCUGGGCUAUUUGUCGAUCCGGGUUGAGACAAGUUGUGCAUAUCUACGAAAAAUGUUGGAAGAAGAGGGAGAGUGGCUAAAUUUUACAUCUGUAUUAGACCUUUUUUAAGAUUCUUCAAUCAUCUUUUAGUGACUUUCCUAUAAAUUUUAAUUCUCGUAGUCAUAAUGUGUGUGCCGACGCUCUUGCAAAGGGCGCUCGAGUACGUGGUGAUACCUUUUCCCAUGUAAGCUCUUGGUUUCCGAAGUGGCUGCCUUUUGAGGCCAACCUUUUCGAAAAAGUUUAAUAAGAUAUGAUGUUCUUAUGUCAAAAAGAAGAUAAUAACUACUAUAGGGAGAUUCGAUCCAAAUAAUUUAUACGGUUAAAAAAAAUAUAAACUCCUUUUUACAAGGUUUAUUUUUAAAAAAAUAUAUUUUUAAAAGGGUUUAAGAAGUUUUUAAAUUGUUUUAAACAAUUUUAAAAUGGUUUUAAUAAUGUAUUUAUACGGUAUUUAUAAAAGAUAUAAAAAAUUUUAAACAUUUAUAAAGCUAAUUUUUGUGUAUAUUUAUAAGCUUACACAAAUAUUUGGACUAAUUUAAACAUUUUAUCGGUUUUUUUGAUAAAUUUUUAAAACGGAAUAUUUUUUUUAAGUAAUAUUUUAACAGCGGUUUUUUAAAAAUUUUUCCUUACUUGAAAUCCCCAUAAGAGAAAGAUAUUUAUCAAGUUAUAUUUUAGCUAUUUAUUAACAAUUUGUUAUACUAUCGAUUUAAAUAGUAUGCAAAACUAUAUUUCUUAAAGAGGUAUACCCAAAUUAGUGAUCUCUACAUUUAUAUUUCAUGAGUAAAAAAAAAUUUGAUCGACAAUAUAAAUAGAACUAUAAUUAAAAUAUACACAAAUAUAAUUUCGAAUGAUAAACACUUUCUGAAAACAUACGUCAGGCCUUUGAUCUUCCAUCAGUGUGCAACCAUUACAUGUAAAACAAUAGAGUCUAAGAAGAAGGAUGGUGAUCGUGAACAUUGAAAUCAAGAAUUGAAGGGGUUAAAAAAACGCAAAAUAUAUCCAAGCUGAGAUCUUAACUAGUUUCAAUAAAUUAAAGUUUUUAUUUCAUUCUUAUCUCCUUAAGGGAGAAGAUAUAAAUAUAUCUCUUACUCCGUUUCUUCUUUUAUUAAAUAUUUCAACACGAUUGUGCGCCAUAUGAAUCUCUUAAAUAAUAUUUUUUUUGUAUAACCUGGAAUAACGUCACUAGAUCAAGCGAACAACAAGCCAUACACAACAUGAAAUGGUACUUGCAUACGUUUUAUAGAAUAUUCAAUCUAUUUUGUAUUGUAUCAUAAAGAAUGGUACAUUUGAUUUGGAUGUUCUUUUGUUGUCUUCAUUAUAUUGUAGUGGUACCAUAGAAUUAGGGUGAGGUAAUAAUGUAUUAUCAAAUUAAAUACAUACUUUAAUUCACCAUCUGAUGCGAAUGCAUAUUGUUUGAGUUAGCAAUCAAUUUGUUUUUUGGAGCAAUGGACGGCACGUGAAGAUCCUAACAGUAAUAAUACAAAUCACCUAAGAAUUUGGUACACAUCAAUGUGCAAAACUGGUUUGAAAUAGUAUUUGAUCUUUGAUCUUUUAUUUGACUAGUUUGAAGUAUUAAUUUUUUGGACAAAAUUACCCUUAAUAAUCUAUUAAUUUAACCACACGCCCCCUUCCCCAGAAAAAGCAAACAAGAAAGGAAACAAAUAUUUUCAAUUUUAUUCUUAAUUAAUUUAAUUUGUUGAUUAUCAAAAAUAAAUAAAUAAAUUAUUUGUUGACUAAAUAAAAUUAUUUAAAUCUGAAGUCAAAGCGCCACGUUUCAAAUUACCAUAAAUUAAAUACUCAUUAAGUGGUAAGAAAAGAUUUAGCUUAUCUUUACAUGUAGGGUUUUUGCCCCUUUAUUUGUUUUUGGUUUGGGUUUAAAUAUCAUUUAGAAAACAAAAAAAAUUAUUUCCGUCUUCCAUCUCUUCUCUUCAACCAGAUUAUUCACAAAACAUUUCUUUCUCCAAAGGCAAAAGAUAAUGUUUUCAUGUCAAUGCCUGUGAGAUACGACAAAUACCUAAGCGAGCAACAAUCAGACAAGUAAACAAGCUAAAAACUUUUGUUUAAUUAUUUUUUUUCGAAGAGUUUAGCACUGAAGUAUCUGAGGCUGGUUUUAACUCUUGUGUGGUUUUAUUUUGACAUAGUACGUACAAGAGUGAAGAAAGGGAUGAUGAACAAUUCACAACCCGAGUCUGGUUCGUCUUCAUUGACCAACUCUUGUUAUGUGUGCUUUGGUAUGGCUUCACAAUUAGGUGAUGAUUCUUUGGUGAGUUUAUUCGCAUUUGAAAAUCUUUGUGCAUCUCGUUUCAUAUUUGAUUGUUGUUUUGUUAGUCCAGUUUUGGUAUAAGAGAAUUAGUACAUGUCAAAAUUAAAUGGAUAGCUCAAUAUGAUUUUGCUUAGGCUUAUGUACUUGUUCUAUAUGUUAUACCUUGAGUUUUGGUUUACAUUGACAAUAUUUUACUGAAGCUACCUACCAAAUUUUGUAUGGAAUAUGUUAAAUAUAUGAAUCAAUUAAACUUAAACCACGAAACUAGAGAUUUUAAUUUGGGUUGAUGGAUUUGAUUCAUAUAUUAUGAGUUUUUCCAUAUUUGUUAGUCAUGGUUUUUUUUUUUAAUUAUCAAGUAAAAAUCCAACAAAGAGUUACCUCUUUUGUAAGUUGUAAAAUAGGCUUGAAGAAGAAGCAUAUAAGGACAGAAGAAAGUGUUGAAUCAGAUAAAAUAAAACCAUCUUAGUUUGAUGAGUUUUAGAUGAAGGGAUCUGAAAAUUAGCAUUCCAGGUAACACCAAUAUGUUGUUAACUCUUGAUGUAUGCUUGAACUUUUUGGUUAAGUACAAACUCGUUAAUGACAAGAGCUAAAUAUAUAUUUCAUUAUCGUUAGGAAGUUUCAUCAAUUGUGACCAAUAUGUCUCUUCCUUGGGCUGGAUUAUUCAAUAUGGCGAAGUGACUCUAGCAGCCUUAUAUAUCCAAUAUUUUACUGGCAAUGUCUAGACAUGCAUGCCGAAUAAAACAUUUCUUCAUUUAUAAGGCUGCUAGAGUCACUUCUCCAUGAUGAAUAAUUAAGCUUAAGGACGAGACAACAUUGGUCUCAAUUAAUGAGACUUCGUGACUAAACUAAAAUGUAAAUUAAUCUCUUAUCAUUCACGACUUGUUACUUAAGCAGAAACAUCAAGCAUUCGGCGACAAUAAACACAAUAAUGGGGUAACCUUGUAUACUAAUUCUCCCAUUGCUAUACAAUCAUUGUUUGCAAAAGGAAGAAUUUCUCCAGUAAAAUUUCUACUCAAUACAAAUCAUAAAAACUAUCAAAUACAAUAGCUAAUUAUAAAUACAAUCAAAAGUAUGUACUUGUUCUAUUAGUUUUACCUUAGUUCUGGUUUACGUGGAUAGUCAUUUAUUGAAGCUAGCUAUACAAAUUUUUUUUUGGAAUCUGUUAAUUGUAAUCUAUCAAAAUAAAAAAUAAGGAAAUUAAGAGAUGUUGGUUGGUGGAUUUGUAUCAUAUAUUAUUGGAUUUUCUAUUUUUGUUUGUUAUGUUUUUUAAUGAAAUUGCAAUUGUAAUGAAGCGUUACUCCAAUAAUAGUUUUAAGACAAUCCUACGUAAAAUCAACAGUUUCAAACCAACUCGAUAAAAGUAUUUGCGAAAUAACAUUACCAAAAUCACUAGAGAACACUUAUAAGCUUUUCCCUCUCUGGGAUAAGACAAAAGCGGCGAAACACUCCAUAGUCGACUUCUUCUUCUUUAAAAAGUUGAGUCCUAGGGUUAAACUGUAACGCCCGUGUUCUGUAAAAUAAUAUGAGACUUGAUUGUGUAUAAUAAUUAGGGUGGAGUCGGUUUAAUUCAGGUUGAUUUCCUAAACUGGUCGAUUUGUUUAAUUGAAUCAAAGGAGGUUUAAUUAAUAUCGAUUUAGGUAAAUCCUGAUUUAAUCAUAAUUAAACCUAAAACCCUAGUUUUAUAACGAACGCUUCUUCUUUCUUUUGUUUUGUUGCUGUUGUUUCUGAGAGUUGAGUUGAGAAAAGGAGAAGGAGAAGUUCACUUGUGAGAAGUAGAGGGUUAGCUUUUCUUUGAUGUUUAGAGCAAGAGAAACAGAUUCGUCACGUCUUGAUAGAAUAGAGUUCCGACGUAUCAAAUCUUAUCGAAAGGUAACGAAAUUUGGUAGGUUUGUGCUUAAGGCGUGUACGUUGAUUCUCCUUUUACAGAAGUGAAUUCGGAUUAAUAUUCAGUGAGUUAUAUGCAGUUUGGUGAGACGCGUUUUCUCUGCUGCGAACUGGGAUCAACGUAGUUUGUAAGUGCGAUCAUGGUUUCAUCGUUUCUCUGAUCGGCACCAAAGUUUGUGGGGAUCUUCGUGACGUCGGGGUCUUGCUUUCCACCGAAAGGAUUAAGGAAUUAACGGGCGUUGUUUGGCAGUUGCAGUUGCGAGGAGAGUCUUUCCUGGUUGUAUUUGUUAUUCAAAUCACCUUGUUAAGGUGAGUGCGUGACCAUGAGCUUAUCUAAGCGAUUGGGAUUGAGUGACUUGUUUGUGAUGAUUUGUAGGUGAACUGAAAGUGUUAUUGGGUGUUUAUCUUGCUGGAUGGUUUGUUUAUGUUAUAUAUGUGGGUGUUAUCUCAUUGCUUGUGUGUAUAGCUCCUAGAUGGGAGGAUCGCCUCACUGAGUAUUUGUGAUAAUACUCACGCAUCUCAUUGUGUUUGUGGUGCAAGUAUAGUGUGAUCCGUGGAAUCAUGGCGAGAAGAGUAGGAUGAUCUAGGCGCUCAUUGGUGUUUUAGAUUAUUGUUGGAUUUGUUAGGGUGUUAGAAUGAAAUUUAGAAACAUGUUAGGAUGAUCAUGUUUUGGAAUAAUGUUUGGUUGAACUUGCUGGUUUAAUGGAAUUGUUUGGUUUAAUUGAUUUAAAUUGAUUAGGACCGGUUUAGCUGGUUUGAAUUAAUUGGGUUAAUCCGGUUUGCAUGUUAAAAGAAAAACAAAACGGGAUGGGUUCUUUCAAUUUGGUAUCAGAGCCCUUACGAUUCUAGGGCGGGAGUAAACUGGUGAUUUUUUUUAAUGUGAUGUGUGAAUUUUGUUGAUGAGAAAUGAUGAUGUGGAUUGCAUGCUGAUUGAUUUGUGUGUUUAAUCAAUUGUGUGAGCAUGGAGACCUAGAUCAUCCUCUCGAGCCUUCAAUGAGAUUCCACGGUAAGUUGUGAUGUUUUAUCUUUUCUCUAGUCGUUUGUUUUCCUAGUUUCUGCUCGUGGCAGUGUGGGAGAAUAGGGGUUGCGAGCGUGGUGCUCGUAGUAUUUGUGUGGUCAUGGUGGGUGUAGUCCGGAAUGCGGGUCUUCGGUGUUGUUUUGUUGGAAAUGGAUUUCCGAGAAGUUAAGUUGGAGACUAUUAUGUAAUACCCUGAGUGACGGGAUGGUGUGGGAGUUGACUUGAAGAAUGGUCAUGGUGGAGAUGAUAUUCCAUGUGGGAAUAUUGUUUGGUAGGUAUGACAUUGUCAUAUCGUACUUCGUCUAUGUGAGUAUUUCUUAGAUUUGACUUGGUUGUGUCAUGUGAAAGAGAAAUAUGUGUGAGUUUCUAAAAAUAGAAAGCGUCGGGUUUGACGGUUCUAUUUUUGGAAAGUUUCAGGAUUGUGGUUAGUAUAGCGUUGCGAUGCUAUAGGAGAACCACGGGAGGUAUAUGUGGGUACCGGAAUUGGCACUCCGGGCUGGCACCCCAUUCCGUUUAGGCCCGUUGGCGAAGGCCCAUUGUUGGAACUGCCCAGCCCGUCAGGCGAAGUCCAGUAGGAGCCGGGGGUACGAAAGGAGGAUCGAAAUGGGCUAUCAGCGGGUCAAGCGGCGUCUUAAUGAGAAUGGCGCGAUUCGCAGAGCAGAGUUCGAUGUGCGUUUAAUGCUUGCCAGAGUAGUAUAAAUAGGAGGAAAAACAAAGUGUAAAGGGGUCGGAUUUUUUGGGCAAAGUAUUCUAAAUAAAAACUAAGCAUUUUUCUCUCAAACAUUUCGCAAUCCUAUUUACGAGUUCGGACAGGGAAUUAGGAACCCACUCGAGUUCACUCCGUUUCCAGUUCGUAGAUUUCAGCUCCCACAUUUUGGCGCCGUUUGUGGGGACCCUUAUUCCCUAACCCACCGAUUCCUCGUUUCCGACCUUCCGUCCUCAGCCUAGCAAAAUGUCGAGCGAUGAUAGUCAGGUAACCCUCGGUUCUAUUCAGAAGUUAUUGCAGGAUUUAUUCGGGAAGACAGAGCAGCAGUUAGCUACAGCUGCGCUCUCGGAGAAGCUCGGAGGAUUCGAGAAGCGGUCCACCGCUCAGGUGGCCGCCUUGUCUGAAACCGUCUCCGAGCUGUCUAACGCUCACAACGCUUACGCAGCCCAAGUGGACGCGCUUGUGGAAGGGACAUAUGUCAGUACCGCGCUCCGCAGGUUCGCAUGCUCGAUUUUGGUGGAGGGUUACCAGCGACGUCCCCGGGGAGCGGGCGACCAGUCCCCCCAGUCGCUGCGAACUCGGCAGAGAACCAGCCAAGAGAGGCUGGUCUGUCUGUCGGAUCUCCCGCGAGUAGGAACUCCACACCUGGCCACAUCCGCACUCCGACCCAGCACAGGGCGGUGGCCGUGCCCAAUCCGGAGAUUUCAUUCCUCCAGAAUGAGAUGCGAGCCAUGCAGUCAAAGGUCCACUAUGCGACUAGCUCCGCCCCUAAUAUCGAUCGAGUCAUCGAGGAGUCGAAGCGGACUCCAUUCUCGCGUAGAAUCUCUACAAUGCGUAUCAAAGAUACGCGAAAGGUUAAAUUUCUCAGCUACGAAGGAAAGGGCGACCCUAAAGUUCACCUCCACACUUUCCUCCUUACGGUAGGAAGGGUUGACUUCGAUCCUUAUGAGGAGGAUGCGGGGUAUUGCAAGCUCUUCGCCGAAACAUUUGUCGGACCAGCCCUCCUGUGGUUUGCCUCGCUUCAAGAAGGGACGAUCGACAGCUUCACUCAACUCUCCACUACAUUCGUGAAGCAGUAUUCGAGUUUCAUAGGAGUGGGUGUGACCGACGCUCAGUUGUGGAAUUUGAGCCAGGGUCCAAACGAUUCACUUCGGUCUUACAUCACUAAGUUUAAAGAAAUAAUGGUCCAGAUCCCCAGACUCCCCGACUCGGCGGCAUUGUCCGCCCUUAAAAAUGGUUUAUGGCACGAAUCUCGACUCAGGGAAGAGUUGACGGUUAACCGCCCUUCCAGUAUCCAGGACGCCCUCCACUGGGCAUCAAACUGGAUCAUAGCGGAGGAGGAGAAAGCCGCACUCGCCAAGAAGUAUAAAGUAACUCCCAAACCGAGCUUCGAUCAGGGAGCCAGACAGUACGUGCAGGGGCAAAGGCCGGGACCAGCCUCCUUCGCGGUGGACCACCAGAAGGGGGGACCUAAGGGCGCCCCAUCGAAACAAAGGUUCGGAUCGCGAGGUAGAAACGGAGCCUUACCGAGCAAUAAGUGGACUCGGGAGAAGCAGGAGAACAAUUCUUUUUGCGAACUCCACAAGGUGGCUGGGCACGCCACCCCGAACUGCAAAAAACUCAUGCUCUUACGCGCCGAAAGGUUCAUGAACGGGGUGAUGCCGGACAUAACAAUCGAUGAGCUCAAUCAGGCGCAAAACGCAGUUCAGCUCGUAUCUGAGGCAGUUGCCGAAGAGGAGGAGCUCCCCCCGGCCAAAAAACCGAAGGCACUUAUCGAAGAGAUCCCUCAAGAAACAAAGAAGCGCAUCGACGUGAUUAUGGGCGGGUCCAGGAUAUUUUGAAAUUCUAUCAGAGCCAUUAAGGACCAUCAGAGGAAAUUAAACAAAUCGGCCCCAAAGAGGCAAAAGACGCGCGAAGUCUACCCCGAGAUAACUUUCUCGGAAGAAGAGACAGAGAGCCUCGACUCCCCUCACGAUGACGCGGUGGUCAUCACCUUGGAUGUAGCGAACCACGAAGUGUGUAGGAUGAGGGUCGAUACGGGGAAUUCAGUGGAUCUAAUUUUUCUGAACACUCUCACAAGGAUGGGCAUAGACAGGAGUCACAUCGUCGGGCCUCCGGCUCCCUUAGUUUCGUUCACCAGCGAAACGUCGAUGUCCCUGGGAACAAUAACCCUCCCGGUCGCUGCGCGGGGAGUAUCCAAGAUGGUGGAGUUCACCGUUUUCGACCGACCCGCGGCAUAUAACACUAUUCUAGGGACUCCGUGGUUGUAUCAGAUGAAGGCGGUCCCGUCUACCUACCACCAGUGCGUCAAAUUUACAACGCCUAACGGAGUCCGUGAGAUACUGGGUAGCCAGCGUACGGCCAGGAGCUGAUAUCUGGCUGUGCAUAAGCUCUUGAUCCAAUAGCAACCACAUCUCGAGGUCGCCAAGAACCCGAUGAAGAGUAGGAUGAACGGCGAACUUUACGAAGAAAUCCAGCUUAAUGAGCUGUUCCCCGAGCAGAAGGUAAAAAUUGGGGGUGGGCUUUUCCCCAGAGGUCAAGGAAGAGUUAAUAAGCUUUCUGCGAAGGAAUAAGUCAACUUUCGCAUGGGAGGUGAAGGAAAUGGUAAGCAUCAGCACGGAUGUGAUAUCUCACGAACUCAAUGUCCACCCUACUUUCAAGCCUGUUCGGCAGAAGCGUAGAAAGUUGGGAAAAGAACGGGCCGAAGUGGUAAAUGCCGAAGUGGACCGCCUGCUCGAGGCCGGACUUAUCCGGGAAGUCCAGUACCUGGAAUGGCUGGCGAACACAAUGAUAGUCAAGAAGAAGAAUGGCAAGUCGCGGGUCUGUGUCGAUUUCACCGACCUAAACAAAGCUUGCCCGAAGGAUAGUUUCCCCCUCCCGCACAUCGACCGGUUGGUGGAGUCCACUUCGGGGCACGAGCUGUUAACGUUUAUGGACGCAUUUUCGGGGUACAACCAAAUCAUGAUGCAUCCCGACGACCAAGAAAAGACAUCUUUCAUCACGGAUCGAGAGAUCUUUUGCUACAAAGUGAUGCCAUUCGGAUUAAAAAAUGCUGGCACUACAUACCAACGAUUGGUGAACAGGAUGUUCGCCGAACUAUUGGGAAAAACGAUGGAGGUAUACAUUGACGACAUGCUGGUAAAGUCGAUGGAAUCCAGCCAGCACGUCGGGCAUCUCGAGGAUUGUUUUGCGAUCCUCAACAAAUUUGGCAUGAAAUUGAACCCAACCAAAUGCACAUUUGCGGUCCCCUCGGGAGAGUUUCUAGGUUAUAUUGUGACCGAAAGGGGGAUCGAGGCAAACCCUAGGCAGAUAAAAGACUUUCUGUCGAUGACUUCACCGCGGAAUCUCCGCGAGCUUCAGCGCAUGAAUGGGAGGAUUGUAGCUCUAAACAGAUUCAUCUCGAGGUCCACAGAUAUAUGCUUACAUUUUUUCGAGCUCCUCCGGAAGGGCAACAAAAAUUUUCGUUGGGCGAGCAGUGUGAAGAAGCGUUCGGACAACUCAAACAAUAUCUGUCUAACCCUCCUGUCCUAGCCAAGCCCAAGCUCGGGGAACCCCAGUUUUUGUACGUAGCAGUGUCUGAACACGCCGUGAGCGGGGUACUAGUAAAGGAAGAGAGGGGAGAGCAGAGACCGGUGUUUUACAUAAGCAAGACUAUCACAGGAGCUGAAGUUCGCUACCCUAUGAUCGAGAAGUUGGCUCUGGCCGUGGUCACCUCGGCCAGGAAGCUUCGGCCGUACUUUCAGUCUCACACGAUUGUGAUUCUAACCUCGCAGCCAUUGCGAACUAUACUUCACAGCCCAAGCCAGUCAGGGCGGAUGGCAAAAUGGGCAAUCGAGCUUAGCGAGUAUGAUAUGGAAUUCCGAGCUCGAACUGCUGCCAAAUCGCAGGUGCUCGCCGACUUCUUAAUCGAACUGCCAAUUGCCAGUACAAAAGGCGAAGAGGAAGGUCCGUGGACAUUGCACGUCGACGGGGCCUCUACCAAACACGGUAGCGGUGUCGGAGUCAGGCUUCGCGCACCCACUGAUGAGGUAAUCGAGUAGUAAUUUAGAUUAGCAUUCGACGCCUCGAAUAACGAGGCCGAGUACGAAGCACUGCUAGCCGGACUCCGGUUGGAAGUGGGAAUUGGAGUCCAUCGUCUUCGCGCUUUCUGCGACUCACAACUCGUGGCAAUCCAGUUUUCGGGGGAGUACGAGGCAAAGGACGGGCGCAUGGAAGCUUAUUUACCCAUGGCAAAGGAACUAGCCGAGCGAUUCGAGCACUUUGAAUUGAUAAAAAUCCCUAGGGCGGAGAACUCGGCUGCUGACUCACUAGCGUCCCUUGCCUCGAUCUCGGAUCCUGCCUUAACAAGGAUUAUCCCGGUGGAAAUCUUGGAGCGCCCUAGCGUUUGCCUGAGCGGGGUGAACAUACUUACAAGGUCGAUGCAGCGUCGGCUCGAUAGGGGGGAAAUAAUCCAUGAGCUACCCGUCGCCCCCGCCAAAGCCGUCAGAUCUCGACGGAACGCUUAAGGAGAUCCCCCUGCUCCCAUUGGCGGGGAAAACUCCGAAGCGCCGGCUGGGACUCUAGCAGCCCGAUUCCCCUAUGGUGAGGAGCCUGGAAGGGAAGGGCCAGAGGACACCUCAUGGCUCCCGGAGAAGGACCAAGAAGUGUACUGGAGAACCCCCAUCCUAUCCUACCUAAGGGAAGGUGAGCUGCCCCAGGAUAAAUGGCAGGCUCGGAAGAUUAGAACCGUGUUGGCCCGAUUCUGCCUGCACAACGAGGGCCUGCUCCGUCGCAGUGUCGGAGGUCCUUAUUUAACCUGCAUCGCUGGGAAGUCGCCGGGGAUAGUGAUGCGGUCAGUCCAUGAUGGACCCAAUGGGGAUAACGCAGGGGCCCGAACACUGGUAAUCAAAAUCAAAUGAUACGGUUUCUUUAGGCUAACGAUGAAAGCGGACAGUGAAUAAUUUGUCAGAAAUUGCGAGAAGUGCCAAAGGCACGCCCCUACUAUUCACCAACCCUCGGAACUCAUGUCGUCAAUCUCGGCCACCUACCCGUUCAUGAGGUGGUCGAUGGAUAUAAUAGGGCCUUUGCAUAGCUCGACGAGGGGGUGAGGUUCCUGCUAGUCCUCACCGAUUACUUUUCCAAAUGGGUAGAGGCGGCCGCGUACUCUGCCAUAACGAGUUCUCAGGUCCAGCAGUUCGUAUGCAGAGAUGUCAUUUGCCGUCACGGACUCCCGUACAAGAUAGUAACUUAUAAUGGGUCGCAGUUCGUGUCGAGGCAGUUUGAAGCAUUUUGUGCUCAUUGGAAGAUUCGGUUGAGCAAGUCCACACCCCGCUACUCGCAGGGGAACGGCCAGGCUGAAGCUAUGAAUAAAGUAAUUUUGGCUAACCUAAAGAAGAGGCUGGACUCAUAUAAGGGUCGGUGGGACAAAGAACUACAAGGCGUAUUAUGGGCAAUCCGAACCACGCCUCGGCGGGUAACGCAUGAAACCCCUUUUUCGCUGGUGUAUGGGACGGAGGCGGUAGUCCCGGCGGAGCUCGCUGUGUCAGGAGUCCGGGUAAUCACGAACCCUACAAUGCCCGAAGAGAACGAAGAAUGUCUUCGGGAUGCCCUCGACUUCAUCAAAGAGAAACGCGAUCGAGCUUUAGUUCGUUUGCAGCAUUACCAGAGCACGAUCGUGAAGUACUAUAACUCAAGCGUGACCUCCGUGGUCAAAAACACUCGUGCAUGAAUCUUAAGAAAUUCGUGAAACAAGCAAAAAGCAACCAAAAGCAAAAGUAAUAAUAGCGAUAAACAAAAGGGGGGGUCUAAGCCCAAUACAACCCCGAACAGGAUGUUAAGCAAGCCCGGAGCCCGCGGCAGGGUCUUCAGGGCGGGCCAAAGGAGGGCUAGUCGCCUCACCAACAGGAGCCUCAUCACUCCCGGGGCCCGGCUGGUUGCUUCCAGUUCCUGGUUCGGUACAACAGGGGGGUCUGAAGUUGGUUCCUCGAUCAUAAGGGGGGUAGGAGCGGGAUCAGGCCCGAGUUCAGGGGGAGUAUCUGCCAGUAAAGCAGUGUAUGAUACAGUAUCAAACAGUAAGUCCUUUACCUUUUCAGCCUCAAGGCGAGUAGCCUUCUCGUCAGCUUUUAAGGUUUCGAGCUCCUCCUUCAAGUCGGCAAUCUCGCCCUUCUCGAUCUCUUCCACCAACAUCCGGUUGGCAGUGAUUUCAGCACCUCGGAUUGCAUGGGGGAGUAAGCGGUCAUGCUCCUCGAGGUGCGACCCGAUCUUGUCGAUCGUGUCCCAGAACUCGGCUAGCGUUUUCCUCCGCUCUUCUCUUCGCACCCUUUCCAUCUCGGAGCUGUUCCCUACUUCCAGGAGCUGAUUUCUUAGUUUGGUCUCCUGGAGUUCUUUCUUUGCCUCCGUCUCGGCGGUGGUCGCCUGCAGGUACAGCUCCCCAGCCAGCUUUAGCUUGUCUUGACAAGUCUCCAGGGAGGAUUCGGCGAUCUGCAGGUCAAGCUCGACGGUUCUGAGUUUCUUGUUGAACUUGGCGGCCUUUUCCACUUCAGCUUGGUUGGAGACCUCCAGCGACUUAUACUUCUUCACCUCCUUCUCUAAGUCAGAGAUUCGAGCUUGCAAAACCCCUAUUUCGGUGGCUGAAGGGCUGGCGAAAAGUUGCUCUUCGUAGUGGGCCACCGAGCUGUUAAACUCAAAGAGCAUCUGCCAAAGAUAGGAAAAGUAUUUAUGAGGGUGAAGGUGCAACCACUUGCGAAGCGAAAGGGAGUGGGCUUACCUCGCCAACCUUCUCGGCGAAACGGAAGUAGUCCUCCCGAUUGUUCACGGACAUGUCCUUGAAGGCAGGAACCCGAGCUCCGCAUCAUGUCAGCCAGGGAUUUCAGAGCAGCUAAAAAUGAGGUUUUUGCAUUAGCUCGGGGUUGCUCAUGUAUUAGAAGUGAGCUAUUAGUAAGUAGUUUACCCGGGAGUUCGCGCCUUGGGGUCGCCUUCGGAUCAGCGGAACUCGGAGCUUCGGGCAAGGAGCCCUUCGGGGCAGGGGUCUCAGCGGGCUUCUCCUCAGUUCGUGGUUUGGAGCUCGCACGCACCGGACAAGCUGGUUCCGCAGCUUUCCGAUUCUUUGACCCGCUGGAUUGGCCAUCUUCAGGAGCUGGGCGAGCGGCAGGAGAUUCAGCGAUGAGGUCGCUGUCGGGUAGAGUGAUCACCUUGCGGCCCGUCCUUUCGAGGAAACUUUGGCCCUGGUGUCAGUCAGUGCGGCAACCAUUUUCCUCUUUAGUUCCUUCUCUUUUAGCUCCAUCUUUUUCUUGUGAGCCCUCUCUUCGCGGUAGUUCAUCUUGGGAGGGGCGGACUGAGGAGAAGAGAUGGUAAGAAACCUAGUGCGAAUGCGAGCACCGGCCUCACGGAUUCGGGGACAGGUGAAAGAGUCCCACGCAGUUUCAGCACCGCAGAAGGUAACGAAGUAGUCAGCGAAGGUUUGAGAUAAUAGCCCACGGUCAAGGGAAGCUGAAAAAAAAAGAUAAGAGAGAACGAGUUAGUACCCCGGACAAGCAACUCCUGCAAGUCACCGAAAGUAUCCCGGUUAAUCGGGAAGAAGAAAUAGCCACUUCGGUACUGUUCGUCUUUUUCGGGGAAGUCGUCGAAGACUCGGAACCCAGCCAGCGGGCUGAGAUAGAAGGUCCCUCUAGUCCGGCCACUCUUUAUCGUGUUGAGGUGGAGGAUGUCCUGGAAGGUGAUGACGUAGCCGUGCUCUUCGGCUAAGGUCUGCAAGCAAAGAAUAGUCCGGACGAAGUUCGGACACAGCUGGGGAAGAGUGAUGCCGAGGGCGAACAUCGCCUUUACCAGAAGUUCCGGCAACGGAAAGUAUAGGCCACAUUUCGAGAAAAAUAUCUCUUAGGCACAGUAGUACCCAGGAGGAGGAUCCUCCGGCGACAGGUCAUCCCCCGGGGAGAUAAGCUCCGUCUCCGACGUGAGACCGCAAAGGAACUUUACGUGUAUUAAAUCUUCCUCGGCUAUCGUCGAUCUGGGAUGCGGGCCAAAUUGACCAGAGAGGGAAGCGUCUCCGGCUUUGAGAGUUUGCUUUGGUGGCGACAUGCUUAAGCUUAGAGUCGAGUAUGGGAACGGAGUAGCAGAAGAUACGGCGAGGAGAAGCGUCGACAAACAGAGAGAAAUAGAAGAAGCGAGAGAAAAUCUAAAAAGAAAAGCGAAGGAGAGAGGCUCUAUCUUUGUUGCGUCUUUGCGGCUGCAACCCAAUGAUUACCUAGGAAAGCUAGAAGGUCGCGUCCUUUAUAGCCGGCAGCCUAGGGAUUCCGAAGCGGCAAAACCGGGGGGCGGUAAUCCAAAAAGGCAACUUCGAAUAAAAACAAAUCAAUCAUAUCAGAUUCGGGAAUCGAAGUUUCUUUAUUUACGAAGCAUUAAAGUCUCCCGAACUGAGCCACUUCGGAAGACUUGGGGGGGCUUACUGUGGGUACCGGAAUUGGCACUCCGGGCUGGCACCCCAUUCCGUUUAGGCCCGUUGGCGAAGGCCCAUUGUUGGAACUGCCCAGCCCGUCAGGUGAAGUCCAGUAGGAGCUGGGGGUUCGAAAGGAGGAUCGAAAUGGGCUAUCAGCGGGUCAAGCGGCGUCUUAAUGAGAAUGGCGCGAUUCGCAGAGCAGAGUUCGCUGUGCGUUUAAUGCUUGCCAGAGUAGUAUAAGUAGGAGGAAAAACAAAGUGUAAAGGGGUCGGAUUUUUUGGGCAAAGUAUUCUAAAUAAAAACUAAGCAUUUUUCUCUCAAACAUUUCGCAAUCCUAUUUACUAGUUCGGACAGGGAAUUAGGAACCCACUCGAGUUCACUCCGUUUCCAGUUCGUGUAUUUCAGCUCCCACAGUAUAUCUGAUCUAGAGAUAUGCUCGGGGGCGUUUAGACUUAUUUGCUCGGAUGUUAUGUGAUAGUCUCAGAUGACGAUUCGAGACCUUGCUUAAGGGUGACGACCCAAGAGCGAGUGUGAUACUUCUCGGAUACCGUAGCUUGAAGGCUGGAGGCCUAAUAGUGAGCCGGUAUGACUUGAAGGUUGCAACCUGAAAGCGGGGGGAGUGGUGAGACUUCCCGGAUACCGUAGCUUGAAGGCUGGAGGCCUAAUAGUGAGCCAGUAUGACUUGAAGGUUUUAACCUGAGAGUGGGGGAAGUGGUGAGACUUCCUGGAUACCGUAGUCUAAGGCAGAGGCCUGAAGACGAGCCGAGAUAAUUCAUGGGUGAGUAUGAGCAAAUAGGGUAUGGAACUUGAGUAUAUGGAUUAGAUAGGAGCAUCAGAGGAGUCAGUUGUGGGAGUGCGGAUCGUUUGGGACGGUUGCACGGAGUCUGACUUAUGGACGAUGUUGAAGGAUUCGAGUACGAAUCCAUGUUAGUGGGGGAAAAUUGAAACGCCCGUGUUCUGAAAAAUAAUAUGAGACUUGAUUGUGUAUAAGAAUUAGGGUGUAGUCGGUUUAAUUCCGGUUGAUUUUCUAAAUUGGUCGAUUUGUUUAAUUGAAUCAAAUGAGGUUUAAUUAAUAUCGGUUUAGGUAAAUCCUGAUUUAAUCAUAAUUAAACCAAAAACCCUAUUUUUGUAAAGAACGCUUCUUCUCCCUUUUGUUUUGUCGUUGUUGUUUCUGAGAGUUGAGUUGAGAAAAGGAGAAGGAGAAGUUCACUUGUGAGAAGGAGAGGGUUAGCUUUGCUUUGGUGUUUAAGGAAAGAGAAGCAGAUUCGUCACGUCUUGAUAGAAUAGAGUUCCGACGUAUCAAAUCUUAAGGCGUGUACGUUGAUUCUCCUUUUUACAGAAGUGAAUUCGGAUUAAUAUUGAGUGAGUUAUAUGCAGUUUGGUGAGAAGCGUUUUCUCUGUUGCAAACUGGGAUCAGCGGAGUUUGUAAGUGCGAUCAUGGUUUCAUCGUUUCUCUAAUCAGCACCAAAGUUUGUGGGGAUCUUCGUGACGUCUGAGUCUUGCUUUCCACCGAAGUGAUUAAGGAAUUAACGGGCGUUGUUUGGCAGUUGCAGUUGCGAGGAGAGUCUUUGGUUGAAAUUGCUGGUUUAAUGGAAUUGUUUGGUUUAAUUUAUUUAAAUUGAUUAGAACUGGUUUAUCUGGUUUGAAUUAAUUGGGUUAAUCCGGUUUGCAUGUUAAAAGAAAAAAAAACGGGAUGGGUUCUUUCAUAAACCAACCCUCCCAAAUCGAUUUCUCAAAUUAAAACAAACCGGCUGACCGGACAAAUGUUGGUGUCGAUCGACACCCAUCCUGAUUGUCGAUCGACACCAUAUAUUUUUACCCAUAUCAUUUCUAAUUUUCAUUUCUUAUUUUGGAGAGCAAAAACGCUGUGUAUUCCAGAAGAACACAUUAAAUUCUAUAGUAAAGUUUGAAAGCACGAAAUGAUAAGCUUUUUGACGCUAAAGAUAUAUAUCCGAUAGACACUUACCAACUUGUUAUGGCAAAAGCAACUAGCUGGAGAAUGACCCAAAUCGUUGAGGAAGUCGUGGAUACAGACCUAGAAGUUAUGGUGGGCCCAUCUUAACCGGAACCGAUGACUAAAGCAGCACGCUGUCAAAUUGAUGCCUCAUGGCAUAGUGAUGAUCUUUAUUCGGGGUUGGGGUUUGUUCUUGAUGUAGGUACGUUUGAUCUACUUGGAUUAAAAGGUACUAUAAGAUUUCUAUCCCUCUUCCAUACUAAAUUAGAAUCCCUCCUUUGGUUAUGGAGGCAACUUUAUCUUUGGGCUAUUUGUCGAUCCCGGUUGAGACAGAUUGUGCACAUGUACGAAAAAUGUUGGAAGAAGAGGGAGAGUGGCUAAUUUUUACAUCUGUAUUAGACCUUUUUAAGAUUCUUCAAUCAUCUUUUAGUGACUUUUCUAUAAAUUUAAUUUCCCGUAGUCAUAAUAUGUGUGCCGACGCCCUUGGAAGGUUUAAUUUCUAUAAACUCCUUUUUACAAGGUUUAAUUUUUUGAAAAGAUAUUUUUAAAAGGGUUUAAGAAGUUCUUAAACGGUUUUAAACAAUUUUUAAAUUGUUUUAAUAAUGUAUUUAUACGGUAUUUAUAAAAGAUAUAUAAAAUUUUAAACAUUUAUAAAGCUAAUUUUUGUGUAUAUUUAUAAGCUUACACAAAUAUUUGGACUAUUUAAACAUUUUUAUUGGCUUUUUUGAUAAAUUUUGAAACGGGGUUGUUUUUUAAAGUAAUUUAACAGCGGUUUUUUAAAAAGUUUCCCUUACUUGAAAUCCCCAUAAGAGAAAGAUAUUUAUCAAGUUAUAUUUUAGCUAUUUAUUAACAAUUGGUUAUACUAUCGAUUUAAAUAGUAUGCAAAACUAUAUUUCUUAAAGCGGUAUACCCAAAUUAGUGAUCUCGACAUUUAUAUUUCAUGUGUUAAAAAAAUAUUUGAUCGACAAUAUAAAUAGAACUAUAAUUAAAAUAUACGCAAAUAUAAUUUCGAAUGAUAAACACUUUCUGAAAACAUACGUUAGGCCUUUGAUCUUCCAUCAGUCUGCAAGCAUUACAUGUAAAACAAUAGAGUCUAAGAAGAAGGAUGGUGAUCGUGAACAUUGAAAUCAAGAAUUGUAGGGGUUAAGAAAACACAAAAUAUAUCCAAGCUGAGAUCUUAACUAGUUUUCAUAAAUUAAAGUUUUUAUUUCAUUCUUAUCUCCUUAAGGGAGAAGAUAAAAAUAUAUCUCUUACUCCGUUUCUUCUUCUAUUAAAUAUUUCAACACGACUGUGUGCCAUAUGAAUCUCUUAAAUAAAAGUUUUUUUGUAUAACCAGGAAUAACGUCACUAGAUCAAGCGAACAACAAGCCAUACACAACAUGAAAUGGUACUUGCAUACGUUUUAUAGAAUAUUCAAUCUAUUUUGUAUUGUAUCAUAAAGAAUAGUACAUUUGAUUUGGAAGUUCUUUUGUUUUCUUCAUUAUAUUGUAGUGGUACCAUAAAACUAGGGUGAGGUAAUAAUGUAUUAUCAAAUUAAAUACAUACUUUAAUUCACCAUCUGAUGCAAAUGCCUAUUGUUUGAGUUAGCAAUCAAUUAGUUUUUUGGAGCAAUGUACGGCACGUGAAGAUCCUAGCAGCAAUACUACAAAUCACCUAAGAAUUUGGUCCACAUCAAGGUGCAAGACUGGUUUGAAACAGUAUUGGAUCUUUGAUCUUUUAUUUGACUAGUUUUAAGUAUUAAUUUUUUGGACAAAAUUACCCUUAAUAAUCCAUCAAUUUAACCACACGCCCACUUCCCCAGAAAAAAGCAAACAAGAAAGGAAACAAAUAUUUUCAAUUUUAUUCUUAAUUAAUUUAAUUUUUUGAUUAUCAUUAAAUAUAGAAAUAAAUUCUUUGUUGACUAAAUAAACUUAUUUAAAUCUGAAGUCAUAGCGCCACGUUUCAAAUUACCAUAAAUUAAACACUCAUUAAGUGGUAAUAAAAAAUUUAGCUUAUCUUAACAUGUAGGGUUUUCUUUUUUCCCUUUAUUUCUUUUUGGUUUGGGUUUAAAAAUCAUUUAGAAAACAAAAAUAAAUUAUUUCCGUCUUCCAUCUCUUCUCUUCCACCAGAUUAUUCAUAAAACAUUUCUUUCUCCAAAGGCAAAUGAUAAUGUUUUAAUGUCAAUGCCUGUGAGAUACGACAAAUACCUAAGCGAGCAACAAUCAGACAAGUAAACGAGUUAAAAACUUUUGAUACGACAAAUACCUCAGCUAGUCAUUUACUGAAGCUAGCUUUACCAAAAAAAAUUUGGACUUUUUUAAUUGGAAUCUAUCAAAAUAAAAAAUAAGGAUAUUAAGAGAUUUUGGUUGUUAGAUUUGACUUAUAUAUUAUGAGAUUAUCCAUUUUUGUUAGUUAUGGGUUUGUAAAUGACAUUGCAAAUGUAAUGAAGCAUUACUCGAGUAAUCUUUUCAACACAAUCCUACAUUAAAUCAACAGUUUUCAACCCAACUUGAUAAAAGCAUUUGUAGAAUAAAAUUAUCAAAAUAAGCAAGAUAAAAUGGAACAAAAAAAAAAGCUAUAGUGCUUUAAUUAGAGAUAAAGUGGAAACAAUGGAGUUAUUAAUGGAAACGAUAAUCAACAUAAAGCUAUUUCAAUAUCAACAUAGAGAGUCCCAAACAAAUAUUGAAUUUGAUAUUAAUAUAAGCAAUAUUUAAUUAAAUAAUAACCUCAGUUAACAUCUGUAUAUUGUUUUCUGUUCAAGUAUCACCUUCAUAAUUACCUUAAUUUCUCUAUUAUUUAUAACUAUAUUAUGGAUUGGAAAACUCACCACAAGGAAGAUUUUAAAUUAAUUUUAUCACAAAUGAAAAUGUGAUCAUAUACUUAUCUACCAUUAAUGUACUACAACAAUUUGAUAAAACGAUUAAGUAACUUAAUCAUAGGGGAACCUACACUACAAAAACGAGGCUUGUAGCAUCACUAAUAAUAUGUCGAUAAAUGACUUCAAUUUAAUCAAUUAAUAAAAAAUGAUGUUAAAUAUGAAGUUUAGUGUCAUUUAAAAUAAGUAUUGACUAAUUUAACGUCAGUUACAUACAAAUCAACCCAAAUAUAUAAUUUUACAUCAAUUAAAUAAUUGAUAUAUCUAUUAAACUUAUUAACAUCAAUAGAAAAACAAUGUGAACAUCGUUUCAGUUUUAUAAACUGAUAUAUAUUUUGAUGCCACUAAUUAAUCUGAAUGUCAAUCGUGUCUGUUAAAUAUAGUCGGUUGAUGCAAUUAACAAAAAUUGGUUAAUCAUAGACAUGUAAUAUAAUAUAUUUAAAUAUUCAUAUAGAAUUGGUUCAUCACAAGUAGGGAUAUAUUAUGGUGACGACUAUGUUAAUUUUUCGCAUAGUGGCGAAUAUGUUAUAUAAAGUUUAAUUGGCUCAAUUGGUAGAUAUCAUAUACCCAAAACCAAUGUAAUAGACAUGAGUUCCAUAUUCUUUGACAAUUAUUAACUUUAAUUACCUUUUUCUCUAAUAAAGUAAUUAGGGACAAAACUGUCAUUUCCUCAUCACCAGUCUCAUUAACCUGCAAGUCUGCAAUUCUUCUUCUCCUAAAAAAACUAUCCUCUAAUCCAAUUUAUAUCUAUUAUUUUUCAAGCUCUUUUUUUGCUAAUUUAUGAUAAAUUUUAGAGUUGUAGUGUCAUGGACAUAUAAUAGCUGCCCAGAUGAGUAUGUUGGUAGUCUGUUUUCGAGCUCAUAAUCCCCACUGAUGCGGCCAUGUUUGGAAUAUGGGUUCAUCAUAUUUCUCUGUUUUUCAACUUAUAUCAAUUAAUUGUAUUUAUUCAUUUACGUUAGAUAUUUUCAAUUGUGUAUGUGGUUAGCUUCGUUUGAUUUAUUCAAACAAACAUAUAUAUAUAUCAUAUAAAUGAUGAAAUCUCUUUUAAAUUUGUUGAUAAAUAUUAAUCUUUUUAUAUUCCCGCUAUGAAUUUUAUUUGGGUCUUCUACAACGGGAACAUACCACGAUCUGAGGACUUAUUAGUUGGUCAUGAUUUUUUCACAAACUUAUUUUCACUAAGGUUUCUACAGCUAAUUGGGAUAUUUAAAUUGGGAGAUUAUGUUGCUAAUUGGGAGAUUUAAAUUGUGUUUCUAAGGUUUCUACAGCUAAUUGGGAGAUUUAAAUCGUGUCUCUAAAAAAAUCUGAUUUCAUAGUUGUAUGGCUUUGAAAUAUGAGAACUUAAUUGUGAAUUGUUGAUUAGUUAAGGAUUCAUUGCCACUAAAAAAAAAAUAAUUGUUUGACUGUUGUUUAUCUUGAUAAACGUUACUCCUCAAUAAUUAUUCACUUUAAUUUUUAUUUUCUCUGGUGGUGUUUGCUUUGGUGGAGUAAAAUAAUCUAGUUUAGCUUCUCAUGAUCUUUUUUUUUUUGCAAUAGAAAUUAAGUUUCAUGAUCAAAAGAGUACAUGAUUUUUUUUAGGUUUUUAUGGAAAAAUUAUGGAUAAAAAAACAUCAUUUAUCUCAAGAUUAUAUAUUAGGAGUGAAGAGUUUUUUGGAUUUUGCCAUUGGUAAAUCAAAGGCAGGAAUAAUGGAAUGUCCGUGUAAUCGCUGCUGUGUAGCUAAAGCCAAGUCAAAGCAAGAGACUGAAGCAGAUUUGAUGUGUUAUGGUUUUAUAAGUUCUUACACGAAUUGGGUAUUACAUGGAGAGGAGAUUGAGAUCACAAAGACUACCACAGAAAUGCCUUCUCCAAUAAACAAUGCUACAGUUGAGUUUACUUCUACUUCAAACUUAUUGGAGGAUAUCUUCCCUGAUGUCAAUAUGAAUGCAUGUGAUGGAUCUGGUUCGUCUGACCAAGCGAGGAACAUAGGUGGACCAGAAUCUUCAAGGGAACACUUUGAAAGGGGAGAAGAACUUGAAGAGUUGAUGGAUGAUUUUAAUCAAGAGCUAUAUGAAGGAUGUAAUAACUUCACUAAGUUAUCAUUUCUGCUAAAGCUGUAUCAUAUCAAAGUCAUGAGUGGAAUCGAUGAUAAAGGGAUAUCCAUGAUUCUUGAUUCGCUUAAGGAAGCAUUUGCACAUGCAAAAUUACCUGAUUCAUUCAAUGAUAUGAAAAAAGUUAUUCGCAAGUUAGGUUUGACAUCCACGUCAAUUUAUGCUUGCCCAAAUGACUGCAUGUUGUAUUGGGAAGAGAAUGCAGAAAGACAAACUUGCAUAGUUUGUGAAACAUCAAGAUGGAAGACAAAUACUUCUCCAAGUAAUGAGCAAGCUGGAACUGAAAAGAAAAAGAAGAAACUACCUGCAAAGAUUUUGCGUUAUUUCCCUAUGAAACCACGUCUUCAGCGCUUGUUUAUGUCGUCAAAAACUGCUACUGAAAUGAGAUGGCAUGCAACUGAUAGUAACAAUGAUGGUAAGCUUAGACAUCCCAGAGAUGGAGAGGCUUGGAAAGCAUUUGAUCUACUAUAUCCUGAAUUUGCAUGUGGCCCAAGAAAUGUCCGACUUGGCUUGGCUUCUGAUGGUUUAUUUCAUUUGGUACAAUGAGUACGAGUUAUAGUAUUUGGCCAGUGAUCUUAUUUCCAUAUAACUUUCCCCCGUGGAAAUCAAACAUCAAUGAUCCUUUCUAUGAUUAUUCCUGUAGAGAAAAUGCAUGGCAAUGAUAUUGAAGUCUAUAUGCAGCCACUUGUCAAAGAGUUGAAAGAAUUGUGGUUUGAUGGGAUCAAGACUCUAGAUGCUUCCUCAAAUCAGAUGUUUGACAUGCGAGCAGCCAUUGUGUGGACGAUUAGCGACUUCCCGAGACUUGGAAAUUUGUCUGGUUGGAACACAUACACAACAUUAGCAUAUCCAAGUUGUAACUAUGAUGCCAGCGGUCGGCGGUUACGCCAUGGGAAAAAGCAUUGUUUAUGGGUCAUCGUCGUUUUCUUCCUUUAGAUCAUAGCUAUCGGCAAAAUAUUUCUGAUUUUGAUGGAACAUUAGAUACUCGAUCUCCGCCAGUUACGCCAUCAGGUUCUACAAUACUCCAUCAACUUGAAAACGUGAACGUUACUUUUGCCAAGAGAGCUAGUCAAGUUGGGAGAAAGAAGAUCGUAGCGACAUCCAAAGACGUGAUGAUCAACAAUGGAGGAAAUGGAUGAUACUUUUUGAGUUGCCUUAUUGGAGAUAUGUUAUGAUACGACACAAUUUGGACAUCAUGCACAUAGAGAAGAAUGUGUCGGAUAAUCUGAGUGCUAGAAAAGAUCUUCGGUAGCUUCGUAUACGUCUUGAUAUGUGGUCUGACAAAAAUAAGAAGUAUCAACCAGCGUCUUUUACUCUGAAUAAUCAUAAAAAGACAUUUUUUUAAAUGUUUUGAAAAAUGUGAAAUUCCCUGAUGGUUAUACUUCCAAUAUUUCAACGUGUGUUGAUCCUAAUAACAGAAAAUUAUCUGGCUUAAAAAUUCACGACUAUCACGUGAUAAUGAGACAUCUGCUGCCAAUUGCUAUUCAGAGCUUACUGCCACAAGAAGUGACUUCUGCCAUUAUUGGGAUAUGUCACUUUUCCGUGAUAUAUCUACAAAAGUCCUCGAUAAGGAUGAUCUGGAUAAAUUACAAGAGUGUAUUGUGCUGACUCUAUGUCAAAUGGAAAUAUUAUUCCCUCCAUCAUUUUUAUAGUGAUGGUACAUUUAAAAGUACAUCUCACUGAGGAGGCUAAGCAAGGUGGACCUGUCUCAUUUCGUUGGAUGCAUCCAAUUGAGAGGUGACAUUUAUUUCAGCUGGAUAUAAGUUGAUAUAUAAAUAUGCUUGGUCAUUUAGUCAUUUUACUAGAAAUUGAUUCAUUCAUCUGUAGGUGGCUUGGACAUUUCAAAUCAUAUGUUCGUAAUCGUGCUUAACCAGAGGGUUCUAUAUGUGAGCAAUAUUUAGCUGAUGAGUGUUUGACAUUUUUCUCAAUGUAUCUUGAUGAUAUUGAGAAACGAUUUAAUCGAAGAAACCGGGUUGAUGAUCGUCCUACAAUUCAUAACAAUAUUAGACCAAAUUCUGAACUUGGAGUUAUUUUUACGAAUUCCGGUAGAUUUGUUGGAGCAAGCAAUGUUCAUACUUGAUAUAUCAUGGUUUUUACGGGUUUUUGGCCAUGAUAUAAGUCUUAUUUAUAGAGCUUUUAUAGUGUUUUCAAGUCUUUUUGAGUCAUUUCAGGUGUAGGAGCUAUUUCACAUGGAUUGGAUCAAAAUGGAGUGAUUUGGAGCUUAUUGGAGCAAAGCUGAGUAAUCUGACUUGGAGAUGAUCUGUGAAAGAGUGUCGAUCGACACCACCUAUCAGUGUCGAUCGACACCGUGUACCUGACGAGAGAUUUCGAGUUUUCCCAAGUUUUGAAGAUUUACAAAAGAUGCCCAAAGUUUUCCCAAGUUGCAACAUUGGUCCCUGACGUGUUUUAGACAUAUUUAAAUACUUUUUAGGUUUUAUAAACACUUACGCUUUAUUCUAUUGCAAAACUUUGAGAGCUUUUAAUGAGAGAGAGAGAUCAGAACUCCUUGUAGAGAGAAGAUUUCAAUCCUCCCUUGUUUCUCUAUUCAGUUUUCUAAUCUAUAUUAUUCAGUUCAUGAUGUUUGCUUCUUACAUGAUGUCUGAGUAGUUUUCUUUGUUAGGGUUGGGGAUUCUCAUUAGGGAUUUCAUGACUUGUUAGGUAGAUUUGUUAGAUUAGGGUUCACAUCUUAAUUGUUCUUCACCAUAGGUUGUUCGUAAUGCUAGUUUUGGAUUAAUCGGCUAAAGUCUAGAUCUUAGGAUAAUUAAUUUGACAUGAGAGUGUGAUUAAUUACCUGAAAGAACCUAGGGUGAGCAAAAUACUUAUUCGCAAAGAGAUUUGGUUUAGGGAUUUUGUGAACACAUCAAACUUGUAUGUUAAUGCUUGUUUAAAACUUUAGAAUUUAGCAAAGAAAUUUGGAGUUCUAGUUUUAAAUUUAGAUAAUCAUCGCAACGAAAGCUGAAAGAUUUUACAUUAGUGAUUUGAGUUCAAGAACGACGCUUAAUCUGAAUCCUAAAUUAUUAAUUUAUUUAAAUUGAUUGAUUUCCUGAGAAUCCCCGAGCUUAGCGUUUUCUCAUAUUGUUUUAAAAACCAAUCUUUAUUUCAAUUUGCUGUUUUAAAUAUGAAAACUUUGUGUGCUUAGCUUAAUUUUAAUACCGAAUAUUUUGAGUCUCUGUGGAUUCGAUCCCUAAGUACUACAGUGAUCUCUUAAUUGAGAGAGUAGCUCAGGGCAAAUUUGAGCCGAUCAAAUUUUGGCGCCGCUGCCGGGGACUCAAUUUUAAUUACCAUUAGAUUUAGGUUAACAGUUUAGUCUAAGUUUUUUAUUUAUUUUUAUUUUGUUACUUACGCUUUUCUUUUCUCUUUUAUUUUUGGUGUUUCAGGUUUAUGCCUAAUACUAGAAGCCAGCAGAUCAAAGAGUUAGUUGAUCUCAACAAUUCAGAAUUAGCGGGUUUAGAAAGAGGAAUUCGAAAAGCUAAGAAAAAUGCAGCAAUGGCACCACUAGUGAUUCUGAUUCAAGAUGCUGGGGGUACUCUCAGAGAUGGAGAUGGUCAUGUGAGAAAUGCACAAGGGCAGAAGCUGAAUGCUAACAGGACUGUAAUUCUUGAACUAGUCGCCGUUGGUGUCGAUCGACACCAAGCCGCAGCAGACAACAACCAGUUGGCGUUGAAUGCUGAAGCAGAGGAUGAGAACCGUACACUUGGAGAAUACAACAAGUCUGCUCUGUUCUAUUCUAACCGCUAUGCUAUAAGUCCUCCUGCAUUUCAGAGGAACAACUUUGAGUUGAAGCCUGGGUACUACAGUCUUGUAGGACAACACUCGUUCCAUGGCCAUACUCAUGAGCAUCUGAUGGACCAUAUUGAGAAGUUUGAAAACUUGGUAUCUAGCAUCAAGGCUGAUGGUGUAUCUUCAGAUUUUCUGCUCUGUAAGCUUUUCCAACACUCUUUAGCUGGAGAAGCACUAUCGUGGCUCAAGGAGUUGAAGCCUGCAUCUCUUACGUGCUGGAAGGAUGUGAAAGUUGCGUUCUUGAAUAAAUUUUAUGAUGAUGCAAGGUCAGAGGAUCUGAGGAACAAGAUUUCUACUUUCUCUCAAGGAAUCUCAGAGACAUUCAAGGCUGCUUGGUGCGUUUUAAGGGGUAUUAGAGAGAUUGUCCACACCAUGGGUACGAGAAAUUUCAGCUUUUGGGCAUUUUCUACAGAGGAUUGGAUUGGAGGUACCAGAUGGCUUUAGAUGUUGCUAGCAACGGUAAUUACAACACAUGGUCUCUAGCUCAAGCCACCAAGCUGAUCGAGAACUUCGCUUCCAGCAAUAGUACCAAAGGUGCUGAUUUUGAGAGAAAAAAGCUAGCUGAAAACAUGGAGGGACUUCCACUUGCUAAAGUUAAGGCGAAGCUUGAUUUUAUGCAUCAUCUUCUUGUUAAUAAGAAGAAUGUUAAGUUUGCUGCUGAGGUUGAGGCUUUUGAACCAGAAGAGGAUGAAGAAGAAGACGUGAACUACGUCAAUGGUGUUGGGUAUCAGGGUCAGAAGUUUGGUAACGCACAGGGAAACUGGUUCAACAGCGGGUAUGGUCAGAAGAGCACUUACAUAGGAAAUCAGAAUUCUUUUGGUUACACUCCACGACCUGAUUAUCAGAAGAGUAGUGGCUUCACGAGGAGCUAUGGGAACUCAUCUUACCAACCAACUUCACCGGAAUCUUCAGAAACUGAGAUGAAGUCUAUGCUAGAACAGAUUCUAGAGGGUCAGCAGAAGAUGACAGUGGACUUUAAUGGGAGAAUGGAUGCGUUAUACCCUGAUUUGAAUGGUAAGAUAGAAGCUUUGAACAAUUAUACCAAGAAGUUAGACUAUUAGUUUACUCAGGCAAACCAGAACAGACAACCAGGCUUUCUACCUGGAAAGACCGAUGCAAAUCCUAAGCAUCCUUGCAAUGCAGUGACCUUGAGGAGUGGAAAACAGCUCAAAUCAGUGUUGAAACCAGGUUUGACAGUUGAAGAUGUCAUAGAGCUUGAUGAGAUUGAAGAUGAAGAUCUUGUUGAUCCGCAGUUGGUGUCGCUCGACACCACCACUAGUGGCGAUCGACACCUGUCUCGAACAGAACCAGUUUCUGCUUCACCGCCUUCCACGACCAAGACCAGAGUUUACAAACCUACAGUCCCUUUUUCUAAGAAGUCUAAGAAGUCAAAACAGGAGCAAGAGGAGGAGAGAUACAAGAAGAUAUUAGAGUCACUCACGAUUGAGAUGCCUUUUCCUGACUGCUUAUAGACUUCGCCUAUGUUUAAGCGGGUUGUAAAGAAGAUGGUGACUAAGGCUUUGUCUAGAGAGAUAGGGGUUAUGAUGGUCUGUGUACUAGUCAGCAAUGUUUUUCAGAAUAAGAUUCUAGGAGAUACACUUUCCAGACCCUCUAGAGAGAGCUUUAGUAGCUUCAGCAAAUGACAGUAAGUCUUUAGAUGAUGAGGCUUCUAGGUAUGUUCAGUUGAUGGAUGGUAGUGCGCAAGUGAUGAAGAUGGUUCACCUAAAAGAGGUUGUUGAGCCUUCUAAAAACGCUGAUGCGCUAAGUGAUUGAAGUGCUGAAAAAUCUCCAAAAAUCGAACUCAAGCAACUCCCUACGGGGCUGAGGUACGCAUUUCUUGGUGCUAAUUCUUCUUAUCCAGUUAUUGUUAAUGCUUCUUUAGACAACACAGAGCUCACGUUACUGCUAAGUAAGCUGCGCACUUUUUGCAAGGCUCUUGGCUAUUCUCUUGAUGAUCUUUCAGGUAUUUUUCCGGACUUAUGCAUGUACAUGUUUCACCUUGAAGAAGAUGAAAAGGCAACAAUAGAACACGAGAGAAGGCUGAACCCGAAUUUGCAAGAGAUUGUCAAGAAAGAUAUCAUGAAAUUGCUGGAAGCAGGGAUCAUCUAUCCAAUUUCAGUCAAGAGAUGAGUAUCGACUUAAUGUUGCAACAAGGAAGGAUCAUUUUCCUUUGCCUUUCAUUGAUCAAAUGCUGGAGAGGCUAGCAAAUCAUCCAUAUUAUUGCUUCCUGGAUGGGUACUCUGGUUUCUUUCAGAUCCCAAUACAUCCCGAUGACCAAGAGAAGACCACAUUCACUUGUCCCUAUGGUACUUUUGCAUAUCGCAGGAUGCCAUUUGGACUUUGUAAUGCUCCUGCGACCUUUCAGAGAUGUAUGAUGUCUAUCUUUACAGACAUGGUUGAGGAUUACAUGGAGAUUUUCAUGGAUGAUUUCUCGGUUUAUGGGUCAUCUUUUAAUGACUGUCUUGACAACCUGUGCAAGGUGAUUGCUAGAUGUGAAGAGAAGCACUUGGUACUUAACUGGGAGAAGUGUCAUUUCAUGGUUAGAGAUGGUAUUGUGCUCGGGCACCGGGUUUCAGAAGCUGGUAUUAAGGUUGAUUGCGCGAAGAUUGAGGUGAUGACAAGUUUGCAACCGCCGGAUUCUGUGAAGUCAGUGAGGAGUUUUCUUAGACAUGUUGGUUUCAAUAGGCGGUUCAUCAAAGAUUUCAGCAAGAUUGCAAGGCCACUAACUGUUUUGCUUUGCAAAGAUGUGAAGUUUGAGUUUACUGCUGAUUGUGUUUCUGCGUUUGAACAUAUUAAGAAGGCUUUAGUGAGUGCUCCAAUUGUUCAACCGCCAGAUUGGGAUCUACCUUUUGAGGUGAUGUGUGAUGCUAGUGAUUAUGCUGUGGGAGCUGUUCUAGGACAGCGGAAGGAUAAGAAACUUCAUGCUACUAUGCUAGUAGAACACUUCAUGAGGCACAGAAGAACUAUGCAACAACCGCGAAAGAGCUUUUUGUUGUGGUUUUUGCUUUUGAGAAGUUUUAUUCUUAUUUGGUGGGAGCGAAGGUGAUAGUGCAUACAGAUCCAACUGCUCUAAAACAUUUGAUGUAGAAAAAGGAUGCUAAGCCACGAUUGCUGCGAUGGAUUCUUCUUCUUCAAGAGUUCGAUAUUGAAGUUUGGGACAAGAAAGGCGUUGAGAAUGAGUUGAUGACCAUCUCUCAAGAAUUAGGAUAGAAGAUAAGGUUCCUAUAGAUGAUUUCCUGCCAUAUGAGAAUGUUUAUUCAGUAGAAAUUGGUUCCCAAGAAGAUCUUGAGAGAAAACGUCGAAUCUGCCUGACUGCAGUGGGGGUGUCGCUCGACACCACCUUGGUGUCGGUCGACACCAUGGACGAGACAGACGAUUAUCGAGCCGACAAUGCAAUUCUCGACAAUUUUAUUCGAUACUUAGGUGUAGUGUCGAUCAACACUUAGGUGUAGUGUCCAUCGACACCACUACUGGUGUCGAUCGUCACCCUUGGAUUUUCGAACCAGAAUCCGAUUUUGACGAGGAAUUGGCUGCUGUUGGGACUUCUAAUCAUCUGUGGUAUGCUGAUAUUGCGAAUUAUCUUGCUGCAAGCCUGACAAGUUUAAAGGUGGUGAGCCUGACAAGUUUAAAGGUUCCACUAAGAAGAAGUUCUUGAGAGAAAUCCGAGGCUAUUUUUGGGAUGAGCCUCACUUGUAUAAGCAUUGUUCAGACGGGGUCUACAUAAGAUGUGUUUCAGAGUCUGAGAUUCCGGAUAUUUUGUUUCAUUGCCAUCUUACGGGAAUAAGUACAUUCUAGUCGCUGUUGACUAUGUCUCUAAGUGGGUGGGAGCUAUUGCUAGUCCGAAGAAUAAUUUUUCAGUGGCUCUUAAGCUGUUUAAGACCAUUAUAUUCCCUAGAUUUGGAGUGCCUCGGAUUGUUAUAAGUGAUGGUGGAUCUCACUUUAUUAAUAAGGUUUUUGAGAAGGUUCUGCAAAAGCAUGGUGUUCAACACCGUGUGGCUACCCCAUAUCACCCUCAGACAAGCAGACAAGUGGAAGUCUCUAACCGGCAAAUCAAGGUGAUUCUUGAGAAAACAGUUGGUCCAACAAGAAAGGAUUGUUCAGCCAAGUUAGAUGACGCGCUAUGGGCAUACCGGACUGCAUAUAAGACACCACUUGGGACUACACCUUUCCAUCUACUUUACAUGAAAGCAUGUCAUCUACCAGUGGAGCUUGAGUACAAAGCAACAUGGGCAGUCAAGAAGCUGAAUUUCGACAUUAAAGCUGCUGCUGAGAAACGGUUGAUAUAUUCGACUAGAAUGUUUAGUGUCGAUCAACACCACUUAUUGGUGUCGCUCAACAACGUCACUGACGCGUUCCGGAUUUUAAAACCCGAGCUUUCUCCAAUGUUUUAAUUUUUUUUCAGAAACGAAGAACCACGAAGCCAAAAUUCAAAUUUGCGAUUACUCUCUCGUUUCACCACCAAAUUCGACGAUUUUGGUAUUAAUCUCUUUGUUUUUGAGAGAUCUAUCAACCCCCACAAGUCCGUUUCUUCGAUCUGUUUGAUGGCUGGCUCUAGACAGGCGAAACGAGGUCGCGGCGGAGCAAGGUCUUCUUCACUUCCGCCGGCUCCGGCGUGCUCCGGCGACUUCUGAGCAAACUCCAGCGAGUCCUCCCACCUCUCCUCGGGUCCUAUCUCGUCAUCCAUGGCCAAAGAGAGAAGGUUUGAGAGUCACUCCUCUAAGAGUUUUUGCAGAUGAUCCAAAGACGGAAUUUACGAAGGAAGAGUACAUCAACAGACGGAUUUCAGUGGAUCGGGAUGACUAUGAUGGGAAAACGGCUAAUUCCCCAUGAACAUAGUUGCUUUAUCAUAUUAAUACACAGAACUUUCGAGUGUGAUUAUAACUACAUAAACUAAUUUAUAAUUUGAAUAUACUACAUAAACUAUAAAAAUGUGGCCAAAACAUACAAAUUUAACGACGCCGUUAAUUAAACCGUUAGUGCAGCUGACUGGGAUGCCACAUAGAUGGUCAAAACGACUGUGUUUUAUAAAUACAAGUCUAAAACACAAAAACUACGUCGUUUCACUAAAGUUAAAAUUUUUGGAAAUAGACAAACAGAAGAUUCGAACUCCCAACCUCAAAGUUUCCUAGGCCGACUUAACACCAGUUAAGCUACAAGGUUUCUCGUUGUAACACCAAACAUAAUUAUUUAUAUAACGCUUCUUUCUUCUUCUUCUUCCAUGGUGCUUUCAUCCAUAGUUUGAUUCAAUUUGGGUUUGAUUUUUCUGGAUCUUAGGAUUUUAGGUUUAUAAAUACUAGAAUGAAAAGUGAAAUAUAAUCUAAAAACCAGUUUUUAUUUUGUGAGUUUCAACUAAUUAUCCUUAAUUUAUAUAUAAACUUAGAUGACAGAACAUUAUUUAAGUAAAUUGAAAUUUGCAGUUUUUAAUAUAUAAAUUAUGAAUCUAACUAGACCAUGAAGUAUAGUUCAAUUUUUGGAUAUAUUAUUCAAUUUGGUUUGAAUUGUAUUAGAUUGGGUUACUUGAAUUGAACACUUAUAUUAAGGAAUAUUUUUAUAUUAGAUUAAGAAAUUAAUAAAUUUGGGAGAUUUGUUCAUGAUGGAAACAAAUCUCCCAAAUAUAUUAAUUUCUUAAUCUAAUAUAGAAAUAUUCCUUAAUAUAAGUGUUCAAUUCAAGUAACCCAAUUGUUUCAUGCUAUCAUUUGUUCAUGAAGAGGAAGAAGAAGAAAAUAAAAAGAAGCGUUAUAUAAAUAAUUAUGUUUGGUGUUACAACGAGGAACCUUGUAGCUUAACUGGCUUGGAGUCGGCCUAUGAAACUUUGAUGUUGGGAGUUCGAAUCUUCGGAUUGUCUAUUUACAAAAAUUUUAACUUUAGUGAAACGACGUAUUUUUUGUGUUUUAGACUUGUCUUUAUAAAACACAGUCGUUUUGACCAUCUACGUGGCAUCCCAGUCAGCUGAACUAACGGUUUAAUUAACGGCGUCGUUAAAUUUCUAGGUUUUGGCCACAUUUUUAUAGUUUAUGUAGUAAAUUCAAAUUAUAAAUUAGUUUAUGUAGGUAUAAGCACACUCGAAAGUUCUGUGUAUUAAUACGAUAAAGCAACUAAGUUCAUGGGGGAAUUAGCCGUUUUUGCAGAUGAUCCAAAGACGGAAUUUACGAAGGAGGAGUACAUCAACAGACUGAUUUCAGUGGAUUCAGAUGACUAUGAUAGUCUGCUGUACAAUGCAUGGUUGGGGUUGAUAUUAGACCAAUCAGAUUUGUCGAUUCUAUUGCAUUGCGGAGAAUGGGUAUAAAAGAGGAAGUGCUGCACAUUUUUGAGAAGAUUGGUCUAGGCACCAUCUAUUCCAAGCAGUACGACCUAUUUCCAUAUUUGGUGCGCCAAGUUCUAGCUACCGCACAGGUUUACUAUGUAAACGAGAGGCUCCCACGCGCUAACGAAUGCACUCUCACAUUUUUCAUCCGCGGAGUUAGGUAUCACAUUUAACUACUUGAUAUUUGUGAUAUCUUUGGGUUGAUAGGGAUAACAUUUGAGUAACAUUGCAUGCGCAAUACGAUGAUGCCUCUACUCUCUGGUCUUUCAUCGGGAAUGGUAGAUACAACUCGAAGACUUCUACGCAAUCCAAUGUCAAGCAUCCUGUUAUCAGGUAUGUUAUUCGAGUUCUAGGGAACACACUCUUAUGCCAGACUGAGCCAGGAAAGAUGAGAGUAUCAGAAUUAGCUUUGUUGUCUUAUGCAUUGGGUCCUAUGAUAGAGGAUGAUUGCGAGUAUGUUGAGUUGACUAGGGUGAAUUUUUGUGCGAUGUUUGCUCAUCAUUUGGUUUCUCUUAAGACUUCUAGGCCGUUUGUGGGGACAGGGAAGAAGUUUGAUUGUGUUGGGAGUCUGCUUACUCCUAUUUUUAAGCAUUUGAACGUUAGCACAGGCGAAUGUUCAAUAGUCACUGCACGUUCAUUGAUGGAUAAAGGAUGGUUGGUUAUGGUGUUUUACUGAUAGCUCAGGCGCGCGUAUGAUUCAGCUGCCUCAGAGAGAGCUCACAGACAUUGGGGAUGACAAAGACAAGCUUAGCUUCGAGCCUGAUACUACCAUAGCGUGUCCCCAACCCUCUUCACGACUUCGCAAAGGUUCUUCUUCUUGAGCUAUUCCUACGCCUGCUGCUGAUCCUGGAGCUUCUUCUUCUUCCGCACCAGCACAGUUCGAGCUGCCACCACCACCAGAUAUUCCCAUGGAGCAAUCUGAUUUUCAGAGAUACAUUGGUUAGAGGGUCCACCAGAUAUGGAACGCGAUCGCUUCUCUCUCUAGAUGUGGAUGUGUGCGCCCCACGUCGUCGUCCUCGUUCCCGCUCUCCACCUGCUGAUGAUCACGAUGAUGAGGCUUAAAUCCUUGGCAUUUCCGGUUUAAGUUUUCUUUUAUCCUUUUGAGUCAUUUUUCUUUUUGCUUUGAGUCAGUUUGUUAUUUGCUUCCGCAUUGAAAUUUGUAUGAAGUGGGCAUUAAUAUCUCUUUUGUUGCUUUUGACUUGUGUUUUAGUGUUCUUAACAGUGAUACAUCAGGAAUUCGAUUGAUAGAACUACAAACAUUUUGUUCUUUAGCUGCCUGAUUUCUAACGCAGAGGGUGUCGAUCGACAACACCUGUUGGUGUCGCUCAACACCACAAUACAGACGGUGAAUUUUUCGAAUUUUUCCCUUUUUCCAUACAAUUUUCAUUUGUUUUCUUUUGCUUCGCCAAUCUUAGGCUUGGCAACACUGGGGGUAGUGUUGUUUAAGUUUGGGGGAGGUAGUUACUAAUAUUGUUUAGUCUUUUGGAGUUCUAUCGAGUCCGUCCAAAAAAAAUUUUGUUUGAUUGAGUCAAAAACUUUUGUAGGGAACAAUGAACUCAGUUUAAUGGUCUCUCUGAUUUAGAUUAACACUCUUAUGAUUAAAUUUUUAUGCUUGAUCUCAGAACCGAAGUUUGGUUAACCUUGUUACUAUGGAAAAUUAGUUGAAGUUAUAGUGCAGAACUAUUAUGAGACUUUUAGGGUUGUAUUAAUUUAAAUGCAAAUGAACUGAUACUCACAAUGAACGAGGAUAUAAAACAGAUCCUUACGGUCAACAAAUGGUUAAUUUUUUAUGCUUGAUACACACAAGGGAUAAUGAUGAUGAUGAGCCACAUAUAUUGGCUUCUCAAGCAAGAAUUGUAUAUGACGUUGAAGGCUCACACGAGAAAGAAUGGAAGUUUGUUGUGAAUGUUCAGCCUAGAGAUUUAUAUGACAUGUGAGAUCCAAAUAGUUCAGCCUCUGCCGCAUCUCUGGAGUACGAUUAAAGCAUUUUAUAAAUAUGACUUGUUUAACCUUCAAAUUAUUUUGAUUUCAUAUUAUGUUAUUCGUUGCUACAAUGUUAUUUGUCUUUUUAAUGGAAGUUUUUUUCCUAUGAGUUUCAUGUUAUUCCUUGUAUAUAGUUACUGGUGCUUUUCACUGAAUCUCAGUAUGAACCUUUUCUUUCCACAGUUGCUUAUAUAAGGACUGCUACUAAAUAUUGUAUGUGUAAAGGGAUCUUGUUGUAAUUAGUAAUAUUAGGUACUCUAGGUUUCUCUUCACUCUCUGUAUAAAUACUUGUAAUUUCCUUAAUAAUAAGAUUAACACUUAUUCCCUAUAUGGUAUCAGAGCAGAACGCUUCUCUAACCUAAAAAGUUUCUCAGCCGACAUCAUCAUCUACCUUCACUCUUGUCAUGUCAACUUCCCAAGAAACCUCCAUUAAUGGUGCCGACACUAUUGUAACAACAACAAACAAUCAAACGCUGCUUCACAUCAACACCUCCAACAUCACUAAGCUUACGACAACCAACUACCUCCUCUGGAAGCUUCAAGUUCACGUUCUCGUUUAUGGCUAUGGCCUUGUUGGCCAUCUUGAUGGAUCUGGUCCAAUCCCUCCCACGACAGUCACAGUGGCUACUGUGGUGUCCCCAAACCCAGAUUUCAUCCUUUGGAAGCGUCAGGAUCGUCUUUUGUAUAGUGCAGUCUUUGGUUCGGUCUCGCCGUCGGUUCAAUCAGUUCUCUCUCGCACCACGACUGCAACUGAAAUUUGGUCUACAUUAGCUGAGACGUAUGGCAAGGCAAGUCGUGGUCAUGCUCGUCAGGUUAAGGAUCAGCUGAAGUUUAUAAAGAAAGGUGCACGUACCAUUGACGAGUAUCUACAUGAUCUCACGACACGAUUUGAUACUUUGGUAAGCCUUGAGAGUGCACUGGCGCAUGAUGAUCAAAUUGAAACGAUUCUUGAUGGGUUACCCGAAGAGUAUCAACCCAUUAUUGAUCAAGUUUCGAAUAGGGAUACUUCACCUACCAUUGCUUAUGUGCAUGAGUACCUCCAUAACCAUGAAGCUAAACUCCUCUCUAAAGAUGCAGCGUCGUCAUUGGUUCUUCCUGCUAGUGCUAACGUCGCUGCUCAACGUCACAACAACAACAAGAACAACAACAAUAGUCGCCACAAUCAACAAUACAACAACAACAAGAAGCAGUACAAUGCUGGGAAUGGGUACGUUUCUCAGCCUCAAUUUGAUGGUCGUUCUCAAGACACUUGUGGCUAUAAGCCUUACUUGGGAAAAUGUGAAAUCGGCAACACACAAGGAAAUAGUGCACGGCGGUGUCCCCAAUUUCAGUCUCGUGUGAUGCUGAGCUAUCCGACUCAGACUAGUCCGUUCCGUCCAUGACAGCCUCGUGCUAAUGUCGCCAUUGGCUCUUCCUAUGAUCCCAAUCCGUGGCUGCUGGAUAGUGGAGCUACUCAUCACAUGACAUCCGACUUGAACAACUUGUAUCUCCAUGAGCCGUAUUCGGGUAGUGAUGACGUCGUUGCCGCUAAUGGCUCUCCGCUGCCCAUUACGCAUAUUGGUUCAAAAUUUCUUCCCUCUCAAUCUCGUGCCCUUGUUUUGAACAAAAUCUUAUGUGUUCCUGAUAUGUACAGAAAUUUUAUUUCGGUGUAUCGUCUUUGCAACGCUAAUCGUGUCUCAGUGGAAUUCUUUUCGGCUUCGUUUCAGGUGAAGGAUCUUAGUACGGGGGUUCCACUUCUACAAGGAAAAACUAGAGCUGAGCUCUACGAAUGGCCGGUCUCACCAAAUCAAGUGACCGCUCUAUCAACAUUUACUAGUCCGAAAGCAUCUGUUCCGGUUUGGCACUCUCGGCUCGGUCAUCCAUCUCUUCUGUUUUAAACACUAUGCUUUCUAUUUUUCAACUUCCAGUUUCGGGUUCUUCCCACAAACAUUUACCUUGUUCUGAUUGUCAUCUUAAUAAGAGUCACAAAUUCCCUUUUUCAAACACUACAAUUCUUUCUACUCGACCACUUGAAUACCUUUAUUCCGAUGUUUGGAUGUCACCGGUUUUAUCAUUUGAUAAUUACAAAUACUACCUUCUAAUUGUUGAUCAUUUCACCCGUUAUACUUGGCUAUACCCACUAAAAAGAAAAUCGGAUGUUAAAGAUUUUUUUGUUGCUUCCAAGAUGUUGGUGGAGAAGAAGUUUCAACACCAGAUCGGCACACUAUUUUCAGACAAUGGCGGUGAGUUUGUUGUGCUUCGGGGUUUCCUUGCUGCUCAUGGUAUUGCUCAUCUUACAUUACCGCCACACACGCCUGAACAUAAUGGGAUGGCGGAACGCAAACAUCGUCACAUUGUUGAGACAGGACUCACAUUACUUUCCAAACCUUCCGUCCUGACACUUAUUGGCUGUAUGCUUUUACCACGGCCGUCUAUCUUAUAAACCGAAUGUUCACACCAGUUCUAGCUAACCAGUCUCCAUACUCCAAGCUGUUCAAUGAUCGACCAAACUAUGACAAGCUGAAAGUUUUUGGAUGUCUUUGCUUUCCGUGGCUAAGACCGUACACGGAUCACAAACUUCAGCCUCGUUAUCAGCCGUGUGUGUUCUGAAGGUAUUCUUUGACUCAAAGUGCGUAUUAUUUCUUACAUGUUCCUACUGGUCGCAUAUAUACGUCUCAACAUGUUCAGUUUGACGAGAACACGUUUCCGUUCUCUACGCCGCCAGCUCCUAUGACUGAACCGUGCUCUGCUUCUGUGUCUCCGUCACCGGUUGCAACUUAUGUCCCUCUCUCGUUACAAUUGCAACGGCCUUCUAAUGAACCUCCGCACUCGGACCUUCACCAACAUGACUCCUCCGUCGUGAUGCCUUCACCGCUGCAAUCUCAGGUAUCGUCCCCUAUCUCUACUUCUUCUUCUUCUACAACCGAGCCCACUGCUCACCAAACUGGGCCUAAUUCCCCGGCCCAGCACAGCCCCACUUCCAAUGAGCCCACUGCUCACACACAAAAUGAGUAGAGACCCACGACUCAGCCACAACCUUCCCCAUCGACCUCCAUAAAUCAACAAAUACGCUCCCCCACCCCGAUACCUUCCCCACCAGCUCAGCCACAAUAACCAGAAAUUCCUAUUCCCCCUCAUCCACCGCAAAAUAUCCACAAAAUGCAAACUAGAGCCAAAAAUAAUAUUACCAUACCAAACAGGAAACUUAAUCUUCAUGUUGCUGGUCACAGAAAAACCAGAGAACCAUCUAUACACCUACACAUGGUAUUUUUCUUCGUAUGUAUUCGGCCUUCUCGGAUGCGGACUGGGCUGGCAAUGUUGAUGACUAUGUGUCUACCAAUGCCUUGGUCAUCUACUUAGGUCGCAAUCCUAUCUCAUGGCAGUCUAAGCAAUAACGUAGUGUUGCUAGGUCUUCCACCGAGGCGGAGUAUCGAGCUGUCGCCAAUACUGCCUCUGAAAUCCGUUGGCUAACGUCGUUAUUUCAAGAGAUUGGUUUCACUAUCUCGUCACCACCGGUAAUCUACUGUGAUAACAUUGGCAUUAUUUAUCUUUGUGGUAAUCCGGUGUUCCAUUCCCGAAUGAAACACAUUGCUCUCGACUAUCACUUUACAAGGAAUCAAACUGAAUCCGGUCUCUUACGUGUCUCGCACGUCGCUUCUAAAGAUCAAUUGGCCGAUGCUCUUACAAAACCGUUGUCUCGCCCGCAGUUUCAUGAUGCUCGUUCCAAGAUUGGUGUGACUGAAGUCCCUCCAUCUUGAGGGGGUGUAUAAGGAUUGCUACUAAAUAUUGUAUGUGUAAAGGGAUCUUGUUGUAAUUAGUUAAUAUUAGAUACUCUAGCUUUCUCUUUACUGUCGGUAUAAAUACUUGUAAUUUCAUUAAUAAUAAGAUUAUCACUUAUUCCCUAUAGCUUACAUGUUUCUUUAUUUUUUCCAGGAUGAGUAAUUUAGUGCAUUUCACUGUAUCAAAGACACAAGCACCAUAAUAUUUGCAACACUUAGAGAGGGUUUACAGUUCUCCUCCUCAACUUGCUCAAGAAUGCAAAAGUUACAAAUGGAAAAUUCAGUUGAUAGGUAACUCUAAAUAUAGUACUUUGUUAUUCAUAACUUUUGUGAAAAUGACUCUACUUGUUUACUAAAUUACUACGUAUAUCAAAUGUGGAUAAGUUUAACGUACGGGUUCUACUUGUUAUCAAAUUGAUGCUGAUGACAACAUUGAAGACCAAAUGCUGACAACCAAAGAUGUUUGUAAAAUACAAUAUCGUAAAGUGAUUGUUCACUUCGAUGAUGCUAGCGGUCAACCUGAUAAAGAUUCUGGAGGCUUACUUGGAUCAUGGUUAGGGCAGUUGAGUACUGAUGUAAACUUGUUACCCAUUAACUACAGUGAUUGGAGAUUGUUCGGCCUUCACAGAAAACAAAAAGCAUGGGAAGUAAUCUAGGUAAUUUUCUUUUGCUUCAUAAGGUUUUAGGAUUACUAUGUGUUAUACAUUUCAAGUAUAUCUAACCAAGCACUUCGCGUAAUUUUUGUAGAACAAGUUUUGGUUUGAUGAUCCUGAGACAAGAAAGGAUUAUGUGAUUGGUUUACUAGGAAACAGGUGCAAACAUUUAAAAUUGCGUCUUUGGAGAGAUUAUAAACGAAAUGAUCGAGAUGAUACAUUGGAGAAUCGUCCCAUUGAUAUAUCUGAAGACCAAUUGCUUGACUUUGUUUGCAUGAGGUUCACAGACAAGUGGAGGGUAUAGUUUUAUACAUAUUAUUUAUAUAUUAAACUACUAUUGUAGCUUAAAGUAGCAUUUUUAUCAACAUUUAAUUCCAGAUAAUGCGAGAUCAAAACAACGAAAGCCGAAGCAACCAUACCAUGCCUCUUUCCAUAUGUAUAUUUCUUAGCAAAAGAAAACAACCAUGGAUCUAGCAUUCUCUAGCCUAGAACCACCAAGAACUAGUCUCAAACCUCACUAGAAUCUCACAAAAACUCACUGGAGAACACUUAGAAGCUUUUUACUCUCUGCGAUAAGACAAAAGCGACUAAACACUCCAUAGUCGACUUCUUAUUCUUUACCUAGUCAAGCCCUAAGAUUAAACCAACCCUUAUAAUUGAUUUCGCAAAUUAAAACAAACCGGCUGAACUGAAAAAUGUUGGUGUCGAUCGACAUCCUUCCUUAGUGUCGAUCGACACCCUUCCUUAGUGUCGAUCGACACCACCCACCUUUUCCAAACACAGGUGUUACAAUUAGUAGUUUUAAUUUCUUAUUUUGAAGAGCGAAAACGCUAGGUAUUCAAGAAGGACAAUUUAAGAAUUUCCCAUGGAUUCUAUGGUAAAGCACGAAACGAUAAGCGUUUUAACGGUAAGGAUUUAUCUCUGAUAGACACUUAGUAACUUGCUACGACAAAAGAAACCAGCUGGAGAAUGGCCCAAAUCCUACAGGAAGUCAUGGAUACGGAACUAGAAGCCACGGUGGCCCCAUCUUAACCAGAACCGAUGAAUAUCGCAGAUCGCUGUCAAAUUGAUGCCUCAUGGCAUAGUGAUGAUCUUUAUUCAGGGUUGGGGUUUGUUCUUGAUGUAGACACGUUUGAUCUACUUGGACUAAAAGGUACUAUAAGAUUUCUAUCUCCCUUCCAUGCUGAAUUAGAAUCCCUCCUUUAGGAUAUGGAGGCAACACUAUCUCUGGGAUAUAUAUUUGUCGAUCUGGUUUGAGACAGAUUGUGCAGCUCUACGGAAAAUGUUGCAAGAAGAGGGAGAGUGGCUAAUUUUUACAUAUGAAUUAGAGCUUUUUAAGAUUCUUCAAUCACUUCUAGUGACUUUUCUAUAAAUUUUAUUGGGGAAAUGACAUAUUUCUCCACGAGAACUAAGACAUCGUACCAGAUAGAGGUGAAGGCACACGAGCUAAGCUUUCCCAAAACUUGUCUUGAUCAAAGGUUCCUCGGUGGUGAUGCGUUCCACGAACCUUCAGUGAUAAUGGUUGAAGCUCGGCUUGUCGAAAGGUUGAGCAUUGAAGAAGACCAUGAGUUGACCUCGUCUUGCUCCUCUUGAUGAUCCUUGAAGUCGUCUUGAAGUGUUGAGGCUGAAUCGUUGUCGUCGGGAUGAUCUCUUGUUGAAGACUUUGCUUGAACGGUUGAUCGAUGCGGCCGGCCGGAUGGUGCUCUCGGACAGACGGACGGCGGCCUCGAUGAAUCGAUGUCCGGGGACGCAUCAUUCCCUCCCUCUUAUUAAAGUUUUGACCUCAAAACUUAGCUUAGUAAAUGGAUCAAAAAGGAACCACAUCAGCAGCAUCAAGAAGGAAGCUACAAAACAAUAUACCGGGAUCGAAUGGAAAAAUUGAAGUUCUAAGUAAAAAGACUUGAACUUCCCCAGUGAAGCUGGUGGCAUUGGUAGCUUCUUUAAAAGCAUUGGAGGCUGGUUGAAACUCUCCAGGAUGCCACACAUAGGAUUGGAUCGCACCAAAGUUGCAAAAAAUUGUGGCGGAGACCCCAUUAGCGAAUUCGGCCUUGGUGCAUCGGGUGGGAAAGGUUGGUACUGCCUCGGCAACUCCCAGCUGGAGCAUAUACAUCACGAUGGCUGGUUGAAACAGAAUUGAAGUGAUAGGACCAUCAGUUGUCCUCUCGGGUUGGUGCAUACGCCUUACACGCCCAUAUGUCGAAUGAGGAAACACCUCUCGAUCAACUCUCAAAUGAGAUCGAUAACCACUAGAUCUGCCACGACGCAUGUCUCCAGAAUGCCUCAGUAUCGAGUGAAAACGAGAGCCCUUAGCCAAAAGAUCAACGAAUUCCAGAAUGGUCGACUGCUCCACUCCCGGUACGUCUCCGGGAAGCAUAUCUCGAUCGGCUCCAACAGAAACUGAUCCAGUAAGGAAAGUGUUUCGACCCAAAUCAUCUAAAGACAUAGUUUUCGAGUGACUUUCGAAUCCCAUAGUCAAUAGACGAGUAGAACUCAAACUGGUUGGCUUCUCCACUCGUUGCUCGUCUCCGGGUGGCUUGAUUCGAUCGUAUUCAACAGAAGCUGAUUCAUUGGACAUUCGGCUUCGACCAAAAUCAUUUAAACACAUGGUUAUCGAGUGAAUAUCAAAUAGCAUGGUCAACAGACUGGCAGAACUCAUUCUGGUCGGCUGCUCUACUCGUUGCGCAUCUCCUGGAUGAGUAUCUCGACCAACUUCAACAGAAACUGAUCCACUCAACAUUCUGCUUCGACCAGAAUCAUUUAAAUACAUGGUUUUCGAGUUAUUUUCGAAUCCCAUGGCCAAAUGAUCAGGAGAACUCAUUCUGGUCGAUGACUCCUCUUGGUGAACGUCGCCGGAUGCGCUAGCUUUGACUUCGGCUGGCUGGACUGGGCUGUCUUUGGUUCCUCCUGAACCAAUGACUUCUUCCGGACUGAUUUGUUGAUCCGGUGGUGAUCGGGGAUGACGACGAGUGAGAGUGGAUGCAGCGAAAUGAAAGGGGGAAUGAGAUGUACUUCCAAGAGUGAUGAAAGACUCUUCGACCACAAGCUUGGAUCCAACUUAGAUAUUACACACUAAGAAUAAAACAAGUUGAAAAGAUAUUACACACUUUUCGGAUCAAACAAGUAAAAGAGAGAGUUUUUGAUUAAAAUGUUUGAUGAGUUGCAAAACAGAGAUACAAGGAGUUUAUAUAGAAGAGGGAGGUUGAAGGAGAAGAGAGAAGAGAAGAAAAUCAUGUAAGAGCAGGCACAAAUAUCUUGUAAAUUACACUCAUGCAAGUCAUGCAAAAUGUCUUGGAAAUUACAAAAAGAACUAGAUUCGGACCCGUGCUACAGCGCGGGGGAAAUAAUUACAUAUAUGUAACUUUUAACGGAUUAAAAUAUGUUACAUUUUAAUUUUAUUGCAGUGCAAUUGAUUACGGUAAUCAUAUAUUUGUAUAAUAAGUUUAAAUAAAUUAAUAAAGGAAAAAGCGAGUAAAUAAUCAUAUAUUAUGUUUUGAUACAACUAAAAACACGGUGAAAAUUUAACAGAACGAAAUAAUAUUUGUCGAUAAAUUAUUCAUUUUGACCAUUUUUGUAGUAUAAGUAGGAAUAUACGUAAAACUUACAUAUUUACAAUAUAUUUUUUGAAGGACUAACCCGUAACAUAAUUCAUUUUCUAAAAAACAUUAUUCAUAACUCGUUUUAGCAUUAUAAUUUUGAUUUUAAAAAACUACCCGUGAACUAUCUAAAAUUUACAUAGUUUGAUAUAUAAUAUAUUUUAUCAAUAAAAAUUAUGUCUCCAAAAAAAUAUUUUCAAUAUUUUAAAUUUUAAAUUUUUUUAUAAAUAUUGGAACCUUUUAAUUAUAAUAUUUUGAAAGUUUCUAAAAUUUUAAUUUUAAAUAUGCUCAUGUAACAGUGGUUUUAAUAUUGGUUAUACUUAUACUUAUAAUGAUUUUAAACCAUCUUCUAAGACAUUUAACGGAGUGUGGUAGAGUAUUAUAUGUUUGUUUUGAAAAAUUCAAAUUGCAACAUAUGGAAAAAAAGUUAAAUUUUUAUUAAAUAUUUAUAUUAUAUAGUAUAAUAUCAUAAAUUAAAAAUAAGAUCAAAUAAAAGUGAAAGAAGAAAAAUAAAUUUUUAAUAGAUUAUAUUAAAUUAGUUAGAGAAAUAUUAGGAAAUCAUAAAAUUAGUUAUGGAAAUAAUACAAUCCUUAAAUUAGAUAUGGAAAGUAUCCGAUGUAUGUAUCCAAACCCAAUUUAAUAACCAUUUUUGAAGUAUCCAAUUGUUAAAAUCGGAUUAAUUUUUUUAUUUUGACCCGACCUGUAUUCUAUUUCGUACUUCUCUUUUACUAAUAUAGGGAUAAAUGCAAAGUUUAAAGAGAAAUGAGAAAAUGGGCCAAGGCAUUGUGAGUGGGCCUUCGACCAUGAAUUGGGAUGAUAAAGGGAGGCUUGAAAGUGUUACUUAUGCCUCAUUAAAAACCUUGUCAAGAAAACCCAUUGGGACAAAGAGUGCAUAAGCAACACUUACCCUUUUAUCGAACCUCUUGAGCCGUGAUCGCUAUUAAGGAGGAUUGAGCAACAUCUACUUGAAUCUUGUUUAGCUCCUUGAGUAGACAAUUGAUGGCUUGGUUGAACUUCUUGAUCCGUGAUCGCUAUUAAGGAGGAUUGAGCAACAUCUACUUGAAUCUUGUUUAGCUCCUUGAGUAGACAAUUGAUGGCUUAGUUGAACUUCUUGAUACGUGAUCGCUAUUAAAGAGGAUUGAGCAACAUCUACUUGAAUCUUGUUUACCUCCUAGCGUAGAAAAUUGAUGGCUUGGUUGAACUUCUUGGAUCUUGAUCAUGUUAGAGGACCCGCCAGAACAGUCAAUGCUUCCUCCAGUACAAGCUGCUCCUCGGCUACAAGCUGCUCCUUGUCGGCGUGUGGUCUGGUUCGAUUAGUCAUGAUCUCAUCAUCCUCUCCCACUUGAAAAGGAUUUGUCCUCAAAUCCGAAUUAUGUGCAAAAUAAGGUUGAAGAUCAGAAACGUUGAAGCUACCAUUCACAUUACACUUACCUUGGAGAUCGAGGUUUUAGGCGUUGUUGUUGAUCCAUUUGAGCACUUUGAAUGGUCCAUUGAUUCUUGGCAUUAGAUGGGAUGAAGCCACACUUAAUCGCCUUUCUUGAAGAUGACUUCUUUUCGGCCUUUGCUUGCGUACUUCUUGUAAAGCUUUGUCCGGGCUUCAAGAUUCUCCUUAGUAUUCUUGUGAACCUGCUGCACUAAAUAAGCUUUCUUCUUGCCAUCAACACUUGAUUUUUCACUCAAAGGUAAAUGCAUUAGAUCCAAAGGAGAUGUGGGAUUAAACCCAUAAACGAUUUCAAAAGGAGAAAACUUAGUCGCAUAAUGCUUCGAAUGAUUAUAAGAAAAUUAAACAUGCGGCAAGCAAUCUUCCCAAGUAUUAAGGUUAUUUUUAAUGAGCACACACAAUAAAGUAGACAAGGGUCGAUUAACAACUACAGUUUGACCAUCGGUUUGCGGAUGACAUGUAGUAGAGAAAAACAAUUUAGUUCCUAACUUCAACCACAAAGUUUUCCAAAAAUAACUAAAGAACUUAGUAUCACGAUCAGAAACUAUGGUCUUAGGAAUGCCAUGCAAACGAACAACUUCUCUAAAGAACAAGCUAGCAAUAUGAGAUGCAUCAUCGGUUUUAUGACAUGGAAUAAAAUGCGCCAUUUUAGAAAAACGAUCAACAACUACAAAAAUAUAAUCCUUACCAGCCCUAGUCCUAGGAAAUCCUACCACAAAAUCCAUAGAUAUAUCAUUCCAAGGAUGCAAAGGAAUAGGUAACAUGAUAUAUAAACCGUGGGGUUGAACCUUAGCCUUAGCUUGUUUACAAGUCGCACACCGUUCAAAUAGUCGCUCGACAUCUCUUUUCAUGUGCGGCCAGUGGAAGUGUUCUUGCAUCACCUUGUAUGUCUUGGCAACUCCAAAAUUUCCCAUUAAGCCACCUCCAUGAGCUUCCCUUAGAAACAAUUCUCGCAAAGAAGAGUGAGGCACACAAAUUCUAUUCUCAAAGAACAAAUAUCCAUCAUGCCGAUAAUAUUUUCCAAAGGCAAACUUCUCACAAGUUUGAAAUAUUUUGCCAAAGUCAGAAUCAUUAGCAUACAAGUCUUUUAUUUGCUCAAAACCCAACAAUCUUGCAUCCAAAGAAGUAAGCAGAACAUACCUCUCAGAUAAUGCGUCGGCUACAAUAUUAUCUUUACCUUUUUUGUACUUAAUCACGUAUGGAAAGGUUUCUAUGAAUUCGACCCACCGUGAAUGACGUUUGUUGAGCUUUUGUUGACCUUCUAUGUGCUUGAGAGACUCAUGGUCGGUAUGAAUGACAAACUCUUUCGGCCAUAGAUAGUGUUGUCACGUAUGUAGUGCUCGGACCAACGCGUAUAGCUCCUUGUCGUAAGUCGGUUAGUUGAGUGUCGCUCCUCAUAGUUUCUCACUAAAGUAUGCUAUGAGCUUAUGAUCCUGCAUCAAAACAGCUUUAAUACAUAUACAGGAGGCAUCCCACUCAAUCUCAAAAGUUUUCAUAAAAUUAAGAAGAAUUAAAACGGGAGAAUUAGUGAGCUUCUCUUUCAAGGCUUGGAAUGCAUUUUCUCGUGCAUCUUCCCACUUAAAUCCAACAUCCUUCUUGAUAACUUUCGUAAGCGGGGCGGCAAUGGUGCCGAAAUAUUUAACAAAUCAUCGGUAAAAUCCCGCUUGAUAACUUGCAUUAUAGAUUUUGUGCAUAAACAGGUGUUUACCCAAGGGAAAAGAAGCAAAUGAGGACAAAUCGACCAAGUGUAGCUGUUGCAUGCGAUCGAGCAGGAGGAUCCGAGCAAUGGAAUCCAUCGAGUGUUUGAGUGGACUAGAGAAGCAGCUCGACCAACCAUCCGAUCAAGUCAUCCGAACAAACUGAUCGAGUGCACGACCGAGCAGACCGAUCGAGCACAAUUAAACCAACUUUCUAUGUUGUUUGCUAGUGUUUUAGGGCUACUUAAACUUGCUAUAAAAUGACUCUUUGCUUAAUGACUGAUUAUCUCGAGUUGUAUUAGGGUUUUUCUUCAAUUUGCUUUAGAAUUUCCAAAAUCUUGUAAACUUCAUAUCUUUUCAUCUAUUGAGUAUUUUCUGUUGCUUCUUUGUAUUAUUUCGCUUCUCUCUCUUAGAUCUAUCUAGUUUUGCAUGAUUUAGAGAUUUUUGGGCUUGAUUUCUAGAGCAUGAUUCUUAAGGUUUUGGGGAUGAGCUAGAUUUGUAGGUGGAGAACUUUAGAUAGCUAGGUUGCCCAAGUGGUGAUUAACUUUUAGGCUUCCACGCCAGAGAGUUAUUCGAUGGAAUGCCGGAUAAUCUAAUACCAGAAAACUUCAUGUCUAGCCCAAGAUAUUGGUUGUCUAGAGUGUUAUUUGACAUUAAGGAGUUGAGUCUUAAUGCCUGUUCAUUUCAUGUUUCAUCAACCAGAAGUUUAGAUUAGGAAUUGAUUUGAAUUUGAUAGCCUUUGUCAAGAGAUUGAAUUGGUUAGCUUAUGAGCUUGUUGUCUAGGAAACAACAUUGUUUGUGUUUGAUUGAUUUAGCAACCUAGUGAACAUAAAGAUCUCCACUGAAGUCACCAUCUCAUCCCUAGGACCUCCCUUUAAUUGAUUGAUUUACCUUGCUUCAAUUCUGUUCUUGCAUUCUAGUUCACUGCAUGUUAUGAUUUCUAUAGUUUCAUUUCUGUUUUAGGUCAAUGUUGUGUCUUGCUCAGUUCCUGCUUGUUUUAAAUUCCAUAGUUGAUAGUUUAAAACCUGAUAUUAUGGAUCGAUAAACCCUUUAUAUUCCAAUUAUACUGAGUGAUUGAUACCAUUAGCAGUAAAAAUUUAGUAUCAAUUUGGCGCCGCAACCAUUUGGACGUUUAAGUAAUCGACCAAAGCACUCGACUGAUCCGAUCGAUUUCACUGAUCGAGCUUCUGUUCGAUUCCGUGUUUGCACACAAGGUCUAAAGGUAGUAAGAAUCUUCUCGAAUAUCUCGACAACAAUGACAGACUUCCUAAAGCUUUGAGAGAGCAGAGAGAUCAGUUAAAAAAGAAAACAACAGUCGUUGACAUGGAACCUCAUCAUAAUACGAAUCAAAGGCGUACAACACACAUAGGUGCAGGAGAUGCUCUUAAUAGCAAUAUCCAAAGGUCCGAGAUAGUACCACCAGCGGUUCAGAAUAAUAAUUUUGAAAUCAAGAAGACGGAUUCAAGCUUCAGCUCUUUCCUUUCUCACUUCGAGACAAGGCUCACCAAUGGGAAAAGGGUUUGCCUGCUGGUUCUAUGACCACUUAGGAGGAGUGUAAAUGUGCUUCCCCGUCCAUGUUCUUUUCCAACUCCCGCACCGCCCGUCUUAGGAAUCAAAUCUCAUUCUUCGCCCAGAAGAACAGCGAGACGUUGUGUGAAGCAUGGGAACGGUUCAAGGGAUACCAAUCUCAAUGCCCACACCAUGGGUUCACUAAGGAGUCCCUUCUCAGCACACUAUAUAGGGGCGUGUUUCCUAAGAUCCGCAUGUUGUUCGACACCGCAAGUCAUAGAAACUUCUUAAACACAUAUGUGGAUGAUGGAUGGGAGCAUGUUGAGAACCUUACCCAAUCUGAUGGGAAUUACAAUGAGGAGUAUGAUAGAACAAAUAGGGGAAGCUCAGACCAUGAAGAGAAGUAUAAGAAGGACUUCAAGUCUUUGAAUGAUAAGACUGAUAGGAUACUUAUGGCACAACAGAAGACUGUUCACUUCAUCUCCAAAGAAGAGUAAUUCCAACAAGAAGGGGAAGGUGAUGGUACAGAGGAAGUUAGUCACUUGAAUCAAGGAGGAUUUCAAAAGGAUUUCUCAAAGUACAAGGUGAACCCAAAACUAUCUUACAGAAGUACAAAUGUAGCAAAUCCUCAAGACCAAGUCUACAAGCAACAACAACAACAAGCUCAGAACAAGCCUUUUGUUCCCUUCAAUCAACAACAAGGAUUUGUCUCCAAGCAACAAUUCCAGCAAGUUUAUUCCGCACCUCCACCGGGUUUUCAACCGUAGCAAAUGGCAUCACCACAGGAUAUUGCCUUGAAGAAGCUAGCUGCAAUUCAGAGCCAAAUGACAUUGUAUUACAAUGACCUUAACCUGAAGUGUGAUGCCAUAAGAACAUGUGUCACAUCUUUAGACGGACGAGUAACCUCCACAUGUUCUGGUCAGCUACCAGGAAAGUCUAUUGUCAACCCCAAAGAGUUUGCUUCUGCCCAAGCCAUUACUUUGAAGUUCCCAAAGUACAGUGAAGAUCAAGUUAGGGGGGGGGGGGGGAAUUUGAAACGAAUCAACCAGGCUACUAGACCAAGCAAUCGACUAGCCAAUCGAGUGCUCAAUCGAGUGCUUUCCAACACUCCCCAAACGGUUGCAUCUCAGGUUAAGGCCCCAAUUUUCUGUGAACCACUUCCAUUUCCAGGAAGAUUCAAUGCGGAGAUGAAGGAAGAAUACAACAAGAUCCUUGACUCUCUAACUGGGCAUGAACAGGUAGCUGCUCUAGUUAAAGCCUUUCCUCAUGUUCUAACCUCCAAGGCUAUUCUAAAAGAGGUUCUACUCGAGAGGAUUCAUAAGAAGAGUACAGAGAAUGAGGGUUCUCAAGAGAUCACCACAGUCAACAUACUACCCAAGCUUGAAGACCUAGGAGAUAAAUCUUAUCAAACAAGUGCCGAAUCCGAUCAAACAAGUGUUGAAUCCGAUCGAGCAUGCUGUGUGUUUGAACGGACGUGUGAGUUAGCUUCUGACGAACAUUUUUGUCCCAUCAGAGAUGCUAGUCCAAAACCUUCAUCUUGAAGACCAUUGCUUUUUGCAGAGGAGCACAAGGCUGAAAUCAAAGAAGAAUAUAACAUGAUCCUUGACUAUAUAACUGGGAAUGACCAGCUGAAGGCCUUGGUUGAUGCUUUUGCUUAUAUCCCCUCCUAUAGGGAAAUUCUUAAGGAAUUGUUGCUCGAGAGGAUGCUGCAGAAGAAGAAAUGGGAAUCAUCCACUCAAGAUCUUAGUUUUUCCAGAAAGAUAGGAGAUCCUGGAGCCUUCACAGUACCUUGUUCGAUCAGAUCGACAAUUUUCAACGAAUGCCUAAACGAUUCAGGAGCCUCAAUCAGCCUUAUGCCUCUUUCUACAGCGCAACGAAUGGGAUAUACGAUGUUUACGCCUUGUAACCUAACGGUUGUAAUGGCGGAUAGGAGUUCGAAGCAGCCCAUAGGAGUGCUAGAAGACCUUCUAGUAAAAGUUGGGAGAGUCAAAAUCCCUACUGAUUUCUUAAUAUUGGAAAUAAAGAGAGAGCCGCAAUAUCAUUUAAUCCUUGGAAAAUCUUUCCUAGUUUCAGCGGGUAUGGUAAUUGAUGUAGCAAAGGGAACCAUCAGCCUCGAUCUUGGAAGAGAAACGAGGAUAAAGAUCAACAUGGCAAAUCCAUAUCGAACUAUGGUGAUUGGAACAGAAGAAACUUUGUCCUCCUUUCCCACCUACACAGAACUCCAGGUUAUCAAAACUGUUAAGAAUGACUUGAUGAUACUUGCAACCUCUAUUCAAGAGAUGGAUAAGCAAGUUGUGGAGUUGAAAAGGAGUAAUCAGUUCCUAACUUCAAGGAAGGCUAAGAGGGUCUCAGUUUGAAAAAAGGAAUGUUAUGCGCAACAGGUCUCUUGGUCAUUGAUGUUGGAGAGAAUCACUGAGUCUCUCCACGGUUCUAUUCCAACUUGAGGAGCAUGCAAAGUCAAGCUCAGUGACAGUAAACAAGCUCACCUGGGAGGAAGUACCAGUGUUAUCCAAAUAGUUCUUCACUUUUAAUGUUAAUUUUUUUUUUUGUCUAUUUGUGUUUCAGGAAUUGGUUCAAGUAUGAAUACUGGUUCAAGAAGGUGGAAUUCGAUCUAAUAAAUGAUGUAGUCUGAUCGAGUGGGUAUUUGAGAGUCAUUAGGCCCUUAAAAGAACAAAUCUGGUCCACCAAAGCCUUGCACUUGAUCGACCUGGCCCGACCGUUUCCUGGCCCGUUUUCACUCGAGUUUGCCCCAUCUUCGAUGGUUGUAGAAUCAAUUGUAUGCUGACAUUAUUAAUUCUUAAUCAAUAAAGUUUUUCGUUGAAAAAAAAAACGUACAAAAUAAACUAAAAGUAUAUAUUUUGCUUCUUUAUUAUAGGAAUAUUACCCAAAACUAUUAGUAGUUAUAUGUAUGUAAUGAAUAAUUAGUUUUAUUUUUUUCCGAGAUGCGUGCAUGAUGUUCCCGAAGCCAUCAUGGUUAGGUCCAUUAGAAUGCAUCAUAUCUUCGAUAACAUGAUGACAGUACGACUUCAGUUCAAGUUUAGUUAUCUCCGGACAUGUAAACAAAUAUAUUUGAUUAGGAAAAUAAUGUUAAGUAUACAUUGGGUAUUUAUCCUUCAAUUAAGAUUUACACAGCAGACAAUAUAAUUUUACUAACCAGGAUUUGGACGGUCAAUCAUUAUUUGACACCGUAAAUCCCUGCUUCGAUAAGUCCAAGUUAUGCCCCAAACAUGUUGCGCGUCCAAACAGGUAAAAUAUUUCAUGUAUGGGACAAAUAAAUUCCGGAGAUCCCGCGGGAGGCAAUGACCGGAUUUCGAGACGAUAUUGAAGAUAUAUCAUGGUUCUUACGGGUUUUUGACCAUGAUAUAAGUCUUAUUUAUAAAUCUUUUAUAGGGUUUUCGAGUUUUUCUGAGUCAGUUCAGGGUUAGAAGCUAUUUGGCAUGUAUUGGAGCUUUUUGGAGCAUUUGGGAGCAUUUGGAGAAGAUGAGCCGAAAGAAGAUAUUGGGAGAGCAUAUUUGGAGUCAGUGUCGAUCGACACAACACCUGCUGUCGAUCGACACCAAUAUCUGACGGCAAUUGAAUUUCGAAUUUAAUUGAAGUUCAGAAGAUUUGCAUAUUCGGCGCAAAAGUUUUCCUUAUUUGCAAUAAAGCACAGUUCGUGGUGUAGACAUAUAUAUUGAGUUUUUAGGGUUUUGUUAAGACUUAAGAUUUAUUUUGGAGAGAGAGAUUUGUAGAGAGCUAUGAGAGAAGAAUCAAAACCUCUUUCAGAGAAGAUUCAAAAGUCCUUUAUUUCUUCUAUUGAGUUCUUUAAUGAUAUCUAUUUUAUUCAUGAUGUUUGUUUCAUUCACCAUGUCUGAGUAGAUUUCUUGUUAGGUUUAGGGUUUUCAAAGGAAUUCAUGAAUUGUUAGAUUGUUAGGAUGGAAUCAAUAGAGUUCUUCAUCUAGAUUUUGGUUAAUUUGUUCUACAGUAGUGAAAGCAACCUAAAAUUUGAUUCUUAGGUUAACUAGUAGACACGAAAGUGUUAUUAAUUUCCUGAAAAUAAUCUAGAUGAGCAAAAUACCUAUUCGCAAAGAGAUUUGAUUUAGGGAUUUUGUGAACUUAUCAAACCUGAAUUUAAUGCAUGUCUUAAACUUAUAAUUUGCAAAUAGAUUUGGAAUUUAGGGUUCUAGACGUAGAUAGUCUUUGCAACGAAACUUGAUUGAUUAUAUUUUUGUGAUUUGAGUUCAAGAACGGUGCUUUAUAAAUCCUAACAAUUAUUUAUUUGCAAUUCUGAAUUAUCUGAGCAUAUCCCUAGGCCUAGCGUUUCCUCAUUAUUGUUUUAAAACCAAUCUUUAUUUUAAUUUGCCGUUUGCUUAGCUUAAUUUUAAUACCGAUUAUUUAUUGUGUAAUAUUUGAGUCUCUGUAUAUUCGUUCACUAAGUAAUACAGUGAUCUUUUAAUUGAGAGAGUAUCUCAGGGCAAAUUUGAGCCGUGGACAUAGUCUCAAGGAAAUAUGAUUUUUCUCGACUCAAAUGACAUGUUGAUUUACAUACCUUAACACCAGCUGCCACAUAACGCUUUUAUAUACAAGAAAAUAUAGCAAUACCAACUAUAAAAAGUAGAAGAAAAGAUAGCAAUACCAAUUAUAAUCAGUAUAUUUCAAAUUUAAUAAAAAAAUAUUUACAGUCUUACCACAUUAUUAAAGAUUUUUCAACGUAAAUUCCGUAGGUCCCUAUUUAAAAUAACACGAAGUGUUAAGAAAUAGAAAUCUAUAGAUAUUAAAAUAUUAAAUUCGUACAAAUAUAUACCUUCUCGCUAUACAAACCAGAUGAUAAUAAAUUCGCCUCAUGCAGUCAAAACAAAACUUAAUGUUAUCACCUACCUUUUAUUUAUUGUCAUAUACGUAAAGAGUUGGUAAUGACGACAAAAUUUAAUUAAUACCAACCUUUUCAUAAAACUCCAUCAAAUAUUCUCCGUGCGAACCUCUCUUAUGACCGUCGGGAAGAUAUUAGAUCAUUUAAAAGUUAGCGAGUAAGGUACAAUUACUAAUAGAAGAGAAUUUAGUAAGGAUUAAUUGUUUACACAAUCAUAUAGAGUCUCCAAAUUAAAGCUAGCGUCUUCCGAUCCCGAUAUUAUAAAAUUUUCCCUAUGUUCGUGGAUAAAAGGAACCAAUAACAUACCGUGUUUUAUAAAUGUUAGUGUAGAGAUCAUAGUUUUAGAACAUAACUCUAGAAUUCUUGUCUCUAAAUAUACAUGUUGAAAGGAUAUAAUUUUGUAUUCUAUAUCCCUGCGCGUCCUAUGUUUGCGUAGAGGUUUAAAUGAAUUGAUUUGGCCACCUAUGUCAACAAAGUCUACUUAUCUUUUUGGUAAAAGAUCCUUAGAGAACUCUACAGUUAAGCGUGCUUAUGCUCGAGUAGUCUCCGGAUAGGUGAACUUCCGGGAAGUGGUUGUAGGAACGGUGUGAGUGAGGAAAAAACACCAGGAAAGAUCAGGUGCUGGUUUGUAGGGUCGGUAAACAAGUUCUCAAGCCUCCCAGACGUAACAAACCGACCGCCGAAUUUGGGUGGGCACAUGUGCCCAUUAAGAGAGGUGAGCCUAUGGGCUAAGAAUGAACAUAGUUCGCACUAGAGAGGUGACGGUCGGGGCGUUACAUAUGAUCAUGAAUUUUUCUUGAAAAUAGUGAAAGUUACUGAAAUUUUAAAACGUAUAAUUAGUAAUAUAUAAGGAUGGAUGGAAAGUAAAAGUUAAAAAGUAGAGAACAUUACAGUAAGUAAAAAGUAUUUUGAAGUUGUAUGACACAUAUUAUAUGUUACACGUUCUAUGAAACAUCGCCCUACAACGUACUAAAAUAUCUAUAAUCACAAUCUCCAGAAAUCUAAAAAGUAGAAGACAUUAAGACUUACGUAAGCCGAGCAAUAUUUUGAGUUUGUAUGAAAAAUAUCUCAUGUCAAAUAUCAAAUAUUUAUAAGAAAAUAUGAGGCAGUUAUAAUCUAGGGUUUACCUUGACAGCGUUGCAAAAUUAUGUAUGGUUCUAAUUAGGGUGCCAAUUAGGUAAUCUUUUAUAAAUUUUCAAGCAGAAGGCAUAUUAAAGUGGACUCUUUUUUUUUUUUUUUUUUGUCAUAGAGUUUUUAAGCACUAAAUACAAUACAGCCAUAAGCUAAUAUUACAAAUAGACUAAAUUUUGUAACCGAAUCAUCCGCUUCGGUUAGCUGCUUAGAUCGACAAAGAGGACAACUAAGUGGACCUUAUUAUUAACAUAUAAAUAACUCAAUAAACUUUAUGGACCCGUUUUAUUUGGUUGGAAAUAGUCAUAUCAAUCUGAAAUAGUAAUCCAACGUAAUGAAUGUUAUUGACCCAACUUUAAAGCCCAACAACUUUGACCCGUUUAGUGGAUCUGACGACCCGACUGUUGUAUUUAGUAGAGGGUAUAAUGGUCUUUUCUAGGCCAACGAUGCCCUCAUAGGCCUCCAAACCGGGUAAAGUGCUUGUCAAAUAAUAUAUAUACUAGGUUUGGACCCGCGUCACAGUGCGCAGAAAAUAAUUACUUAUCUAUAAUAUUUAACGGAUUUUUUAAAAUAAUUUAUUUAAUCUUUUACCCAAAAAAAAAUUUAACGGAUUAAAUUAUAUUACAUUUUAAUUUUAUUAGUGCAGUCGAUUACAGUAAAUCAUAUAUUUGUAUAAUAAGUUUAAAUAAAAUAAUAAAGAAAAAGCGAGUAAAUAAUAAUAUAUUGAGUUUUGAUACAAUUAAAAAAAGGGUGAACAUUUAACAGCACGAAAGAAUAUUUAUCGAUAAAUUGUUCAAUUUGACCAUUUUUGGAAUAGAAGUAGGAAUAGACGUUAAAAUUACACACUUACAAUAUAUUUUUGGAAGAACCAACCCGUAACAGAAUUCAUAUCGUAAAAAAAUAUUAUUCAUAACUCGGUUUACCAUUACAAUUGUGAUUUUAACAAACUACCCGUGGACUAUUUAAAAUUUACGUAGUUUGAUAUAUAAUAUUUUAUCAAUAAAAAUCAUGUCUCCAAAUUUACAUCUAUGUCUUUAAACAAAUAUUUUAAAUAUGCUUAUGUAACAAUGGUUUUAAUAUUGGUCAUACUUAUAAUGAUUUUAAAUCAUUGUCCAAAAUAUUUAACCGAGUGUAAUUGAGUAUUAUAUGUCCGUUUUGAAAAAUUUAAAUUGCAGCAUAUGCAAAAAAAGUUAAAAAUUUUUGAAACAUUUUUAUUAUUUAGUAUAAUAUCAGAAAUUAAAAAAAAGAUCAAAUAAAAGUGAAAGAAGAAUAAUAAUUUUUUUAAUAUAUUAUAUUAAAUUAGUUAGAUAAAUAUUAGGAAAUCCUAAAAUUAGUUAUGGAAAUAAUAUAAUACUAAAAUUAAAUAUGGAAAGUAUCCGAUGUAUGUAUCCAAACCCAUUUUAAUAUCCAAUUUUAAAGUAUCCAAUUGUUAAAAUCGGGUUAUUUUUUUAAUCUUGACCCGACACGCAUUCUAUUUUGUACUUCUCUUUUACUAAUAUAGAGAUACAAUUUUAUAAAAACAACUAAUGUAGUUGUAGUUGUGUGCGAUUUACAACCGAAUAAAAAAUAUUCAACUUCCAAAAAUAACUAAAACUCUAUAAAUUUACUUCCACAAUCAAACAUUUUUUUUGUGAGCUCCAAACCAAGUGGUUCAACCGGUUUACCUGGUCACGGGUUAAUUGCAAGUUGUUAUGAGGUUUUCCGGGUUUUAGAUUGUCGAUUUUUAGUAUUUAACCCAAACUGGAGAAGUUUCAAGUUCAUGGGUUAACCGGUCGGACAGACUGGCUCAAUCUAGGCAUGAAAACAUUGGAAAAUAGCAUGCGCCAUAGCGCAGUAUUUAAGUAAAGUUAACUAUCCAAAUGAUUUCCUUCUUAGUUGAUCUCAAAGACAAUGAACUACAGCGGAAUCGAAAGAACCUAGCGAGACAUGUUGACCAUAUUAUCAACGCCUCCUAGUCCUACGACAAGAAUGGGGUUGGUUGAGAGGAGCUCCACACUUGUAGCAAAAAGGCAACCCACAUCUGCAAAAAGUGUCUAAAGAUAUAACUGUUUUGUUUAUUUCAAGUUUUUUUUUUUUGUAUUGCAAACAAGAACAAAGAAAGAUACCUGCAUAUCACGGUUGAGCAACCCCUAGUCUUUUGAACGUAGAAUUUGCAAUUAGGACAUCUUUUCCACUUCUUACUCUCAGCCAUCUUCUUCAACAAAAUAUCAUCUCUUUCUCUUUCGUUCUCGCCUAACUUCUGAAACUCCUCACAUGUUAUCUCCGCAUGCCACUUAGUCCCACACUCUACACAUACCAUUCUAUGGCAGUGAGGGCACUCUGAUUCUUUUAUCUUCUCAUCCAUGUAGACCAAAGCAGAACAAUCUUUAUACGGACAGUAGAAUCUAGUCGAACCGGCAGUUAUCACCGCUUCGCAGAGAGCGUCGCCCCAACGAUCAAAGACCUCUCCCGGCAAGAUUAAACGGCAUUGGUCAGGCUCGAGCUGCCCGGGGCAACCAGAAACAGGGCAUUUGAUUGAGAGGAUGUUGUCUUGUAACCUAGCAGCUAUAUACUUUGAGACACAAUCAUUACAGUAGGAGUGAGAGCAUUCAUUGAUUCGAAAAGAUUCAAUCUUUGGUUUGCGUUCAACACAUAUCUCGCAAUCAAAGGUUCGUCUAGUGGAUGAGGACGACGAGGACUGUCCCUUUCCCAUAGAGGUUGGUGUGAAACAGAGGAUCUUGAGAUCGUCAUCUUCAUCAAGAUCAACGUAGUUUGAGAAGUCUGAUUUGACUAGGGUUUGUUGUGAAGAACCAAGCCGGGGAUAAAGGUGGCGUUCACGGUCGUAGUCCUCGAUGGAGAUGGCGUCAAGUUUUGUUGAACCACGAGCAGAGAGAGGUGUGGAGAAGAUGGAUUUGUUGUCUCUGUCGCCAUUGACGGUGGCUGCAUUGAUCGACUGUGUGGUCAUUUGGUUUAACCACGAGCAGAGGUGUGGAGAAGAUUAGGGUUUUAUGUUUCUCUUGCUUGCGUUGUUAAAUUUGAAUUUUGGUUUUUUUUUUUUGUCAUGUUAAAUUUGGUUAUAAUUAUUUAAUGGUUACUUUAUAUAUUUUUACUUGCCUUUAUAAUAUGAUGGUAUAUUUAAAUAAUAUUUACUUUACAAUAUGAAGUAUUUGUAAUUAUAUACAGUAGUUCAAAUAUAUAAAGUAAAUUAUUAUUUUUUCUGAUUAAACUAACCUACAUAUAAUUAAACUAAUUGUAGUCAUGAACCUAUAAAUAAUUAAAUUAUUUUUUUAUUUAAUUAACGGAAAUGAGUAAUCUAUAUUAAUAUUUUUGCAGCAGUUUUGUAAAAAACCUUGGAGUUGAAACUUAUUUACAAGCCAUUGCCACUCACAUUACUUGAAUUUCUCCCUAAUUUUAGAAGAAAAAAAAAUUAAGUUACACAUCAAUAAACAAUUAAUUCAGAAAAAUCCCUAAAUUCAUUCUCCUCAAAUCUAUCUAAUUUAAUCUAUUAACAAAAACAUUUUAAAAAACUUUUAACCCUCAAUUUUAAACAUAUAUAUAUAUAUAUAUAUAUAUUAAAUAUAUAGAUAAUACAUAAAUAUUAGGGGGAUUUGCACAACUAACAUUUUUAUGAUACCCUUUUUUACAAGUAUCCUCUCUAGGUGUCCAUUUUCAAAAAUACCAUUUUCAAUGUACAAAAUGACUAAAUUACCUUUUUUAUUAUAGCUCAUGAUGAAGAAAGGAAUAUUCUUACCAACAAAAAGAAUAUUGCUUCCAACAAAAAGAACUGCAGAUCAAUUGGUGACAACUUGUCAAGUGGGAAGUUUGUUAAAGGGUGAGGACCUGGGUUCGAGAAACGCUAGGCGCACCAAUAACCUACCUGGUGGGCCAGCAGGCUGCGAGCAGUGGGCUGUGCAGUUUGGGCCCGCAGGAGAGAGGUUAGGGUCGAUGCGCUGCAGCGUUAUAUCUACCAUGUGGUGGGCUGUGCCAUGUGGUAGGGGUUCCCACGGGAUGGGUUGUUACAGGGAAAAAGGUGGCGAUCACGGUCGUAAUCCUUGACGGAAAUGGCGUCAAGUUUGGUUGAACCACGAGAAGAGAGAGGUAUGGAGAAGAUAUAGAUGGUGUCUCCGUCGCCAUUGAUGGACUGUGUUGUCAUUGAAGGAUAAGAUUAGGGUUUUGUGUUUCUCUUGCUUGCGUUGUUGGGUUGGUUUCUGAAGCGUCUCAUUUUUGGUGUUAAAACUUAAACAUAGGGUUGUGUCUACAGAAUAGUUGUCCAAAAAUUAAAUAACUACUAUAAUUUUACAAUUUUUUUUUGGUGAAGCACUAUAAUUUUAAAAUUUAAUGCCUAUGGGUAGUCAUAUAUUCUCUUAAGAUUUUUUGAUAUACUACCAGUCUCCAGUCAGUCUUCCCCUAUUUUCUUUCCAUUUUCCGUUUUCAAUUUUUUUUCAAUUUUUUAUUAUGAUAUUUUCUGCAUAAAGAAAUAUAUAUUCUUUAUAUAUUUAUUAGAUUAUAGGGCUGAUUAGUUACGGUUGUACAUUUAAAUAAUCGUGCGACUACACUCGCGACUUACUUUCAAAAACCGUGUUCUGUAUUUUUUUUUUUUGUUUUUUUUGAUACCUUGUAAUUAUGAAUAUAUUCAGGGGCAUAAAUGUAAAUUAAAUCAUCUAAACUGAAGAAGAAGAUAAAGAGUGAGAUCCAUAAAGCUUUAACGAUGGCAUUUCGAAAUCGUGCGACUGUUUCUUGUUUGAAAUCGUGCCACUUUCUCCAGCGAUUUUAAAUCCAUCAAUCUUUAAUCGCAUCGAUUGAAAACUUUAAAAUAAAGUAGAGAUGAAUGAGAUUUAAAGACAAUUCAGUUACAGAAUAAUCAGUUGCAGGUAAGAAUCUCACGAUUCUUAAAAGAACACGGCCUUAAAGACAGAUUGUUUUGGAUCCGGGUAUGAUCUAUUCGGAUCUUGAAUAAGAUAUUAAUAUCUGGUGUGAUGACAUGUGAAGUUUAAUUUAUUAGCUGGUAUAUUUUCCUGGAAAAAAUAAAUAAAUCAAAAGAUAAUAGCUAACCACAAUUUAUGGAAAAUUAUUUAAAUUUGUUACUAUAAAAUCCAGUCUAUUAAAUUCAAAAUUAUAUACAAUAAACAGAUUUUAGAUACUUUUAAUAUAUCUUUACCUAGUUUAAACAAAUAUAUUUCAAAAAAUUACUAUUAUACAUUCACUUUUAUUUAAUUUUAUUUCUAUUAUUUUAUUAUAUAAUACAUAUGUUGCAAUUAGAUCUUUUUGAUGGACAUAUAUUACUAAAUUGAUAAAAAGGUAUAUUCACUUUUUAAAUAUCUUGAUGAUAUCUUUUGCAAAUGUCAAGCGGUCAACACCAUAGACAUAAAUUCUGGUACACCGGUCAACUGAUUCUGGCGUUGACCGGUGUUGACUCCGGCGUUGACCGUUUUUGACCAAAACAAUAUUCAAAUUUUUUUUUUAUAAUUUUAUUUAUACUAUUAAAAAACUAAAAAACUAUAAUUUUUUGAACUUUUUUAGUAUACAAAACUAUAAAAAAUUUCAAAAUAUGAUAUUAUUAAAAAAUAUAAUUUUAGGAAGAAAAUGACGACGGUGAUUUUGUAUUUAAUUCAAGAUAUUAAAAUCUAAAUUAAAACUAGAAAAAUUCAUGAUACUAAAAUCUAAAUUAAAACUAGAAAAAUUCAAGAUACUAAAAUCUUAAUUAAAACUAAAAAAAUUCUGUGAAUUAGUAAGGGAAGUACUUAUUUUUAUAUUGUUAAUAAAAAAACAUUAACUUAUUAUUUGAUUUUAUUUAAAUACAAAAUCAGCAUAGAAAAUUCCUAAGAUUAUAUAUUUUUCUUUAUAUAAAACCAUAAACAAAUUAAUAAAAAACUGUUGAUUUUUUUAUAUAUAUAUUCAAUAUAUAAACACUAAUUUUGUUUAUAUAGUUAAUGUAUCCAUUCUUAUUAUAAUUAGUUAUUUUUAAACUAUAGAGCUAAUUAAUAGUAAAAUAAUUAUAAUCUAAACUAAAACUGGAAAAAUCUUAUGAAUUAGUAAGGGAAUUGCUUAUUUUCACAUUGUCAAUCAAAACCAUUAACUUAUUAUGUGAUUUACUUAAAUACAAAAAAUCAUUGUUACAAUUUUCUUCCUAAAAUUGUAUUUUUUUUGAAGUAUACAAAACCUUAAAAAUUCAUUAUAAAAUAAUUAUAGUUUUUAGUUUUUUUAACAGUAUAAAUAAAAUUAGGGGAAGUUUCAAAAAUACCCCUUUUCCAAUAACACUUUUAAAAAAUACCCCUCUUUCUAAUUUUAUCAUAAAGUCACUAUAAAAUUUGAAAUUUAUCAAAACAAUAUGUGUAAACUUAUAUUUAUAGACACAAAUUAUCUUUAUAUGUGUGUAAAUUUAUAUAUAUAUUUCAUAAAUACCGUAUAAAUACCGUUUUAAAAACAUAUAAAAACCUUAUAAAAACUUUGUAAACCUUUUAAAAACCUUAUAAAAACCAUAUAAAUGCCGUUUAGAACUUUUUAAAACCUUCGAAAUAUUUGGAUUUAGUCUCCCAAUAGUAAUGAUGAUUUUGAUAUACCUUAUCAACCAUAUAAGAGUUUAUAAUUUUUCAUAUUUGAAAAGGGGUAUUUUUGAAAAUGUAUAGAAAAGAGGGGUAUUUUUAAAAAGGGGUACACCAAAAAGGGUAUUUCUCAAAAAUGCUCAUAAAAUUAUAUAUUUAAAAAGGGAAAAAAGUUUAAAAUACUUUAUCUAUUUUUUAUUUGGACGUUUAAUACUUGAUCUUUUUUUGUUGGAAAAAUAAUACCUAAAAUAAUAAAAAAGUACAAUUUAAUACUUAAAAUAUGAAAUAUUGUCAUUUUCAUACCUACGAUCUCUCAACAAAAAAAAUAUUACAAUUUUACCCUUAUUAAUUUCUAUUUAUUAUUAGUGCAUAAAUGACAUUAAAUUAAGUAUAAUUUUAUUUGAAGAAAAAUAUUUGUUAGUAAUAUUUCAAUAUAUCAUUAAUUUAUAUAUUUAAUUCAAAAUAUAAUUUCAUAUUUCAUUUCUAUCAAAAAUAUUUUUUUAAAGAUCAGGUAUUAAAUGUCCAAAUAAAAAAUUAAUGAGGUAUUUUUAAGCUUUUUAUUUUGAAUAUUUUGUUUGGUCAAAAACAGUCAACGCCAGAGUCAACACCGGUCAACGCCAGAAUCAGUUGACCAGUGUACCAGAAUUUUAUGUCUAUGGUGUUGACUACAUGACGUUGUAUAGUUGAUGCAUGUGACCAUGCAAUACAUAUAGAUCGUGUAGCUGAGUGUACAAUAUAAUACUUAGCAUGUGUGACCAUGCAUUCUUCUAUAGUUUGUGUAGCGAACCAUAUUUUUUCCAUAUCUUUUUCCAAAUCUAUACUAUAUAAAAGUUGAAGUUAUAUAAGCUCCUAAAGGCGUCCACAUAUGAUUUUAAACGACGAAUCACGGUUAGACAUCUCAAUAUUUAACAUUUUUAAAAUUAUGACGAAUUUUAUGUUAAGAUUUAUUUUGUAAAAAGGCAAAUAAUAUAUAUAUAUAUAUAUAUAUAUAUAUAUAUAUAUAUAUCUGGAAAUAAAAGAUAUAUUUUAAAACAUGAAAAUAUUUCUAAAUUUAGUAUUUCUUUUUCAUAAAAAAUAAAUGAUAUAAAACUAAUCAAAAUAUAAAAAUUUAAUUUUUGUUAAAUUAAAAACGAAAAGACUUAAAAUUAUUUAUUAAAUAUUUAAAUUAAAAUACUUCAUAAUUUAUUGUGAAUAUUGUGUUUAAGUAAAUUUCUAUUUAUAAAAAGUAAAAUCGAGUUGAGUAAUUAAGACAACUAGCCCUAACAAUUCAACUAUAAAUAAAGAGUCUAGACCUUUACAUUAGUAUCUUGUUCUAUUAGUUUCGUAGUUCUGAUGUUUUUUUUUUUUGGUGCAGUUUGAUUUUUAGAUAAUAUUUUUUUUUUGUAUUUGCGUUUUUUGAAUUGUUUCAAUGAUUUCAUUUGUUUAUCAUCCGUUUAUGAUUUUGUGUUCCAUUCAAGGUUAUAAUUGUGGUUUUAUAGUGUUGUAUUAUUUUGGUGUGUUUUAAUUGUUUAGUGCAAUUCUAACUUUUUGUUUUCUUACGUUUUGUUUAUGUAAUCGGAGUAUUGACUAUAUUGGAAUCUUUGAUUGAAAAAGUCUUUUAAUGAAGUAAUUGGAGUUGAUGUUAGGCAGAGGAUGCUAAAGUAAAAAGCACAAUCCAAUAUCUUUAUUUGUCUGCUUUUUGUUUGUUUAUUAUUUAUUGAUAUCUUGGUUAUUUAAUUUAUUUGUUUAUGAAAUUUAGUAUGGGUAUUCUGGAAGUAUAAAACUAAAUUACGGUAGAAAGUAAGAAAGACAUCUAAUUCGAGUUUAGGAGUUUAGAUGAACGAUGUUGUUUUGAGUAGUUAAUUCAUUAAUCAUCAACGAUAAAUAAUUUUAACCAAAAUAUCUCAAAUAUACCCACGCGUAGCGUGGGUUCAAAACAUAGUAUAUUAAAAACUAAGUCUAACAACCAUUCUAAAAGUAAACUAAUCCUAUUUUUAAAGAUGUAAGUAACAUAAUUAAGCAUUGUAAUUAUUCGAACUUUUUUUAAAGAAAAUUCAUUGUUUUUUGUUUCUUAAGUUAAGAAGCUAGCAAAUAAAUAUGAUUUCAUCAUGUUUAGUUUAAUGGUGCAUGUUUAUGAUAUUAGAAUGGCCAUGUUUUGUUUCGGAUUAAAUUUUAUUUAAGAAUUUUAUUAUGACAUAUUCAACUGUGUACAUUUUGGUGUAUGUGAAACUAAAACAUUGAAAUCUCCACAAUAGAAAAAUAUUUACCAAAUUGUAUUUUAACUAUUAAAUAACUUUCGUUAUACUAUCUGCUUAAAUAGGAUACAAAACUAUAAUACUGUCUACUUAAAUAAUAUACAAAACUAUCAUACUGUCUACUUAGGUGGUGAAGAAUCUUAUAGAGUCUCCGUUAUUGAUGCACAUUUACAAGUAGAGGUUAAUGGUGUUUUUGAUUAACGGCGGAAAAUAUGUAGGCAAAAUAUUGGCUUGAGAGGAGAGAAAGAGAAAUAGAAAAAGUAGAAAAAUAAGGUUGUGACAAGAGAGAGCACCAUUAACCUUAACAAGCAUUCACAUACAGUACGUUUAAGAAGAAAGCUCCAAAGCUCAAAAGGAGUUGUGGAAGGAGAAUUCUGAAACGUUGAUCGAAGAAGAGACGUGACGGUGAUCAAAGUCAGACACCAAACAAUAAUGGAGCAUAAACCGGUUGAAAAUUUAACUGAAGAAAAAGUGGAUAAGAUACACGCGUAAAACAUCAUGAAGACGUUAUGGUGAUCAAAGAAAGACACCAAAAAAAGGAUACUUACCUAGGAGAAAAAUAGAGCAUAAUUCGGUUAUAGAGAUAGCCGAAGCAAAAAUGAAAAAGUUUACGCAGAAAUUUGGUGAUAAAAAAGAAACUAAAAGGAAAUAAAAAGAAAGCUACUUAAAAGAAAGUGAGUGGAAGAAGGUUAAAACAAAAGGGACGUGACAAUGUUUAUAACUUGUGUGAUAAGAAAUCACCAAGAAGGAGACAAAAGAUGUCAUUCUACUCCUUUGAAAGCUAUGACAAACUAAGAAGGAAGCUUAGUGUAAGACCAAAACUCAAUUAAGGGGGAGUGUUGGUCGAUAAUUGAUUUUCAGAGUUAAAAUGUUUAGGUCGUGACGUUUCUGUUUGUUUUGUUUCACUGAACAGUCACUAAGUAUGAAGAGACACAAGUCAAUGUUUUGUUGUCACUAGAUCAAUCGGACAACAAGCCAUACACAACAUGAAAUGGUACUUACAUACGUUCCAUAAAAUAUUCAAUCUAUAUGUAUUGUGUCAUGAAGAAUAGUACAUUUGAUUUAGACAUAUUGUUUGAGUUUUUAAUACAUAUCUCGUGGUACCCGAGGCUCCACACCUUGCAAUGUAUAGAUUUUCUCCUUUUAUUUGUUAUCUUUUAUUUUACCUUAUCUUUUAUUUGACUAGUUUGAACAAAAUCUAAGAAUCUGAUCAUAGCUUAUCUUAUAUUCAAACUUAUCUUUUAUUGACUGGUUUGAAAUAGUAUUAAAUCUAUUAUUUGACUUGUUUGAACUUUGAACUAGUAGUUUCUUGGAUAAAGUUACCCUUAAAAAUCCAUCAAUUUGAUUCCCCCUUCCCAAAAAAAAAAAAAACAAACAACCAAAGGAAAAAAAUCUUAUAAAUUUUAUUCUUCAUUAAUUUAAUUUGUUGACUAUCAAAAAUGAAGAAAUAAUUUUUUUGUCUAAGUAAAUCAAAUUAAAUAUGAAGUCAAAGCGCCACGUUUCAAAUUACCAUAAAUGAAAUGCUCAUUAAGUGGUAAGAAAAAAUUUAGCUUAUCUUAACAUGUAGGAUUUCUUUUUCCCCUUAUUUAUGUUUUUGGUUUGGGUUUAAAAAUCAUUCAGGAAACAAGAAAUAUUUUAUUCAUGUCUUUCAUAUCUUCUCUCCCACCUGAUUUUUCACAAAAAAUUGCUUUUUCCACCGGCAAAAGAUAAUGUAUAAUGUCAAGCCUGCGAGAUACGACAAAUACCCAAGCGUAGCAACAAUUAGACAAGUAAAGUCUGAUUCUUAUAAAAAAUUUUGGUUUUUUUUAUCUAUGACAUAUUCAGAUUUAUAAGUCUUUUGACAAUCGAAUUAUAUGCAAAUAGGCUUGAAGAAGAAGCAUAUAAGGACAGAAGAGGAUGAUGAACGAAGUAAGAACUAUUGUUUAAUCCUUUUUAUUGGUGAGUUUAGCACUGAAGUAUUUGAAGCUUUUUUUAAAUCUUAUGUGGUUUUAUUUUGACACUGUACAUACGAGAGGGAAGAGAGUGAGGAUGAACAAUUAACGAUCUGAAGCUGGUUCGUCUUCAUUGACCAACUCUCGUUCUCUGCGCUUUGCUAUGGCUUUAAAGUCAAAUGAAAACUCUCUCGUGAGUGUACUCGCAUUAAAACAGCUUUGUGCAUUUCGUUUCAGAUGUGAUUGUUGUUUUGUUAGUCUAGUUUAGUUUAGGAGAAUUAAUACUUUAAAACAAAAUGAAUAGUUCAAUAUGGUUUUGCUUAGGCUUAUGUACUUGUUCUAUAUGUUUUACCUUGAAUUUUGGUUUACAUUGACAGUCUUUUAUUCAAGCUACCAAUCAAAUUUUGUUUGGAUUUUGUUAAUUAUAUCAAUCAAUUAAAAUUAAAAAAGGAGAGUAAAGAUUUUAAUUUCUUUUGAUGGAUUUGAUUUAAAUAUUAUGAGAUUUUCCAUAUUUGAUAUUUGUUAGUCAAAGCUUUUUUUUUUAAUUAUUAGGUAAAAAUCCAACGAAGAGUCUCCUCUCUUGUAAGUUGUAAAUAUAGUGUUGAAGAAGAAGCGUACAAGGGGACAGAGAAGGUGCUGAACCAGAUAACACCACUAACAUCAUCUUAGUUUGAUGAGUUUUAAAUUAAGAUAUCUGAAGCGGGUUUUGACUUGUGUGCUUUUUUUGUUGACACAGUAUGUACGAGAUGGAAAAAAUAGAGAAUGAACAAUUCAUAACCCGAAGUUGGUUCGUCUUCACUGAACAACCCUAGUUGUGUGCGCUUUGCUAUGUCUUCAUAAUCAAAGGAAAAUUCUCUGGUGAGUUCACUCGCAUAUGAACCGCUUUGUGUAUCUUGUUUCAGAUGUGAAUGUUGUUUUUUUGGUCUAGUUUAGUCUAGGAGAGUUAAUACUUGUCGAAACAAAAUCAAAAGUUUAUUAAUUUAUUAUGUUUUUGGUUUUAGUUUUUUUUACAUACUUUAGGCUUAUCUAUUGUAUUUAAUUGUAUUUUUGGUUUCCACAGAGUGGAAUUUUACAGGAGAAAACAUUUCUUCUGCAAACAAUGCUUGUAUAGCCAUCGAAGAAAUAACAUUCAAGGUAACACCAAUAUGUUGUUUAUUCUUGAUGUAUACUUGAAGUUUUUGGUCAAGUACAAACUCGUGAAUGAUCAGAGGUUAAUAUAUAUUUAAGUUUGGGCACAUUGUCACACCAAUUCUGAUUGAUGUUGUCUCUUCGUUGGAUUCAAUUAUUCAAUAUGGAGAAGUGAUUCAGCAGCCUUAUAAAUCCAAUAUUUUAUUGGUCAUGUCUAACUAUGUCUUUAUUUUUUGGUGAAUAUAAGGCACAAGUUUUGAGCAAUGCAACUACACUACUUGAACAUAAUCCAAUAAACCUAGAUGUUUACAAUACAAUUACCCAUGGAAGACUAGCAUCGGUUCGUCUAGACCUCGUUCCACCACUCUUUGAAUACUUUAUGGAGAGUAAAAUGAUUCUAAAUCCCAAAAAAACAAGAAAUUGGAAACGUUAGCAAACCUAAUUUUUUGGAUUGAGAGUCUUUUUACUCUCCAUGAAGUACUUCAAGUGUGGUGGAAAGAGGUCUGUACGAACCCGUGCUAGUAUCCCAUGGUAAUAGCACUGUUAACAGCUAGGUCAAUUGGCUUGUUGAUUAGAUAAUGUAAUUGCAUUCCUAAAAAAUUUUGCCUUCUUCACUAAAAAAAGAGAGGCAUAGUUAGACAUGGCAAAAAAAAAUUGGAUUUAUAAGGCUGCUAGAGUCACCUCUCUAUAUUGAAUAAUUGAGCCCAAGGAAGAGACAACAUCGGUCACAAUUGUUGAGACUUUGUGACCAAACUGAAAUAUAUAUUGAGCUUUUAUCAUUCACGAGUUUGUACUUAGCUAGAAACUUCAAGCAUACAUCGAGAAUAAGCAGCAUGUUGUUGUGACCUCGUAUGCAAAAUCUCCAAUGGCUAUACAAGCAUUGUUUGCAAAAGCAAGUUUUUCGCUAUUAAAACUUCCAGUCUAUAGAAAUCACAAAUACGAUCAAAAUUAUGUACAUAUUGUAUUUGUUUUACGUGAGUUUUGGUUAAUAUUUGUAGUCGUUUACUAAAGCUAGCUAAACCAAAUUUUGUUUGGAUUCUUUUAGUAGCAAAUAAUUUUACCUUACAGUGGAAAUUUUACGGGAGAACACCUUGCUUAGCAAACAAUGGUUGUAUAGCCAUUAGAGAAUUAGCAUUCGAGGUAAGACCAAUAUGCUGUUUACUCUUGAUGUAUGCUUGAAGUUUUUGGUUAAGUUAAAACUCGUUAAUGACAAGUGCUAAUUAUAUCUUUCAGUUUGGUUAGGAAGUCUUACCAAUUGUGACUGAUAUAUCUCUUCCUUGGGCUGGACUAUUCAAUAUGGAGAAGUGACUCUAGCAGACUUAUAAAUUUAAUAUUUUAUUGGCCAUGUCUAGACAUGCAUGGCAAUUAAUACAUUGGUUCAUUUAUAAGACCACCAAACUGAAAUGUAAUUGAUCUGUUAUCAUUCACGAGUUUUUACCUAACGAGAAACUUCAAGUAUACAUCGACAAUAAAUAGCAUAAUGGUGUUACCUCGUAUGGUAAUUCUCCAAUGGCUAUACAAGCUUUGUUUGCAGAAGCAAGGUUUUCUCCCGUAAAAUUUCCACUAAAUACAAAUCAAAAUUACUAUUAAAUCCAAUAGCUAAUCAUAAAUACAAUGAAAAGUAUAUACUUGUUCUAUUAGUUUUACUUUAGUUUUGGUUUAAAUUGAUAGUUAUUUACUGAAGCUAGCUAUACCAAAUUUUGUUUGCAUUCUGUUAAUUGAAUCUACCAAAUUUAAAAAUAAAGAAAUUAAGAGAUUUUGGUCGAUGGAUUUGAUUCAUAUAUUAUGAUAUUUUCCAUUUUUGUUAGUCAUGGUUAUUUUAAUGAUAUUGCAAAAGUAAUGAAGUGUUAUUCCAGUAAUCUUCUCAACACAAAUCUAUAUCAAAUCAGCAGUUUUCAAUAUCAACAUAGGGAGUCACAAACAAAUUUUGAAUUUGAUGUUAACAUAAGAGAUAUUUCAUUAUGACGAUGUGGUCGGGAUUUCGAAUAUCAAGAGAUGGAAUAAUAGCUACAGGAGUUGGUUGGAAAAAUUAUGUAAAGUGAAUGACAUAAACAAAGGAGAUUCAUCUACUUUAGAGUUCAGAAAUCAAGAAGAAGACACAACUCUGUUGUUUAGGAUACGUCCUAUAUCUCGAGUCUAAAAAGAUGUAUGUAACAUAAUUAAGCAUUGUAUUUAUUAGAACUUUUAUUAAAGAAAAUUCAUUGUUUUUUUUAUUAGGUUAAGAAGCUAGCAAAUAAAUAUGAUUUCAUCAUGUUUAGCUUAAUGGUGCAUGUUUAUGAUAUUAGAAUGGCCAUGUUUUGUUUCGGAUUAAAUUUUAUUUAAGAAUUUAUUCUGACAUAUUCAACUGUGUACAUUUUGGUGUACAUGAAACUAAAACAUUUAAUUUGAAAUCUCCACAAUAGAAAAAUAUUUACCAAAUUCUAUUUUAGCUAUUAAAUAAAUUUCGUUAUACUAUUUACUUAAAUAGGAUACAAAACUAUCAUACUGUCUACUUAAAUUAGUUUCCAAAACUAGUAACUAACGUGAUCGAGUCAAUUUUAUCGAUUAGAUACAUUUUCAUGUGUAAAACAAAAUUAUUGAUCAACGAUAUACAUAAAAAAUCUAGUUAAAAAUACGCUAUAUAUAAUAUUAAAUGAUAGACCCUUUCUGAAAAGAUACGUAAGGGUUUUGAUCUCCCAUCAGUCCGUAAGCAUUAAAUGUAAAACAAUAGAGUCUUGGGGAUAGAAAGAGUUGGUAAUCCUGAGCAUUCAAAUAAAAAUUUGCAACACAACACAUAAUCAAGCAGAAUUUGCAAGAACAACAAUGAUACAACACAUAUCCAAGCUGAAGUUUUGAUGUGUGGUUAAGAGAUUCAUUGGUUUAGAUGGUGAAGAAUCUUAUAGAGUUUCCGUUAUUGAUGCACAUUUACAAGUAGAGGUUAAUGGUGUUUUUGAUUAACAGCAGAAAAUCUGUAGGCAAAAUAUUGGCUUGAGAGGAGAGAAAGAGAAAUAGAAAAAAUAGAAAAAUAAGGUGGUGAUAAGAGAGAGCACCAUUAACCUUCACAAGCAUCCACAUACAGUACGUUUAAGAAGAAAGCUCCAAAGCUCCAAAGGAGUUGUGGAAGGAGAAUUUUGAAACGUUGUUCGAAGAAGAGUCGUGACGGUGAUCAAAGUGAGACACCAAACAAUAUUGGAGCAUAAACCGGUUAAAAAUUUAACUGAAGAAAAAGUGGAUAAGAUGCACGCGUAAAACAUCAUGGAGACGUUAUGGUGAUCAAAGAAAAACACCAAAAAAAAGGAUACUUACCUCGGAGAAAAAUAGAGCAUAAUUCGGUUAUAGAGAUAGCCGAAGCAAAAAUGAAAAAGUUUAUGCAGAAAUUUGGUUAUCAAGAAGAAACUAAAAGGAAAUAAGAAGAAAGCUACUUAAAAGAAAGUGAGUGGAAGAAGGAUGAAAACAAAGGGACGUGAACGUGACUGAAAAUAUCACAGAGGGGACGUGACAAUGUUUAUAACUUGUGUGAUAAGAAAUCCCCAAGAAGGAGACAAAGAUGUCAUUCUACUCCUUUGAAAGCUAUGACGAACUAAGAAGGAAGCUUAGUGUAAGACCGAAACUCAAUUAAGGGGGAGUGUUGGUCGAUAAUUGAUUUUCAGAGUUACAACGUUUAGGUCGUGAUGUUUCUGUUUGUUUUGUUUCACUGAACAGUCACUAAGUAUGAAGAGACACAAGUCAAUGUGUUGUUGUCACUAGAUCAAUCGGACAACAAGCCAUACACAACAUGAAAUGGUACUUACAUACGUUUCAUAGAAUAUUCAAUCUAUUUGUAUUGUAUCAUGAAGAAUAGUACAUUUGAUUUAGACAUAUUUUUUGAGUUUUUAAUACAUAUCUCGUGAAACCCAAGGCUCCAUACCUUGCAAUGCAUACAUUUUCUCUUUUUAUUUGUUAUUUUUUAUUCUACCUUAUCUUUUAUUUGAUUGGUUUGAACAAAAUCUAAGAAUUUGAUCAUAGCUUAUGUUUUAUUCAAACUUAUCUUUUAUUUGACUGUUUUGAAAUAGUAUUUAAUCUUUUAUUUGACUUGUUUGAACUUUAUACUAGUAGUUUCUGGGGAAACGGCAUAUUACCCCAUAAACUAUGUUACUUUAUCGCAAUCAUAUACGAAACUUUGUCGUGUGCCUAUAACUACAUAAACUUGUAUUAAAUUUGAAUUUCAUACACGAACAAAACAAAUCCGACAUAAACCCACAAAUCUCUAAACGUCGUUAUUGUUCCGUUAACUGAAAGAUGACUAGGAUGCCACGUGGAUGUUGAUAAUACAAACGACGUCGUAUUUAAAAAACAAAAAUCCAUACACAACUGAGAAUCGAACCCAUAACCUCUAAUUUAAUGUUGCAUACUUAGUGCCAUAUGUGCCAACAAAUUUUAUUGUACAUUGACAAUCAAAUAUUAAUUUAUAUAUAACGAUUCUCUGUUUCUCUCAUAGAUUCACUCGUCCUCCAUGACUGAUUUGAAGACAAACGACCAUAAAGGUUUGGUUAGAUCGAGUAGAAAGGAUGAGAAGACAAACGACCAUAAAGCUUUGGUUAGGUUUGAUUUUGUUUCUCUCAUAGAUUCACUCGUCCUCCAUGACUCGUCCUUCCGAUCACUUUUAUAAUUUCCGAUGAGUUUGCUUUCUCAUUCUUAUCGUCUACUUAAUUUCUUUUUUCUCAGAUUUAUUUAUGAACUUAUUAUUUGGUUUAGAUCUCUGAGAUUUGAUCUUUAUUUGACCAUUGUGUUAUAGAUGUAGGAUCUAGGAUCCAGUUGAAGUUGAAUGAGUGAUUGUGGUGGGAAUGGAGAUAAGAUGAAGAAAUGGAACAAAGCGAAGAGAUAGUUUCUUUUUAGUUUUGUUAUUUUCAUUUAGUUUAUAUGUAUAAAUAUAUAUUCAUCUAAGCAACUAACAAUAUGUUCCUGUGGCUCAGUGGUAUUACGGUCCUCUGUCUUAAAGGAACAAGGUUCGAACCUCAGGUAAGUAGUUUUUAUCUUAAUUUUUCUUUUUCAAUCCACUUGGCAUCAAUGUUAGCAUAUUGUUAACGGAAUAUUAACAUCGUUUAGAGAUUUGUGGUUUUAGAUCGAAUUUGUUUUGUUCGUGUAUGAAAUUCAAAUUUAAUACAAGUUUAUGAAGUUAUAGGCACGCAACAAAGUUUUGUAUAUGAUUACGAUAAAGUAACAUAGUUUAUGGGGGAAUAUGCCGUUUUCCCUAGUUUCUUGUAUAAAGUUACCCUUAAAAACCCAUCAAUUUUAUUCCCCUUCCCCAAAAAAAAAUAAGCAAACAACCAAAGGAAAAAAAAUCUUAUAAAUUUUAUUCUUCAUUAAUUUAAUUUGUUGACUAUAAAAAAUAAAGAAAUAAUAUUUUUUUACUAAGUAAAUCAAAUUAAAUAUGAAGUCAAAAUGCCACGUUUCAAAUUACCAUAAAGGAAAUGCUCUUUAAGUGGUAAGAAAAGAUUUAGCUUAUCUUAACAUGUAGGAUUUCUUUUUCCCCUUAUUCGUGUUUAUGGUUUGGGUUUAAAAAUCAUUCAGGAAACAAGAAAUAUUUUAUUUAUGUCUUUCAUAUCUUCUCUCCCACCUGAUUUUCACAAAAAAAAAUUGCUUUAUCCAACGGCAAAAGAUAAUGUAUAAUGUCAAGCCUGCGAGAUACGACAAAUACCAAAGCGUAGCAACAAUUAGACAAAAAAAGUCUGGUUCUUAUUUUUUGGUUUUUUUUUUAUCUAUGACAUAUGCAGAUCUAUAAGUCUUUUGACAAUCGAAUUAUAUGCAAAUAGGCUUGAAGAAGAAGCAUAUAAGGACAGAAGAGGAUGAUGAACGAAGUAAGAACUUUUGUUUAAUCCUUUUUAUUGGUGAGUUUAGCACUGAAGUAUUUGAAGCUUGUUUUAAAUCUUAUGUGGUUUAUUUUGACACAGUACAUAUGAGAGGGAAGAGAGUGAGGAUGAACAAUUAACGAUCUGAAGCUGGUUCAUCUUCAUUGACCAACUCUCGUUCUGUGCGCUUUGCUUUGUCUUCAAAAUCAAAUGAAAACUCUCUCGUGAGUGUACUCUCACUAAAACAGCUUUGUGCAUUUCGUUUCAGAUGUGAUUGUUGUUUUGUUAGUCCAGUUUAGUUUAGGAGAAUUAAUACUUUUCAAAACAAUAUGAAUAGUUCAAUAUGGUUUUGCUUAGGCUUAUGUACAUGUUUUAUAUGUUUUACCUUGAAUUUUGGUUUACAUUGACAGUCUUUUAUUCAAGCUACCAAUCAAAUUUUGUUUGGAUUUUGUUAAUUAUAUCAAUCAAUUAAAGUUAAAAAACGAAACUAAAGAUUUUAAUUUUUUUUUGAUGGAUUUGAUUUAUAUAUUAUGAGUUUUUCCAUAUUUGAUAUUUGUUAGUCAAAGCUUUUUUUUUUAAUUAUCAGGUAAAAAUCCAACGAAGAAUCUCCUCUCUUGUAAGUUGUAAAUAUAGGUUUGAAGAAGAAGCAUACAAGGGGACAGAAGAAGGUGCUGAACCAGAUAACACCACUAACAUCAUCUUAGUUUGAUGAGUUGUAAAUUAAGGUAUCUGAAGCGGGUUUUGACUUGUGUGCUUUUUAAUACUUUAUUGGCCAUGUCUAGACAUGUAGAUUUGUGUUGAGAAAAUUACUGGAAUAACACUUCAGUAUAUUCGAAAUCCCGACCACAUCGUCAUAAUGAAAUAUCUCUUAUGCUAACAUUAAAUUCAAAAUUUGUUUGUGACUCCCUAUGUUGAUAUUGAAAACUGCUGAUUUGAUGUAGAUUUGUGUUGAGAAGAUUAGUAAAAGUAUUGAACUUUAAAUAUCCAAACCAGAAAACCUCUCGGGCACACAUCCCAAGAAUUCAAAUCUCUUUGAAGAGUGCGUCUCAGAUCUGCGUCUUCACCGGCGCGUCCAUCCCACCACUGGAGCGUGGGAUCUCCGACGUCUCUCUGGUCCACUGAUCUACUGGUUCCCUCGGUGUAAUCAUGUCCGGACCUGAAAGUACCCCAUGGCUGUCAUUCCACCAUGACUAAACAAGACUUUUGACUUCCCCUCCUCACCAUCGAAGGUAGAGAGAAACCUUUCUCAAAUUCAAGGCUCGGAAAUUCUGCUCUCCCCGUUUACGUCAAGGCUCGUCCUUCACUCAAAGGUGCACAAUGACUCACCGCCUCUCUUAUGCGGAAAAAGGCAAAGCUAUCGCCUCCUCAAGCAACCCUCCAAGAGUACCGAGGAUCAAAGCCCCAGAUUGUGACAACUCAGCACUCCUUCUCCGCCACAAGCUUACUCUUAUUCGCCGAAUAACCAAUCCAGUAGUCCAAAGGACUUGGUCCAUUCUCCCUUUUUUUACCGAGCACUGGAAAACUUUUUCCAGGCCACUCGGGUCAGAUCUAGGGCAUGGACUGUUUCAAUUUCAGUUCGAUUCAGAAGCAGAUGUGCAGCUCGUCUUGGAAAGCAGACCGUAUCACUUUGCGGGUUAUAUGAUCAUCCUACAACGUUGGGAACCCACCAUUUCUCGAACGUUCCCCUCAGAAAUCCCUUUCUGGAUCCAAGUUACUCGUAUCCCGGUUCAUCUCUGGACUGAGGAUCUUAUCAGAAGCAUUGGAGAAGACAUUGGCUCUGUGGAACAACUGGAUGUUUCUACAAAAAUGGCAAGGAUGAGGGUUCGUAUUAAUGGCCUUAUUCCGCUUGUUAAAACUGCUAUUGUGGAGUUUAAAAAUGGAGAAGAGAUUGAAGCAGAGUUAGUAUAUGAAAGGUUGAAGAAACACUGUCAUACUUGCCAUAUGAUGGAUCAUGAGGACAGAGAUUGUCCUUCUACAAAGCCUAGGAAGAAUCUUCCUCCCCCACCACCUCGCCCUAAAGGUCGUGAUGAUCGCCCUCGCCGCAGUCCUGAAAGAUUAAGAGAAGCGCGAAGGCACUCUCCCACAAGAGCAAAGUCGGUCGCUACUAGAAGCCACAGAUCACGAGAAACCUCUCAUGGCAGACGGAAAGAGUACUCCCUCUCACCUAGAAAAUCUUCCCCUGUAAGAGAGAGCUCUAGACACUCCUCUAGUCGCCUUCACAACAAUGAUCACUCUUCCCGGCAUCCUUCGGAGAGUGUAGGGCAUAGCUCCUCUCAUCGGGAAAAAGAGCCAGGACCUAGAUACUUCUCUAGCAGCUCUCGACAUUAUUCCAGAAGCUCAAAUCCUACCCCUCGGUCGAUGAGAGACCUUCAUGAAGAUACAAGGAGACAUGUAACCAAUUCACACCGCAGAACCCCCGAGGAAACCUCACAAGCUACAUUGCCAAGGGAACAGGUCAUUCCUUAAGCAGCCCUUGAUGUGGCAAUGGGAGAACUCCGUGAGGUUAUGGUACAAUAUGCAAGCUGCCCUGACCCUACAGAGAGUGCUGCAAGGAAGGAAAGAAUCAGACAAGCUGAAGCACUAGGAGAGUUUGAAGAAACUGCAGCACAAAUGGUAUCUAACAGCUUGGUUGUAGCAGCUCCCACUGCGGAGGAAAGAUUCUCCCCAGAACUUUCCAGCAGCCAUGAACGCAUCCCUGUAGCUCAACGAUUGGGACCUACUAACUCUCUUAUCCCACCCCCAAGACCAAAAAAGAGAGUUGCAGCUAAGAAAAGGUUAGGAAGACCUGUAGGGAGACCCCCAAGGAAAGCUCAGAGCAAAAAACACAGCCCCCGCAUUGUUCCCGGAGGAAAAUCAAAGAAGAAAAGGAAACUGCUCCUAAACCACACAUCUCCAAGAAGACGGCUAAACAUGGAUCCUCACCUAGCCCCUGGCACUCAAAUCUCAGAGGAGGCCGAUGAUAUUACGGGACAGGAAAUGAUUGCAGGGACCUCAGGGCAGAGGGAUUUUCAAGCCGGUCAAGCUCUCCUUCCUUAGAUAUUCUAUGUUGGAACUGUCAGGGUUUGGGGAACCCAAUGACAGUUCGUCGCCUAAAGGAGAUGAAUCGGCAGUUUUCCCCAGAGAUUGUCUUCCUUAUGGAAACCAAGAAUCAACAAAACAUUAUCCUGCAAGCUAAGGAGGAGCUAAGGUUUGAUCACCAUCAUAUUGUCCCUCCUCAUGGCCAUGGUGGUGGCGGCUUAGCCCUUUUAUGGAAAAAGGAAGUUGAAGUGGAGAUCAUCUCAUCCUGUGAUAAUUUCAUUGAUACUAAAACCACAAGCCACAGGAAAUCCUUCUUUGCUUCCUUCAUUUAUGGUGACCCUGACCAAAGCAAGAGAGGAUCAGUCUGGGAUGCUCUUAAAUGUAUUGCCAUGAACAGAGCGGCUCCCUGGUUCUUAUCUGGAGACUUUAACGACAUCACUGACAACUCAGAAAAGAGAGGAGGUCCUCUUCGCCCUGAAGGCUCCUUUGUUGAGUUUCGUUCAUUCAUCUCGGAAUGUGAUCUUUAUGAUCUGGGGUACUCAGGAAAUCCUCUAUCCUGGAGAGGCUCUAGACAUAAUCAUGUGGUUUCAUGUAGGCUAGAUCGAGCUAUGGGAAACAGUUAAUGGGCAGAAGAAUACCCGGAUGGAAGAUGCAAGUACUUGAGGUUCGAAGGAUCUGACCACAGACCUCUUAUUUCUCACUUUUCAUUAACUCCCAAGAAGAAGAGAGGCCUUUUCAGAUAUGACCGUCGACUUAAAGAAAACCAGGAAGUCAAGCAAUUAGUGGAGGAAACCUGGUUAAAGGAGCAAGAUCUGGCUGUCCAGUCCAGAAUCACCCGCUGCAGACAUGCAUUAGUGGCUUGGAAUAAGGAGAACCAAAAGAAUAGUCAGUUGACUAUAACCAAACUUCAGGAAGAGCUUGAAGCGGCAAUGGUCAGCAGUAAUCCGGUCGAGGCAGUGAUUGCAAAAAUCAAUGAGGCAUUGAAGAAAGCUUAUAGAGAGGAGGAAGCAUUCUGGAAGCAGAGAAGUCGUCAACUUUGGCUUUGCCUUGGAGACCAAAAUUCUGGUUUUUUCCAUGCUGCCACAAGAGGUAGAAGAGCAAUUAACAAAUUCUCUGUCAUUGAAGAUGAGGAAGGAUCGGCGGUGUUUGAAGAAGACAAGAUAGGGGAAGUGAUUUCUUCUUACUUUCAAAAACUUUUUGCUUCUCCUGUAUCUGUUUCAAGAGAUUUGGAUGAGACUAUUUGUGAAGCAAUUCAACCUUGUAUCACUGAUGAAGUAAACCAGGCCUUGAUUGCCUCCCCUACUUCUAAGGAAAUCAAAGAUGCAGCUUUUUCUAUACACCCAGGAAAGGCUCCCGGGCCCGAUGGUUUUUCUGCUUGUUUCUUCCAAUUAAACUGGGAUGCAGUUGGACCAGCUAUUGUUGCGGAGAUCCAAGAGUUCUUUUAUUCUGGUGUAAUGCCACCUAAUCUCAAUGACACUUUUAUAAGAUUGAUCCCCAAGACUCAAUGUGCUAAAAAGGUGGCAGACUUCCGCCCUAUUGCUUUAUGCAACGUCUACUUCAAAGUCAUAUCCAAACUCCUCUCAAGACGCCUCCAACCAAUCCUUGACCCCCUUAUCUCGGAUACUCAAUCAGCAUUCGUUCCAGGAAGGGCGAUAUCAGACAACGUGCUAAUCACCCAUGAGGUUCUGCACUUCUUAAAGACCUCAGAGGCUGAAAAACAUUGUUCAAUGGCUGUGAAGACGGACAUGAGCAAAGCAUACGACCGGGUGGAAUGGAGCUUCAUUGAGAAGGUUCUAAAAAAGAUUUGGUUUCCAUCCCAAAUGGACUAACUGGAUCAUGCAGUGUAUUUCCACUGUCACUUACUCAUUUCUGGUUAAUGAUUCCCCGAAGGGUAAAGUUAUCCCUCUGAGAGGCAUUAGACAAGGGGAUCAGCUCUCACCCUAUAUCUUCAUCCUCUGUAGUCAGGUUUUAUCAGGAUUAUGCAAUGCUGCUCAAGAAUCCGGAAACUUCUCUGGCAUUAAAGUAGCAAGAGGUUGUCCACGCAUUAAUCAUCUAUUAUUUGCUGAUGAUACGAUGUUUUUCUGCAAGGCAAAUACCAAAGCUUGUUAUGGGCUGAGAAGUAUCCUAAAAAGAUAUGGCGAAGCCUAAGGAAAGGUGAUAAAUAAAUUGAAGUCCUCUAUCUCCUUUUCCAGGAAGACUCCAGUCUGGCUAAAACAAAGGAUCAAACAGGAACUUGAGAUUGGGGUAGAAGGUGGUGUAGGAAAAUACUUGGGUCUCCCGGAGCACUUUGGAAGGAAGAAGAAGGAUUUAUUCUCCUCUAUUGUGGACAGAAUCAGACAACGAGCUCUUUCCUGGUCUAACAAGUUCCUCUCGGGAGCUGGAAAGUUGACUUUAUUGAAGAGUGUGUUAAUGGCAAUGCCAUCAUAUGCCAUGUCUUGCUUCCUCCUCCCUGUUUCCCUGUGUAAGAGCAUCCAAUCAACACUCACUAGAUUCUGGUGGGAUGCAAAAGCAGAGAAGAAAGGUAUGUGCUGGGUAGCUUGGGACUCGCUUACAAAAUUCAAAUUGGAAGGAGGUUUGGGACUUAGGGAUAUACAAGGAUUUAAUGCUGCGCUGCUUGGAAAACUGGCUUGGAGACUGUUUCAAAAUCCUAAUUGCUUGCUGGCCAGGAUUUUGCUUGGAAAGUAUUGCCAUUCCACAGAUUUCUUGGAUUGCAUCUGCCCCGGAUCAGCUUCUCAUGGCUGGAGAAGCAUCCUAGCAGGACGAGACCUGCUUAAGAAAAGGUUGGGUUGGGUUCUAGGUGAUGGGCAAUCCAUCAGGGUCUGGGAUGAUCCAUGGCUCUCUUGCUCUAAACUGGUCCAACCAACAGGACCUUCCCCACGAGCACUUAAAGACUUGAAGGUAUGCGACCUGUUCAUUUAAGGAACCCUGGAGUGGGAUGAGGUCAAAGUACAGGAAACCCUCCCCCACUUUGCUGCUUCCAUCAUGUCCCUCAAGCCAAGUAGACUCGGUGCAAAAGACAAGAAAAUAUGGGUGGGUAAUGCUUUAGGUACUUACUCUACCAAAUCUGGCUAUUAUGUGGCCAGAGAAAAUCUAGCAAUCUCCAAUCCUUUGUUGCCUCAAAGAGAUGUGGAUUGGAAAAAAGAAGUGUGGGCUGUUCACACUUCCCCUAAGUUGAAAAUGUUUCUCUGGAAAACAUUACAUGGUGCUCUCCCAACUGGUCAGCAACUGGUCCAUAGGCACAUCCCGGCCAACCUGAGGUGCAGCUUCUGCGGGGAGGAUGAAUCUAUCACUCAUCUCAUGUUUGCCUGCCCUUUUGCAGUUAGCGUGUGGGAGCUAGUCCCUUUCUCUGCUCCCUUUAUCUCCUCGCAGGUGGUAGAAGUGCGUGUUGGUUUAGCUGCAGCUUCAAAGCUCACCUGUCUCCCUCCCGUCGGCCUUACUUCAGGCCCUCUCGCUCCAUGGAUUUGCUGGAAUUUAUGGAAGUCAAGGAAUCAAAGAGUUUUCAAUGAUAGGAAUUUCUCGGCGGAGGAAACUGUGCUAAAAUCCAUUCUAGAUGCCAAAGAAUGGUUCUCGGCACAGUCAUCCUUCCCCUCUCCCCCUACCCUGCGACCGGAUGCUCAUCACAGGAAUCGACAAACUCAAGACCAAUUUAGCAUGAGUUGCAAGUCGGAUGGAGCUUGGCGUAAGGACCUGCAGACAGCGGGCCUUGGUUGGACCUUCACAAACAGCAAUGGUGAUACUUCUCUCCAUUCUGCUAUUUGUGAGCAUGUUUCUUCACCUCUUAUGGCAGAAAGUUUAGCCUGUAGAGCAGCUCUCAUGGAUGCGAAAUGGUGUUACCUCGUAUGGUAAUUCUCCAAUGGCUAUACAAGCUUUGUUUGCAGAAGCAAGGUUUUCUCUAGUAAAAUUUCCACUAAAUACAAAUCAAAAUUACUAUUAAAUCCAAUAGCUAAUCAUAAAUACAAUCAAAAGUAUGUACUUGUUCUAUUAGUUUUACUUUUGUUUUGGUUUAAAUUGAUAGUUAUUUACUGAAGCUAGCUAUACCAAAUUUUGUUUGCAUUCUGUUAAUUGAAUCUACCAAAUUUAAAAAUAAAGAAAUUAAGAGAUUUUGGUUGAUGGAUUUGAUUCAUAUAUUAUGAUAUUUUCCAUUUUUGUUAGUCAUGGUUGUUUUAAUGAUAUUACAAAAGUAAUGAAGUGUUAUUCCAGUAAUCUUCUCAACACAAAUCUACAUCAAAUCAGCAGUUUUCAAUAUCAACAUAGGGAGUCACAAACAAAUUUUGAAUUUAAUGUUAGCAUAAGAGAUAUUUCAUUAUGACGAUGUGGUCGGGAUUUCGAAUAUCAAGAGAUGGAAUAAUAGCUACAGGAGUUGGUUGGAAAAAUUAUGUAAGGUGAAAGGCAUAAACAAAGGAGAUUCAUCUACUUUAGAGUUCAGAAAUCAAGAAGAAGACACAACUCUGGUGUUUAGGAUACGUCCUAAGUCCCGAGUCUAAAAAGAUGUAUGUAACAUAAUUAAGCAUUGUAUUUAUUAGAACUUUUAUUAAAGAAAAUUAAUUGUUUUUUUGUUUAUUAAGUUAAGAAGCUAGCAAAUAAAUAUGAUUUCAUCAUGUUUAGUUUAAUGGUGCAUGUUUAUGAUAUUAGAAUGGCCAUGUUUUGUUUUGGAUUAAAUUUUAUUUAAGAAUUUAUUCUGACAUAUUCAAUUGUGUACAUUUUGGUGUACGUGAAACUAAAACAUUUAAUUUGAAAUCUCCACAAUAGAAAAAUAUUUACCAAAUUCUGUUUUAGCUAUUAAAUAACUUUCGUUAUACUUUUUACUUAAAUAGGAUACGAAACUAUCAUAAUGUCUACUUAAAUAGUAUACAAAACUAUUUUUCUCAAAGUACUAUAUCUUAAUUUGUUAUCUUAUGAAUAAAAAUUAGUUUCCAAAACUAGUUACUAACGUGAUCGUGUCAAUUUUAUUGAUUAGAUAUUUUUUCAUGUGUAAAACAAAAUUAUUGAUCAACGAUUUAAAUAAAAAAUCUAGUUAAAAAAAUGCUAUAUAUAAUAUUAAAUGAUAGAUCCUUUCUAAAACCAUACGUAAGGGUUUUGAUCUCCCAUCAGUCCGUAAGCAUUAAAUGUAAAACAAUAGAAUCUUGGGGAUAGAAAGAGUUGGUAAUCUUGAGCAUUCAAUUAAAAAAUUCAACACAAAACAUAAUCAAGCAGAAUUUGCAAGAAGAACAAUGAUACAACACAUAUCCAAGCUGAAGUUUUGAUGUGUGGUUAAGAGAUUCGUUGGUUUAGAUGGUGAAGAAUCUUAUAGAGUUUCCGUUAUUGAUGCACAUUUACAAGUAGAGGUUAAUGGUGUUUCUGAUUAACGGCAGAAAAUCUGUACGCAAAAUAUUGGCUCGAGAGGAGAGAAAGAGAAAUAGAAAAAGUAGAAAAAUAAGGUGGUGACAAGAGAGAGCACCAUUAACCUUCACAAGCAUUCACAUACAGUACGUUUAAGAAGAAAGCUCCAAAGCUCCAAAGGAGUUUUGGAAGGAGAAUUUGAAACGUUGUUGGAAGAAGAGUUGUGACGGUGAUCAAAGUGAGACACCAAACAAUAAUGGAGCAUAAACCGGUUGAAAAUUAACUGAAGAAAAAGUGGAUAAGAUGCACGCGUAAAACAUCAUGGAGGCGUUAUGGUGAUCAAAGAAAGACACCAAAAAAAAGGAUACUUACCUCGGAUAAAAAUAGAGCAUAAUUCGGUUAUAGAGAUAGCCGAAGCAAAAAUCAAAAAGUUUAACGCAGAAAUUUGGUGAUCAAGAAAAACUAAAAAGAAAUAAGAAGAAAGCUACUUAAAAGAAAGUGUGUGGAAGAAGGUUGGAAAAACAAGGGACGUGAACGUGACUGAAAAUAUCACAGAGGGGACGUGACAAUGUUUAUAACUUGUGUGAUACGAAAUCACCAAGAGGGAUACAAAGAUGUCAUUCUACUCCUUUGAAAAAUUGAAAGCUAUGACGAACUAAGAAGGAAGCUUAGUGUAAGACCGAAACUCAAUUAAGGGCGAGUGUUGGUCGAUAAUUGAUUUUCAGAGUUACGACGUUUAGUUCGUGGCGUAUCUGUUUGUUUUUUUUUUCACUGAACAGUCACUAAGUAUGAAGAGACACAAGUAAAUGUGUUGUUGUCACUAGAUCAAUCGGACAACAAACAACAAGCCAUACACAACAUGAAAUGGUACUUACAUACGUUUCAUAGAAUAUUCAGUAUAUUUGUAUUGUAUUAUGAAGAAUACUACAUUUGAUUUAGACAUAUUUUUUGAGUUUUUAAUACAUAUCUCGUGAAACUCAAGGCUCCACACCUUGCAAUGCAAACAUUUUCUCUUUUUAUUUGUUAUUUUUUAUUCUACCUUAUCUUUUAUUUGAUUGGUUUGAACAAAAUCUAAGAAUUUGAUCAUAGCUUAUGUUUUAUUCAAACUUAUCUUUUAUUUGACUGGUUUGAAAUAGUAUUUAAUCUUUUAUUUGACUUGUUUGAACUUUAUACUAGUAGUUUCUUGAUAAAGUUACCCUUAAAAACCCAUCAAUUUGAUUCCCCCUUCCCCAAAAAAAAAAAAACCAAACAAGCAAAGGAAAAAAAUCUUAUAAAUUUUAUUCUUCAUUAAUUUAAUUUUUUGACUAUAAAAAAUAAAGAAAUAAUUUUUUUGACUAAGUAAAUCAAAUUAAAUAUGAAGUCAAAGUGCCACGUUUCAAAUAACCAUAAAGGAAAUGCUCAUUAAGUGGUAAGAAAAGAUUUAACUUAUCUUAACAUGUAGGAUUUCUUUUUCCCCUUAUUUGUGUUUAUGGUUUGGGUUUAAAAAUCAUUCCGGAAACAAGAAAUAUUUUAUUUAUGUCUUUCAUAUCUUCUCUCCCACCUGAUUUUCACAAAAAAAUUGCUUUAUCCACCGGUAAAAUAUAAUGUAUAAUGUCAAGCCUGCGAGAUACGACAAAUACCAAAGCGUAGCAACAAUUAGACAAGUAAAAUCUGGUUCUUAUAAUUUUUUUUGGUUUUUUUUUAUCUAUGACAUAUUCAGAUCUAUAAGUCUUUUGACAAUCGAAUUAUAUGCAAAUAGGCUUGAAGAAGAAGCAUAUAAGGACAGAAGAGGAUGAUGAACGAAGUAAGAACUUUUGUUUAAUCCUUUUUAUUCGUGAGUUUAGCACUGAAGUAUUUGAAGCUUUUUUUAAAUCCUAUGUGGAUUUAUUUUGACACAGUACAUACGAGAGGGAAGAGAGUGAGGAUGAACAAUUAACGAUCUAAAGCUGUUUCGUCUUCAUUGAACAACUCUCGUUCUGUGCGCUUUGCUAUAUGGCUUCAAAAUCAAAUGAAAACUCUCUCGUGAGUGUACUCGCAUUAAAACAGCUUUGUGCAUUUCGUUUCAGAUGUGAUUGUUGUUUUGUUAGUCCAGUUUAGUUUAGGAGAAUUAAUACUUUUCAAAACAAAAUGAAUAGUUCAAUAUGGUUUUGCUUAGGCUUGUGUACUUGUUCUAUAUGUUUUACCUUGAAUUUUGGUUUACAUUGACAGUCUUUUAUUCAAGCUACCAAUCAAAUUUUGUUUGGAUUUUGUUUAUUAUAUCAAUCAAUUAAAAUUAAAAAACGAAACUAAAGAUUUUAAUUUUUUUUUGAUGGAUUUGAUUUAUAUAUUAUGAGUUUUUCCAUAUUUGAUAUUUGUUAGUCAAAGCUUUUUUUUUUAAUUAUCAGGUAAAAAUCCAACGAAGAAUCUCCUCUCUUGUAAGUUGUAAAUAUAGGUUUGAAGAAGAAGCAUACAAGGGGACAGAAGAAGGUGCUGAACCAGAUAACACCACUAACAUCAUCUUAGUUUGAUGAGUUGUAAAUUAAGGUAUCUGAAGCGGGUUUUGACUUGUGUGCUUUUUUUGUUGACACAGUAUGUACGAGAUGGAAAAAACAGAGAAUGAACAAUUCAUAACCCGAAGUUGGUUCGUCUUCACUGAACAACCCUAGUUGUGUGCGCUUUGCUAUGUCUUCAUAAUCAAAGGAAAAUUCUCUGGUGAGUUCACUCGCAUAUGAACCGCUUUGUGUAUCUUGUUUCAGAUGUGAAUGUUGUUUUUUUUUUCUUAGUUUAGUCUAGGAGAGUUAAUACUUGUAGAAACAAAAUCAAAAGUUUAUUAAUUCAUUAUGUUUUUGGUUUUAGUUUUUUACAUACCUUAGGCUUAUCUAUUGUAUUUAAUUGUAUUUUUGGUUUCCAAAGAGUGGAAUUUUACAGGAGAAAACAUUUUUUCUGCAAACAAUGUUCGUAUAGCCAUCGAAGAAUUAACAUCAAGGUAACACCAAUAUGUUGUUUAUUCUUGAUGUAUGCUUGAAGUUUUUGGUCAAGUACAAACUCGUGAAUGAUCAGAGCUUAAUAUAUAUUUAAGUUUGGGCACAAAGUCACACCAAUUCUGAUUGAUGUUGUCUCUUCGUUGGAUUCAAUUAUUCAAUAUGGAGAAGUGAUUCCAGCUGCCUUAUAAAUCCAAUAUUUCAUUGGUCAUGUCUAACUAUGUCUUUAUUUUUUGGUGAAUAUAAGGCACAAGUUUUGAGCAAGGCAACUACACUACCUGAACAUAAUCCAAUAAACCUAGCUAUUUACAAUGCAAUUACCCUUGGAAGAAUAGCAUUGGUUCGUCUAGACCUCGUUCCACCACUCUUUGAAUACUUUAUGGAGAGUAAAAUGAUUCUAAAUCCAAAAAAAACAAGACAUUGGAAACGUUAGCAAACCUUGUUUUUUGGAUUUAGAGUCUUUUGCUCUCCAUGAAGUAGUUCAAGUGUGGUGGAAAGAGGUCUGUACGAACCCGUGCUAGUAUCCCAAGGUAAUUGCACUGUUAACAGGUAGGUCAAUUGGCUUGUUGUUUAGAUAAUGUAAUUGCAUUCCUCAAAAAUUUUGCCUUAUUCACCAAAAAAAAGAGGCAUAGUUAGAUAUGGCGGCAAAAAAAAUUGGAUUUAUAAGGCUGCUAAAGUCACCUCUCUAUAUUGAAUAAUUGAGCCCAUGGAAGAGACAACAUCGGUCACAAUUGUUGAGACUUUGUGACCAAACUGAAAUAUAUAUUGAGCUCUUAAAAUUCACGAGUUUGUACUUAGCUAGAAACUUCAAGCAUACAUCGAGAAUAAGCAGCAUGUUGUUGUUACCUCGUAUGCUAAAUCUCCAAUGGCUAUACAAGCAUUGUUUGCAGAAGCAAGUUUUUCGCUAUUAAAACUUCCAGUCUAUAGAAAUCAAAAAUACGAUCAAAAUUAUGUACAUAUAGUAUUUGUUUUACGUCAGUUUUGGUUAAUAUAUGUAGUCGUUUACUAAAGCUUGCUACACAAAAUUUUGUUUGGAUUCUUUUAGUAGCAAAUAAUUUUACCUUACAGUGGAAAUUUUACGGGAGAACACCUUGCUUCUGCAAACAAUGGUUGUAUAGCCAUUAGAAAAUUAGCAUUCGAGUCUUAAUGUAUGCUUGAAGUUUUUGGUUAAGUUAAAACUCGUUACUGACAAGUGCUAAUUAUAUCUUUCAGUUUGGUUAGGAAGUCUUACCAAUUGUGACUGAUGUGUCUCUUCCUUGGGCUGGACUAUUCAAUACGGAGAAGUGACUCUAGCAGCCUUAUAAAUUUAAUAUUUUAUUGUCGAUGUUUAGACAUGCAUGGCCAAUGAUACAUUGCUUCGUUUAUUAGACCACUAGAAUCACCGCUCCGUAUUGAAUAAUCGAGCCAAAGGAAGAGACAACAUUGAUCUCAUUUGGUGAGACUUAGGGACCAAACUGAAAUGUAAUUGAUCUCUUAUCAUUCACUUGUUUUUACGAAACGAUAAACUUCAAGUAUACAUCGACAAUAAAUAGCAAAAUGGUGUUACCUCAUAUGGUAAUUUUCCAAUGGCUAUACAAGCUUUGUUUGCAGAAGCAAGGUUUCUACGGUAAAAUUUCCACUCAAUACAAAUCAGAAUUACUAUUGAAUACAAUAGCUAAUCAUAAAUACAAUCAAAAGUAUGUACUUUUUCCAUUAGUUUUACCUUAGUUUUGGUUUAAAUUGAAAGUUAUUUACUGAAGCUAGCUAUACCAAAUUUUGUUUGCAUUCUGUUAAUUGAAUCUACCAAAUUUAAAAAUAAAGAAAUUAAGAGAUUUUGGUCGAUGGAUUUGAUUCAUAUAAUAUGAUAUUUUCAAUGAAGUGUUAUUCCAGUAAUCUUCUCAACACAAAUCUACAUCAAAUCAGCAGUUUUCAUUAUCAACAUAGGGAGUCACAAACAAUUUUUGAAUUUCAUGUUAACAUAAGAGAUAUUUCAUUAUGACGAUGUGGUCGGGAUUUUGAAUAUCAAGAUAUGGAAUAAUAGCUAUAAGAGUUGGUUGGAAAAUUAUGUAAGGUGAAUGGCAUAAACAAAGGAGAUUCAUCUACUUUCGAGUACAGAAAUCAAGAAGAAAACACAACUCUGGUGUUUAGGAUACGUUCUAAGUCCCGAGCCUAAAAAGAUGUAAGUAACAUAAUUAAGCAUUGUAAUUAUUAGAACUUUUAUUAAAGAAAAUUCAUUGUUUUUUGUUUAUUAAGUUAAGAAGCUAGCAAAUAAAUAUGAUUUCAUCAUGUUUAGUUUAAUGGUGCAUGUUUAUGAUAUUAGAAUGGCCAUGUUUUGUUUCGGAUUAAAUUUUGUUUAAGAAUUUUAUUAUGACAUAUUCAACUGUGUACAUUUUGGUGUACGUGAAACUAAAACAUUUAAUCUGAAAUCUCUACAAUAGAAAAAUAAUUACCAAAUUCUAUUUUAGCUAUUAAAUAAAAUUCGUUAUACUAUUUACUUAAAUAAGAUACAAAGCUAUCAUACUGUCUACUUAAAUAGUAUACAAAACUAUCUUUCUCAAAGUACUAUAUCUUAAUUAGUUAUCUUAUUAUAAAAAUUAGUUUCCAAAACUAGUAACUAACGUGAUCGUGUCAAUUUUAUCGAUUAGAUAUUUUUUCAUGUGUAAAACAAAAUUAUUGAUCAACGAUAUAAAUAAAAAAUCUAGUUAAAAAAUACGCUAUAUAUAAUAUUAAAUGAUAGACCCUUUCUGAAAACAUACGUAAGGGUUUUGAUCUCCCAUCAGUCCGUACGCAUUAAAUGUAAAACAAUAGAAUCUUGGGGAUAGAAAGAGUUGGAAAUCUUGAGCAUUCAAAUAAAAAUUUGCAACACAACACAUAUCCAAGCAGAAGUUGCAAGAAGAACAAUGAUACAACACAUAUCCAAGCUGAAGUUUUGAUGUGUGGUUAAGAGAUUUGUUGGUUUAGAUGGUGAAUAAUCUUAUAGAGUUUCCGUUAUUGAUGCAUAUUUACAAGUAGAGGUUAAUGGUAUUUUUGAUUAACGGCAAAAAACCUGCAGGCAAAAUAUUGGCUCGAGAGGAGAGAAAGAGAAAUAGAAAAAAUAGAAAAUAAGGUAGUGACAAGAGAGAGCACCAUUAACCUUCACAAGCAUCCACAUACAGUACGUUUAAGAAGAAAGCUCCAAAGCUCCAAAGGAGUUGUGGAAGGAGAAUUUUGAAACGUUGUUCGAAGAAGAGUCGUGACGGUGAUCAAAGUGAGACACCAAACAAUAAUGGAGCAUAAACCGGUUGAAAAUUUAACUGAAGAAAAAGUGGAUAAGAUGCACGCGUAAAACAUCAUGGAGACGUUAUGGUGAUCAAAGAAAGACACCAAAAAAGAGGAUACUUACCUCGGAGAAAAAUAGAGCAUAAUUCAGUUAUAGAGAUAGCCAAAGAAAAAAUGAAAAAGUUUACGCAGAAAUUUGGUGAUCAAGAAGAAACUAAAAGGAAAUAAGAACAAAACUACUUAAAAGAAAGUGAGUGGAAGAAGGUUGAAAACAAAAGGGACGUGAAUGUGACUGAAAAUAUCACAGAAGGGACGUGACAAUGUUUAUAACUUGUGUGAUAAGAAAUCACCAAGAAGGAGACAAAGAUGUCAUUCUACUCCUUUGAAAGCUAUGACGAACGAAGAAGGAAGCUUAGUGUAAGACCAAAACUCAAUUAAGGGGGAGUGUUAGUCGAUAAUUGAUUUUCAGAGUUACAACGUUUAGAUCGUGACGUUUCUGUUUGUUUUGUUUCACUGAACAGUCACUAAGUAUGAAGUGACACAAGUCAAUGUGUUGUUGUCACUAGAUCAAUCGGACAACAAGCCAUACACAACAUAAAAUGGUACUUACAUACGUUUCAUAGAAUAUUCAAUCUAUUUGUAUUGUAUCAUGAAGUAUAGUACAUUUGAUUUAGACAUAUUUUUUGAGUUUUUAAUACAUAUCUCGUGAAACCCAAGGCUCCACACCUUGCAAUGCAUACAUUUUCUCCUUUUAUUUGUUGUUUUUUAUUCUAUCUUAUCUUUUAUUUGAUUGGUUUGAACAAAAUCUAAGAAUUUGAUGAUAGCUUAUCUCAUAUUCAAACUUAUCUUUUAUUUGACUGGUUUGAAAUAGUAUUUAAUAUUUUAUUUGACUUGUUUGAACUUUGAACCAGUAGUUUCUUGGAUAAACUUACCCUUAAAACCCCAUCAAUUUGAUUCCCCCUUCCCCAAAAAAAAAAGCAAACAACGAAAGGAAAAAAUCUUACAAAUUUUUUUCUUCAUUAAUUUAAUUUGUUGACUAUAAAAAAUAAAGAAAUAAAUUUUUUGACUAAGUAAAUCAAAUUAAAUAUGAAGUCAAAGUGCUACAUUUCAAAUUACCAUAAAGGAAAUGCUCAUUAAGUGGUAAGAAAAGAUUUAGCGUAUCUUAACAUGUAGGAGUUCUUUUUCCCCUUAUUAGUGUUUAUGGUUUGGGUUUAAAAAUCAUUAAUGAAACAAGAAAUAUUUUAUUUAUAUCUUUCAUAUCUUCUCUCCAACCUGAUUUUCAUAGAAAAAAUUGCUUUCUCCACCGGCAAAAGAUAAUGUAUAAUGUCAAGCCUGCGAGAUACAACAAAUACCAAAGCGUAGCAACAAUUAGACAAGUAAAGUCUGGUUCUUAUAAAAAUUUUUGGUUUUUUUUUUUAUCUAUGACAUAUUCAGAUUUAUAAUUCUUUUGACAAUCGAAUUAUAAGCAAAUAGGCUUUAAUAAGAAGCAUAUAAGGACAGAAGAGGAUGAUGAACGAAGUAAGAACUUUUGUUUAAUCCUUUUUAUUGGUGAGUUUAGCACUAAAGUAUUUGAAGCUUGUUUUAAAUCUUAUGUGGUUUUAUUUUGACACUGUACAUACGAGAGGGAAGAGAGUGAGGAUGAACAAUUAACGAUCUGAAGCUGGUUCGGCUUCAUUGACCAACUCUCGUUCUGUGCGCUUUGCUAUGGCUUAAAAAUCAAAUGAAAACUCUCUCGUGAGUGUACUCGCAUUAAAACAGCUUUGUGCAUUUCGUUUCAGAUGUGAUUGUUGGUUUGUUAGUCCAGUUUAAUUUAGGAAAAUUAAUACGUUUCAAAACAAAAUGAAUAGUUCAAUAUGGUUUUGCUUAGGCUUAUGUACUUGUUCUAUAUGUUUUACCUUGAAUUUUGGUUUACAUUGACAGUCUUUUAUUCAAGCUACCAAUCAAAUUUUGUUUGGAUUUUGUUAACUAUAUCAAUCAGUUAAAAUUAAAAAAUGAAACUAAAGAUUUUAAUUUCUUUUGAUGGAUUUGAUUUAUAUAUUAUGAGUUUUUCCAUAUUUGAUAUUUUUUAGUCAAAGCUUUUUUUUUUUAAUUAUCAGGUAAAAAUCCAACGAAGAGUCUCCUCUCUUGUAAGUUGUAAAUAUAGGUUGGAAGAAGAAGCAUACAAGGGGACAGAAGAAGGUGCUGAACCAGAUAACACCACUAACAUCAUCUUAGUUUGAUGAGUUUUAAAUUAAGCUAUCUGAAGCGGGUUUUGACUUGUGUGCUUUUUUUGUUGACACAGUACGUACGAGAUGGAAAAAACAGAGAAUGAACAAUUUGUAACCCGAAGUUGGUUCGUCUUCACUGAACAACCCUAGUUGUGUGCGCUUUGCUAUGUCUUCAUAAUCAAAGGAAAAUUCUCUGGUGAGUUCACUCGCAUAUAAACCGCUUUGUGUAUCUUGUUUCAGAUGUGAAUGUUGUUUUUUUGUCUAGUUUAGUCUAGGAGAGUUAAUACUUGUAGAAACAAAAUCAAAAGUUUAUUAAUUCAUUAUGUUUUUGGUUUUAGUUUUUUACAUACCUUAGACUUAUCUAUUGUAUUUAAUUGUAUUUUUGGUUUCCAGAGAGUGGAAUUUUACAAGAGAAAACAUUUCUUCUGCAAACAAUGCUUGUAUAGCCAUCAAAGAAUUAACAUUCAAGGUAACACAAAUAUGUUGUUUAUUCUUGAUGUAUGCUUGAAGUUUUUGGUCAAGUACAAACUCGUGAAUGAUCAGAGCUUAAUAUAUAUUUAAGUUUGGGCACACCAAUUCUGAUUGAUGUUGUUUUUUAGUUGGAUUCAAUUAUUCAAUAUGGAGAAGUGAUUCCAGCAGCCUUAUAAAUCCAAUAUUUUAUUGCUCAUGUCUAACUAUGUCUUUAUAUUUUGGUGAAUAUAAGGCACAAGUUUUGAGCAAUGCAACUACACUACCUGAACAUAAUCCAAUAAACCUAGCUGUUUACAAUGCAAUUACCCAUGGAAGACUAGCAUCGGUUCGUCUAGACCUCGUUCCACCACUCUUUGAAUACUUUAUGAAGAGUAAAAUGAUUCUAAAUCCUAAUUUUACUCUCCAUGAAGUACUUCAAGUGUGGUGGAAAGAGGUCUUUACGAACCCGUGCUAGUAUCCCAUGGUAAUAGCACUGUUAACAGCUAGGUCAAUUGGCUUGUUGUUUAGAUAAUGUAAUUGCAUUCCUCAAAAAUUUUGCCUUCUUCACCAAAAAAAAAGAGGCAUAGUUAGACAUGGAAAAAAAAAUUGGAUUUAUAAGGCUGCUAGAGUCACCUCUCUAUACUGAAUAAUUGAGCCCAAGGAAGAGACAACAUCGGUCACAAUUGUUGAGACUUUGUGACCAAACUGAAAUAUAUAUUGAGCUCUUAUCAAUCACGAGUUUGUACUUAGCUAGAAACUUCAAGCAUAAAUCGAGAAUAAGCAGCAUGUUGUUGUGACCUCGUAUGCUAAAUCUCCAAUGGCUAUACAAGCAUUGUUUGUAGAAGCAAGUUUUUCGCUAUUAAAACUUCCAGUCUAUAGAAAUCAAAAAUACGAUCAAAAUUAUGUACAUAUAGUAUUUGUUUUACGUCAGUUUUGGUUAAUAUAUGUAGUCGUUUACUAAAGCUUGCUACACAAAAUUUUGUUUGGAUUCUUUUAGUAGCAAAUAAUUUUACCUUACAGUGGAAAUUUUACGGGAGAACACCUUGCUUCUGCAAACAAUGGUUGUAUAGCCAUUAGAAAAUUAGCAUUCGAGGUAACACUAAUAUGCUGUUUACUCUUAAUGUAUGCUUGAAGUUUUUGGUUAAGUUAAAACUCGUUACUGACAAGUGCUAAUUAUAUCUUUCAGUUUGGUUAGGAAGUCUUACCAAUUGUGACUGAUAUAUCUCUUCCUUGGGCUGGACUAUUCAAUAUGGAGAAGUGACUCUAGCAGACUUAUAAAUUUAAUAUUUUAUUGGCCAUGUCUAGACAUGCAUGGCCAAUAAUACAUUGCUUCAUUUAUAAGACCACUAGAAUCACCUCUCCGUAUUGAAUAAUCGAGCCCAAGGAAGAGACAACAUUGAUCUCAUUUGGUGAGACUUAGGGACCAAACUGAAAUGUAAUUGAUCUGUUAUCAUUCACGAGUUUUUACCUAACGAGAAACUUCAAGUAUACAUCGACAAUAAAUAGCAAAAUGGUGUUACCUCGUAUGGUAAUUCUCCAAUGGCUAUACAAGCUUUGUUUGCAAAAGCAAGGUUUUCUCCGGUAAAAUUUCCACAAAAUACAAAUCAAAAUUACUACUAAAUCCAAUAGCUAAUCAUAAAUACAAUCAAAAGUAUGUACUUGUUCUAUUAGUUUUACUUUAGUUUUGGUUUAAAUUGAUAGUUAUUUACUGAAGCUAGCUAUACCAAAUUUUGUUUGCAUUCUGUUAAUUGAAUCUACCAAAUUUAAAAAUAAAGAAAUUAAGAGAUUUUGGUCGAUGGAUUUGAUUCAUAUAUUAUGAUAUUUUCCAUUUCUGUUAGUCAUGGUUAUUUUAAUGAUAUUGCAAAAGUAAUUAAGUGUUAUUCCAUUAAUCUUCUCAACACAAAUCUAUAUCAAAUCAGCAGUUUUUAAUAUCAACAUAGGGAGUCACAAACAAAUUUUGAAUUUGAUGUUAACAUAAGAGAUAUUUCAUUAUGACGAUGUGGUCGGGAUUUCGAAUAUCAAGAGAUGGAAUAAUAGCUACAGGAGUUGGUUGGAAAAUUUAUGUAAGGUGAAUGGCAUAAACAAAGGAGAUUCAUCUACUUUAGAGUUCAGAAAUCAAGAAGAAGACACAACUCUGGUGUUUAGGAUACGUCCUAUGUCCUGAGUCUAAAAAGAUGUAUGUAACAUAAUUAAGCAUUGUAUUUAUUAGAACUUUUAUUAAAGAAGAUUCAUUGUUUUUUUGUUUAUUAAGUUAAGAAGCUAGCAAAUAAAUAUGAUUUCAUCAUGUUUAGUUUAAUGGUGGAUGUUUAUGAUAUUAGAAUGGCCAUGUUUUGUUUCGGAUUAAAUUUUAUUUAAGAAUUUAUUCUGACAUAUUCAACUGUGUACAUUUUGGUGUAUGUGAAACUAAAACAUUUAAUUUAAAAUCUCUACAGUAGAAAAAUAUUUACCAAAUUCUAUUUUAGCUAUUAAAUAACUUUCGUUAUAGUAUUUACUUAAAUAGGAUACAAAACUAGCAUACUGUCUACUUAAAUAGUAUACAAAACUAUCUUUCUCAAAGUACUAUAUCUUAAUUAGUUAUCUUAUUAAUAAACAUUAGUUUCCAAAACUAGUAACUAACGUGAUCGUGUCAAUUUUAUCGAUUAGAUAUUUUUUUAUGUGUAAAACAAAAUUAUUGAUCAACGAUAUAAAUAAAAAUCUAGUUAAAAAAUACGCUAUAUAUAAUAUUAAAUGAUAGACCCUUUCUGAAAACAUACGUAAGGGUUUUGAUCUCCCAUCAGUCCGUAAGCACUAAAUGUAAAACAAUAGAGUCUUGGGGAUCGAAAGAGUUGGUAAUCUUGAGCAUUCAAAUAAAAAUAUGCAACACAACACAUAUCCAAGCAGAAGUUGCAAGAAGAGAAAUGAUACAACACAUAUCCAAGCUGAAGUUUUAAUGUGUGGUUAAGAGAUUUGUUGGUUUGGAUGGUGAAGAAUCUUAUAGAGUUUCCGUUAUUGAUGCACAUUUACAAGUAGAGGUUAAUGGUGUUUUUGAUUAACGGCAGAAAAUCUGUAGGCAAAAUAUUGGCUCGAGAGGAGAGGAAGAGAAAUAGAAAAAAUAGAAAAAUAAGGUGGUGACAAGAGAGAGCACCAUUAACCUUCACAAGCAUUCACAUACAAUACGUUUAAAAAGAAAGCUCCAAAGGAGUUGUGGAAGGAGAAUUUUGAAACGUUGUUCGAAGAAGAGUCGUGACGGUGAUCAAAGUGAGACACCAAACAAUAAUGGAGCAUAAACCGGUUGAAAAUUUAACUGAAGAAAAAGUGGAUAAGAUGCGCGCGUAAAACAUCAUGGAGACGUUAUGGUGAUCAAAGAAAAACACCAAAAAAAAGGAUACUUACCUCGGAGAAAAAUAGAGCAUAAUUCGGUUAUAGAGAUAGCCGAAGCAAAAAUGAAAAAGUUUACGCAGAAAUUUGGUGAUCAAGAAGAAACUAAAAGGAAAUAAGAACAAAACUACUUAAAAGAAAGUGAGUGGAAGAAGGUUGAAAACGAAAGGGACGUGAACGUGACUGAAAAUAUCACAGAGGGGACGUGACAAUAUUUAUAAGUUGUGUGAUAAGAAAUCACCAAGAAGGAGACAAAGAUGUCAUUCUACUCCUUUGAAAGCUAUGACGAACGAAGAAGGAAGCUUAGUGUAAGACCAAAACUCAAUUAAGGGGGAGUGUUGGUCGAUAAUUGAUUUUCCGAGUUACAAUGUUUAGGUCGCGACGUGUCUGUUUGUUUUGUUUCACUGAACAGUCACUAAGUAUGAAGAGACACAAGUCAAUUUGUUGUUGUCACUAGAUCAAUCGGACAACAAGCCAUACACAACAUAAAAUGGUAAUUACAUACGUUUCAUAGAAUAUUCAGUCUAUUUGUAUUGUAUCAUGAAGAAUAGUACAUUUGAUGUAGACAUAUUUUUUGAGUUUUUAAUACAUAUCUCGUGAAACCCAAGGCUCCACACCUUGCAAUGCAUGCAUUUUCUCCUUUUAUUUGUUAUUUUUUAUUCUAUCUUAUCUUUUAUUUGAUUGGUUUGAACAAAAUCUAAGAAUUUGAUCAUAGCUUAUCUUUUAUUCAAAAUUUAUCUUUUAUUUGACUAGUUUGAAAUAUUAUUUAAUCUUUUAUUUGACUUGUUUGAACUUUAUACUAGUAGUUUUUGGAUAAAGUUACCCUUAAAAAUCCAUCAAUUUGAUUGCCCCUUCCCCAAAAAAAAAGCAAACAAUCAAAGGAAAAAAAUCUUAUAAAUUUUAUUCUUCAUUAAUCUAAUUUGUUAACUAUAAAAAAUAAAGAAAUAAAUUUUUUGACUAAGUAAAUCAAAUUAAAUAUGAAGUCAAAGUGCCACGUUUGAAAUUACCAUAAAGGAAAUGCUCAUUAAGUGGUAAGAAAAGAUUUAGCUUAUCUUAACAUGUAGGAUUUUCUUUUUCCCCUUAUUUGUGUUUAUGGCUUGGGUUUAAAAAUCAUUCAGGAAAAAAGAAAUAUUUUAUUUAUGUCUUUCAUAUCUUCUCUCCCACCUGAUUUUCACAAAAAAAAAUUGCUUUCUCCACCGGCAAAAGAUAAUGUUUAAUGUCAAGCCUGCGAGAUACGACAAAUACCCAAGCGUAGCAACAAUUAGAUAAGUAAAGUCUGGUUCUUAUAAAAAUUUUUGGUUUUUUUUUUAUCUAUGACAUAUUCAGAUUUAUAAGUCUUUUGACAAUCGAAUUACAAGCAAAUAGGCUUGAAGAAAAAGCAUAUAAGGACAGAAGAGGAUGAUGAACGAAGUAAGAACUUUUGUUUAAUCCUUUUUAUUGGUGAGUUUAGCACUAAAGUAUUUGAAGCUUGUUUUAAAUCUUAUGUGGUUUUAUUUUGACACUGUACAUACGAGAGGGAAGAGAGUGAGGAUGAACAAUUAACGAUCUGAAGCUGGUUCGGCUUCAUUGACCAACUCUCGUUCUGUGCGCUUUGCUAUGGCUUAAAAAUCAAAUGAAAACUCUCUCGUGAGUGUACUCGCAUUAAAACAGCUUUGUGCAUUUCGUUUCAGAUGUGAUUGUUGGUUUGUUAGUCCAAUUUAAUUUAGGAAAAUUAAUACUUUUCAAAACAAAAUGAAUAGUUCAAUAUGGUUUUGCUUAGGCUUAUGUACUUGUUCUAUAUGUUUUACCUUGAAUUUUGGUUUGCAUUGACAGUCUUUUAUUGCAGCUACCAAUCAAAUUUUGUUUGGAUUUUGUUAAUUAUAUCAAUCAAUUAAAAUUAAAAAACGAAACUAAAGAUUUUAAUUUGUUUUGAUGGAUUUGAUUUAUAUAUGAUGAGUUUUUCCAUAUUUGACAUUUGUUAGUCAAAGCUUUUUUUUUAAUUAUCAGGUAAAAAUCCAACAAAGAGUCUCCUCUCUUGUAAGUUGUAAAUAUAGGUUUGAAGAAGAAGCAUACAAGGGGACAGAAGAAGGUGCUGAACCAGAUAACACCACUAACAUCAUCUUAGUUUGAUGAUUUUUAAAUUAAGGUAUCUGAAGCGGGUUUUGACUUGUGUGAUUUUUUUUGUUGUCACAGUACGUACGAGAUGGAAAAAACAGAGAAUGAACAAUUCAUAACCCGAAGUUGGUUCGUCUUCACUGAACAACCCUAGUUGUGUGCGCUUUGCUAUGUCUUCAUAAUCAAAGGAAAAUUCUCUGGUGAGUUCACUCGCAUAUGAAUCACUUUGUGUAUCUUGUUUCAGAUGUAAAUGUUAUUUUUUGGUCUAGUUUAGUCUAGGAAAGUUAAUACUUGUCGAAACAAAAUCAAAAGUUUAUUAAUUCAUCAUGUUUUUGGUUUUAGUAUUUUACAUACCUUAGGCUUAUCUAUUGUAUUUAAUUGUAUUUUUGGUUUCCAGAGAGUGGAAUUUUACAGGAGAAAACAUUUCUUCUGCAAACAAUGCUUGUAUAGCCAUCGAAGAAUUAACAUUCAAGGUAACACUAAUAUGUUGUUUAUUCUUGAUGUAUGCUUGAAGUUUUUGGUCAAGUACAAACUCGUGAAUGACCAGAGCUUAAUAUAUAUUUAAGUUUGGGCACAAAGUCACACCAAUUCUGAUUGAUGUUGUCUCUUCGUUGGAUUCAAUUAUUCAAUAUGGAGAAGUGAUUCUAGCAGCCUUAUAAAUCCAAUAUUUUAUUGGUAAUGUCUAACUAUGUCUUUAUUUUUUGGUUAAUAUAAGGCACAAGUUUUGAGCAAUGCAACUACACUACUUGAACAUAAUCCAAUAAACCUAGCUGUUUACAAUGCAAUUACCCUUGGAAGACUAGCAUGUGUUCGUCAAGACCUCGUUCCACCACUCUUUGAAUACUUUAUGGAGAGUAAAAUGAUUCUAAAUCCAAAAAAACAAGAAAUUGGAAACGUUAGCAAACCUAAUUUUUUGGAUUGAGAGUCUUUUUACUCUCCAUGAAGUACUUCAAGUGUGGUGGAAAGAGGUCUGUACGAGCCCGUGCUAGUAUCCCAUGGUAAUAGCACUGUUAACAGCUAGGUCAAUUGGCUUGUUGUUUAGAUAAUGUAAUUGCAUUCCUCAAAAAUUUUGCCUUCUUCACCAAAACAAAAGAGGCAUAGUUAGACAUGGCAAAAAAAAAAUGGAUUUAUAAGGCUGUUAGAGUCACCUCUCUAUAUUGAAUAAUUGAGCCCAAGGAAGAGACAACAUCGGUCACAAUUGUUGAGACUUUGUGACCAAACUGAAAUAUAUAUUCAGCUCUUAUCAUUCACGAGUUUGUACUUAGCUAGAAACUUCAAGCAUACAUCGAGAAUAAGCAGCAUGUUGUUGUGACCUCGUAUGCUUAAUCUCCAAUGGAUAUACAAGCAUUGUUUGCAGAAGCAAGUUUUUCGCUAUUAAAACUUCCAGUCUAUAGAAAUCAAAAAUACGAUCAAAAUUAUGUACAUAUUGUAUUUGUUUUACGUGAGUUUUGGUUAAUACUUGUAGUCGUUUACUAAAGCUAGUUAAACCAAAUUUUGUUUGGAUUCUUUUAGUAGCAAAUAAUUUUACCUUACAGUGGAAAUUUUACGGGAGAACACCUUGCUUCUGCAAACAAUGGUUGUAUAGCCAUUAGAGAGUUAGCAUUCUAGGUAACACCAAUGCUCUUGAUGUAUGCUUGAAGUUUUUGGUUAAGUUAAAACUCGUUAAUGACAAGUGACAAUUAUAUCUUUCAGUUUGGUUAGGAAGUCUUACCAAUUGUGACUGAUAUAUCUCUUCCUUGUGCUGGACUAUUCAAUAUGGAGAAGUGACUCUAGCAGCCUUAUAAAUUUAAUAUUUUAUUGGCCAUGUCUAGACAUGCAUGGCCAAUAAUACAUUGGUUCAUUUAUAAGACCACUAGAAUCACCUCUCCGUAUUGAAUAAUCGAGCCCAAGGAAGAGACAACAUUGAUCUCAUUUGGUGAGACUUAGGGACCAAACUGAAAUGUAAUUGAUUUGUUAUCAUUCACGAGUUUUUACCUAACGAGAAACUUCAAGUAUACAUCGACAAUAAAUAGCAAAAUGGUGUUACCUCGUAUGGUAAUUCUCCAAUGGCUAUACAAGCUUUGUUUGUAGAAGCAAGGUUUUCUCCGGUAAAAUUUCCACUAAAUACAAAUCAAAAUUACUAUUAAAUCCAAUAGCUAAUCAUAAAUACAAUCAAAAAUAUGUACUUGUUCUAUUAGCUUUACUUUAGUUUUGGUUUAAAUUGAUAGUUAUUUACUGAAGCUAGCUAUACCAAAUUUUGUUUGCAUUCUGUUAAUUGAAUCUACCAAAUUUAAAAAUAAAGAAAUUAAGAGAUUUUGGUCGAUGGAUUUGAUUCAUAUAUUAUGAUAUUUUCCAUUUCUGUUAGUCAUGGUUAUUUUAAUGAUAUUGCAAAAGUAAUUAAGUGUUAUUCCAUUAAUCUUCUCAACACAAAUCUACAUCAAAUCAGCAGUUUUCAAUAUCAACAUAGGGAGUCACAAACAAACGUUGAAUUUGAUGUUAACAUAAGAGAUAUUUCAUUAUGACGAUGUGGUCGGGAUUUCGAAUAUCAAGAGAUGGAAUAAUAGCUACAGGAGUUGGUUGGAAAAAUUAUGUAAGGUAAAUGGCAUAAAAAAGGAGAUUCAUCUACUUUAGAGUUCCGAAAUCAAGAAGAAGACACAACUCUGGUGUUUAGGAUACGUCUUAUGUCACGAGUCUAAAAAGAUAUAUGUAACAUAAUUAAGCAUUGUAUUUAUUAGAACUUUUAUUAAAGAAAAUUCAUUGUUUUUUUUUUGUUUAUUAAGUUAAGAAGCUAGCAAAUAAAUAUGAUUUAAUCAUGUUUAGUUUAAUGGUGCAUGUUUAUGAUAUUAGAAUGGCCAUGCUUUGUUUCGGAUUAAUUUUUAUUUAAGAAUUUAUUCUGACAUAUUCAACUGUGUACAUUUUGGUGUACGUGAAAGUAAAACAUUUAAUUUGAAAUCUCUACUAUAGAAAAAUAUUUACCAAAUUCUAUUUUAGCUAUUAAAUAACUUUCGUUAUACUAUAUACUUAAAUAGGAUACAAAACUAUCAUACUGUCUACUUAAAUAGUAUACAAAACUAUCUUUCUCAAAGUACUAUAUCUUAAUUAGUUAUCUUAUUAAUAAAAAUUAGUUUCCAAAACUAAUAACUAACGUGAUCGUGUCAAUUUUAUCGAUCAGAUAUUUUUUCAUGUGUAAAACAAAAUUAUUGAUCAACGAUAUAAAUAAAAAUCUAGUUAAAAAAUACGCUAUAUAUAAUAUUAAUGAUAGACCCUUUCUGAAAACAUACGUAAGGGUUUUGAUCUCCCAUCAGUCCGUAAGCAUUAAAUGUAAAACAAUAGAGUCUUGGGGAUAGAAAGAGUUGGUAAUCUUGAGCAUUCAAAUAAAAAUUUGCAACACAACACAUAUCCAAGCAGAAGUUGCAAGAAGAACAAUGAUACAACACAUAUCCAAGCUGAAGUUUUGAUGUGAGGUUAAGAGAUUUGUUGGUUUAGAUGGUGAAUAAUCUUAUAGAGUUUCCGUUAUCGAUGCACAUUUACAAGUAGAGGUUAAUGGUGUUUUUGAUUAACGGCAAAAAAUCUGUAGGCAAAAUAUUGGCUCGAGAGGAGAGAAAGAGAAAUAGAAAAAUAGAAAAAUAAGGUAGUGACAAGAGAGAAUACCAUUAACCUUCACAAGCAUUCACAUACAGUACGUUUAAGAAGAAAUCUCCAAAGCUCCAAAGGAGUUGUGGAAGGAGAAUUUUGAAAGGUUGUUCGAAGAAGAGUCGUGACGGUGAUCAAAGUGAGACACCAAACAAUAAUAGAGCAUAAACCGGUUGAAAAUUUAACUGAAGAAAAGUGGAUAAGAUGCACGCGUAAAACAUCAUGGAGACGUUAUGGUGAUCAAAGAAAGACACCUAAAAAAGGAUACUUACCUUGGAGAAAAAUAGAGCAUAAUUCGGUUAUAGAGAUAGCCGAAGCAAAAAUGAAAAAGUUUACGCAGAAAUUUGGUGAUCAAGAAGAAACUAAAAGGAAAUAAGAAGAAAGCUACUUAAAAGAAAGUGUGUGGAAGAAGGUUGGAAAAACAAGGGACGUGAACGUGACUGAAAAUAUCACAGAGGGGACGUGACAAUGUUUAUAACUUGUGUGAUAAGAAAUUACCAAGAGGGAGACAAAGAUGUCAUUCUACUCCUAUGAAAAAUUGAAAGCUAUUUCGAACUUAGAAGGAAGCUCAGUGUAAGACCGAAACUCAAUUAAGGGCGAGUAUUGGUCUAUAAUUGAUUUUCAGAGUUACAACGUUUAGUUCGUGGCGUUUCUGUUUGUUUUUUGCACUGAACAGUCACUAAGUAUGAAGAGACACAAGUAAAUGUGUUGUUGUCGCUAGAUCAAUCGGACAAUAAGCCAUACACAACAUGAAAUGGUACUUACAUACAUUUCAUAGAAUAUUCAAUCUAUUUGUAUUGUAUCAUGAAGAAUAGUACAUUUGAUUUAGAAAUAUUGUUUGACUUUUUAAUACAUAUCUCGUGGUAGCCAAGGCUCCACACCUUGCAAUGCAUAUAGUUUCCCCUUUUAUUUGUUAUCUUUUAUUCUACCUUAUAUUUUAUUUGACUAGUUUGAACAAAAUCUAAGAAUUUGAUCGUAACUUAUCUUUUAUUCAAACUUAUCUUUUAUUUGACUAGUUUGAAAUAGUAUUUAAUCUUUUAUUUGACUUGUUUGAACUUUGAACUAGUAGUUUCUUGGAUAAAGUUACCCUUAAAAAUCCAUCAUUUUGAUUCCCCUUUCCCCAAAAAAAUAAAAAGCAAACAACCAAAGGAAAAAAUCUUAUAAAUUUUAUUCUACAUUAAUUUAAUUUGUUGACUAUCAAUGAUUUGUUGAAAUCAAAGUGCCACGUUUCAGAUUAGCAUAAAUGAAAUGCUCAUUAAGUGGUAAGAAAAGAUUUAGCUUAUCUUAACAUGUAGGAUUUUCGUUUUCCCCUUAUUUAUUUUUUUGGUUUGGGUUUAAAAAUCAUUCAGGAAACAAGAAAUAUUUUAAUUAUGUCUUUCAUAUCUUCUCUCCCACCUUAUUUUCACAAAAAAUUGUUUUCUCCACCGGAAAAAGAUAAUUUUUAAUGUCAAUCAUGCGAGGUAUGACAAAUACCCAAGCGUAGUAACAAUUAGACAAGUAAAGUCUGGUUCUUAUAAUUGUUUUUGGUUUUUUUCAUCUAUGACAUAUUCAAAUCUAUAAGUCUUUUGACAAUCGAAUUAUAUGCAAAUAGGCUUGAAGAAGAAGCAUAUAAGGACAGAAGAGGAUGAUGAACGAGGUAAGAACUUUUGUUUAAUCCUUUUUAUCGGUGAGUUUAGCACUGAAGUAUUUGAAGCUUUUUUAAAAUUUUAUGUGGUUUUAUUUUGACACAGUACAUACGAGAGGGAAGAAAGUGAGGAUGAACAAUUAACGAUCCGUGGCUGUUUCGUCUUCAUUGACCAACUCUCGUUCUGUGCGCUUUGCUAUGGCUUCAAAAUCAAAUCAAAACUCUCUCGUGAGUUUACUCGCAUUAAAACAGCUUUGUGCAUCUCGUUUCAGAUGUGAUUGUUGUUUUGUUAGUCCAGUUUAGUUUAGGAGAAAUAAUACUUUGCAAAACAAAAUGAAUAGUUCAAUAUGGUUUUGCUUAGGCUUAUAUACUUGUUCUAUAUGUUUUACCUUGAAUUUUAGUUUACAUUGACAGUUUUUUAUUGAAGCUACCAAACAGAUUUUGUUAAUUAUAUCAAUCAAUUAAAAUUAAAAAACAAAACUAGAGAUUUUAAUUUGUGUUGAUGGAUUUGAUUCAUAUAUUAUGAGUUUUUCCAUAUUUGAUAUUUGUUAGUCAAGGCUUUUUUUUUAAUUAUCAGGUAAAAAUCCAACGAAGAGUCUCCUCUCUUGUAAAUUGUAAAUAUUGGUUUGAAGACGAAGCAUACAAGGGGACAGAAGAAGGUGCUGAACCAGAUAACACCACUAACAUCAUCUUAGUUUGAUGAGUUUUAAAUUAAGGUAUCUGAAACGGGUUUUGACUUGUGUGGUUUUUUUGUUGACACAGCACGUACGAAAUGGAAAAAACUUGGAAUGAACAAUUCAUAACCCGAAGUUGGUUCGUCUUCACUGAACAACCCUAGUUGUGUGCGCUUUAUUAUGACCUAAUAAUGAAAUGAAAAUUCUCUGGUGAGUUCACUCGCAUAUGAACCGCUUUAUGUAUCUUGUUUCAGAUGUGAAUGUUGUUUUUUAGUUUAGUUUAAUCUAGGAGAGUUAAUAUUUCUGGAAACAAAAUUAAAAGUUUAUUAAUUCAUUAUGUUUUUGGUUUUAGUUUUUUACAUACCUUAGGCUUAUCUAUUGUAUUUAAUUGUAUUUAUGGUUUCCAGACAGUGGAAUUUUACGGGAGAAAACAUUUCUUCUGCAAACAAUGCUUGUAUAGCCAUCGAUAAAUUAACAUUCGAGGUAACACAAAUAUGUUGUUUAUUCUUAAUGUAUGCUUGAAUUUUUUGGUCAUGUACAAACUCGUGAAUGAUCAGAGCUCAAUAUAUAUUUAAGUUUGGGCACCAAAGUCACACCAAUUCUGAUCGGUGUUGUCUCUUCGUUGGAUUCGAUUAUUCAAUAUUGAGAAGUGAUUAUAGCAGCCUUAUAAAUCCCAUAUUUAAUUGGUCAUGUCUAACAAUGUCUUUAUUUUUUGGUGAAUAUAAGGCACAAGUUUUGAGCAAUGCAACUACACUACCUGAACAUAAUCCAAUAAAUCUAGAUGUUUACAAUGCAAUUACGCUUGGAAGACUAGCAUGGGUUCGUCUAGACCUUGUUCCACCACUCUUUGAAUACUUUAUGGAGAGUAAAAUGAUUCUAAAUCCAAAAAAAACAAGACAUUGGAAACGUUAGCAAACCUAAUUUUUUGAAUUUAGAGUCUUUUUGCUCUCCAUGAAGUACUUCAAGUGUGGUGGAAAGAGGUCUGUGAGAACCCGUGCUAGUUUCCCAAGGUUAUUGCACUGUUAACAACUAGGUCAAUUGGCUUGUAUUUAGAUAAUGUAAUUGCAUUCCUCAAAAAUUUUGCCUUAUUCACCAAAAAAAAGAGGCAUAGUUAGACAUGGCAAAAAAAAAAUUGGAUUUAUAAGGAUGCUAGAGUCACGUCUCUAUAUUGAAUAAUUGAGCCCUAGGAAGAGACAACAUCGGUCACAAUUGUUGAGACUUUGUGACUAAACUGAAAUAUAUAUUGAGCUCUUAUCAUUCACGAGUUUGUACUUAGCAAGAAACUUCAAGCAUGCAUCGAGAAUAAGCAGCAUGUUGUUGUUACAUCGUAUGCUAAAUCUCUAAUGGCUAUACAAGCAUUGUUUGCAGAAGCAAGUUUUUCGCUAUUAAAAUUUCCAGUCUAUAGAAAUCAAAAAUACGAUCAAAAUUAUGUACCUAUUCUAUUUGUUUUACGUGAGUUUUGGUUAGUAUUUGUAGUCUUUUACUAAAGCUAGCUAAACCAAAAAAUUUUUGGAUUCUAUUAAUAGCAAAUAAUUUUACCUUACAGUGGAAAUUUUACGGGAGAACACCUUGAUUCUGCAAACAAUGGUUGUAUAGCCAUUAGAGAAUUAGAAUUCGAGGUAACACCAAUAUGCUGUUUACUCUUGAUGUAUGCUUGAAGUUUUUGGUUAAGUUAAAACUAGUUAAUGACAAGAGCUAGAUAUAUCUUUUAGUUUAGUUAGGAAGUCUUACCAAUUGUGACUGAUGUGUCUCUUCCUUGGGCUGGACUACUCAAUAUGGAGAAGUGACUCUAGGAGCCUUAUAAAUUUAAUAUUUUAGUGGUCAUGUCUAGACAUGCAUUGCCAAUAAUACAUUGCUUCAUUUAUAAGACGACUAGAAUCACCUCUCCGUAUUGAAUAAUCGAGCCCAAGGAAGAGACAACAUUGAUCUCAUUUGGUGAGACUUAGGGACCAAACUGAAAUGUAAUUGAUCUCUUAUCAUUCACGGGUUUUUACCUAACAAGAAACUUCAAGUAUACAUCGACAAUAAAUAGCAAAAUGGUGUUACCUCAUAUGGUAAUUCUCCAAUGGCUAUACAAGCUUUGUUUGCAGAAGAAAGGUUUUCUCCGGUAAAAUUUCCACUCAAUAAAAAUCAAAAUUACUAUUAAAUACAAUAGCUAAUCAUAAAUACAAUCAAAAGUAUGUACUUUUUCUAUUAGUUUUACCUUAUUUUUGGUUUAAAUUGAUAGUUAUUUACUGAAGCUAGCUAUACAAAAUUUUGUUUGGAUUCUGUUAAUUGAAUCUACCAAAUUUAAAAAUAAAGAAAUUAAAAGAUUUUGGUUGAUGGAUUUGAUUCAUAUAUUAUGAUAUUUUCCAUUUUUGUUAGUCAUGGUUAUUUUAAUGAUAUUGAAAAUGUAAUGAAGUGUUAUUCCAGUAAUCUUCUCAAAUCAGCAGUUUUCAAUAUCAACAUAGGGAGUCACAAACAAAUUAUUAGUAACUGUUAAAAUAAAGUAAAUGUUAGUAACUUGUAUUGAAUCUUUAAAUUAUAAACAUCAAGAUGUCAAACUCAAGAAUAAUUACCUGGUGAUUUCUUAGCUCUAUGCCUUAUAGCCAUAUGAUGACCAAAUAGAUUAGUUGCAUUUUAAAUUCAUCUAUCUCCGACAUUAUCUUAUCUUGAGUAUCAAUUUCUGAAACCAACAUGUUGAUGCAGUUAUACAAACCUUUCAACAUUUCUUCACAACCUACAUCAUCAGGAUUUUCAUACUGGAUUUAUGGAUUGAGAAAGUAGCUAGCUGCAUGCAAAGAACAAUGAAGUUGACACUCCCACCUUUUGUCAAUGAUUUUGAAUGACGUUUUGUAGAGUUCUUCUCUUAUAUUGAAAGACCUCGUAAUUGUUUACAUUGCCCAAUCCAUGGCUGCAUAUAUGUUUCCCAUAGGAGGAUUUCUCACUCCAUCAACCAUUCGGAGAACUUGUACAAGAGGACCUGUCAACUUCAGCGCAUACAAAACAUUCUUCCAAAAACUGUCUUCGAAAAUAUAUGCUCUUACUUUCUUUCCUCUUGAUUGUUUUGGCCACUUGGAAUUAUUCCAUUCUUCAUAAUGAACUUGUGCUAGCAUAAUGAAAGUUGUUGCAAAUCUUGUAAUCGCCGGUCUAUGCAAAUUCCUUUGAUCUGUGAACUUCCUCCUCAUGUUUACAAGAGGAAUAUGACUAUAAAUAUAGUCAUUCAUGAAGAUACACUUUUGUAUUGCACUCUUCACAUUUGAGAUUUUCCUAAUAUCUUAAAGCAUUAUAUCAAUGCAAUGUGCUGUACAUGGGGUCCAGUACAGAUUUGGUCUUUUAGCUUCGAGUAAUUUCCAUGAAUUUUAUAUUCACCAAUAAAAAGUUAGAUUUAAUCAAGAAAUUAAAUUCAAGAAAAAUUAGAUAUUAAAAACGGUAUGAUAUCUCACAUAAUUUGAUGCAUUGUCUGUGACCACUUGGACAACAUUUUUUUCUCCUACUUCCUCGACCAUCUUAUGAAGCAACUGAAAUAACAAUGUCACAUCUUUCACAACUUCUGAUACAGCCAUCGAUUUUAGGAAAGGAGAUCCCGUUGGAGAAUUAACAAGGAAGUUAACAAAAUCCUUCUGAACAACUGAAUCACGCCAUCCAUCAGACAUGUUAGAACACCCUUUAGAUGCCCACUCUUUUUGGUGCUGUACUAGCUGUCUAUUAGUGUUGUUUACAUCUUUCUUAAUUAAAGGAACUCUAAGCUCAUGCAUGGUUUGUGGCUUUAAUCCUGGACCGUAUUGUCCAACUAUAUCAAGCAUCAACAAAAUUCUCUCUAAAGUAGCUGCAUUAAAUGCAAGACCAGAAUCACAGAAAAACCUUGUAAUUAACAGUUUUGUCCUCCUCUAUUUAUCACAAGCUCCAAAUAUUCCUUUCCUAUCCUUUCUAGCAUUGAUCACAUCAUUAGGUGGAGAAGUUACAAACCUAUUAAGUGGAGCAAAAUAGGCUUUUCCAUACCUGCAAAAUUACACUGUGCUGAAUUCAUACAUUAAACUAUUGCAUGUGCUAUAACAUACAUGCGUUUUUAAAUUAUUUAAAUUUCAAAUCUAAAGUUUAGUUUUUUUGCCUAAAAAUACAAAAACGUGAUAAAUGUUUAAUUAAUGCUGAUGUGGCAUCCACGCAUGGAGAAGUCAUUCUAACAUGGAGUCCAGGUGUACAAAGAAAUUCAAAUUUAAUAAUCGCUAUAAGUUAAUUACAAUACAUGAUGAUACAAUCAGAAAUACAAUCAAAAGUAUGACUUUCUCUAUUUGUUUACCUAAGUUUUGGUUUACAUUGAUAGUCUUUUACUGAAGCUAGCUAUACCCAAUUUAGUUUGGACUCAACUAGUAGCAGUCUAUCAAAAUUAGAAGUUAUGAAAUUAAGAGCUUUCGGGUUGAUGGAUUCAAUUCAUAUAUUAUGAGGUUUUCCAUUAUUUUUAGUCAUACUUUGGUUUUAAUAUAUAUAUAUAUAUAUAUAUAUUAAUUAUCAGGUAAAAAUCUAAGGAAAGAAAAUCUUGUAUAUAGAUGAAAAUAUAUCGGAUACAUUUGAUUAAAUUAUUUAUUUUCAUUUAAAAAUAUAAUUAUGUUAUAAUAAGUAAUGCAAUAAAAGUCUUAAAAAUGGUCAAUAUUCAAACUUCCUAAAUAUAUUGGAGCUAGAAAAAUGUUUAAUGAAUCACUUGACUAUUCAUACAUUGUUUAUGUGAUAUCAAAUCAAAAGAAAUAUAGUGUAUCUAAUAGACUUUGCAAGUGAAAUUUUGAACUAAAAUUAUGUGAAAAAUUGUUCUAAAAAUAAUAUUUCACUAGUUGACCCAACAAAAUAAAAUAAGUUUUUACUAUUGCAACCUUUAAAAUUGUAACGCCACGACCCUCACAUCUCUAGUGGGCCCCAUAUUUACUCUCAGCCCAUGGGUCCACCUCUCUUAAGGAGUCUUACGUCCUCUCAUUAGCCCAGUAGGCCAUCCAUAUCCGACGGUCGGUUUGCUACGUCCGGGAGGUUAGAGAUUUGUUUACUAACCCUACAAAUCACACAUGAUCUUUUCCUGUGUUUUGGUCUAACUUACAAAGUUUCGACAAUCACUUCCCAGAAGGUCAGUCAUCCUUUGACUACUCCAGCAUAAGCACGCUUCACUGUUAAGUUCUCUUAUGACCCUGACUGAAAAGAUAAGUGCAUGAUGGUGACAUAGGUGGCCAAAUCAAUUCAUUUAAGCCUCUCUGCAAAGUAGGGUCUCACAAACAUCAAUUUAUUAACACUUUAAUAACAAGACUUAUAUCAAAUGUCCAUGGCCCAAACAAAUUUAUAGAAUUGGCCCCAAAAAAAAACAAUAUUAUUUUACUUAAAACAUUUCCCAAUUUUUGGUUUAUCUAUGCCUAAAAAUACAAACAACCAAAGGAAAAAAACAUAUUUUAAAUUUAAUUCUUAACUAAUAAUUUUUUAACUGUUAAAAAUAUAUAUAUAUAUAUAUAUUUUCGACUAAAUAAAUUAAUUUUAGUCUGAAAUCUAAGUGCAACAUUUCAAAUUACCAUAUAUGAAAUGCUCAUUAAGUGGUAGGAAAAUAUUUAGCGUAUCUUAACGUUUAGCAUUUUUUCCCUUCUUUUGUUUUUUGGCAUGGGUUUAAAAAUUCAAAAAUUCAGACAACGACAACAAAAUUUAUUUCUGUCUUUUGGCUCUUCCCUUUCUUCACAAAACAUUUGUUUCUCCACUGAAAGAUAACGUUUAAUGUAAGUGCUUGCGACAUCCGAAAAAUACCCAAGCCAAGCAACAAUGAGCAUAAUCAGACACGUGAAGUUCGGUUCUUAUUUUUGUUUUUUUAUCUAAGACAUAGUGAGAUCUAUAUGUCUUUUCACAAUCGAUACAUAUGUAAAUAGGCUUGUAGAAGAAGCAUACGAGGACAAAAGAAGGUGAUGAACCAGAUAAGACCGUUAACAUCAUCAUCUUAGUUUGGCGAGUUAGGACUGAAGUAUCUAAAGCUUGGUUUAACUUUUUGGUGGUUUUGUUUUUGGAACAGUACAUACGAGAGGGAUGAAACUGAGGAUGAAAAAUUUACAACCCAAAGCUGGUUAUGUGCGCUUUGCUAUGGCUUCAUAAUCCUACGAAGAUUCUCUGGUGAGUUCACUCGCAUAUGAACUUCUCUGUGCGCGCAUCUCAUUUUGAUGUGAUUGUUUUUGAAGUUAAGAGAGAAUACUUGUUGUAACAAUAUCCAAAGUGGAUAAGCUCAAUAUAGUUUUGGUUUAGCCUUUGUACACUCCACGUACCUUAGGCGUAUCUACUUGAUAUAUUUAUUUUACCUAGAGUUUUGGUUUAUAUUGAUAGCUUUUUACUGAAGCUAGUUAGUUAUAUCAAAUUUUGUUUGGAUUCUGUCAAUCAAAAUUAAAAAAUAAUGAUGUAAAUAGAUUAUGGGGUUGAUGGAUUUGAUUCAUAUAUUAUGAGCUUUUACAUAUUUGUUAGUCAUGAAUUUUCUUUGUUUCCUAUUGUAACGCCCGUUUUCUGGAAAAUAAUAAAAGACUUGAAUUAAGGUGGAGUCGGUUUAAUCCCUGUUGAUUUACUAUGCUGGUAAAUUUUUUAAUUGAAUCAAAGGAGGUUUAAUUAAUGUCGGUUUAGGUAAAUCCUGGUUUAAUCAAAUUAAACUAAAAACCAUAUUUUAUAAAGGUGAUGCCUCCUCUCUCUUUUGCUAUUGUCAUUUUUUUUGUUUAGGAGAAAAGAGUUAGAAAAAGGAGAAGGAGAGCAAGCUUUGCUUUGGUGUAUAGGGAAAAAGAAGUAGAUUCAUCACGUAUUGGGAGACAUGGGUUACGACGUACAAAAUCUUAUCCAAAGGUAAUGAAAUUUAAUAUGGUUUUUCUUAAGGUGUGUAUGUGGAAAAUCGAAUUUUACAUACCUGCACAAUUACACUGUAUUGAAUUCAUACAUUAAACUAUCACAUGUGCAAUAAUAUACCUACACUUUUAAAUAAUUUGAAUUUCGAAUAUGAAGUUUAGUUUUUGUGCGUAAAUAUACAAAACGUGGAUAAAUGUUUAACGAUGUUACCUAGUUAAGGUGAGUGCAUGACCAUGAACUUAUCUAAGCGAUUUGGAUUGAGUGACUUGUUUUGUGAUGAUUUGUAGGUGUACUGGAAGUGUCAUUGGAUGUUUGGCUUGUUGGUCGGUUUGUUUAUGUUAUAUAUGUGGUUGUUAUCUCAUCUCUUGUGUUUAUAGCUCGUAGAUGGGAGGAUCACCUCACUAAAUAUUUCUGGAAAUACUUAUGCAUCUCUUUUAAUGGUGUAGGUAAAAGCAAAGUGUGAUUGUGGAAUCAAGGCGAGGAGAGAAGACUGAUCUAGGGGCUCGCUGAGUGUGUUAUGGUAUUGUUAUGCAAUUGUUAGGUUGUUAGUUUUGAAUCUUAGAAGCAUGUUUGAUGAAUUAUGCUAUUUGUGGAUAAUUGAUGGUUUAAUGAUAUUGUUUCUUUAUUUAUUAUUCUGCUGGUUCUUGGUUGGUUUAAUUGAAUUGGCUUAAUAUGAAAUUGUCUGGUUUAAUUGGUUUAUUUUGGGAUUGUUUAGUUAAUUUGGUUCAAUCUGGUUUAAUUUGAUUUAACCUGGUUUAAUUGAACUUAUCUGGUUUAGUUGAGUUAAUCUGGUUUAGCUAGGUUAAUCUAUGUUAAUUCGGUAUAGUUGUGUAUUUAAAAGAUAACCGGGUCGGGUCUUUUCACAUAUCCGAAAAAGGAUGAGAACAACAUAUAGGACAUAGUACAUCUAGAAAGACUUCAUUUUAGCAAAUGGCUUGCAAAUUGGUGAGUCCUUCAUAUUGGAGUUGGUUUGGAAAGAGUACAUCUGGUAUAUUUUGUGUAUGUGGUUAAAGGCAAGAAAGACAUCGUUCACAAGCUUGCGAGAAAGAUGAGAACAACAUAUAGGACAGAGAGGAUUCAUCUUUAGAAAACCAACAUCGAGUCUUGAGAUUGACACUUACACAUGAAGAUGUUAGAGGCUGCAAACUAGUACGUUUAUGAUCAAACAAACUCUGCUCCAAAGGUGGUUUAGUUUCUAUUUUUUAGUCACUAAACUAUUGAAAUCUUUUGGAGAUUUUUCGAUGUAAAUACUUGAGUAUACAUCGAGAAUAAACAGAAUAAUGGUGUUACCUUGUAUGCUAAUUCUCCAAUGGCUAUAUAGAAGCUAGGUUUUCUCCGGUAAAAUUUGCACUCAAUACAAAUCAAAAUUACUAUUAAAUACAAUAGCUAAUCAUAAAUACAGUCAAAAGUAUGUAAUUGUCAUAUUAGUUUUACCUUAGUUUUGGAUUACAUUGAUAGUCAUUUACUGAAGCUAUAUAUACCAAUUUUUUUAAGAAUUUGUUAAUUGCAAUCUAUCAAAAUUAAAAAUAGGGAAACUAAGAGAUUUUGGUUGAUGGAUUUGAUUCAAAAAUUAUUAGAUUUUCCAUCUUUGUUAGUCAUGUUUUUUUUUAAUGAUAUAGCAAAUGUAAUGAAGCGUUAUUCCUAUAAUAUUUUCAACACAAAUCUACAUCAAAUCAACAUUUUCAAACCAACUCGAUAAAAGCAUUUGUGAAAUAACAUUAAAAAAUAAGAAAGAUAAAAUGGAACCAAAAAAAAAUCUAUAAUGCUUUAAUCAAAGAUAAAGCGAAAAAAUCUUUAGUGCUUUAAUCCUUGAUAUGGGCACCUAUGUCCUUAACUGACUUCUUCAAUGCCUUAAAUGUCUUAUCUUGAAACUUAUUCCACCUCUGAAGAAGUUUGAUCUUCUUGUGAGCAUCUUUAAGACUAGCUAGUCUUCCCUGAGUCUCUUCGAAGUGAAAACCUUAUGAACUAUCCUCAUCCAUAAUAUCAAUACCCACAUCAGCCCCUUGACUCUCCUCAUGAACAACUUGUGAACUAGCAGAAGCAUACAAAAGCUGAGUGGCAUGCCAAAAGUCAAUGUUCAAACCCGUUCUUAUCGUGGUAACGUCUGCAUUUGGAAGAAUAAUCCUAGAAGGUCCAGCGGAGGGAUGAUUGAACUUGUACAGAAACCUUCCUCCCACAUUCUCAUGAGUAAUGAAGCGGUUUCUCUUCAAGUAAUCUAUAUCAAUGAACGUAGGCUUGUGUACUCUUCCCAACAAAUCCACAUCACACGCCACAAGCAUUGGUGUACUAAUACCUCCUAUGCAGAGUUCUCUCCUCUAGAACUUCUAACAUGCAUUCUUGCUGCCCAAUCUUUAUAGUACAUAAACUGAUCUAGCAACACAAAUGUGAGAUUGCAAUUAUCCCUAUCACCAGCUAGAACCGUUCCAUUCCUAGUACUACUCCACCCAAAGAAAUAUCUAUCAUCAGAAGUUUCCCCUCGUUCAAGUUUUCAGUUUCUCUUCUAGCAAACAAUGUGUUAGCUAACGAUUUAUGCAAGUACCUGAUCAUUGGACUGCGGAUUUGAGCACUCUUAGUCUUUGUUGAAGCAUAGACUUCAUUGUUUCCAAUUGUUGCCCAUAGAACUCUCAACUUCCCCUUAUGAAUUCGCUGGUUAAUCCCUGAAACAGUCUUGAACCCAUAAAGCGUGUUGAUUUCCUUGAAUGAAAGCCUCUUCUCUCGACCUUUAACUGUGAAUGUGAUGUAGCCUAAACCAUACUCCACAAACCUCUCAGCAAACUCAUCAUAGAAUUGAACCUACAGAGAACUCAAAAACUAGCAAGUUUCCUGCUCGAACGUUUUUGUGUUCAUCUUCAUAAAGUCAGCCAAACCAAUCAUCUCAAAUAAAUACUCUCUAGUAAAUCCCAACUUAACCUUUGUCUCCUUAUGUGGGAAACGAGUUCUUGAAAGUACAUCUCCUUGAAGAUUCUGUAAAGUUCCUCAGGAUUCAACUCUCUCUUUCCCUGCAUUGGUUUCUCUUCUUCUACAUCUUCCUCGGUUUCCUCAACCAUAGACUCUCUAGCAGGUCUCUUCCCCAAUGAGAUGAGCCCUCUUGCCCUUGAGAACUUAACAUUUGCUCUGGCAUCACCCCGUUCAUCAUCAGAAUCAUCACCAUCAAGCUAUUCAAACUCGAUUUUUUUCUUUGCAGACCAUGAUGAUGUGCUCGACCGAGCACUCGAUCGUGUAGUUUGAUUGGCCGGUCGAUUGCUCGGUCGUGUAGCCAAACGAGUUGCUGUAAGUUCUUCUCCAUCAAUCUCCAUUGAUAUGAAACCUUGUUGUUGAGCUUGGGAUGAAGAAUCAAAAUCAAUUUUAGCCCUAGAGGAUCGAGUGUGAGAGCUCUUCUUAACCUUCUUCUUCUCUUGAUUCUUCUUCAUUCUUUCACUGAAAAUAUAAAACUCAAAGCUAAAAUUCAAUGGGUUAGUAGCAAAUCGAGUUCUUUGAAGUUUCUUGAGAGCUUGAACUCGAUUUUGGCCUUAAGAAGAGGAAGAAAAUGAAUUUUAAGCACUUAACCCAGAAACUAGGUGGUGAAGCUUGAAAAUCGUCAACAAUGGAGGUGAGGUGAGUGAUACGGCGAAUUUGUUCUUUCGGAGGAGGAGAAUCGAGUUUGUAGUUAUAAGGGAAGAAGAUAGGGCAAAAUCGGGUAAGUAAACGGGUAAGGAAACGGUUGGGCCGGGUCGUGUUCUGGAUCAACUGUGUGAUCAGAUGGGCCUCAAAUGGUCUUGAAGUGGCACUGGUCAUAACUUGCUCGAUUUUGGGACUUAAAUGGAUCCGAUCGGAUAGGGCUUAAUCAAUCGAGUGCAAGGAUUUUGGUGGGUCGAAUUUUUUCUUUUAUGGGCCUAAUGACUCUCAAAUACCCACUCGAUCUGACUAUAUCAUUUAUUGGAUUGAAUUCCACCUUCUUGAACCAGAACUCAUAGUCGAACAAAUUCAUGAAACUCAAAUAGAAAAGCAAAAGAAAUUAACAUUAAAAGUAAGGAAUUAUUUACAAGGAUACCACUCGUACUUCCUCCCAAGUGAGCUUGUUUAAAGUUACUGAGCUUAACUUUCCAAGCUCCUCAAGUUUGAAUAGGACAGUGGAGAGACUCGGUGAUCCUCUCCAACAUCAAUGACCAAUAAACUUUAGACCUGUUUCACAUAGCAUUACUUUUUUUGAAACUCAGAACCCUCUUAGCCUUCCUUGAAGUUAGGAUAUGGUUCCUCAUUUUAUUAGCUCCACAACUUGCUUACCCAUAUUUUGAAUGGUAGUUGCAAGUCUCAUCAAGUCCUUCUUAAGAGUUUUGAUAACUUGGAGUUCCAUGUAGGUGGGAGAGGAGGACAAGGUUUCUUCUGUUCCAAUCAUCGUAGUUCGAUAUGGAUCUGCCAUGUUGAUCUUCAUCUUUGUUCCUCUUCUAAGAUCGAGGCUCAUGGUUCCCUUUUCUACGUCAAUCACCAUACCCGCUGAAGCUAGGAAAGGUCUUCCAAAGAUUAACUACUAUUGCAACUCUCUUUCCAUUUCCAAUACCAAGAAAUCAGUAGGGAUUUUGACUCCCGCAACUUCUAUUAGAAGGUAUUCUAGUACUCCUAUGGGUUGUCUCGAACUCCUAUCUGCCAUUACAACCGUUAGGCUACAAGGCGUAAACGUCUUAUAUCAUAUUUGUUGUGCUAUAAAAAGAGGCAUAAAGAUGAUUGAGGCAUUCGUUAAAGAUUGACGAUCUGAUCGAACAAGGUAGCGUGAAGGCUAUAGGAUCUCAUAUCUUUCUAGAAAAGCUUGGAUAUUGAGUGGGUGAGUUCCAUCACUUCUUCUGUUGCAUUCUUUCGAGCAACACUUCCUUAAAAAUUUCCCUAUAGGAGGGGAUAUUUACAAAGCAUCAACCAAGACCUUCAGCUGCUCAUUCCAAGUUAGAGAGUCAAGGAUCCUGUUAUAUUCUUCUUCGAUUUCAGCCUUGUGCUCCUCUAGAUAAGACAGUGGCUUUCGGGAUGAAGGUUCUGGACUAACAUCUAUGAUGGAACGAAAAAGGUUUGUCGGAAGCUAACUCACUCGUCCAUUCAAACACACAACAUGCUCGAUGAGAUUCAUCACUUCUUUGAUUGGAGUCAUCUCCUAAGUCUUCAAGCUGGGGUGGUAUGUUGACUGUGGUGAUCUCUUGAGAACCCUAAUUCUCUGUACCGUUCUUAUGAAUCCUCUCGAGAAGAACCUCUUUUAGAAUAACCUUGUAGGUUGGAAAAUAAGCAAAUGCUUCAACUAGAGUAGCUACCUGUUCAUGCCUAGUUCGAGAGUCAAGGAUCUUAUUGCAUUCUUCCUUGAUCUUUGCCUUGAAUCUUCUUGGAAAUGGUAGUGGUUCUCAGAAAAUUGGAGUCUUAACCUGAGAUGCAACUAUUUGGGGAAUGUUGGAAGCCACUCGACUAGGCACUCGAUUGAGCACACGAUUGGCUGGUCGAUUGCUUGGUCGAUAUGCAUAAAAUCCCCCCCAACUUGAUCUUCACUGUCCUCAGUGAACUGUAAAGUAAUGACAUGGGUAGAAGCAAACUCUUUGGUGUUGAUAAUAAAGUUUCCUGGUAGCUUACCAAACGAAGUGGAGAUGUUACAUGGGUGGAUAUAACAUCGCAUUUCAGAUUGAGGUCAUUGUAAUUUGAUGUCAUUUGGUUUUGAAUGGCUUUGUACCAUUUGUUGAAUCAUUAUCUUCAAGUCAAUAUCAUGUGGUGAGGCCAUUUGCUGGGGUUGAAAACCCGGUGAAGGUGCGGAGUAAACUUGCUGGAAUUGUUGUUUGGAGAGAAAUCCUUGUUGUUGAUUGAAGGGAACAAAAGGCUUGUUCUGAGCUUGCUGUUAUUGUUGCGGGUAGACUUGGUCUUGAAGAUUUGCUACGUUUGUGCUUUUGUAGGAGAGGUUGGAAUUUACCUUGUAGUUUAUGAAACCCUUUUGAAAUCCUCCUUGAUUCAAGUAACUAACUUCCUUGGUACCAUUAUCUUCCCCUUCUUGCUGGAAUUGCUCCUCGCCGGAGAAGAAGUGAACAUACUUCUGUUGUGCUAUGAGUAUCAUAUCAAUCUUAUCACUCAAAGACUUGAAGUCCUUUUUAUACUUCUCUUCAUGGUUUGAGCUUCCCCUAUUGGUUCUAUCAUACUUCUCAUUGUAAUUCUCGUCAGAAUGGACAAGGUUCUCAACCAGCUGCCAUCCCUCAACCACAUCUGUGUUAAAGAAGUUUCCAUGACUUGCGGUGUCGAGCAACAUGCGGAUCUUAGGAAGCACGCCCCUAUUUAGUGUGAUGAGUAGGGACUCCUUAGUGAACCAAUGGUGUGGGCAUUGAGAUUGGUAUCCCUUGAUUCGUUGCCAUGCUUCACACAACGACUCGAUGUUCUUCUGGGCAAAGCUUGAGAUUUCAUUCCUAAGACGGGCUGUGCGGGAGUUGGAAAAGAAUUUGACAUGAAACCACGCUUACAUUCCUCCCAAGUGGUUAUAGAACCAACAAGCAAACCUUUUUCCCAUUGAUGAGCCUUGUCUCCGAGUGAGAAAGAAAAGAGACAAAGCUUCAAUUCGUCUUCACUUACUCUGUUCAUCUUGGUUGAACCACAAAGGCGGUCAAACUCAUCCAAGUGGUUCAAUGGGUUUUUCAUUGGUAAACCGUGAAACUUAUUGCUCUAGACCGUGGAUAUGAGGCUAUUCUUGAUUUCAAAAUUAUUAUUCUGAACAGCUGGCAGUACUAUCUUGGACCUCUGGAUAUGGCUAUAAUUAGCAUCUCCUGCACCUACGCAUGUUGCACGCCUCUAAUUCCCAUUCUGUUGAGGUUCCAUCUCAAUGUCUAUUGUAUCCUUGCUUAAUUGAUCUCUGUGCUGUCUCAACGCUUUCAGAAGUCUAUCGAUGUUGUCGAGAUACCUGAGAAGAUUCUGACUGCCUUUAGACCUUGUGUGCAUACAAGGAAUCGAACAGGUGCUCGAUCAAGGCAACCGAUUGGACCAGUCGAGUGCUGGUAGAUUGCUUGAUCGAAUGGUACCUAAAAAGCAAGACAUACAAGUAAACAAGCAAAACAAAUCAGUAUUCAAAGUGAAAAUGUUAUAGAACUUAAUCUUGCUAAAUUGAAAUCUAAACUGGAACAACUUAAACGUCCAAAUGGCAGCGGCGCCAAAUUGAUAACAAGUUUUUACUGCGAAUAGUAUCAAUCACCCAAUAUAAUUGCAGUAUAAAGGGCUUUAUCGAUCCAUAAGGACGCGUGCAAGCAGUUUAGAUGCAAUUAAUAUUUAACAAGUUAAGCCAAGCAUGAAAGGUUUUAAACUAUCAACUACUGAAUUUAACACAAGCAUGAACUAAGCAAGACACAACAAUGAAUUUAAACAGAAAUGAAACUAACAAAAUAAGAACAUGCAGUGAACUAGAAAUGCAAGAACAUAAAUGAAGCAAGGUAAAUCAAUCAAUUAAAGGGGGAUUUUGGGGAUGAGAUGGUGAUUUCAGUGGAGAUUUUUAACUUCACUAGGUUGCUAAAUCAAUCAAACACAAACAAUGUUGUUUCCUAGACAACAAGCUCAUAAGCUAACAAGUUCAUUCUCUUGACAAAGGCUAUCAAAUUGAAAUCACUUCCUAAUCUCAACUUCUGGUUGAUGAAACAUGAAAUGAAUAAGCAUUAAGACUCAACUCAUUAAUGUCAAAUAACACUCUAGACAACCAAUCUCUUGGACUAGACAUGAAAUUCUUUGGUAUUAGAUUAUCCGGCAUUCCAUCGAACACCUCUCGGGCGUGGAAACCUGAGAACUAAUCACCACUUGAUCAGAAUGGGAGUAGUGUUAUAUACACUAAUCCAGAAGGAAAUCUAAACAUUUCUACCUAUGGGUAACCUAGCUACCUAAAGUUCUCCACCUACACAUCUAACUCAUCCCAAAACCUAAGGAAUCUACUUAGAUCUAACAAACAUACUUAAGAACUCAAACCCAGAAACCUCUAAAUCAUGCAUAACUAGAUAGAUCUAAGAAAGAAGCAAAAUAAUACAAAGAAGCAACAAAAAAUACUCAAUAGAUCAAAAGAUAUGAAGUUUACAAGAUUCUGGAAAUUCUAAAGCAAAAUGAAGAAAAACCCUAAUACAACUCUAGAUAAUAAGUCAUUAGGCAAAGAACCUUUUUAUAGCAAGUUUAGAUAGCCCUAAAACACUAGCAGACAAAAUAGAAAGUCGGUUUAACGGUGCUCGAUCGGUCUCGUUGGAUGACUUGAUUGGAUGGUUGUAUGAGCUGCUUCUCUGGUCCAGUCAAAUACUCGAUCCAUUCCAUGGCUGGGAUCCUUCUUCUCGAUCGGAUGGAACAUCUACACUUGGUCGAUUUGUCCUGAAUUGCUUUAUUCCCUUGGGUAAACACAUGUUUAUGCACAAACAUUACAAUGCAUGCAAUGCAAGGCCUAGAUUCUACAAGUGAAGCAAAACAAGGCAAAUAUGCGUACAUGAUCAAGUAAUGAGACCUAGAAUGACAAAAACAAUACAUAAAACUAGUGUUAAAAUGAGUAAAAUCCAGACACAUCAACAAGUCCAAAAACCCUAUUUUAUAAAGGCGAUGCCUCCUCUCUCUCUCUUGCUAUGGUCAUUGUUUUGUUUAUGAGAAAAGAGUUAAAAAAGAGGAGAAGGAGAACUUCACUUGUGAGAAGGAGAGCAAGUUUUGCUUUGGUAUAUAGGGCAAAAGAAGCAGAUUUGUCACGUAUUGGGAGACAAGGGUUACGACGUACAAAAUCUUAUCCAAAAGGUAAUGAGAUUUAGUAUCGUUUUUCUUAAGGUUUGUACGUUAAUUUGGGCUAAAACUCUAUGAGUUAUCUGCAGUUUUGUGAAACACUUCUUCUAUGUCGCGAACAAGGAUCAGCGAAGAUUGUAAGUCCGAUCGUGGUUACAUCGUAUAUCUAAUUGGCACAAAAUAAUUUGAAACGCUUUGUGACCUCUAGUUUGUGCUUUCCACCGAAGGGAUUCAAAAGUUAACAGUUGGUUUUCGUUUUAUAGCUUCGUUUCUAUGGCUGUAAUUUUUAGUUGUUUAUGUCCAAUUUGGUUCAAAGGGAUUUUUGUUUGUGUGGCUUGUUGUACGGUGUUUAUGGGUUGUUGCAGUCGCGAGAGAGUCUUUCCUGUUUGUUUUUGUUGUUCGAGUCACCUAGAAGGUGAGCGCGUGACCAUGAACUUAUCUAAGUGAUUUGGAUUGAGUGACUUGUUUUGUGAUGAUUUAUAGGUGUACUGGAAGUGUCAUUGGAUGUUUGGCUUGUUGGUUGGUUUGUUUAUUGGAUACAUGUGGUUGUUAUCUCAUUGCUUGUAUGUAUACCUCGUAGAUUUGAGGAUCACCUCACUAAGUAUUUCUGGAAAUACUUAUGCAUCUCUUUCUGUUAUGCAUGUAAAAGCAAAGUGUGACUGUGGAAUCAAGGUGAGGAGAGAAUACUAAUCUAGGGGCUCGCUGAGUGUGUUAUGGUUUUGUUCUGCAAUUUUUAGGGUUGUUAGUUUUAGAAUUUAGAAGCAUGUUUGGAUGAGUUAGGCUAUUUGUGGAUAACUGAUAGUUCAAUGAUAUUGGUUUUUUUUUUGUGCACAAAAUUCUUGAUUCAACUUAGCGAGAAACAAGAGGAACGAGCAAAUUCAGACAGACCUGAAUAGCAAAGUUGAAGAUUAAAAAAACAAAAACCAAAGGUAGAGACACAAGCUUGAAUAAGCUUGAUAGGUUCCGAGGAGAAGUAUCAAACCUAACAAUCACAAGCAAUCCCAUGAAAGCAAUAGCAUUCAAUACAAAGACCUCGACCGGGAGGAAAAUAGUCACCAGACAAUGUGACUUUAAAACAAGACCAUUUUCAAAUGAGACACCCACAAAGGGGGAAGAAUGAAGGAAGGGCUCCCUCUCAACAAUGAGAAGGUAGCAGCGGUUGACACAGACAGGAGAACGCCAGAGAUGUAUCCAGUGAUCAAAAUCUGCUGGCUCUGGGCAACAAGCGAACCAAUUCAAGUGGUUCCAGAUUGGAGGCUAACUGGAUCCGCCUCAAACGACAUUAGAGAGUCUCCGGAGAAGUAUCCGGUGAGCAAUCCUGGCCUUAUAUGGAUAGAAGACGAACCAGAAAAGAUGUCUCUAGCCUGCCAACAAGCAAGAAAUGCUUAAGAUGUAGAGAAGGAGAGACCGGAGAAGUAUCCGGUGAAACCAAAGAAGUAUUCGGUGAACACUCUCCACUGUGGAGUUUGUGCUUGAACAAGAACGACCACAAUGAAGGAACCUAUCACAAGAGGAGAAGUCGCCAGAAAAGUAGACAAGCCUGAGAACGACAGAGACAAAACGUCAAGAGCAUAUGGUGGAUCUGGUGGGACUGGUGGAUCUGGUGGGACUGGUGGAUCCGGAGGAGAAGAAGGAUGAAUCACCAAGCGUAUCGGAUCUGGUGGCUUUGGAACAGAAGAGCUCAACGCAACCAGCAAAAGCUUCACCAAAGACAUGAACAACGAUUAAAAAGAUAACAAAGGUUCUUCUCCUACAAAAAACAGGAGGUGAGAGAUGAAGUAAUCUCGCCAGAAAACAGGGACGGCGGAGGCAGCGGCAAGAAAAUGACUUCAAAGGGGAGAGGAUGGAGGUUAUUUGGAAAGAGUCAACUCCUAUACUUAGGUUGUUCAAUACAUCUAGUAUAUUUUGUAUAUGUGAUAAAAGGCAAGAAAGGCAUCGUUCACAAGCUUGCGAGAAAGAUGAGAACAACAAAGAGAACAGAGAGGAUUCAUCUUUAGAAAACCAACAUGGAGUCUUGGGAUAGAGGAUUCAUCUUUAGAAAACCAACAUGGAGUCUUGGGAUUAACACUCACACGUGAAGAUGUUAGAGGCUGCAAACUAGUAAGUUUAUGAUCAAACAAACUCUUUUCCUAAGGUGGUUUAGUUUCUAUCUUCUAAUCACUAAACUAUUUGGUGUGUAUUUAUUAAAAUCUUUUGUAGAUUCUUCGAUGUAAAUACAUGACAGAUGAUGACAUUGACAAGCUUACCAAGAUAAAUAUUGUGGGUAAAGCUAAGACGAUGUGGUGGGGAUUUCGACCAUCAAGAGAUGGAACUAUAGCUAUAGGAAUUGAUUGAAAAAACUUUUUUAAGGUGAAUGACAUAAACAUAAUGACAUAAACAUAGGAAAUUCAUUUACUUUAGAGUUCAUAAAUCAAAAAGAGGACACAACUCCGGUAUUUAGAUCAAGCGGAACACUAGCCAUACACAACAUGAAAUGGUACUUGCAUUUGUUUUAUAGAAUAUAUUUUGUAUUGUAUAAUGAAGAAUUAUACAUUUGAUUUGGAUGUUCUUUAGCUGUUUUCAUUAUACUGUAAUGGUAUUUAAAUACAUACUUCUAUUCAUUAUUUGAUGUGAAUACAUAUUGUUUGAGUUUUGGAGUAUUUUAUUUUUAUAUUUUAUUUGACUAGUUUGAAGUAUUAGUUUCUUGGACAAUGUUAGCCUUAAUAAAAUUUGGUUCUUAUAUAAUUUUUUGGUUUUUUGUUAUCUAUGACAUAGUGAGAUCUAUAAGUCCUUUGAUAAUCGAAACAUAUGCAAAUAUGCUUGAAGAAGAAGAAUACAAGGACAAAAGAAGGUAAUGGACGAGCUAAACAUUUUUGUUUAAUUCUUUUUCUUUUGAUGAUUUUGACACUGAAGUAUGUGAAGCUUGUUUUAAAUCUUGUGUAGUUUUAUUUUGAUAGAGUAUAUACAAGAGGGGAAAAAUUGAAUAUGAACAAUUCACAACCCGAAGCUAGUUAGUCUUCAUUGACCAACUCUUGUUAUGUGUGCUUUGGUAUCGCUUCAGAAUCAAUUAAAGAUUCUCUAGUGAGUUCAUUCGCAUUUGAACUGCUUUGUGCAUCAAGUUUCAAAUGUGACUGUAGUUUUGUUAGUCCAGUUUGGUCUAGGAGAAUUAAUACUUGCCAAUACAAAAUAAAUAGCUCAAUAUGUUUUACCUUGAGUUUUGGUUUACAUUGACAAUCUUUUACUGAAGUUACCUACCAAAUUUUGUUUGGAAUUUGUUAAUUAUAUGAAUCAAUUAAAAUUAAACUAGGAAACUUUAUAAAUGUUCAGAGUAUUAAAAUGUUAAAUUCUACUCGAAUAAUCUAACCCUUUCAAUGUAGUUUUGGUUACUUAGAUAAGUAUAAAUGACUACAGUAAUAAAAUGUUCAAAUCUACUCGAAUAAGCUAACCCGUUAGAUGUAGUUUCAGUUACUUAGCUAAGUAUAAAUGACUAGAGUAACAAAAGUUUAUACAAAAGUAACCCGACCAUUUGAAUAAACAUAUUUGUACUACCUUGAAUAAGUCAUUAUUGGCGGUAAUGUUGACAAACAAUGUGAACGGUUGACUAAUAUGAUAUACUCAGUCUCAGCUAGGAAAGGUAAAAUCAAUACACAUAGAUAAUUAUGGAAUAACAAUAUAAGAGUUGACGAAAGCAAAUCCCAUGUAUUAUUCACCUUGCAAUUAUAAUUACUUAACACAGCAUAUAAUAGAGAAAAUUUUAUUAAUUGAUUCUGUUAUAAUGUUAACACUAUUCAUAAAAUAAAUAAGGUGGUAUUUAAGGUAUGUUUUUAUAUAGGGUAUAUAUGAUUGUAUCCAUAUUCAUUAAUUCACAAUCAAUAGAAUCUCAUUGGAAAACUGUAUAAAUACUGGGACACUACACAUUUCUCUAAACACUGUAGAUUAUUCUAAUAUUUUUUUCAGUUUUCCAAUUGCUAUAAUGGCUAAUGUUCAUAAGCAGAAAAAUAAUACCAACUCUUUCAUUCUUGCGUGGUUUGAACUUAACAAAAAUUGUGAAGAUGCUAGACAUCUAACAUUUGUGGAAAUUCCUCAGUUUUUUCACGGAAUCCGACAACUAAAUCAUUCCGAAGAAUACAGAGGACAAUCAUGAAUUGAAGAACAUCGUAUCUUCCAAGUAGUGUUGAUGGUAAUGAUAGUCUAAAACUGCUGUUCAGGUACUUGAAAGGACCAACGAGUGAUGAAGAUCAGAGGACUCAUAACAGUGUGCUAUACGACUCAUACGAGGAAGCAUGUGUGGCUAAUGGUUUGCUGGAAGAAUAAAGCCCAACAAAGUUCUGAAUUUUGAAAAAUUCUCUUCAGCCUUUAGAACUUCAUAUCUGAAUGUUUUUGUUCCUUUUCUCUUGCACUCAAAAUCAAUGAAACAUUGUUUUCGAUUAAAAAAAGUGUUUUAAAAUGCAAAAUCCAUACGAGUAACAACACCAGAACAAACACGUAUUUUUGGAUUGAUAACAAGUCGUAGAUGGAGUUUGAAUGUAUAAUGAACAAAGAGUUAUUUAUGGUCAUCUAUGCUAUAUUAUAUUUAGUAAAUGUGGUUCUCUUUCUGUUACCUAUGUAUCAAACUCAUCUUCUUUUUAUGAUAACGAGAUGUGAGAAUCAUGUUGAAACGAUUGUUAGAGAAAUAUAUGUAGAAUUGUAUUUGUAUAAUUGCAAGAAAAAAGAAAAAUAAAAGAAAAGAAGAUCCAAGAUAUGAUGACGUUAACAAGAUGAUCGAUGGAUAUACACACUAACAAGAUGAUCGAUGGAUAUACCCACCAGCGAAAAGAUCUCCUUAGAGAAAUAAUAGGUUUUGAUAAAAAUAAAUGUUGUCUUCUCGUAAGAGAUUACAAGGGGGUUAUAAAGAAGAAGGAAGUCUUGGAACACACUCCCAAGACUACCUUGGAAAUAACAAAAUAUUAAAGAUAAAGUUUGAAUAGAAAUGACUCUUCAAUUACUUAUUUUCGUCACUCCUCUUGGCCAGCAAAUUUCCCACUUGGUUUGGGCUCUUCUUGGGCUUGUAAUAGGCACAAAACAGGCUAGACUUGAUAUAUAUUCCAUUGGGCAAAUUUCUGAAUGUUUGGCCAUGGUUUGGAUCAACAAAUGGAUGAUUUGAAUGUGAAUCAUUUGCCUCAUUAAAAACCUUGCUAAGAAAACACAUUGGGAAAAAACAUGACAAGGGAAAAAGAGGACAAAUGAGACACAUGCCCAUUUGGUGAUCAUGUAUCAAAACCAAUGAGGUUAAGAUAACAUCUUUUCCAUACUCUUUCUCCGCUAUAAGCUCAUUCUCUGAUUCAAAUGGCUCCUUAGCUUCGAGCUGCUGCUCUGCUUCAAGCUCCUCCUCGGCUACAAGCUCAUUGUGACGUUCCAAGUCCGUUGUGUUAGGCAUGAUCAUAUCAUCCUCUCCCUCUUGAAAAGGAUUUGACCUCAAAUCCAAUUCAUCUACAAUGAAAAGAACCAAGUCAAAAAUUUUGAAACAGGAACUCACUUUAUACUUACCUUGCAGCUCAAGUUCAUAAGCUUUGUUGUUGAUUUGGCUUGCUAUGUUGAAUUGACCAUCGAUCCUUGGGAUUAGAUUGGACUCCUUUUCCGUUGGAAAUCUUUUCUUCCUCCAUUGUACCCAUACUUGUUCUCCAACCUCAAAAAUCAUCCUGAAACGAGCAUAAGGUUUCUUAUCAUGCGUGAAAACAUCUCCAAUUCCCGUCCUCAUAAAGAGAUUCAGUGAGAGAACUUCUAAAUAUGGUGGCUCCUGUUUUGUACCUACAAUGUUUUCAACACCUUUGACCAAGAACAAGUGUGUUAUUACAGUCAUGAAGUUAUUAUAAACAUGCAAACAAAUCUCAGCUUGGACCAAAUCAAUAUCCUCAUAUUGUUCCUCUUUUAGUUGCACCUUAAGACAAUAAUUUGAUUCCAAAUAUUAUUUCAAUAAGCCUGAUUUAUUCUCAAAGAUUUCCUGAUGUAAUAAAAUUAUAAUCAUAUCCCUUAAAUCAUGAGAAAUAAAUCGAGUUGAGGAAUUACUUACAUGGAUAGGGUCCUUGACAUGUUUGGUGUUUAUCAUCAUUUUUGGAUCUGGGGGUUCUUCUUGGAUCAAUGCGUUGGUGGUGACCAACUCAUCCUCUCUAGAGGUUAACUUAUAUAAUGAGAAAUCAUAAUGUUGCAGCAUAUAAUCUUGCACUGUCAUGUUCUCCUUUUCAUAUCUUCCCCCUCUAAAUAUUUUGUGGCUCAACUUUAGCUUGAAUGUUGUAUCUGGUGGCGCUUCUUUGAUCAGUAUGAAACGACUCACGUCUUGGUGUUUAUUCUAGUCCAGAUUGGCUGGCUUAAACUGAUUGUCUCCCUCUCUUGUUUUAGUUCUUCUUAAGCGCUUCAAGAUUGCCUUAAAAUAUGCAUUUGGCUCUUUUGACAAAGACAAGCGAAUCAAAUCUGUGUAAUCUUGGAUAAAAGUCAUGUACUUGAGAGUAAAGAUACUUAUCUUAUCAUAGCUUGGUAUGUGCACUAGUGUUGCAUCAGGUGGUUCAUCUUUGAACGAUGAAGAAACUUUAACUACCUUUCCAUGCUUUUUGUUUGCUUUAAACUGUAAGAACGCAAGAUCUCUUGUUUUCCUCAGGGACUUCCAGCUCCAAAAUUCCAUGAUGAUAAUUCUUUCUUUGGUAUUUAUCUAGCGGGUUUUCCUUGACUUGAGUAAGCCAUUUGAGUUCUUCUCCAAAGUACUUUCCAAAGUACUUAUGCUUCUCCAUGUCACAUGUUCCGUUUUUAGCACUCAUGCGAUAGAACAAGUGCAUUAUACUUGAAAUAGAUAAGUCAAGAACAUAACUUUUCACCACUGGUUUAUAAAGCUCAUCGAAGGGAUAUGAUUCACUCAACACGUUUUGCAAAUAAUUCAUUUCAGAAAAAAGUUUCACCAAUAUAUGCUCAGUUCUAAGCAGCUCAAUUGCAUUGCUACUCAAAGAAACUCUUAAAGAAGAGUUAAAUUCAAUAAAUAGAAAACCUUUUGACUAAAAUAACUUCAUUAAAUAGAGAACCUCAGAUCCUUAAGAACCAUCUGUUGUAGAUCCAAAGGUGCAGGGCCUUUGGUUGGGUCACAAAACUUUGAUUUUGUACACAAAUAUAAUGACCUUGGAGGUUGCGUUCUUCAAAUAAUCGUUCCAUGUUUCUAUAGGGCAUGUGUGCUCCAAGUUUGUCUCCUAAUCUCGUAGUAUCCACAACCCUUUAAUUCACACGCAUGGAUCCUCCAGUCACAACGCUGGCCCGAACAUUAGAGAACAAACGAUCCCUUUUUUGUGGUUGUCUGUGUAAAAUGGAACAUAUUCUUAAUAGCAUAUAUAGCAAUGCCAAUUUGAUAUUCCUCUUUGCUAGCAAAUAUCUUCCCUACGUAUAUGCCUUUACCAUCAUCAUCAAAUUCAAGAUCUGGUAUAUCUUCCCUUUCAUACUCAUUAUCACCAAAUAAAUGAGGUAUAUCAAACUCCUCGUCGUCAAUAUCUUCAAGCUUCCGUUCAUCAACAUUUAGAACUGACGUGCUUCCACCUGCUGCAUUGAUUCCAUUGUAUCCAUUCUCAUCUGUCCACCUGGAUACACCUGGUUGUCCAGUGGCGCUUUGAGAAUAAACUCUAGGAACAUACCCAUUUAUUACUCCCCCUUCAUUCACACCAUUGUGGUCUCCACCAACUACUGGCGGCUUAUUCUCAGGCUUUACUGGGACUCCACCAUUCAAUAUCACAGUAUGGUCAAAACAAGAAUGUGUAUUACACAUUACCUCCACAACAUCUACUCGCCCAUAGUUAUCACCUAUGAAAUUUCCCCGGAAUUCAGUGCCAUACUGUCUUGGUGUGACAUAAACAUCCUUUUCUUCAACAUUCUCUUCUUUCUCGCAUUUAUCAUUCUAUUGGUUUUCACUCAUAUAUGUUUCAUCUUCAAUUACCCUCCCCUUUACCUCUGCUUUGUUUUCCCUACCAUCUUCUGCUGCUGCUAUUUCAUCAAGAAAAGCUUCAUCCUCCUGCGUAACCUCAAUAACAAUAGUUUUUGAUCCAACAAUUGAUAUCUCCCCACACAACUCUUCUGCACCAUCACUCUUACUUAAUCCACAUGAAGACCCACAAUUACGUUUCCUAGAACCAUCCCCGGAACGGAGCUUCUCUUCUCCCUCAAACUCGACUUCAGUUUGACCUCUUUUAAUGAUCUCUUCGAAGAUUACAAACAAAUUAAGACCUCUAUUCCCACGAAGCAUCUUCAUAUAGUACUUAAGACCAAGAUUUGUACUGACCAUCACUGGCGGCGACCUAACUACUAGUGACAAAUGCAAAUUGCUUGGCAGACAGUAGCUCAAGUCUGCCUUCUUAUUAACCAAGCUGGUAUUUUCUACCACCGAAUCCUCCAAUUCCCACAACUUGAUUUCCGCCAAAAUUGGAACGAUCCUCGACAAAAGCAGUUGGUCGACGUGCCAAUCGCAAACGUUUUUGCCGGUACAGCACCACUUCCCUAAAACAACCACACAAUAAUGAGGGAGUUCAUCCUGGGCGACAACAACAAAAUUCAUCAGCAACAAUUAUCAACCCACAAUUUUUGAAACACAAAGAACUAUCCACAAACCCUUACCUGCGCAGCCAUGUUUACAGAAGAAUGUCCAAAACCCUAAGCUCAGUUUAGCAUUUCUUUAUCCACAAAUAAACGAAUUGUUAACUUGAAAAUUGCUUUGAAUCCACGAAGCCCCGAUUCAAACAAAACUUAAUCUAAGCCACAUGAUCUAAUCAUCUAGUUUCCAUCCUACGAUCCUUGUUAUUUUCGAUACAGUUACAAUUCAACUCUACUAAAACUAAGACAGAGGGCACAAUGGUCAUUUAUUUUGAGGUCAACACAACUUAAGAAGAACAAAAGUACACUAUAACUUCAAAGUGGGUCUGCUCGCAAAGACUUUCCCACAAAGUGGGCUUGCGUGUUAUUUUCUCCGAAUUUAAUUAUUCUUGUUGUCAUUGUUGCACGCUCAAUUAACAAGUCCUCUGUGUAUUUUCAUUUAAUUCACCCAAAAUUUUUCCAUUUUGUUGUCUUAAACUAAAGAUUUGGCGAAUUUUUAAGCUUUUUCCAUAAAUUUUAUGCAAAACAUAAUUAAAACUAGGAUUUACCCGGUGGUAUACCACAAGUCAAUAAUUUAAUAUAUUUGUUUGAUUGGUCAUUUUCUUAGUUGGUUUAUAUAGUCUAGUUUUAUAUGUGUUUAUUUCAUUAUAGUUUUAUAUAAUUUUAUGAAUUUGUAUUAUAAGUAGAUUUAUAAAUAUAUGUGGUCAACCCGCGGUACACCGCGGAAUAAUUUUGUUGUAAGUAAAAAAUUAUAUUUUCACUUAACCGUUAAAAGAUUUAAAUAUAGAUAACUCGUAAGAAAUCUAUUCAUAUUUAUGUAAACUCAAAACCGUUCAAUCAUAUUUAUGUACAAUAUUAUUAUAUUUUCAAUAUUUUAAAGUUAGAAUAUUAAUAGUACUUUAAUUUUUUGUAGAGUUUAAGUAUUUUUAAUAUUUUAAACAUCUAUAAAGAUUAAAUUAAAUAUUAUAAUAUUUAAAGCUUUUAAAAGUUUUAAUAUUUAUAAUAUUUAUAUUUACUUGUUAUUUAAUUACUAAAUUUACUUUUAAGUUUUGUUAUUCAUUCAAUUAGUAAGUGUUAUGCAAAUAUUACAAAAUAAAAGGUUAUAACCCAAAAUAGAUUUUUAGAACAAAAUGUACUUCAAAGGUGUAUAUAAAAGUACUCUAUUUCCACUAGCAUGUUGGUUCGGUUAAUCGAGAGUUUUUUUGGUUAAUCGAUUCGGUUCGGAUUGGUAUAAUUGGUUAAUUCAGAAUUUGAAAAUUGUUCGAAAAGAGGUUAAUUUGGUUUUUCUUUAUUUCUUACGGAACUGAACCGAAAUUUUUAGUUUCUUUAAAUUUGUGCCGCUGGAAAAAACAGAAGCCUAGUAACAUGUCAAACCCAUUUUAAAUAAAUUCGUUAACGUUUUUGUAUGAAUGAAACUUCAACAUAGUCACGAGAGUAAUUCUAAAACCAGAAAAAGUUAGACGAUGGCUAAUGCGAAGAGGAGAUCCCAUCAAAGAAAAAGAAGAGAUGCAAGGAAGAUGAAUCGAGCGAAGAUCCAAAAAAGAUUGACAGCGACUAAUUACACUGGGAUUUUAUUUUUCUCGGUUAAUCAUCUGGUUCGCCUAAACCGAACCAAAAAUUCAUUGAUAACCGAUUUCAGUUACAAAGCUUCCGAUCGGUUUACCUUUAGUAACCGAACCCAAAUCAAAAACCAAAAAUUUGGGUUCAUUCGGUUCGGUUUGGUUUAAUCACGUUUCAGAAGUAAAAAAAAAAAGAAAACACGGACUUCGAGUCAUCAUCGGUCGGUUAACCAUUUUGUACAGAACCACAGUGAAAGACUUAUCUUCUCUCCGGCGAUCGUUUAACCAAAUCCUUCAGUUUCACACUUUCACUCAAGCGGUCAUAUUAGGGUUUUACAUCUUCCGACCAAAACCAGUAAAGAUGUGCGGUAGGACUUGCUGUACUUUAAGACCAGAUGAUGUCCCAAGAGCUUCUCACCGCCACGGCGUUCAAACCCGAUUCCUUCACACUGACCGGUCUUUUCUCUUUUCUCAGUUACAAGUUUCAAUUUUUAAGCCUCUGAACUCUCUAAAAAUCGUUCCUUCUUGUUGUUAAUCAGUUAUCGUCCAUCUUACAAUGUUGCCCCUGGUUCGUAUAUGCCUGUUUUAAGAAGAGACAAUGAAGUAGUUGGUGAUGGUGUUGUUGUUCAUUGUAUGAAGUGGGGAUUAGUCCCAGGUUUCACUAAGAAAACUGAUAAGCCUGACUUUUUCAAAAUGGUAUCACUUUUACUUCUUUGGUGGGUUUUGUUUUGAGUUGCAAAAUUUGAUUGUCAAAGAAGUUUAUUGCACCUGAUUCUUUGAUUGGUGACUAUAUAGUGAAGAUGUGUUUGUUUAUGUGAAUUUGUAGUUUAAUGCUCGGUCUGAAUCGGUAGCUGAGAAAUCGUCUUUUCGUCGAUUGCUUCCCAAGAAUAGGUGCCUUGUUGCAGUUGAUGGGUAUCUCUUAUCUUCUCUUUUUUAGUAUUCUAUAGUUUAGGUUCAAUCUAUAUGUGAAUUCUAAAACUACAUAUAUAGAAAUGUUUUAAUUCUGAUCAGCAAUGUUUGACUUUGUGUAAUCAAUCUUAAGGCUAAUGAUUUGUUAUUGAGUUCUGUUUUUUGUGAACAUUCUUCAAAAGCAAUUGUUCUGUCUCUAUAUUUAGAUGUGUAUUUUUUUUUUCUUUGUAACACAUAAUAGUCUUUAAAAGAACUUACAGUUAGAUUCAAUUUGAAGAUUCUAUGAGUGGAAAAAGGAAGGUUCAAAAAAGCAACCCUACUAUAUCCAUUUCGAGGACGGGAGGCCACUCGUCUUUGCUGCUCUUUUUGAUUCUUGGCCGAACUCAGGAGGUGAAACGUUUUAUCUUGUUUUAUUCCAAACUCUGUUGCUAUUCUUUUUGAAACUGAUCCUGAAACAUUUCUUAGACUUUCAAUGUCUUUUUUUCCACAGAUGUUUGAAAAGUUUAUCUUUUGAAUUGCUAAUCAUUUUACAUUCAUUGAAAUUUUUUGAGUUAUGUGUGUUAGAAAAGCGAAGUAGCACUUUAAAGACCCUUUUUGGUAGCUAAAUACAUCUCAGAUGCUUUGACUCUAAGUUAAAGUUACUUUUUUUUCUUGCAGGUGAGACACUUUACACCUUCACGAUUUUGACAGCCGCUUCCUCUUCGGCACUUCAUUGGCUCCAUGGUUAGUAUCUUGGAAGGCUUUUUCUUAAAUAAGAUAUAUUUCUUUAUUCAUAUUCACUGAAGAUUCUCAGUAGCACAUAGCAUAUGAAGUUGGGAAUUGUUUAUCUUCCGUGGAGGUGGAGCCUUGAAACUUGUGUUCAUAUAUUAAGAAAGAUAUGAACUUAAAGUAUCAUACUAGUAUUGAAUUGUUUCUGUUUUCUUGUUACUUACAAUUUGAUAAUCUUCUUUAGAAAAUAUACUUUUGUAAUUACGAGUCUUGUUGCAAGAGAAUCUUGAACUGCUGCUAAAGGGACUCGUAUCAGAAAAAGAACAAGGAAAGACCGUUUAUGCGUUUUAUUGUUAAUAAGGACUGUGGCGUUUCUUAUUCAAUGUUCUUAUUAUAAGCUGCUGUUGGUGAAAGUUUUGUUAAUUUACGGCAGUCCUGAUUUUUGCGCUGACAUGUUUGUUUUUCACGUAAGACAGAAUGCCGGUUAUUCUUGGUGACAAGGAUUCUGUCGACACAUGGCUAGAUGAUCCAUCGACGACGAAACUGCAGCCAUUACUCUCACCAUAUGAAAAAUCAGAUUUGGUAAAGUUUACUUUGUUUCUGGUUUCUUUGUUAUAUUGUUUUUUCCGUUUUCACUUACUCAAGAUGAACUUUCAGGUAUGGUAUCCAGUAACUUCUGCAAUUGGUAAACCAACGUUUGAUGGACCAGAGUGUAUUCAGCAGGUACUGUUAACCAGAUUCCCUUUGUCAGUGUACAAGUAAAGGUCUAAAGUUGCAUCUCAAGUCAUGUUAUUAUCAGGAUCAUGUCUUAAUUCUCAUAUAGCAAACUCUGUAUAUGUCCAGUCUUAUGCUUGUCAUUAUUUAUAAAAUAAGGACUGUGCCACCUGCAGAUACAGCUUAAGGCUUCACAAAAUAGCUUGAUCUCAAAGUUCUUUUCAACAAAGCAGCCCAAAACAGACAAAGAAACCGAAUCGACAGAUAUCAAAGGUGGUUUGCAAGAGGAACCUACAGUUGACGGUCAUGAUGGGGCGGUAUUUUCCGACACCAUUAAGAAAAUUGAAGAACUAGGCGAGGAGAAAGAUGUCUUGAGCGAAGCCAGAAAUCUGGAUCCUCAAAUAACUGUGAAAGCAGAACCAUUUGUUGCAUUUCAUCCCGGACAUGUAAAGGAUGAAGUUGAGAAAUCCGUAAAGACUGGUCUUACUAAAGGAACAGGUGAGAGUAAUGACAACCUACCAGUUGGAUCCCACAACCUUGUCCCAAUAAUCUCAAAGGAGGAACCCGAGAAACAAGGCCAUCAUCAGUUUACCACAAAUGAGGAAUUGAAUCAGCCACAGGAGGCUGUUGAAGAUAAUAAACCAGGAAAUGAAAACCAGAAAGCAGCUUUAACUGACGAGACCCCAAAGGAAGGUGGCUUAGAGUUUAGCGAGAAGUCUGCAGAAACGACAGGGACAAACACGAAGCUAGGUGGCUUAGAGUUUAUCGAGAAGUAUGCAGAAAAGACUGGGGCAAACAGGAUGCAAGGUGGCUUAGUGUUUAGCAAGAAGUCUACAGAAAAGACUGGGGCAAACACGAUGCUAGGUGGCUUAGAGUUUUGCGAGAAGUCUGCGGAAAAGACGGGGACAAAGCGAGACUAUGAUUUAUUCUCAGCGCAAGAAAAGCCACUGAAACAUUGUGAGAGGUUGCAAGAUGUUAAAAGCAGUGGGAGAUGCGGAAGGAAGAAAGGAAAGGGAAAGUCUAACGUUAAGAAACCUAAAGAGUCUACUUUACAUUUCUUUUUCGAUGAGAAAUAGUUAGUUUGUGUCUGCGUAACGUCUAUGAGGACUAUGUUGGGCUACUUUAGUUGUAGAUAACCUUAGAUAUGUACCGGUUGUUUUGGAAAUGUUGCUUGUAUAUAUGUUGUAUUCGAUCUUUGAUCUAAGCUAAAUGGACACAAAAUUCUCAAACUCAUUGUGACAGUGUGAGAAAAAGAUCUGAGAUUUCAUGCUUUUUUCAUGUUAGUCGUUCGAAAUUUGAAGUCUUAUACUUUUCUGUCUUUUUUUCACUGAAUAAAUUAUAUUGAUAACCAAACUACCAAAGUGUUCGGUAAUAUUACAAAUCACAAGAAAAAAGAGAGAGUGAAAUUACAGGUAAAAGUCAAAUUUCAACAUGAACCAUUUUAAAAGUGUAUUUAUAUAUCUCAACUUUUAUAACGUAUAAAUUUCAACCUGAAUUAAAUAUUGUUUCGAAUAAAACUACACGAACUAUCAUCUAGGUAAUAAUUUUCAAGAAAUUUUGAACUAGUUGUUUAAGUUAAGUUAUAAUUAAAGAAAAAAAAUUCCAGUUUUGACACAUGGCAUAUGACUCAGCAAAAUUUGUACAUGUGGCAUAUGAUUCAGCAAAAUCUGACUCAUCGUAGUUGACCAACAUAAUCCCGGUCAAUAUUGAUUUUUGCAUAAAUUUGAAAAAAUAUUUAGUUUAAGUUGAAAUUCACACGUUAGCAAAGUUGAGGUAUAAAUAUACACUUUUCAAAUUGUCCAUGUUGAAAUUUGCCUUUUACCCGUGAAAUUACAAAGACAAUGAUUUUUCCAAACCUACAACUAGAAGAGGAGACGGUUUUCAAAUACAUUGCUUAUACCAAAAACAUCUUGUCUCGAGACAGAAAUAGCUCUCGAAAUACCAUAAAGACUUCCUGCAAUGGCAGAGGUAGAUAAGAAGCAUAGGGGUCAUUUGACCCUGUUGAAUUUUUCAAAUUAGAUGAAUUUUUAGGAAAAAUAUCAAAUUGACCCUUGUAAAAUAACACAAUUGACCCUUAUAAAAAAAUUUAAUAACACAAUUAACCUUUAUAUAAAAAAAUUGAUACUCAUGAACUGAUUUCCUAGCUCCGCCACUCUUUCCGGAUAUCAAAGGAUGAUAACGGGCUUCAACGCAUGCAAUACAUUUUUCUCUGCGAAUGCUUUCUCUACGAGUUCUUUGUCAUUCUUAACUGUUUUUUUUUCUCAAAAGAGAUACCAUUUUGUAUUACCAAGAAUUGAAACCAAUUAAAAACAGCCUUAGUAUACACAGAAGGAAAGGAAAAUACAAGUACCCAAAAACAUGAGGAGAGAAAAAAUAAGUAGCUACUGCUGUUUGAACCAUACCAUAGAUGUAGAAGGAACUCAGUCCAAACCAGCCAACCGCCUUCUUAACUUAAUAUCGCUCCGUCAUUCUUAACUCGAUCCGCCAGUCUAUGAAAAAUGGGAUUUUGCUUUAACCAGGUACUGUUAACCAGAUUCCCUUUGUUAGUGUACAACUAAAGGUCGAUAAUUGCAUUUCAAGUCAUGUUAUUGUCAGGAUCAUAUCUUGGAACUCUCUCCAUUCUGUAUUGUUUCAAUCUGUACGCUUAUCGUCAUUUAUAAAUACGGAUUAUGCCACUUGCAGAUAACGCUUAAGGCUUCACAAAAUAGCUUGAUCUCGAAGUUUUUCUCAACAAAGCAUCCCAAAACAGACAAAGAAACCGCAUCAACAGAUAUCACAGGUGGUUUGAAAGAGGAACCUACGGUUGAAGGUCAUGAUGGGGCUGUAUUUCCUGACAGCAUUAAGAAAAUUGAAGAAUUAGGCGAGGAGAAAGAUGUAUCGAAUGAAACCAGAAAUCUGGAUUUUCCAAAGACUGUGAAAGCAGAACCAUUUGUUGCAUUUCAUCCCGGACGUGUAAAGGAUGAAGUUGAGGAGGAUAGAAAUGGAGAAAAGAAAUCCAUAAAGACUGGUCUUACUAAAGAAACAAGUGCAAGCAAUGACAACCUACCAGUUGGAUCCCACAACCUUGAUCUCCCUAUAAUCCCGAAAGAGGAACCCGAGACGCAAGGCCAUCAUCAGUUUACCACAAAUGAGGAAUUGAAUCAGCCACACGAGGCUGUUGAAGAUAAUAAACCAGGAAAUGAAAACCAGAAAGCAGCNNNNNNNNNNNNNNNNNNNNNNNNNNNNNNNNNNNNNNNNNNNNNNNNNNNNNNNNNNNNNNNNNNNNNNNNNNNNNNNNNNNNNNNNNNNNNNNNNNNNNNNNNNNNNNNNNNNNNNNNNNNNNNNNNNNNNNNNNNNNNNNNNNNNNNNNNNNUACCUCCUCUGACUGUUUGUUACGCAGCAGAAAUGUCUUUCUCUUUGAAGGCUAAUUGCCUGAAAUGUCCAUGAACUUCCAAGAAUCUCUGAAACUCUACUUCAUAAACAAGAUUUAUGCCUGAAGAGGAAAGCACCUGCUUGUCUUGUGUAGUGAUGAUAACUAUACUCCCCGGACCAAAAUUGUUGAAAUUAUCUGCAAGAGCAUCGAACUGUUCAAGCUUUUUGAUGUCGUCAGCCACAAGCAAAACCUUUUUGUUCUUGACUCUUAAUUGACUCAUCCUCUCUUCAAAGAGAUGCAACAUGUGACGAUCCUUAUAAACCAUUUUCUCACUUUCCAGGAAAAAAUGGCUUUCAAAGUGUUGAUGAAUGUUCUGAUAAACAAAUUUAGCUAAAACCGAUCUUUUCUUGCUUCCUCUCUCCCAAAUCCCAAUCACUCUUACACUUUUCUUAGAGCUCAAAUUCAAUAAUCGGUUAAAAGCUUUCAUGUGUGCAUAAAUCCCCUGAAGGUCACUCCCAUUAAUUCUUGUUGUAUCAAUCAUCAGAUUUUUUGAUAUCAGCUCAGUAAUUUUGUCUACUAUCUUUGAGUCAUCUUCCCUAAAGACCCAAAAAAAAAAAAAAAUCGAAACUUUAGAAUCGAAUUAAUAAUUUUUUUUUAGUAAAACUCGAAUUUUAUCAUCGAAGAUUUUGAUAUAUGUAUAGAGCCGUUACUUUCAAAGAUAUAAUAUUAAUUCGUAGAUAAACAAGUUCAAAUAUAAAUUUAUGCUGCUGAUAGUUCACGAGUUCAAUAUAACUUUAUGUAAUAGUAAAACUUGUAAAAAGUUCUGAAAUUUUACCAUUUAGAUGAACAGAUGCCGGAGACAUUCCCCAAAUCUUUCAAUGCUUGCCUCCAAAAAAGCACCUUCUCAUGGUCUUCUCUACCCUCAUGCAUCUUGAAGUGUUCAGCGACUUUCCCAAUCUGCCUCCUCACAUGGCACGGAUCCACGUCGUAAAAGACGGGUAUCACGGUGAUCGAACCCUCUCUUACGAAUUCCAUAACCUUCACAAGCUCUUCCAGACACCAAGGAGAAGCAGAGUAAUUCUCAGAGACGACAACGACGGCGAAUCUAGAACCCCCAAUGGCCCGUUCGAGCUCAGGCGAUAUGCGUUCGAGCUCCGGAGAUAUCUGCCGGUCAUAUUUGAAGGGUGGAAUUUUAACAUUCUUUUUUAUCAAUUCUGUGAAGAGAAAACUGAUGAAGUUACGACCAGUAUCGUCUCCAUUGAAACUCAGAAAGACAUCGAACUUUUGAAGGGUAACUUCAGUUUCAGACAUUUGAUUGGUUUGGUUCUCUUGUCUUGAUGAUCGAGAGGUAACAUAAAUAAGUGGUCUUGUUAGGAGUGGUGUAGCCUUGCCCAAAACUCUUUCCGGUUAAGUUCCUCGCAUUUUCUUCCUAUUAUAUUUUUUUGACUCUCUCACUUUCCAGGAAAAAAUGGCUUUUGUUCCACUCCUAAAUUUGAUGACCCAAACAAGGUCUUUUUGGUAGUGAAAGUCAAACAAAACACAAAACAAUGUGAACCACUUAAUUGUAAAUCAAAUCCAUCCAUACUAUUCUAACUUGAUGGCUUAAGUGUUUUGUUAAUAAACUAGAUUUUAACCCGCAGUAUAACGCGGGACGGUAUUUUAAAAUAUAUUUUUAUUAAUUUUUUAAGUAUUGUACUACUGUAUUUUGAUUGUUAUUCCUGACUUAACCCGUAGAAUAAUACAUGAAAAUUUAUUUUUGAUAUAAUCGUAAUAUGAUCAACUUAAUUAAAUAAAUCUAAUAUUCAAAAUAAUGAAAUAAUGUUGGCAUAACAUAUUUCGUUUAAAUAGUCUAGUGUCAGAUUAAAUUAUUUUGUGAGUUUUACUAUAACAGACAACCCAUAAAAACAGCUAAAAUCAUAAUUAUGUAAAUUAUAACACGUUCCAUCACAUGACCCGUGCUACACAUUAUCAACAAUAGUUUAGUAAAUAAAAAUUGUUUUGUAUCGAUUGAGUAAUAUACGUCCGUUUUAAAAAAUUCAAAUUGUAAUAUGUGCGGAAAAAUAUAUUUUUAUUAUACAUAUGCUUUAUGUAAUAAUAUAAAUUUUAAAGAAAAUAAGAUAAUAUAAAUAUAGUAGAGAAUAAUUUGAUUUAUUAGGGUGAGAUUUUAGAAAAUUCUAUUGAAUGUAAUAAAUACUGAUUUCCAGUUUUGCAAUUUUUAUUAUAAUGUAAUUUUAAAUUUUACUUUAAACUUUUGUUAUUCAUUCAAAUGGCAAUGGUUUAUGAUUGCAAAUAAUACAAAAUAAAAGGUUACUUUCCAAAAGGCACUUCAAAAAUGUUCAUAUAGAUUACACAAUUAUAGAUAUACUAGAUUCUGACCGCACGCUACGUUCGAGAUUAUUUUUUGAAUUCUUUUUGUUAUAAAGUUUUAAAAAAUAGAUAUUACUAAAUUGUGAAAGUUAAUCUAUAUUUUAAAAAAUAGAUAUUACUAAGUUGUGAAAGUUAAUGAAAUGAUUUUGGGUAUGUAAUAGGAGUAUUUUAAUGUAAUAGGAGUAUUACUAAGUUGUGGAAAUUAUUGUUUAGUUCAAUUCUAAGUUCUUUGUUUUUGUAUUGUUUAUGUGAUAGGAGUCUUUUCUAGAUUGGGAUCUUUGAUCCGGAAAGUCUUUUAAUGAAGUAACUAGAGAUGAUGUUAGGCAUAGGAUGCUAAGGUAAAAACUACAAUUCAUUAUAUUUAUUUGUUUGUUUGUUUGUUUGUUUAUUUGUUUAUUAUUUAUUGAUAUCGUGGUUAGUUAGUUAGUUUAUGAAAUUGGGUAUGAUUAUUCUGGAAACAUAAAACUAAGUUAUGGUAGAAAGGUAUCUAAGUUCAAGUUUAGGAGUUUAGAUGGGCAACGUUGUUUCGAGCAAUUAAUUGAUUAAUCAUCAAUCAUAAAUAAUUUUCACCAAAAUAUAUCGAAUAUACCACGCAUAGAAUGUGUUCAAAACCUAGUCUAUAUACUAUAGUAUGAAAUAAAUUAUUACAAACUAUGUUUGUUUUUAAAUUAACAUUUAUACACGGGUUGUAUGACGGGACGAGUUUGAAUCGAUAUUACUAAAAUAUAGAAAUUAUCAUUAACCUUAUAUUUCAAAACGAGUUAAAACUUCAUUAUACUAUUUUUUAACAAUAUAAAUAUAAGACAUAUAGAUCAAACUGAUUUAAUUAAGUUUAAUAUUAUGCAAUCUUGAUAAUAAUAAUUUUUGGGAUUGCAUGAUAUUAAAAUUAAUAAAAUCAGUUUGAUAUUAUGCAAUCUUUUUUUUUGUCAUCAUUACAAAUUUGAAGUCUCUUUUUCACAGGGAUGGAGCUCGAACCUGGAUCUCGGGAGAAGGCAACAGAGGUGAGAACCAAUAGCCCACUUGCUCCUUCUCAUAUUAUGCAAUCUUAAUAAUUUAUAAACAAAUUCCAGUAUAAACCGUUGGAGAUGCUCGUAGGAGAUUUGGGUUUAUCUUCUUCGUUUAAAUUAAACCUUUAAAAGCUUGGUUGAGUCUAAGUUUUGAGAUUUAUAAAAGAAAAACAAAAAAUUAAAGAGGCAAUCUUAAUUUCCCAAAGAGCUUGUGUCAAGCUAGAGAGAAGGACUCUCAUUGUCUUUUGUUUUUUUAGUUAGAUAGAUCCAUUGAUUCGCUUCCGCCUAUGCAUUAGGAAGGGAUUCGAUAGAGUGCUAGAAUACUUUCCAAGGAUCUGCUUUUGGAGGGCGCGGUCACUAUAAUCGAUGAAUAAUUAGGGGGCAAAUCGUUCAUUUGUUUGAGUACAUACAACAAACCCCACAUAUGAAAAGUUAACGGAGUACUGACUGAAGCUUUCGUAACGUUAGACAUCAAGGCAGCCGCGGUUGAAGAUAUGAUAUCGACGGUUGGGAAAUGAAGAAGGUUUUCGCGCGAUGAGAAUUUUGAGUAAAAAACAGCAGUUGGAGGGGGCGAGAAAACUUCUUCCUUUGAUAAACUGUUUAGAAAAAAGUGGGAAAUAGAAGAGGCUUUGUUAACGUUAGACGUCAAGGCAGCAGCGAUGUAAGAUAUGAUCGACGGUUGAGAAACGUAGAAGGUUUAGGCACGAUGAGCAAUUUGAGUCAAAUUCGGCAGUUGAAGAGGGAGAGAAAGCAAUUUGAGUCAAAUUCAGCAGUUACUUUGGGAAACUCUUAGAAGGGUAGUUAGAAACGGAAGAGGCACUUUUGCUUUUUAAAGGUGAAAAUAGUAGAAUCAUUGUGCAUAAUUUGACACAAAAGAAGGGAAAUCGCGAACUCUUAGGAAUGCAAUAAUAAGACAUAAAGAAAUUAAGCAAACAAAUUAGUUAACGACAGAGUAAACAGAUGUUAGAUGCUCUGUUAUCACGACAUGUCUAUUUUGGCUUCAUCAACAACAUUUGAUUUUUAAAACGGACAUUAAAUAGAACUUGGUGUUUUAAAUGACCUUAAGGAAAGUUUAUGAUCUAAAUGACGUUUUUGGAAAAGUUCAUUAUUUAAAUGACCUUUUCCCAUUUAUUUAGAGACUUGGAAGGUAAGUGUUGUAAAAGAUAAGAUCAAAUGGUACAAUCAAAAGUUGCAUGAUCAUUUUUUAGGGAUAAACUUAAUAAAAUGAUUGUAACAAUUUCCAAUGAGCAGAGAUAUACUACUGCUCAUAUUUCAACUGUUAAAAAAAGAAAAAAACAGAGCCAACCAAAACAUUCCGGCUGUUAUGAAAAGGGAAAAAACGUGCCAGCCAAAAUAUUUUGUGGCAUAAAUGUCUCUCUUUUUAAAGGCUAAUGUUCGGAAGAAUUGAUCGUGAAAUUGAUGGAACUUCAAAAACUCUACUUCGUGGACAAGCUCUAUACCGUAAGAAUUCAACAGCUGCUUGUCUUGUGUAGUGAUGAUAACAACACUCCCCGGACCAAAGCCGCUAAAAUUUGAUGCAAGAGCAUGUAGCUGUUCAAGCUUAUCGACGUCGUCUGCCACGAGCAGAAUCCUUUGGUUCUUGAGACUAUGUUUGCUGGUUGAGAAUUCUCCUUUAAUAUUUUUCAGAAACUCUUCAUGUAGAUGGCCUUCAAUGUGUGAACUUUGAGAAAUCAUUCUCACGUUUCCCAAGAAACAAUGACUUUCAAAAUGUUGAUAUGUUUUAUGGUAAACAUAUUUAGCUAGAGCUGAUCUAGCAUUGCAUCCUCUUGCCCAAAUCCCAACCAUUGUCAAUCCUCUUUUGGAAUUCAAAUCCAUUAAUCGGUUAAGAUACUUCAUGUGUUUAUCACUCCCCACUAUGUACCUCCCAUUGCGUAUUGUUUUACUUGUAACAGUUAUCAGCAUAUUUGAUAUAUUGUCCGCAAUUUCGUCGACCAGCUUCAUGUCAUCUUCGCUACAGAGAAAAAAAAUAGAAACUUAAGGCAUCGAUUUAAACCCAAUUUAACAAGAAAAUUCAAUCUUUUGAUUCAAAUCAAGUGUAAAAAUAAAAACUCAAUCUUUUGAUUCAAAUCAAGUGUAAAAAUAAAAAUUCAAUCUUUUGAUUCAAAUCAAGUGUAAAAAUAAAAAUUCAAUCUUUGGUAUUAAAUCAAAUCUAAUUAUAAAAAUUAAACUUUUUUUUCAAUAACUAAAAGGUUCUAGGCCAAAGUAUGUACAUCUUAUUCUUCUCAAACCCAAAACGAGAGUAGAUUAUAUGGUUUUUGUCCCAAAACACCACUCAAACCAGGGAUCGUACCUGAUAGGUCCAGUGGUAAUACCAUGAUAAAUCAUUUUAAGUUAGGAACGUUUACCAUAUCCAUGAACAAGGGCCGGCCAUAUACGACAAAUUGGUCAAUGCUCGCCUCCAUGAAAGCACUUUCUCAUGAUCUUCUCUAGCCUCGUGCUUCUUAAACUGUUCAGCUACUACCCCAUCUGCGUCCUCAAAUUGAACGGAUCCACAUCGUAGAAGAUGGGCUUCACAGUGAUCAAACCCUGGUCCUCGAAAUCCAUGAUCAUCCUGAGCUCUUCGAGGCACCAACGAGACGCAGCGUAGUUCUCAGAGACCACAAUACCGCGAUUCUCGAGUCCCCUAUGGCACGUUCAAGCUCCGGCGAGAUCAUCUGACCGAUCUCCAGGUCUUUGUCAUCUUUGAAAGUUCGUAUAUUUCUUCCAACCAAUUCAUGAUAGAGAAAGCUGCUGAAGGUGCGGCGAGUGUCCUGCCCGCUAAAACUUAGAAAGACAUCGUACUUAGAUGCAGUAGGAGAAGUCAUUUUGAUUUCUGAUUUUCUAUGACUGUGUAUGGAUAAUAUAAAUAAUUUAGUGUGCUUUAUAUAAGCCACGUAGAGGAGACUUUUAGUAGAGACUUAAUUUGUGUAGAGACUCUUCAGUUUAGUGUAACAUCAGUUUUUGUCAGCUUCUGUUUCACUGAACUACUCAGAAACAGGGGUUUUGUAGAAGGAAAAGACCUGGCCCAGCCAAAACAAAAAAAAAUAUUAUUAACGAACGACAAUUAUCAUCUUAUCCUCUUGGUUGAAUUUUCCACUACCAAAAAAAUGUACUCUUCGUUAGAUAAAAGAAAAACGAAAUUAUUAGUUGGCUUUGAUUAGUAGACUAAUUUAAAUUAGUUAAAAUUUGAAACAUUUGUUUAGUUAGACCACCAUUAUUGAUGGUCUCUUAAGAAUCUCUUAGCUUAAGAUUUGGUAAGAGAUAUCUCUUAUAUCUCUUAUAUAUGAGUAUAUCUUAAAAGCACAUCUUCGUUAGCAUCUCUUAGUUUAAGACUAGGUAACGUCCCGCGCAUAUGCGCGGGUUGUUGUAUAUUUAUUUAAUUAUUUGAAUUUAUUUAUUACUUAUAAAAAAUAGAUUAAAUAAAUUUUAAUGCUUAUGACAUUUUUACAUGUUAUUUAUUUAAGAGAAUUUUUGAAAAAUACCCCUUUUGGUGUACACCUUUUUAAAAAUACCCCCUUUAUCUAUCCAUUUUCAAAAAUACCCCUUUUUAAAUAUAAAAAAUUAUAAAGUUUUAUAUAUUUUAUAAGGUACUUCUAUAUAAUAACUACUACUGGGAGAUUCGAUACAAAUAUUUUAAAAUGUUUUAAAUAGUUUUAAAUUAUUUUUAUAAGUUUUAUAAGGUUUUUAAAAGGAUUUAUACGGUUUUUAUAAGAUUUUUAUAAGCUUUUUAUAAUUUAUUUUUACGCUAUUUAUGAAAGGUAUAUAAAGUUUUAUACACAUAUAAAGGUAAUUUGUGUAUAUAUUUAUAAGCUUACACACAUAUUUGGAUAAAUUUCAACAUUUUUAGUGGGGUUUUUGAUAAAAUUUGAAAAUGGGGUAUUUUUAAAAAGAGGUAUAUGAAAAUGGGUAUUUUUGAAAUUCCCCCUUUAUUUAAAUCAUACAAUAGAAGCAUACAUCCAUAUCUUUUGAAUUUAUUCGUUGAUUAAUUGUUCAAUUAAUCAAUUUUGAUAGUAAUUUUCUUUAGUACUUUUAAGUAUUUUUUGAUAAAACAAUAAUAUUGUUAAUGAUAAAAAUAGGAAUGAUAUUGGGAGAAUUUAAAAAAUACCCCUUUAAAAAUACCACUUUUUUAAAUUUACCCCCUUUUCAAACUUUAUCAAAGCAACCACUAAAAAUGUUGAAAUUUAUCCAAAUAUGUGUGUAAACUUAUAAAUAUACACAAAAAUUAUCUUUAGUUGUGUAUAAAAUUUUAUUUAUUUCAAUGUCUUACAAAUUGGUUUGAAUAUAACAAAAAAAUAUUUUGUUAAAAUAAUUACAUACUUUGAAAAUAAAAUAAAUAUACAUGAAUAUGUGAGAAAGAAAAAAACAUAUAAAGUAAAACAAUGAAAAUGGUUUAUUUAGCUUGAUUUUCUUAUGGUGCGAUGGUCAGAAAUCAAUAUUUUUGAAUCCCAUCGAUAAAGUAAUUUCCUUAUAGCCAUAAAAUAUUAUUAUACAUAUGUAUUAUACAUUUAAUAGUAUAAAAAAUGAAAAAAUGAAGAAGUGCAUAAAAUAAAGAAGAAAUAUAAUUGAAAAAAAAAGUUUUAACCAAAUAUAUAAUCAAGCUCUUACAAUGAUAUCUUAAUUGAGCUUUCAGCCCAUGUAAGAACAUUAAAAAUUAAACAAAAAAAAUAUUGAGAAUAUAUGGUAGAGAAGGAUGUAAAAAUGAAUAUUUAUAGGAUAAAUAUGAUGUAAGUUACAAUUCUAAAAUAAUUAAAUCAGAGGAGUUAUAAUUAUAUUUUAUAGUGUGUUAAUUGAAGUUAAAUGGAGGAAACAAAUAGUCAAUUGAAGGGUUAUAUAAUUUAAGUUACAAUUUAAUAGUAAAGUGUGGAUUUCAAGUAUGAAUUAAAGUAUAUGACUAAAUGUGUUAGAUAUUUGGUUUAAUUAAAAAUAAAUAUUAUAAUUAAAAAAUAAAUGCUAAAUGGACCAAUAAGGAGAGAGUGAAACCUUAAAAAUUCCCAAGAAAUAAUUUUAUUUUUACUCUCUUUUUUUAUUCCUCUUAAUUUAAGUUAUAUUUCUAGGUUUAAUUAUAUUUUUCAUCCUUGUAGUGUAUAUAUAGAUAGAAAAUGGAAUAUCAAAUUGUUUUUUAGAUAGGAAAUCAAGUAUAAAAUUCAAAGUUAAAACAAAUUAUAAUGUUCUUUGUAUUUUUACAUGUUGAAUCACAAACUAAAUAUAAGGAUCAUUAUUCUUAAAAGAAUGUCUUACAAAUUUGUUUGAUAAUUAUAUAAAAAAAAGUUUAUUUUGUUAAAAAAUUACAUACUUUUGAAAAUAAAUUAAAUAUACAUGAAUAUGUGAGAAAGAAACAAACAUCCAAAGUAAAAGAAUGAAGACGGUUUCUUUAGCUUGAUUUUCUUAUAACCAUAAAAUAUUAUUAUACAUAUGUAUUACAUUUAAAAAUAUAAAAAAACACUGAAAACAUAAAGAAAUACAUAAAAACAAAAAUAAAUAAAAUUGAAAACAAAAGUUUAAACUAAAUAAUUAAUCAAACUCUUACAAUGAUAUUUUAAAUGAGUUUUCACCCCAUGCAAGAACUUUUAAAAAAACAAAGAGAAUAAUGAAGAUAUGAGAUAUGGUAGAGAAGGAUGUGAGAAUGGCUAUUUAUAUGAUAAGAAGUGAUGUAAGUUACAUUUUUAAAAUAAUUAAAUUAGAGGAGUUAUAAUUAUAAUUUAUAGUGUGUUUAAUUGGAAUUCAAUAAAGAAAAUCAAUAGUCUUUGGAAAUUUAUAUAAUUUUCAGUUUCAUUUUAGUAGUAAAGUGUGAAUUCAAAGUAUGAAUUAAUGUAUAUGAUUAAAUGUGUUUUUUUGGUUAAAAAUAAAUAUUAUAUUUUAAAAAAUAAAUACAAAAUGGAACAAUAAAGAGAGUUGAACCUUACUUUUAUAUAUAUGAUUUUAAAUAAUUUUCCACCAAUAAGCCUUAUAAAAUUUGUUGUAUGAUAUAUGAUUAAGUCUUUUCAUUUUCUUUGCCAUUUGAUUAUAACUUAUAGUGUAAUUAAAUUUUGUAUUGAAUGAUUGUCAUAAACAUUUAUUUAUUUUUUAUUUUUUAAAUUAAAGCCUUAAAUAUUUUUCCACCAAUAAGGAGAGAGUGGAACCUUACUUUUAUAUAUAUGAUUUGUUAGCAAAUCUUAGCUUACAAAUUUUAAGUUAAGAGAUGUUUAAGAUAUCACCAAUAAUGGUGGUCUAAUUCGACCAAUGAGAUAAUAGUUUAUACACAUAGAUUAGAUCAUUCUCCGUGCUACAUAUAUAAUGUGAUUGAAUUUUAUUUUAUAUAAAAUUUUGUAUUGUUUUUUUUAACGGUAAACUUAUAUUAAUUGAUCAAGUAAGGUUACAAAAUAUAGCAUUUUGAAUCAAUAAAGGGAUGUAAGAAUAGUAAAAACAUAACGCAUUACUCGGUGGUCUUCACUUAGUCAAUAGAUCAGCCGCUUGAUUAUUUGCUCGAGGAGUCCAAGUGAAUUGUACAUCAUCAAACCUUUCCUUCCAAGAUCUUGCCUCUCUAAUCCAGUUGAAACAACCAAAAUUGAGACAUAUACCAUUCAUUAACUCUGAAACAUUCUUAUUAUCAGCUUCAAAGAUUAAUUAUUUUAAAUAAAUUUAUUAGAAAAAUCAAAUUAACGUAUUUUGUAUCUAUACUAUUAAAGCUGAAGUACACAAUGAAUUUACACUAUAGUUUCAAAAUGAAAUAAUUAUCAUUUCUAACUGGGUUAACACGCGGAUCUAACUAACUAAACGGAUAUGUUAAUCGGGUUUAGAGAUUUAAUCUCCAUCGUUCAUUUUUCAGUUGAUAAAAAAAAAUUGGUUUUCAAUAUUAAAGGAAAGAUAAUUAUUACGUUUGAUAUUUAACUUUAUUUGUAAGAUACAAUGCCUAAAAUUUAGCUUACUUGGCAAGAUUUUCUUAAUUUCAAAUAUUUUAUAAAGAUCUUGAUCGAAAUUUUAAAUCUAUACUAUUAAAGCUGAAGUACACAAUGAAUUUACACUAUAGUUUCAAAAUGAAAUAAUUAUCAUUUCUAACUGGGUUAACACGCGAAUCUCAGGUUUAGAGAUUUAAUCUCCAUCGUUCAUUUUUCAGUUGAUAAAAAAAAAAAUUGGUUUUCAAUAUUAAAGGAAAGAUAAUUAUUACGUUUGAUAUUUAACUUUAUUUGUAAGAUACAAUGCCUAAAAUUUAGCUUAAUUGGCAAGAUUUUCUUAAUUUCAAAUAUUUUAUAAAGAUCUUUAUCGAAAUUUUAAACAUUGAGUAUUUUAAUAUUUGUUUUAAUAGAAACCAUUCCAUGUUUUCUUAGUAUGGAAUAUUCAAUGUAGUUUACUUUUUAAACUAUUUUAAUUUUUAAUUUGACCAACCAAAUCAAUCUAUAUUAACAUUUUUUAAAUAUAUCUAUACUAUUAAAGCUGAAGUACACAAUGAAUUUACACUAUAGUUUCAAAAUGAAAUAAUUAUCAUUUCUAACUGGGUUAACACGCGGAUCUAACUAACUAAACGGAUAUGUUAAUCGGGUUUAGAGAUUUAAUCUCCAUCGUUCAUUUUUCAGUUGAUAAAAAAAAAAUUGGUUUUCAAUAUUAAAGGAAAGAUAAUUAUUACGUUUGAUAUUUAACUUUAUUUGUAAGAUACAAUGCCUAAAAUUUAGCUUACUUGGCAAGAUUUUCUUAAUUUCAAAUAUUUUAUAAAGAUCUUGAUCGAAAUUUUAAACAUUGAGUAUUUUAAUAUUUGUUUUAAUAGAAACCAUUCCAUGUUUUCUUAGUAUGGAAUAUUCAAUGUAGUUGACUUUUUAAACUAUUUUAAUUUUUAACUUUACCAACCAAAUCAAUCUAUAUUAACAUUUUUUACAUACAUUUGAUAAUAUAACUUUUUAUUUGUAAGAUUUUUAUAAAUAAACUUUUGUCAUUUCAUUAUAUAUUAAAAAUCUAUACUAUUAAAGCUGAAGUACACAAUUGUNNNNNNNNNNNNNNNNNNNNNNNNNNNNNNNNNNNNNNNNNNNNNNNNNNNNNNNNNNNNNNNNNNNNNNNNNNNNNNNNNNNNNNNNNNNNNNNNNNNNCGACUAACACAUAAUUUCCUUUUUAAUAAACUCUUUUAAAUGUGUAACACAAACAAAAAAAGAGGAAAUAUUUUCCUUUGACAACAAUGAUGAAUUUUAAAUGUAAGAUAUUCUAUAUUCUUUCUUCUAACCUAACAAACCUAAGUAGCCGACUUCAAGCACUAUAAAUAAUCCAUCGUUUACACAAUAUGAUACCAUUGUUAUUGUUUACUCUUUUUUCUUUAGUCCUAUAUCAUUUUUCUUUGUUUUGUUCAAUGCGUUUUAAUUAAAUUNNNNNNNNNNNNNNNNNNNNNNNNNNNNNNNNNNNNNNNNNNNNNNNNNNNNNNNNNNNNNNNNNNNNNNNNNNNNNNNNNNNNNNNNNNNNNNNNNNNNNNNNNNNNNNNNNNNNNNNNNNNNNNNNNNNNNNNNNNNNNNNNNNNNNNNNNNNNNNNNNNNNNNNNNNNNNNNNNNNNNNNNNNNNNNNNNNNNNNNNNNNNNNNNNNNNNNNNNNNNNNNNNNNNNNNNNNNNNNNNNNNNNNNNNNNNNNNNNNNNNNNNNNNNNNNNNNNNNNNNNNNNNNNNNNNNNNNNNNNNNNNNNNNNNNNNNNNNNNNNNNNNNNNNNNNNNNNNNNNNNNNNNNNNNNNNNNNNNNNNNNNNNNNNNNNNNNNNNNNNNNNNNNNNNNNNNNNNNNNNNNNNNNNNNNNNNNNNNNNNNNNNNNNNNNNNNNNNNNNNNNNNNNNNNNNNNNNNNNNNNNNNNNNNNNNNNNNNNNNNNNNNNNNNNNNNNNNNNNNNNNNNNNNNNNNNNNNNNNNNNNNNNNNNNNNNNNNNNNNNNNNNNNNNNNNNNNNNNNNNNNNNNNNNNNNNNNNNNNNNNNNNNNNNNNNNNNNNNNNNNNNNNNNNNNNNNNNNNNNNNNNNNNNNNNNNNNNNNNNNNNNNNNNNNNNNNNNNNNNNNNNNNNNNNNNNNNNNNNNNNNNNNNNNNNNNNNNNNNNNNNNNNNNNNNNNNNNNNNNNNNNNNNNNNNNNNNNNNNNNNNNNNNNNNNNNNNNNNNNNNNNNNNNNNNNNNNNNNNNNNNNNNNNNNNNNNNNNNNNNNNNNNNNNNNNNNNNNNNNNNNNNNNNNNNNNNNNNNNNNNNNNNNNNNNNNNNNNNNNNNNNNNNNNNNNNNNNNNNNNNNNNNNNNNNNNNNNNNNNNNNNNNNNNNNNNNNNNNNNNNNNNNNNNNNNNNNNNNNNNNNNNNNNNNNNNNNNNNNNNNNNNNNNNNNNNNNNNNNNNNNNNNNNNNNNNNNNNNNNNNNNNNNNNNNNNNNNNNNNNNNNNNNNNNNNNNNNNNNNNNNNNNNNNNNNNNNNNNNNNNNNNNNNNNNNNNNNNNNNNNNNNNNNNNNNNNNNNNNNNNNNNNNNNNNNNNNNNNNNNNNNNNNNNNNNNNNNNNNNNNNNNNNNNNNNNNNNNNNNNNNNNNNNNNNNNNNNNNNNNNNNNNNNNNNNNNNNNNNNNNNNNNNNNNNNNNNNNNNNNNNNNNNNNNNNNNNNNNNNNNNNNNNNNNNNNNNNNNNNNNNNNNNNNNNNNNNNNNNNNNNNNNNNNNNNNNNNNNNNNNNNNNNNNNNNNNNNNNNNNNNNNNNNNNNNNNNNNNNNNNNNNNNNNNNNNNNNNNNNNNNNNNNNNNNNNNNNNNNNNNNNNNNNNNNNNNNNNNNNNNNNNNNNNNNNNNNNNNNNNNNNNNNNNNNNNNNNNNNNNNNNNNNNNNNNNNNNNNNNNNNNNNNNNNNNNNNNNNNNNNNNNNNNNNNNNNNNNNNNNNNNNNNNNNNNNNNNNNNNNNNNNNNNNNNNNNNNNNNNNNNNNNNNNNNNNNNNNNNNNNNNNNNNNNNNNNNNNNNNNNNNNNNNNNNNNNNNNNNNNNNNNNNNNNNNNNNNNNNNNNNNNNNNNNNNNNNNNNNNNNNNNNNNNNNNNNNNNNNNNNNNNNNNNNNNNNNNNNNNNNNNNNNNNNNNNNNNNNNNNNNNNNNNNNNNNNNNNNNNNNNNNNNNNNNNNNNNNNNNNNNNNNNNNNNNNNNNNNNNNNNNNNNNNNNNNNNNNNNNNNNNNNNNNNNNNNNNNNNNNNNNNNNNNNNNNNNNNNNNNNNNNNNNNNNNNNNNNNNNNNNNNNNNNNNNNNNNNNNNNNNNNNNNNNNNNNNNNNNNNNNNNNNNNNNNNNNNNNNNNNNNNNNNNNNNNNNNNNNNNNNNNNNNNNNNNNNNNNNNNNNNNNNNNNNNNNNUAUAUAUAUAUAUAUAUAUAUAUAUAUAUAUAUAUAUAUAUAUAUACUUAUAUUACAAUAUAUGCGUGCUUAUAUAAAAGCCCAAAAAUAAACAUAGUAAAAUUACUACACCCUUAUCUAUUAAUCAUAUAAUAAAAAUAUACAAAAAAAAACAACAAAUAUUUAUACAAUACAUAUUUUAUACACUACAAGUUUUUAUUUUUUUACAAAAAAAAUUAUCGCACGGGUUCUCCUCUAGUAUUAAUUAUUUCUCAUAUUCUGUAAAAUAAUAAAUCUAAACUAUUUUAAAUAUUUCUGAUAAAUAUUUCAAUAGUUUAUUUUAUUAUUUAAUGCAAAACUAAAAAAUGGGUUGUAAGUUUGAUAAAAUUUGUGAUGGCAUUGUAUAAGUAAUUACGUACCAUUUUUGAAGUUGCGUACUUCCUUUUGAUUAAUAAGGGGAUAUGAUUUGGAAAAUUCUUGGGUUCAUUUCUAGUGGAACCAAUAAAAAUCUGCCAUUUAAAAAAAAUAUUAUUCAUAGGAUAAAAUUAACAUUAUAUCAUUGAGUUUUGAUUUUACAAGGUUAUAUGUUUGUUUGGAUUUAUUACAGACGGUAUAGGGUUUGAUUUUACAAUUCAACGACAAAUAUAUGUCGGCUUGGGUUUAUAAAAGAGGAUUAGGGUUUAGAAUUCACUAAUAAACAAGGUUUGGAUAUAUAAAGGAGGAUUAGGUUUAGAUUUUACAAUUAAAUUUAUAUGUCGCUUUCAGUCCAUUAAUGAUGAUUAAGAUUUAGAUUUAGAUUUUGUAACUACACAAGAUUAUAGUUUUUUUUUUAUAUAUAAAAACGGAUUAGAGAUUAGAUUUUAGAAUUAAAAGGGGUUAUGUGUUUGUUUAGGUUUAUUUAAAUCAUAUUCUUUUCAAGGAUUUUACUUUUUUCUAACGUUGAAUAACUUCAAUUUAAACGAAAGAGUAGAAAAUUACAAAUGAAAUCGAAAAUGAAACCAACAAUAAAACAUAACCAAUAAUUAAAACAUAAACCUCUUUCUAUACGACGCUUAUCCCUCUCAAUGUGCUCCUGCAACCAAGACAGACCUCCUAGAGCAAUAUAAAAAGUAAGAUGUUCUAUUCUUUUACAUCCUGUAAGCAAUCUCCCUAGCUAACAAGUUAGCUUUGGGUGAAGAGAUGAAAAGAAACCUUCCACAUUACUUGACAAAUCCCAUUUAGCUGAGAAAGGUACUUAGGCCAAGCAGAAGGGGAUUUAAUCGCUACCAAGGCCGUAUGGCAAUAAGACAACACCUCACUCAUAAGUCAUAAUGCAUGUUAUGCAAACUAGAGAGACACAAAAAAUGCAGCUCAGCUCCACCGUGAUCCGAUUAGAAUAGGGAAUAAAUGCAUCUCUCGCAUGAUAAUAAAUAUCGCCGAUAUGAUUCCUUAGGACCCAAGCUCCACCAUAGAAAAAGUGUCAUUGACCGAAGAGGAGUGAAGAUUACAUUUUAAAUUGCCAACGACCAGUUUUGUUCAAAAAUUUCUGGAAUGAGGGAUAAGCGUCGGACUGAGUUUGGUAAUAGGCUGAUUUGUUAUUGACACCACUCAUCCGCAUCUGCCAAAGUUGUGGCUAUUGACUCAUAAAAUUACUUUAAAUCAAUAUCCACUGAUCAAAUGUCUGUAUAUAUUGAUAAAAAUGUAUUUUUUAUUUUUUAUAACUUGAAAUCUCAAUUGGAAUAGAAAAAAGGUAAAUAGAAAAACUUAGGUGAAAGUAUUUUUUUUAUUGGCGAAAUAAUAUUGUAGGUCUUAACAAAAAUAAAAAGGGAAAAAUAAGAGUCAUUGUAGGGAAAAAAUUCAAGUAAUGAAUUAACGGGUACCGAAAGGAAAAAGGUAAUUCGGAAAAUAAAAAGCAUUAUCUAAACUAUUGAUAAAAUAGGGGACGAAAAUUUUGGGUAAUGCGAAUUUAAGGAGGACAAAUGCAAAUAUACUUAUUAAUGUUGAUCACCGAGAUUGUGUUUUUACGGAUAAAAAUAUUUUAAUCUAUAGCGGUGUAAGCAUAGCGGAUGGAUUUGAUCCCGCUUGACACCUAUAGAUCAUGAAAUUUUAAUUUUCUUUUCAUUGUUUUUUAUCCGGUUUGAUAGUUACGAGUUUAACACUAGUUUAUUUUAUAAAGACUAUACCCAAAAAGGUCAGUUUAAUCUAGAUACACAGAAACUUUAAAAUUAAGAAUAUACCUAUAAUUUUUGUAUAAUUAAAUCUCUCUAUUCAAUUUGUAUAACUUGGACCAAAAUAAUCUUUUGUAUAUGAUAUAUUAUUUAGUGAGAUGAUAAAAUAGAUAUCAACUAAUUUUUAUUUACUCAAACAAUAUUUAUAUAUCAACUAGAAGGAGCAAAACAUAUCAUGAGUUAUAUAAUUGUUUAUUGAGCUAACAUGAUAACAAUAUAUUGUUAUCGAUAAGUCUAUAAAUCUAUUGUACUAAAUAAGAUUGUAUUGCGAUAAAUGUUUAAUUAUACGACAAAUUUAUAUUUAUCGUGUUAACUUAUUUAUUAUAUCCUAUGCAGAAGAUAAAAGUUUCAUAUUUUUUAUUUAUUGUGUGAGUAACCAUUUUAUUAAUUUGUUAACUAAUAUAAUAUCGUGAUAAAUUUAUAUAUUAUGUGUUAAAUGUAUAUAUAUCAUGCUAACUCAAUUAUCAUAGUUAUACAUAACUAUGAUAAAGCAUAUUUAUGCAUAAUUUUCUUUUUUGAUUACAUGAUAAGCUUGAUAAUUUUUUAAAAUAAUGAAUAUCUAUAAUUAUAACGAUAAAUAAUAAUAACCUGUUAAGUAAUAUUAUAUCUCGUUAAUAACAAAUGCAAAUAGAUAACAAAUAUGAGAAAAUCUAGAAAAGAGAUAAAAAAAAGAAGAAAAAAUAAAACAACUAAAGACAGUAAUGUAACUUACCUUGCCUAUUUACUAUAGAAACUAGAAUCGGACCCGCGCUACAGCGCGGGGGAAAUUUCUAAAUUUUCAUUUUUUUUUUAUGUUUUACACACUAUAAAAAAAAUUAGUAAUGUUGCAUUAAUUUAUUUAAUAAUUUUUGUAGAAACAUACAUUAAAAAUUAGCUAGUAUUUCAGAAAACUUAACUAACCGUCUAAUAUAAAGAUGAUUAUAUAUAUUUUAGACAGUAUAAACCAACGAAUCUUGUGUAUUAAUUUCGCUAUUAUUUGUUUUAGAUAUGAUAUUGCAAUUACUAAAAUUAUAGUAACCGAGUGUCUUUGAAUAUUAAAAUUUUUGUUUGUUGUAGUAAUUUUUUUGUUGUUAUAAUUUUAUUUGUUUGCAAGUGUAUUUCUUGUAGCAUACACAUUAACCAUAUAAUAGUCCAAUUUUAUUGAACUUAGUUAGUAUCUAACUGUAGUACCUUAGUUAAUAACGUGUGAAGUCAAUAAUUAAUUGCAUUAAUUACACAAAUGUGUCAGUUAAUUUUUCAUUCUUUGUAAAUACUCAAAAAAAUAUAUCUAUAAAUAAAACAGGAAAUACGUGCAAGUCUAAUCUCUUAUAUCCACACCUUAAAUAAUUUUAUUAAUUUCCACAAAAAAUUAUGCAAAACGAUCUCCUUAAAAAUAAUCUCGCAUAACCAAACACUUACAAGCUCACGUAAGAAAAAUAUUUUUUUACAAUCUUACAACGAAACGACGUCGUUUUGUGUUUUGUUGACUUUUCACUACUAAAAGAAGCAAGAACCAUAUUUUCCUAGAAAGUGAGAGAGUCACACAAAUAUAAUAGGAAGAAUAUGCGAGGAAGUUAUCCGGAAAGAGUUUUGGCAGCCCACACUACUACUAACCACACCACUUAUAUAUGAUCAUCAAGACAAGAGAACCAAUCAAAAGAGAAAAAAAUGUCUGAUGUUUUUCUAAGUUUCAGAGACGUCGACACUCGUCGCAACUUCAUCAGUUUUCUCUACACAGAACUUAUACAAAACAAGCUUCGAAUUCCAUCUUUCAAAUAUGAUCUGCAGAUAUCUCCGGAGGUCGAAAGAAUAUCUCCGGAGCUCGAACGGGCCAUCGAGGGGUCGAGAUUCGCAGUUGUUGUCGUCUCUGAGAAUUACUCUGCUUCCCCUUGGUGUCUGGCAGAGCUUGUGAAGGUUAUGGAUUUCGUAAGAAACGAUUCCAUAACCGUGAUUCCCGUCUUCUACGACGUUGAACCCUGCCAUGUGAGGAGGCAGAUCGGUAAAGUCGCUGAACACUUUAAGAUGCAUGAGGCUAGAGAAGACCAUGAGAAAGUGCUUUUAUGGAGGCGAGCGUUGACCGAUUUGGGGAAUUACUCCGGCAUUUGUGCAUCGAAAUGGUAAAAUUUCAGAACUUAAUUUGAAUCACACAAGUUUUAAUGUAACAUAAACGUAUACUCCCUCCGUUGCUAAUUGAUUGUUUUCUAGAUUAUUUACACAACAUUUAAAAGGUUAUGAUAAAUUUGCAUUUUUUUAGAACUCCAAAAAUAAACGAUCUAAUGUUUUAAAGUUGUAGUAAAACAAGUAAUGAUGCAAUUAUCCUCAAAGACUUGAUUAGAUAAUUUAUUAGCCUUUUAUUUAUUAGCCUUUUACUAUAUAUUAUACAUAUUGUUUUUUUUUUAAUUAAUUGAAUUGUGUCAAAUAACUAUUAUAUGAGGUUUUAGUUUAAAUAUAACAAAAAUUAAAUGAUUCUUUAAUAUGUGUGCAUAAUCCUAAAAAAAAUCAUAUAAAUAAGAACGGAGGGUGUAUAUCUUUGAAUGCAGCAUAAAUAUAUCAAAUGUUUUACUAACACUUUAAUGAAUUGAUUCUAAAGUUUCUAUUUUUGUUUUUGACUUUUGGUCUUUAGUGAAGAUGACUCGAAGAUAGUAGACAAAAUUACUGAGCUAAUAUCAAAAAAUCUGAUGAAUGAUACAACAAGAAGCAAUGGGAGUGAUCUUGAGGGGACUGGUGAACACAUGAAAGCUUUUAAGCGAUUAUUGAAUUUGAGCUCUAAGAAAGGUGUGAGACUGAUUGGGAUUUCGGAAAGAGGAAGCAACGGUAGAUCGGCUAUAGCUAAAGUAGUUUAUGAGAGCAUUUCUCAACAUUUCGAAAGCCAUUUUUUCAUGGAAAGUGAGAAAAUGAUUUACAAAGAUCUUCACAUGUCACAUCUCUUUGAAGAGUGGAUGAUUCAAAUAAGGCUCGAGAACAAAAAGGUUUUACUUGUGGUUGACGAUAUCAAAAAGCUUGAACAGUUCGAUGUUCUUGCAGAUGAUAUUAACAGUUUUGGUCCGGGGAGUGUAGUUAUCAUCACUACACAAGACAAGAAGCUGCUUUCCUCUUCUGGCAUAAAACUUGUUUAUGAAGUAGAGUGUCAGAGAUUCGAGGAUUUUCAUGGACACUUGAGAGAAUUAGCCUUCAAAGAGAAAGACAUUUCUGCUGCGUUGGAUUUGUUUUUGUAUAGGGCAACAAAUCUUGCAAUGGAUGUAUGUGGUAGAUCAUUUGAUCUGGUUAGGGGAAAGUUGAGAAUGAGUAACCUUAAUAUGAUGUGAUUGUGGUUUAAAAGCAGUAAUGUUUUUCUAUUUUUGGAGUAGGUUAUUAUGGUGUGUAGACGAAUAUUAUUAUUUGAUUGAACUUAAUGAUACUCCUUAUGUUCCUUAUUAAUCUUUUUUGUAGAAAAAAAUAAUUGUUUUAAAACGAUGUAUUUUUUGAGUUAUCUACUAGAUUCAGACCGAGAAGGACAAGUGAGCUAGUGGUUCUCACCUCUGUUGCCUUCUCACAAGAUCCGGUUUCGAGUCCGGUCCAUCUCAAAGAGAGGUAUAUAAUUUGUAAUGAUGACAAAAAAAAAAAUACUAGAUUCAGACCCGCACGUACUUAUGGGGUUGAUUUUUAUAAACUAAGUUUUCUAUGAAAUUUACAAUAUAUUAAAGUUGUGCAUGUUUGCAUAUAGUUGAAAAUUCGUUUCUAAAGAUAUAUAAAACUCAAUAUAUUUAAAAGUUAUAUACAAAUCAAUCUAUAUAUUUAAAAUUGUCCCUUGAAAUAAUAGUUUGACCCAUUAGUUAAGAGUGCCGUUUGAUUCAUAGAAUUACUUAGAUAUACCACAUUUUAGGUGUAUUGACGCAAACCAUCCAAAACUUUUUUUAUCCUUAAAUGUUUUUUAAUUACCAGCGUGCCCUUUUUACAUGUUACCGGAAAAAACUAAUUACGGAAAAUGCCAGUGCCACGUCAGACAAAAAGGCGCGUGCCACCAAUAACUCAGUCAUAACGUACGUUACGGCUGAGUUAUAACACGUUAUGGCUGAGUUAUGGGACAACGGCUGAGUUUCGGGUCAACGGUUGACUUAGGAUCAUAACUCAGCCAACAGUUACGACUGACUUAUAAAAAUCUAGUUGAGUUAUGAGAAAACGACUAAUAACUCAGCCGCCGUUACGGCUGAUUUAUAGUCCGAUGGUUGAGUUAUCAGAAGUUUGGCUGAGUUAUGUUAUCGACACGGCUGACUUAACUUUCUCUGGGUGGCUGAGUUAUCGAAAACGGCUGAGUUAUCAAAAGUCGUUACGGCUGACUUAUGUUUCAAAGACAUAACUCAGCCGUAAUUGGCUGACUUAACGGAAAACUCAACCAUGUUACGGCUGACUUAUAGACAAAAGAUUUAUUGCUAAUAUAGCCUCCAGUUACGGCUGACUUAUUUUACGUUACGGCUGACUUAUUGACGUUACGGCUGAAUUUGGCAUCUUAAAAAACAUUUUAGUAAUUACUUUUCAUGUUGUGCCUGACUUAAUUUGUGUUGAUGGCUGAUUUAUCGUUGGCUGAGUUACAAAGUUGUUUGGUGGCUGACUUACGACUUCAAAUUCACAAUUCCACGUCAGCAUAAACGAGGGAAAUACGAAAGGUCCCGCAUUAGCUUGUGUUUUUUCUUACACUCUGUUCUUCAUUUUCUGUUCUUCACUUCACUUCUGUUUUUCAUUUUCACUUAUGUUCUUCAUUUUCACUUGGGACUUCUGUUCUUCACUUCUUUUCUGCAUUUUCACUUCUGUUCUUCAUUUUCGUUGAUGGAUCAGCCGGUUCCAGUGAUUGUUGUGUCUGGUAACUGGGCAAAGAAACAAAAAUAUGUAUUUAAUACUGACGAUAGAGGUUAUAGAAUUGUGCAAAUAGAUGCGGAAACAACGCACGAGAAGCUAGUGAAAUUGGUUGUUGAUGACUACGGACUGCAUCAACUCAGCCACAAGGUGACGAUGAGCUACAUGCUCUCGUACAAACAUAUGAAACAUAUGUCGCAUGAUACUCCUCCAGUUUAUGUCUCAAACGAUCGACAAUUGCAGAAUUAUCUAAGCUUGUUGACAAUUGAUCAGCCACGACUUUGUGUUGAGUUCGCGAAGUUGAAGGACGGAUCGAAUUCAAGGACAAAACGGCCACGCAGUUCGGCUUCAGAAGUAGAAUAUACAUAUGAAGACGCAAGAGGAUUUGAUGGUUUCUGUUAUGAUUAUAGUGAAAACGUAGACGAUGAAGCCAAAGAAGAUGAAGCAGAGUAUGAAUCAGAGGAUGAAGAAGAAGAUGACGAGUUUUCAACCCGAUUUGACGUAUUCGACGACUCCGAUGGUGCGUCAUCUGACGAUGAUAACUUUACUACAUACGGCGAGCGUGAGGAGAAAGAUGAAUAUUUACCGGCUGCUACUCGAAACAGAGGUCAUUACUUUGGCAAAGUAGGAUCGAUUGGGAACUCGGAGUCUUUAACGGUGGAGAUGGCUAAGCUAAACCUCGUCGUAGGACAACGAUACGCAAACAAAGACGAGUUGGAGAAACGAGUUAAACUUCUUGCAGUGAGAGAUGGAUUUGAUUUUUCAGUACCAAAAUCAAAUACGACUAUAGUGAAUAUUAAGUGCUGGGUUGAAGGAUGUCUUUGGAGAGUUCGUGCAUCUCAAGAAGGAGAUCAGCCUGGUUUUGUUGUUCGUAUAUACGAUUCGGUACACACAUGUUCUGUGACGGAGAGAUCUAAUCGAUCCAAACAAGCUACACCACACGCAUGUUCUCGAUGUAAAGAAGUUGGGCAUAAUGCAAAAACUUGUCGGAAGUAGUAUCGUUGGUAUAUUGUUGGCAUGGAUUUUCUCGUUUUUUGGUUAUGUGUAGACAAUGUUUGUUUUAUGUAAUCCAUAUUUCUAUAUUAUUAUGAUAACUCAGCCAUAACAUAUAUUUAACUCAGCUGUAACGCGACCUUUCGUCUUUCUCCCGUACGAUAACUCAGCCGUAACGCGACCUUUCGUCUUCUUUAAUAUGAUAACUCAGCCGUAACAUAACUCAGCAUACGGAAUAUACUCAUGUUAUGUUACAGAUAACUCAGUCGUAACGCGACCUUUCGUCUUCGUUUCCCGUACGAUAACUCAGCCAUUACAUUAACCAACGCAACUUUCCGUCUUCUUCCUUUAUCUCUCUCAUCUGAUCCUCCCUUUAUAUAUCAGUUUUCUUUUACCAAAAUUCUUUUUCUCAUUCAUUUCAACUUUCAUCAAUAUGGAAGACAUUCCUCAUAUGCCAGGACAUGUUUUUACAGAGAUUAACGCGAUUCUUGCUGGACCUGGUCGGGAUGCUUUCGUUGACAAAAGAACAACGAGAUGGAGAGAAUACCAGUUUGUAAUGGGUGAUGCGAUCGAGCCUAUAAUUUGUCAGAACUGGCACCACGAGUGGCCGACUUAUCGCUUGAUUCCCGUCCACUUUAAGAUACAUUGGUUUAAGAUGCUACUGGUAAGAAACACGUUAAAAGCAUUUUCAUUCAUAUGGUUAUUUUCGUCUUCGCCUAAUUUUUUUCCUUUUAUGUAGCGCCAAUUCAACUGGGAUCCAAGGCAAACGUUACUCAUUUGGACACACUUUAAUAAAGAUGCGCAUUGCAUUUUCAUGUCGAAUAUGCGUAGGAUUAGGAAGUGCUGGAUCCGAGGUUACGAUAAGCCCGAGUGGUUGAAGCCAAUGGUUUGGGAGAAAAUUGUCCAUAUGUUCCAACAACUUGGUAUGGACGAUAUUUGCUGGGACUAUUUUUACUGAACUUCUACAGUUAUUUGCUUUUGAAUGUUUUCAAUGUUGUUUCCUAUGUGUUCUCAAUUUCUCUGCUUUUGAAUGUUGUUUGUGCUUUCUGAACUUCUUUUGAACUUCUUUGUAAUCCCAAACAUAUAUCAGACAUAUAACUCAGUAGUAAUGUUAUCAAUAACUCAGCCGUAACGGAAUCACGUAAAUAAUAUGUUAUUGAUAACUCAGCCAUAAUGUUAUCCAUAACUCAGCCAUAACAUAGUAUAAGUCAGCCAUACCCCAAAUAUACGUUAUGUCAAUUUCUUGUUAUAACUCAGCCGUAACGGAAUCAUGUAAUUAAUAGGUUACUGAUAACUCAGCCGUAAUGUUAUCUAUAACUCAGCCGUAAUGUUAUCUAUAACUCAGCCAUAACGUAGUAUAAGUCAGCCAUACCCUAAAUAUGCGUUAUCUCAAUUUUUAGUUAUAAUCAAGUUAUGAAAUCACUUAAAUCACAUAAAUAUUAGGUUUAAAUAUGAUACAAUCAUGUUACCAUAUUAUUCCCUAUUAUUCAUCAAUAAUUUAGACUUUGUUGGUAACAUUUCGAAACUAUCACACAAGAACAAGUUUUUAGUCAUAACCUACACUACAUAAUUUGAAUUGGAUGAAAUUGUGUAAAUUUUCCAUUUUAUUUUCAAAAUUAACAAUCUUAACAUGCAUAUUUGCUGGUAAUAUAUAUUUAUUAUAUGUCAUAUCCAUUAUAUACUUAUAUAAUUGCUAAUUAUAAAUUAUAACUAUACUCUUAACUCAGCCGUAACUUGAAUACAUUAACUUAGCCGUCACAUAAUUAUAAGUCAGCCAUACCCCAUUUCUCAUUUAACAUGAAAAGAAAUCUUAAACAACACAAAUUACAACAUAGUCAGUCUAAACAUCAUGAAACAACAAUUAUAUUCUCUCCCAUAGCCAUACAAUUGCGAUUCCUAUUACAGAGAGUAGACAAAUUGUCUUCAAAGCUGUCUUACCCAUAUCAUCCUCAAUCUUCUUCAUCAAUUUUGCUUCAAGAUUCUUACUCAGCUCUUCCUCAAGCUUGUCAAACAUUUCUUUUUGGAGAUCUAAAUUUUGAGUAUGUUGAUGCCUUAAGUCCGUCACAUCUUCUUCUAUUCUCUGUACCUUUGCGUCGACCAUCUUAAUUUCUUCAACCGAUGCCUCAUCAACCCAUUUGAAGAAAUGCGAUUCAUUCGGCCUCUAAUGAAUAAAAAAACCAACAUCGAUACCCAUAUGUUAACAAUAAAAAAUUAAAUGAAAAUUUGUACCUUCAAAGCAAUCGAGCAUCUAUAGAAGAUACGGUAAGGGUUUUCCUUUGUCUUCGAUAUGUAUGUGAUGAUAUCGUGACUACACCAACAUCCGCAAUUCGUCGGAAGAUCUGGAGGGUAAGCACCAUGUGCUGAACGAUAUGAACUCGAAGAGUAGUCGAUCACAUUAAAAUUGAGAAGUAGAAUUCUUUAAUCGAAGAUAAACCAAGAAAUCGGAUGUGAAUCCCAGAAAUCGAUAAGAACCCUAAAUCCCCAAUCUGAUCGCUCGAUUAUGACUAUAAGGGAGAUGAAAGAAGUAAACGACGUCGUCUGGAAUUAACUCGGCCAAACCACGAAUUUAAUUUACGAUAAGUCAACCAAACCUCAUUAUAUAACUCAGUCGUAACGUUAUGUUAUACCUCAGACGGAACGUAACUAUAACUCAGCCAUACCCCGAAUUUGAAUAUCAAAAUCAUAAAUCAGCCAUAUCUAACGUAUAAAUCAGCCGUAACAUGAUUAUAACUCAGCCAUAACUCAGCCAUAACAUAGUCAUAACCCAGCCAAAACUCGAAUUUUAAAUAUAAGAUUAUUUAUAUAUUCAUGUUAUUAGAACACUUAGAUAAGAAGAAUUUAAGGUUUCUAUUCACUGUCAAAAUGAAUAUAAUCAAAUUAGCUAUUGUUUAUACCUUUUAAAACUUCAGUGGCCAACAAAGAGAUAAAUCCUAGUAAUGAUUGUAUAUUCUAUCUUGUAAUACUAUAAUUUAAUACAAUUCUAUCUUUUAUAUUCGGGUGAAUUUUAUUUUUUACAUUAAAGCUACUUUUUAAGAUAUUCUAAUACCAUAAUGUUAAGUUUAUUGUUCAAUUUAAAAUGCUUGUUUAUUGUUGAGUUUAAUUUGUCUUUCGGAACUCAGCCAUAACAUAACCAUAACCUAGCCAUAACGAGACCAUAACUUAGCCAUAACAGACUUAUGUACAAAACCACAAAUGAUCCAUGAUUCCAAUAAUUUACAUAUUAUCAUAAUAAGUCUAGUACAACAAAUUAUUACUGAUUAUUACUGAAACUGACUGUAAUAAUCCGAUGCCUCCUCGAAAAUAUCUGCUGCCAUCUUCAGCCGUAUACCUUGGAUAUUUUCAUCACAGAGGCCAUCGAAACUAACACCAAGUGCUAAGCAUUCCACAUAUUUGAGAGAGUACACACCACAGUCCCCGGGAUUACGGUUUUGAGGGACCUUGGAUAUACUCUUCCUUCUGAAGGAAAACAUCUCCUUAUUAUGUGGACGGAUUUCAGCAGGGACUAAAGCGUUGAGCAUUGCCGGAAGCAUCUGCGCAAACGGCUUAACAGAGUUCAUGAUUUUUGCUUCACUUUCAGGUGUUACCUGUCCCACAAUACUGUCAUAUACAUCGAUAUGGCUCCUUCUCAGGUCAGCUUCUAGCGUAAUCCAGUGAUCACCUCCGGUUUGUAAAACAAGAUACAGUUUGUCCACAUCUUCUAUCCACUUCAAACCAGUGGGCUGAUCUUGCGGCAUUUUCCCGUUCAUAACCAGCUCAUAGGGUCCACCAUCGAAUUUAAACCUUUGUGGUCUUUCCUUGAAUGUUGUAUUAUACUCAUGUAAGAGUAAAGCAGUAAACCACGGGUCUAUAAACGCAAUAAGUUUGGUGUGGAAUGUGCAGGGGUCAACAAGGAACCGUUUCCUGAGGAGUCUUAUAUACGCAGCCACAUGCUGUAAAAACACCGUCAGGUAAGUUAAAUAUAACUCAAAUAUAAUUCAACCAUAACUCAGCCAUAACACAGUCAGAACUCAGCCAUAACUAAUAUAUAAUUCAACCAUAACUCAGCCAUAACUCAGUCAUAACUCAGCCAUAACUCAGUCAUAACUCAGCCAUAACUAAUAUAUAACUCAACCAUAACUCAGCCAUAACUAGCUAAUAACUCAGCCAUUACUAAUCCAUAACUCAACCAUACUAGCUAAUAACUCAGCCGUCAAGCUGAAUGAUAACUCAGUCACAACAAAAAGUGUAAAACUUACAUCGUCCCACAGCCAGCCAUACUUAGUGUCCGAAUCUGGCCAAUCCUUUCUUUCAGUGAUGAUUCUCUUGUAGAAUUCAAUUUCAGGGACCGCCUUGCCAUAUGGGGUAGCCCUAACAAACAACACACUUUAAUAUACAUAAAAAGGGGGUAAAGAAGCAGUAAUCAAAAGGUCAAUAGGUACGCAGACUUACUUGUGUGGACUUAAGUGUUCCAAUAAUCUCUCCAAUCUGGCCGGAUCAACAGGGGCGAAAGGAUCAUAUAUUGCAAGAGAUGGUACACAGUUCUUCCUCAUACAUGUCAGCCCGUUCUAUCCAAUAAUAGGGAAAACAUGAGGAUUUGGCUGUGGCUCUAAUGCACUCCCAUCUUUAGCAAACUUCACAUUUGCUAACCUUAAGUCUUUAAUCCUUUCAUUCCUAAUCUUUUCUUCUUCAUCAACAUCAGAUUCAGGUAAUACGUUGAAGUUCUGGAAAGGAUUAUUGUCAGUGAUAUCCUCUAUUUCACUGUCUAUUUCACUGUCAGAAACUUUGUUGUCCCCUUUCUUAACCCCCUUGUUGUCCCCUUUUCUUUCCCCUUUCUUGUCCUCAACCUCAACCUUUGAGAGUUUGAAUUUGACAAGAGGAAUCUUUACAACAUCUUCAGCAAGUUCUUCCACCAGAUCAGAAGGGACACUUGGUUUCAGCUGCUGAACAGCUCUAGGCUUUCUACCUCUCUUCUUUGGCUGGUCUUUUUCCUCAUUCCCUUUCUUUCUUGCUUCAGCAUCAGCCCUCUUCUUUUCCUCUACUUCUUUUUUCUUCUGGGCAUCUGCUUCUCUUCUCUUCAGUGCAUCUUCUUUCUUUUUCAGUGCUUCCUCUUUCUUCUUUUGAGCCUCGGCCUCUUUCCUCUGCUGUGCUUCUAAAUUCCGCGUCACAGGCCGCGUUUUCUUAUUAGCAGGAGAGGGAGAUUUCUCAAUGAAAUCAAGAAGACCAUCUUUCUUAUUAGUGGCCUCAUCGAAAUCCUUAUUUAGAUUCUUGAUGCACCGAUUAAUGUCACUGUCCAAAACUGCUUCUUCUUCUUCUUCUUCCUGAAUUUUCUUCUCUUGUAACUCCAUAACACAAAACAACUCAGCAAUAACACAAAAUAACUCAGCCAUAACAUAAAACAACUCAGCCAUAACACAAAACAACCCUACCAUAACAGAGGUAUAACUCAGCCAUAACACAAAACAACUCUGCCAUAACAGAGGUAUAACUCAGCCAUAACAUAAAACAACUCAGCGAAAACAGAGAUAUAACUCAGCCAUAACAUAAAACAACUAAGCCAAAACAGAGAUAUAACUCAGCCAUAACAUACAACAACUCAGUCGUAAUGUAUCUGGUAACCCAGCCAUAACAUAAACAACUCAGCCGUAAUGUAUUUGAUAACUCAGCCAUAACAUAAACAACUAAUUAAAAAAAUCGAAUAACUCAGCCAUUACAUAAAAUUAAGAGAACUCAGCCAUUACAUAAAAUUAAGAGAACUCAACUUACCGGGGGACUAGUAACAGAGUAGUAUUGGCUUGACGGUUUCUUCUGAAUUUCAGGUGUCUGUUCUUUUUUUUUCCCAAAAGCAUCCCUGAUUCUUAUAUUGGAGAUGCUCUUGAGUGGUAAUGUGUUGUCAUUCUGAAUGUUUUUGCCUCCACUCAUGAGACUAGCUAGGCCUCCACUUCUGGCAACGAAGGAAAUUAGGCCUUUCAUCUUGACGAAUUCUUCAUCAACACGUGUGAACUUAUCAUCAAAGGUCUCAACCUUUGAUUUCAUGGUCUCAAUACUUGAUUUCAUUUCUGAAACCAUACCCACGAGUAAUUUAAGUGACGCCUUUCCACCAGCAUCGUCCUCUUCACUAUCAGCCUGCAAAACAUACACAAAAAUUUAUAAUCAAAACAUACACAAAGUUAUAUGACUAUAUAACAUAUAACUUACAUUUACCUCCUCACUCUUCUUCUUCUUAGUCUUCUGUUCAUGAGGCUUUACCUCCUCGUUUAUCUUCUUCUUCUUCUUCUUCUUCUUCUUCUGUGCAUCUUCUGCACCAGAAUCACCACCCUUUUCAACUUUCUGCUUCUUAGCAGUGGGAGAUUCAGACUCAACCGCUGCUCUAACUUUUCCACUCUUCUUCUUGUCCUCAUUCACUUUCACAUCCCAAAAACCUUUAACAAGCUUUUCUUCAUGUAUGUCAUUGACCAAGUUGACAAGUUCUGGGUCUUCUUCUGUCUGAUUUGGCCACGUGUGAAAAAGCUCACUUACAUCACCCUUCAUCACCAUUGUACUCACACGCAGCUACAUUAGAAGACAAACAUCAAUAAGUAUAACUCAUAAAGACAAAACAGAUACAUAACUCAGCCAUAACUAAACUAUAACUCAGCCAUUACUAAACUAUAACUCAGCCAUAACUUAAUUAUAACUCAGCCGUAACUAAACUAUAACUCAACCAUCACUAAUAUAUAACUCAGCCGUAACUAAAUUAUAACUCAGCCAUUACUAAUAUAUACAUCAGCCAUGACUAAAUCGUAACUCAGUCAUAACAUAAAACAGAGAUCAGACGGAUUUCAGUUACCUCACUAUACUUUUUGAUAUCUUCAGCAAUGGCCACAUCUAAUGCUGAACGUGUACGGGUCCCAGGCCAUCGAAACAACGGGAUCUCUUCAUUCUCGACUAAAUUCCCAAAUCGCUCUCCUAAGCAUUUGAUAGAGUCAUAUGCCCAAGCUUGUAACACGUAAACCGGCCCACCAAGGGUGUAGGAACUACCUCUAGUAUUCAAGCACUUCACAUUAUCAACCAUAGUCUCAAAUGCGACCCGACCCCAUGGAUAAGCCUUCACGGCUUUAUCAUCAGAAACUAUUUUUGCAGCUUCAAAUGGUAUCCGUGAGUUAUGAUGCACGCAGUAGAGUCCAAUGGCUAGAAAAUCAAUAGCCCCAACCACUUGCGCUUCUCAACAGACCAUGACCGGCACACUAAUAAUCCUUUAAGUAGCUCAUCAUAUGUUGGACCUUCCCCACCGGGAACUUUCAAUUCUUCUGUUAAGAACUGUUUGAAGUCAACUGAAGGUUCAAACUUCUCUGAUGGAGUUGGAUCUAUGUUUAACCCCGUGAGGUGAGCGAAUUCAUUCAAACCAAACCUUAUAGGCUGGCCACCAACUAAACACCAAAGCUCUUUGUGUUUAAUUCUCAACUGAUUACACAAUAGAUAGUGUACAGUCUUAGCAGACCAAACGAAUUUGCUUUCAACUAAUUUAGCAACUAUUCCAAGAAGUAAUUGCUUGAUUUCAUCCCACGCGUCUUGUCCAAUUGAUUCCCUAACCCCAGGGAAAUCUGCCAUCCUAAAAUAGGUACACAUGCUUUUUUUCUUGAGGCUAGACAUCCCUUCUUCGUAAAGUCUCGGUGGGUAACGCAUUGCUUGUUCUGCAGCCAUCUGAAAUAAGUAUAAACACAUCAUAACUUAGCCACAACAUAAACUAUAACUCAGCCACAACAUGAACUAUAACUCAGCCACAACAUAAACUAUAACUCAGCCACAACAUAAACUAUAACUCAGCCACAACAUAAACUAUAACUCAGCCACAACUUAAAACAAGUUACUAAGUGAGCCAUACCAAAUAUUAUAACUCAGCCGCAUCAAUGACAAAUUAAGACAACUCAGCCAUAACAUGAUAAGUAAAUCAGCCAUAACAUGAUAAGUAACUCAGUCGUCGAAUCUAUAGAUCUGACAAAUCAGCCGUCACGAAUACUGUAACACAGCCGUCGAAUGAAUAGAGCAAACGACGGCGACAAUCAACCAUAAUAAGCAAAAACAAACACGAUCGAGUAUAGUCGGAAAUACAGUUCAACACUUACCGGAAUACGAAAGGUCUCGAAUGCAGCAAAGAAACUACGACGAACUCACGGCGACUUCUUCUCUUCACAGCGACUAAACGCGAGUUUGAAUACCGAAACAGAGAGAGCGUCGGCGGCGAGUACUGUGUAAAAGGCGAGUAUUGUCUUCGUCGUCGGCGGCGAGGAAUUUCUCUGUCGCGAGAGAGAAACUUUUUUUUUUUUUUUUUUCAAUUGUAAACAGUGAAGAGAAAGAAACUGUUCAAUUUCGCUUUUGAUAAUUAAUGAAAGAAUAACUGUCGAUGAUGAUGUGGCAAUUUCGGAUAUGAUGUGGCAAUUUCGGAUCUGAUGUGGCAAUUUUAAGAGAAAACAGAUAAAGGGUGUUAAUUGUAAUUACACCCAUUUUGAAAGACAUCUAAGGAAUAAAAAAAAGAUUUGGCUGUUUAAGGAAUAUACAUACAAUUGUGGUAUAUCUAAGUAAUUCUCCCUUCAUAUAUAUAAAAGAAAAAAAAGUAACAAAAUAUUUAGAAGGAUAAGAUGGAGAUGAAAGGUUGUCGUUUUUAAGAGAUGAAAGGAUAAACUUAUGGUGUGUACUCUGGUCGAAAUUCAAGUGCGGCGUUUGUUGAAGGUUAUCCACUUAAGGGUGCGCUGCAAAAAUAAUUAUACAAAAUUUCCUUUUUUAGAUUUCGAAUUUGUAAUGCAACACCUUAAUAAUUUAUUUUAAUAUAAUUUAAAAAUGUGUGAUUUGUAAUAUAUUUUUAGUAGUCAAAUUUUAAAUAAUAUCUCAAUCUUUUUAAAUAUGUUAAACUAAAAACUUAUUUUACCAACUUCCUUAUUAAGCUUUCAAAAUUGUAAUAAUUUAUUACAAUAUGUUAAUAUAAUUUUUAUUUUGUACAGCUUUCAACCUUACUAUACAAUCUCUCAGUGAAUUAAUAUUUAUAUAAAAUAUUAAUAAUCGGAUUCUAUUUUUUUUUUUGAUUUACAUAUUUUUUUAAAAAUCAUGUUCUCUACAAAAUUUAAAAUUAAAAAGGGUAAAGGAUAGGAGUAUUCAUUAAGGACACUUAGUUAUUCAGCCAAUAUGAGAGCGAAUGUUUCACUUAAAGAUUGCAACAUGUAUACACUAGGCUUUAAAACAACAUAAAUACUAAUCACGUAGUUUCUACCUCCCAUCAACUGGAUCAUAUAGAGAGUUUUCUUGUUCGAUAUAUAUUUCAAGUUACUAUCACACUAUCUGGCGAGAGAGAAAUGGGAGGAGACACGGAAAACCUUUGAAGACGGCAAGCCAACUAAUCAAGUGGAUUGAUCAACAAGUUCGUAAUCAACUCAUAAUCAUUCAACGAAUAGGAGAUCGACGUUAUGAAAAAGGACUUCAGCUCUGGUUCGAUUCUAGGAGUUAUUUUUAUCUCUUCAUUUUUUUUUUUAUCAAUUUUGUUAAUUUUUCAAACUCUUAAAAGUAUCUGAUGCACUAGUUGUAACAACGCUAUUUUGUCUUUAAAUAUAAUUUAACAUUAAAUUCAAAUAAAAAGUUAAGGUAGACACUUUUGAAAUUGUCCAUGUUGAAAUUUGCUUUUUAUCCGUGACUUGGAGCCUUGGAGGCCAAGUGUUAUAAAACAUAAGAUCAAAUGGUAACAUCAAGAGAUGGAAAAUCAUUUUGAUGGAUUAUCCAUGUUUUGACCGUAACUAAAUAAAUUGAUUUAACAAUUUACAAUGACUAUAUAUACAACUUUUAACAUGUGCUUAAUUUCUCAAUUUUUGCGGAAAAAUGAGUUUUUUGCAGAGAUUUUAAUAUCUUUUUGUUAUUGUAUUAAAAAUUAUUUUAGAGUUUUACAAAAGAACAAACAUGAAAAAGAAAAAUAAUGUUAAAUUAUAAUUCAAAUGAGGGUAUUUUAGACUUUUGUAAAGUGAAACGGACUUGUGCUUCCAAACACUUGUUUUAAUCACAUCGAGAAUAUUCAAUUUUUUUUUCCUUCAGUUGCAUUCAAUUAUUGCAUCUAGAAACAUUUUAUAAUAUGAGAAAAAUGAACAAAAGUUGAUAAAUGCAUCUAGAUACUGCGUCUAGAUGAUGAAAAAAACAUCCCCAUAUACAACCAAAACAUUCCAGCUAUUAAAAGGAAAAGAAAGAGCGAACGAAAACAUUUCGUGGCAUUUAUGUCUCUCUUUUUAAAGGCUAAUGUUCGGAAGAAUCGACUAUGCAAUCGGUGGAAUCUCAAAAACUCUAUUUCGUGGACAAGCUUUAUACCAUAAGAAAUCAACAGCUGCUUGUCUUGUGUAGUGAUGAUAACAACACUCCCCGGACCAAAGUCUCUAAAAUGUGCUUUAAGAGCAUGUAACUGUUCAAGCGAAUCAACGUCGUCUGCCACGAGCAGAACCCUUUGUGUCUUGAGACUUUGAUAACUCGUCCAGUAUUUUCCUUGCAUACAUUUCUGAAACUCCACGUGUAUAUGGCGACCCUGAGAAAUCUUUCUCACGUUUCCCAAGAAACAAUGGCUUUCAAAGUGUUGACAAGUUGUCUGAUAAACAUAUUUAGCUAGAGCCGAUCUAGCAUUGCAUCCUCUUGCCCAAAUCCCAACCAUUCUCAAUCCUUUUUUGGAGUUCAAAUCCAUUAAACGGUUAAGAUCCUUCAUGUGUUUAUCAAUCUCCACUAUGUUCCUCCCAUUGCUUAUUGUUCUACUUGUCACAAUCAUCAGCUUAUUUGAUAUAUCUUCAGCAACUGCGUUGACUAUCUUUAAAUCAUCUUCACUAUAGAGAAAAAAAAAAUUGAAAUUGUAGCAUCGAUUUAAACCAGACUUAACAAUAAAAAUUAUAUCUAUCGAUUCGAUUCAGAUGUAACAAUAAAAAUUUAAUAUUUUGAUAUUCAAUUAAAUUUAACCAUACAAAUUCAAUAUAUAUCACCAAAUUACUAACUUAAAAAAAUAACUAAGAGGUUCUGAUCGAAACUCGUACAUCCUCUCAAACCUGAAAUAAAAGCAGGUUAUAUGGUCUCGUCCCAAACGCCACUAGAACCAACGAAUCUAUGGACUUUUGCGAGAGAUCUUUAAAGAUAGGUUUAGUCCUAAUAACAUGAUAAAUCUUUUAAGUUAGGAAAGUUUACCAUUUCCAUGAACAAGGGCUGGAGAUAUACGACAAAUCCCACAAUGCUCGCCUCCAUGAAAGCACUUUCUCAUGAUCUUCUCUAGCCUCGUGCUUCUCAAAAUGUUCAGCGACUUUCUUAAUCUGAAACCUCACAUCCAUCGGAUUCACGUCGUAGAAGAUGGGUAUCACCGUCAUCGAACCCUGGUUCUCGAAAUACAUGAUCUUCCUGAGCUCUUCUAGGCACCAAGAAGACGCAGUGUAGUUCUUAGAGACCACAACGACGGCGAAUCUCGACUCCCCGAUGGCGCGAUCAAGCUCCGGGGAAAUCCUCUGACCAAUCUCCAGCUCUUUGUCGUCUUUGAAAGUUCGUAUGUUCCUUCGAACCAAUUCCUUGUAGAGAAAGCUGCUGAAGGUGCGGCGAGUGUCGUCUCCUCUAAAACUUAGAAAGACAUCGUACUUAGAUGUAAGCGAAGUCAUUUUUAUUUUUUUAUUCUCUAUGACUAUGUGAGUAUGUGUAGAAUAGGGAUAAUAUAAAAAGUUAACUCGAGUGUAGUUUAUAUAAGCCACGUAGAGGAGACUUUUGAGUAGAGACUUUGAGUAUACACCCUUCAGUCUAGUGUAUCGUGACAUUAUUUUUUUGUCAGCUUCUGUUUCACUGAACUACUAGGAAAGAGGGGUUUAGUAAGAAGGAAAAGACCUGGCCUGCCAAAACAAAAGCUAUUAUUAACGAACGACAAUUGUAUAAUCUUAUCCUCUUUAUUGAAUUUUCUACACCAAAAAAAUAGUUCUCUUCAUUGAACAAAAAAACCAAACAAAAUCCUCUUACUUUUCAACGUUUUAAAUUUUUGAUUGGCUUUGAUUAGUAAACUAGUUUGAAUUAGUUAAAAAUAUUUAAACAUUUGUUUAGUUAGCGAUUGUACCAAUGAGAAAAGGGCUUAUACUUCAUACAUAAAAUCUAUGUUAGCAGUUUUUGAAAAAAUCUUUUGGGUUCAAAUUUAUUUACUAUGUCAUGCCACUGAUAUUAAUUAUUUAUUUAAAAUAUAGAAAUAAUAAGAUUUAACAAAAUUUCUAAAACCUCUCCAUAAAAAAUCAAAAUAUUAUUUUUUUAUUUUUAAAUUUUUAAAUUUAUUUCUCACAAAUAAUCUUAUUUAUUUUUAAAUUUAGUUUAUUACAUAAAAGAUAUGUCAAGAAGCCUUAGUAGUUGUAAAAGGGUUUCUUGUUUAUUACUUACGACGGCCGUAGUCUUUAUUUACAUCAAGAUACAACACAUAAUUAUGUAACCUAAUACAAUAGAUUAGACCGACUAACAGAGGCCCAACCCAACACUAACACAGCCCAUUACCCCCUCCGCCCCCUCAAGCUGGACUUAUUUAAAAUUACAUCUCGUGAUAUAGAAACAGUCCCGUCUCAAGAUUAUAAACUCUCCAACCCUUUUUGCCAAAAGAAUAGCCAAGAAAACUGAUUUGAUACUACGUGUUAGCAAAUUUAUCUCCGCCAUGUUUUUGAUUAUGAACAUAACAUAAACACCCAAAGACCCAUAUAUAAUUCAUGGGUGGUGGACGUUGAUAAAUAAGUUCAAAAGGAGUGUUACCAUUGAGCAACAGUGUGGGAGUACGGUUAAUAAGAUAACCAGCCGUGAGAGCACAGUAAUCCCAGAACUCUAGUGGAAGAUGAGCAUAAACCAUGAGAGCCCUCGCUACAUUUAAAAUGUGACAAUGUUUCCAUUCAACGCAUCUAUUUUGCUGGGGAGUCCCAAUACAUGACGUCUCAUGAAUAAUGCCUUGUUCGGUGAAAAGAUUUGAGAGACAAACAAAUUCAGAUCCGUUGUCAAUUCGAAUAGUUUUCACUGUAGUAAUAACUUACCUUUCAAUCAUGGUAAGAAAAUUCUUGAGAUGUUGUGGUGCCUCACGUUUAGAAGGAAUAAGAUAAAUUCACACAGCCCGAGAGUAGUCAUCAAGAAUUGUGAGAAAAUACCAAGACCCACAAAGAGCAGUAAUACGAUAAGGACCCCAAAGAUCGCAAUGUAUUAAUUCAAACAGAAAAUGCGUCUUAUUGAUACUUAAAGGAAAAGAUCCACGUGUUUGUUUUGGCAUGAAUACAAACUUCAACACCUUUAGAAUCAAAACCACUACUACGAAAAUCAGAAAACUGCAACAUCUCCAUUGCUUUAGACAAGGGAUGACCUAACCGACAAUGCCACACAUCCAUGGAAACUGAAUUGACCUUGUAAGCAGCAGCAACAUCCAAUCCUCUAAAGAAAUACAGCCCAUUAAGUUGUUCACCUCCGCCAAUCAGCAACCGACAAUGCCACACAAAGGUUAUCAGUGAUUUGUAAAACACAACCUCUGUCUCGAGUUAACUGUUAGACGGAAAUAAGAUGACAGUGAAGGCCAUUAACAAAGUAGACAACUUGAAGAACAAGAUCGGAGCCUAGAGAGACUCGCCCCUGUUUGGUAGCAGUAGUGAAGCGACCAUCGAGUAAUUUUAUUAAAGCUGGUGCCAUACCACAUAUAGCAAUUAAGAACUCCAAUGUUCCUGUCAUAUGAUUAGAGGCGCCGGUAUCGAUUAUCCAAGAUUCAAUAAAAAAAACUUACCAAAAAGUUUCUCUGAAGAAGGAGCCUUUCGUUCUUCAAGAAUCAGUUUCAAAAGUUUCCAUUGCUCAUCAUCAAGUCCACUUAUGCCAAUACGAUUUGCAACGGUAAGUAAUGCUUGUUGCACAGAGACAGUAGAAACAUGAACAACAUUUGGAACCGAGCUUUUCAUUGAACCAACAGAGGAAGUAUGAGCACCGCGACCUGCACCACUAUUUCCAGAAUUGAGUUUAGACUUAUCAGGCCACCAAUGCGGAUAGCCGAUGCGUUGAAAACAAUUUCCGGAGAGAUGCCCAACACAGCCACAAUCAGUACAUGUCACGGAGGUAACUCUGUUUUCGGACGAACUGGCGAUGAGUACGAGAUGAUGUUUGAACAGCAAAACUCAUUCCAUCCGUCCUCUCUUCAUUAAGACGACCCAAAAACUUUGAUUCCUCAUCUUGAGAAAGCGUAUUAUAAGCCUCUUCUAGGCUAGGAAGUGGUAACCGCGAGAGAAGCGAAGAUUUCACCGAUCCAUAUAUUGUUUCAUCCAAUCCCAUGAGAAAUUGGUGAAGCUUGUCCUCCUCUCGUUCUCGGCACACUUCCUUCAUUGUCUUGGCGCGUUGGUAGUCAGCCAAGUUUCUCCACAAUUGAGUAAGCUUACGGUAAUAUGCCUCGAUUGCAAGUCCUUUUUGGCGACAUUUGGCUAAGUUUGUCUUAAGAUGUUGAAUACGCUGUCCAUUUUUCACACCAAAUCGCUUUUGAAUGUGUGUCCAAAGCUCAUGUGAGUCAUCAGUGUGAGAUAAUGAAGAAGACAAACUCUCAUCAAUGGUAAGCUUGAUCCAUGAAACCACUAAAGCAUUAUUAGCAAUCCAAUCUUCGAAGUCCGAUGUGUUUUGUCAGGCUAACGUAUAGAGCCAUCAGCGAAGCCAAAUUUCUUACGUGCCUUAAGUGCAAAGCGAAGGUUGGUUGCCCAUUCAUCAUAGUUGUGACCACGCAAUAGUGGCUAGGAGAUCAAGGUACCAGGAUUAUCACCAAAGGAUAAAUUAUAUGGAGAAAUCGUAAGCCGACUUUUAACACGUGAAGGAGUCGUGAGUUCAGACAAAGCAGAGAUAGUAGAUGCUGAUGCUGAAGGUGAGGAAGCCAUAGUGAAGAAAAAAAUCACUAAGAGAGAUAGGUGAAUUUUUUAGGUCAAGAAUAAAAAAAGAGAAGAAACAAACAAAGAGAAAGAUCUCGUAGGCAGCGGAAGAAAUUUGAUACCAUGUCAAGAAGUUUUGGUAGUUGUAAAAGGGUUUCUUGUUUAUUACGUACUACGGCCGUAGCCUUUAUAUACAUCAAGAUACAACACAUAAUUAUGUGACCUAAUACAAAAUAUUAGACCGACUAACAUAGGCCCAACACUAACACAGCCCAAUAAAAUAUGUAUAAAAAAUACAAACUUUUUUUGCGUAUGUUGCAAUUUGAAUUUUCGAAAACGGAUAUAUUUGAAUGUUGAUUUGUAACAACUCCUGUUUCAUUCAUGCAAAUCUCAUACUUGAGCCACUUUUCAGUGCACAUUAAUACCUCUAUCAUGUAAUGAGUUAGACAACUCCUACAUGGAUCAAGGAUACGGUUACUUGUAGAGAAUGCAAACUCAGAUGCAACUGAGGACACUUGCAUAGCAAGAACAACUUUGGCUAUUGCGGCUAAGAUAGGAUACUUGGCAGCAUUGAUUCUCCACCGUCCUAUAACAUCAAAUGGUUUUCAAUAGGAUUACCUAUUGGUAUUUCAAUUGUUUCUUUCAAAUACAUCUCUAGCUCAGUACUAGAAUCUUGAUUCCCUAUCUCUUGCACCAUCUCUUUGUAUCUCAUAUGCAGCCUUUCAUAUCCAUCAACCUCUUAAUCCAUAUCUUUUGAGUUAUUGUGACUGUGAUGUUGACUCUGAGAUCGAGAUGACUGCAAAUUUGGUGACUGUGAUGAUGAAUUCACAGUCCUUGUUAAAGCUUCGUGGUACUCCUCAAAUAGCUGCUUCAAAUCAUCAGUCCUUAAAUUAUGCAUUGUUCUUGCCAUAAACAUAUCAAAACAAUACCCAGCAAACUUCAUCUUGUUUCUUGGAUAAAAAACACUAGCUAUGAUCAGAAACUUAUUCAUUUUCUUUAAGCCUCCCCAAUAUUUAUCAAACUUAUUCCUUAUAGCAUUGGCCUUUAACCUCAUUAUUGCAUAGUGAUUCCAGAUUCUUGUGAAUAGUCAUUAUCUCAUUGUAACACUUGUAGGAGCUCACAGUAGAAGAAGGAAAAACAACCAAAGUAGAAUUAUAGAAGAUAAUCAGAAACUUGACUAACCUCUCUACUUCAUCCCAAUCAUAGACACUAGGUGGCCCAAUUCUUUUGUUUCCUUCAACAGUCUCUAUAAAGUGAUCAUUGUACAACUUAUCCUCCAUAUUUAUUCUAUCAAAAGCCAGCCUGAACUUAAGAGCUCUAGUUAGCAUCAGGUAAGUUGAGCUCCAUAUGGUCUCAACUCUUUUGUUGGAACUCUCACAUAAAGAACCGCAUCCCAAAUUGCAGAGAUACUAUUAUCCACUUCUAGUAGCCCAUCUCUAACAACCACAUUAAUGAUAUGAGCACAACAACGCAUAUGCAUGUAAUCACCUUCAAGAACCAGCGCAUCAACUCCUUGUAAGCAAAAAACCUCCUCAAACUUCUUUAGUGCAUUGGUGUUGGCAGUUGCAUUGUCAUUGGUGUUGGCAGUUGCAUUGUCAACAAUGAUUGUAAAUAUCUUCUUGAUUCCCCAUUCAGCUAAAUACUCAAGAAGGACAAAGCAUAUUGUUGUACCAAUGUGAUCUGAGACGUGUUUGAAACCGUUGAUGAGCUUACUCAACUACCAACUUACAUCAAUGAAGUGUGUUGUGAUGACCAUAUAACUAGCUCCAGUUGUUGGAGUAACCCAAAUGUCCGUUGUAAAUGAAACCCUCUAAAAAGCUUCAUCAUAGUUGCUUUCUUCUUGACAUAUAUCUCCACGAUGUCUCUAGUGGCUGUUCUCCGAGAAUGAGGCUUGUAGAAGUUGACUUUGUUGCUAAAAUGCUUUCACGCCAAACUGUCAAUGAAUGAUAGAGGCAGUUCAUCUAAGAACAUCAUCUCAUUUGAUGUUUCCCUUAAAACAGCCUCAGAACACUUUGACAACUUCAAACUACAAGUCGCAUCAUCACGUUCUUCUGGAUGUAUAACGUGUUGAUGUCCCUGGUUGCUCUCAUUCCAAGCCUGAUACUCCUUACAAAUAAUCAGAUGCCUCUUCAAACAUUUAGUUCCAUUUGCUGUAGCACAAGGGAUCAAUCUAGCACAAUAGUGACAUGUACACUGAUUUUUGUCUUCUGGAAUACCUGUAAAAUGUAGCCAUACCCAAGACCUUGUACUUGGAUUCAUCUUAUUUGGCUUAGUAGCUUUGGCUGAAUUGUCUGCACUCUUAGGAAUAUCUUUCCUUUUGCUUCCAUGUUCAGGAGAUACAAAGUCAUCUGUUUCCACUCCUCACUAUAGCCAUACUCAUAAUCAUCUUCAACAUUCGGGUUAAAAGAGUCGAUAUGCAAAAAGGAAAUGAGAAAAAAUUAUCUAUACAUGAUAAUCCAUAAAAUCAGAUAUUCAAAAAUUCAGCAAAAAUAUAAAAAUUCCAUAAAACUUCUCCCUCUAAUUUUAAUUUGGAAGUUUAAUACCCAAUUUUAUUUGAUUGGAAACAAAAUGCAUGGUUUAUUAAUUUGUUUUCUAUUAAUACAUCAAGUAUAUAAAAAUUGUCGAAUCGAGGAAACCGCUUAACAAAAGAUAAUCGGAUUGACGGAAUCACUAAACCGGGGUUAAUGGAAUUACACUAAACUUAGGGUUUAUCGAUCCCAAUUCGAUUUGGGGUAAUAGCAAAGGACAAUGCAAUCUUUGGAUAACCCAAAACUACCCGUGUGUUUAGGGAUUAGAGAUUUCGUCAACCUCAGUUUAGUGAUUCCGUCAAUCCGAUUAAGUGGUUUAUUCAAUUCGACAAUUUUAUAUACUUAAUGUAUUAAUAGACCAAAAUUUAAUAAACCAUGCAUUUUAUUUCCAAUCAAAUAACAUUGGAUAUGACCCCAACUUGGAUUAGCAUAGGUGGCUGCGAUUUACUUCCACAUCUCUCUUGCAGAUUUGGUGAUGGAGAACAACGGCUGAAUAAACGGUGAGAGAGAUAGAAGAAGAGCCGCAUAUAUAGAUUAAUUUGUCUUGCCGUCUUUAUCUGUUGUAGGCUGGAUUUGGUAUAGUUUGAUUGUUUGUCUUGGUGGUCUAAUCUAGUUGGACUGUAGAGCCUUCGAGGUAUCCUGCUAGCUCGUAACCGUUGAGAAGGGCAUAAACUUGUAGAUUCCAAGUCAUGUAGUUGGUGGAGAUGAAUUUAGUCACAUUGCUCAUGUUGACAUGAAGAAUAGAUUGCGUGGCAUCAAAAAUUUCAGCAGCCAUGAGGAAACAGAAGAGGAUCAAGUGAAGAGAAAAACGACGAGGGAGACUGCUGAAAUUAUUUUUUAGGGUAUCGUUUAUGCUCUUGAUGUAUGUAGAGAACUAGAUUUUACCCUGUGGUAUACCACGUGUCUAGUAUUUUAUGUGUAUAUGUUAUGUAAAAGUUUAACCGUUAUGGUUUAUAUAUACGUAAUAUGUUGUAUGAUAGUGCAUGUAAAUGUGUGUCUAUCUUUACAUGGUUUUUUUGAAAAUAGUAUAUGAAAUUAAUAAAGGAUGAUUUAAUGAUAGUUUGCAGUUAUAGUGGCUAAUAAUAUCUGUAAUUAAUGAAAUAGUUUGUAAGAAAUGAUUUGAAUUUACACUUUCCUGAUGGGUUAAGUAGAAGUGUGUAGUUGUACCUCGUGGUUUUUGCAUAGCAAACUUAAUGGGCCCGAUGCAUAAUGUGUCUUUGGUUUACUGUAUCUAACAACGAAACGUACAUGCACAAAAUUAACAUUUUUACGUUUACACGAUCUAAAUCGUUGCCGAUCUAAAACGAUUGGGUCAUCAAAUUUUUCUUUCUUGUUGAACAAAAGAGUUUGUCCAAAAUAUAAAAGAUUUACCCCAUGGUACACCAAAAAUAUACUUUAAAAAAAAAUUUGUAUAUAAAUUUUGUGAUUUUGUAUUAUAAAAUGAUUGAGUAUGAUAUUCAAAUUUAUAAUGAACAAAAUACAUUUAUUUAGUAACUACCAAACAGUAAAAGUUGUCAUCUUGUAUCAAAUUCUAAUAUUUUUAAUAUAUUUUCAAAUAUGAAGUUUGACUAAUUUGAGAUAUAUAUAUAUAUAUAUAUAUAUAUAUAUAUAUAUAGUUAGUUGUAGUAUAUNNNNNNNNNNNNNNNNNNNNNNNNNNNNNNNNNNNNNNNNNNNNNNNNNNNNNNNNNNNNNNNNNNNNNNNNNNNNNNNNNNNNNNNNNNNNNNNNNNNNAUUAGUAGAUAUAUAUAUAUAUAUAUAUAUAUAUAUAUAUAUACAAUUGUUGUGAAUGAAUCAAACAUGAUAAUAAAUUAUAAUACUUUAAUUAUUCUUACUAUAUGAUGGUGUUAAUAAAAUAAUAAAAUGACGAUUUAACAUAACUCUAUGUUAUUUUAUAUUUAUACUAAUAACCGUGUUAUAUGAUAGGUUAAAUUUUCAAUAUAUUUAAAUAUUUAUAAUAUCCUAAAUUUUUAGUUAAGUGUAAAUUUAUCAGUUCAAAUAUUUAAAAACAUAAAAUUUUAUUAUAUCAUUUGAACUUAAAUUAUCUUGUGUAAAACAAUAUGUGACAUAACUACAUGUAUGUGUUGAAAUAUAUCCCGGACCAGACUAACAGAAUGUGAUUAUUAUAAUCUCAUAAAAGAUUUUAAAAUCUUCAAAAAUUCUAAGAAUAGUAAUAGAUGGUCAUGCUAUCUCAUUGUAGACGUAGUUUGUAGGAAUGUUUAAACGCAACGGUUGCGGUUGCGGGUGCGUGAGUUUGCAGAAGCGGGCGGUUGCGGUUUCAAGCGUUAUUAAGCGUUUUAAACGACUAGUUUAGCUUUUAAAAAUGGGUGCAUUUGCAGGAGUUUGAUGACUGGUUAACCAGCGGCUACAAUGGCGAUUACAUUAAAAAUUAGAAAAUUAAAUAUUAAUAUAAUUAUAAAAAUGUAUAAAUAUAUCAAUACUAUAUUAUUAUGAUAAAAUAUAUUAAAGAAAUGAAUAUGAUUAAUAACUAAAAACCAUAAAUAAAUGACUGAAUAAUUAUAUAAAACAAAUAUUCUUUUAGCAAUAUAAUUACCAAAUAAUUAUUACUAAAUAUAUAUACUAAAUAAUUAUAUAUUAAAUAUAUAUACACACCAUAAAUUAUUACUAAAUAUAUAUACUAAAUGGAAAUAUAACCCACGUCCAUAUUAGAGUGCACUCAAAUAUCAAAUUGGAUUAAAUGGAAAUAAGCUAUAAACGUGGAGUUGAAUUCAUUAAAGAAGAGGAAUGUAUUUGGUCCAAUAAUUCAGACACCUCUUGAUAUUAAACCAGUUGGACAUAAAUAGGUAUUUGUGAGGAAAAGAAAUGAACAUGGAGAUAUCGUGAGAUAUAAAGCACGGCUUGUUGCACAAGGAUUCUCACAAAGACCAUGAAUAGAUUAUGAGGAGAUAUACUCCCCUGUGGUGGAUGCUAAGACAUUUAAAUUUUUGAUAAGUCUGGCUAUAUAUAUAAAAGAGAAAGACUUGAUUUGCGGCUAAUGGAUGUAAUGCCUGCAUAUUUAUAUAAGUCCACUAGAUAAUAUAUGAGAUUAUCAGAGGGUAUUGAGCUCAAAGAUUAGAAAGGUUCUCGAGAACAUCACUGCAUAAGGCUGGACAAAUCCUUUCAUGGACUUUGACUAAAUGGGCGUAUGUAAGGUUAUAAAUGAUCCCAUCAGUCAAUGUAUUUUCAUAACGAGGUUUGCAAACAAAGGAUUUGUAAUCUUAGAAGUGUAUAUGAAUGAUUUAAACCUUUGGGUAAUCGACCAAACAGUUGAAUAUAUCUAAAGAAAGAAUCUGAAAUGAAAGACCUAGGCAAAAAUAAUUAAGUUCUGUUUGGGAUUAAAACUUGAGUACGUGAAUAACGGAAUCCUUGUGCAUCAAAUGACAUAUACUGAAAGAGUACUCAAGGAGAUUUAAUAAGGACCAGGCCCGCCCAUUGACCAGGCCCGCCCAUUGACCAGGCCCAAUGGUGGUGAGAAGCCUCAGAUUGGAUAGUGAUCCAUUCAGUCCAUAAAUGCCAUACCUCAGUGCCAUAAGAGCUUUAAUGUAUCUGGCGAGCCACACUAGGCCAAAUAUAUAUUUUUCCGUGAAUUUAUUAUCAAGAUUUAGCUCAUGUCCGACCCAAAGGCACUGGAACGGGAUUAAACAUAUUCUUCGUUACCUAGAAGGAACGAAAGAUUUGGGUCUAAUUUAUACUAACCAACCCAAAGAGGGAUUAGUUGGUUUUGCUGAUGCAGGUUAUCUCUCGGAUCCACAAAAUGAUCGAUCACAAACUGGUUAUGUUUUCACACACGAUGGUACGGCAAUAUCUUGGCGAUCUCAAAAGCAAACAAUUGUAGCCACAUCGUCCAACCAUGCUGAUAUUUUGGCGAUGCAUGAGGCCAGCUGUGAAUGUGUUUGGUUGAGAUCCAUGACUCAAGAUAUUAGGAUCGAUUGUGGGAUGACCGAAGGGAAGGCAGCACCAACAAUAAUGUAUGAAGAUAAUACUGCCUGCAUAGCUCAGCUUAGAGAUGGAUAUAUCAAAGGAUAUAGGACAAAGCAUAUUUUGCGAAAGUUCUUCUUUACUCAUGAAUUACAUAAAUCCGGAGAGGUCCAAGUGGAACAAGUUCAAUCAUGUGAUAAUUCGGCAGAUCUAUUCACCAAGUCGCUUCCAACCUCUACGUUCAAGAAACUAACACAUCAAAUUGGAAUGCGCCGGUUGAAAGAUCUUCAGUGAGCUUCAAAUCAGGGGGAGUAAUACGUGUUGUACUCUUUUUCCUUCUCGACGGUUUUAUCCCAAUGGGUUUUCCUGGUAAGGUUUUAAUGAGGCAACAUCCCAAAGCGUAUUACUAGCUCACAACGGUAAUGACAUCCAAGGGGGAGUGUUAUAAAUCAUAUGAUGGAUUGUCAUAACAAGUUCAGUCCGGCCCGGCCCAUAUCAAGCCCGGUCCGUCCAAUGUUGAGGAGGCUUAAUCUUUUCCUUAUUAUAUUAGGGUUUACUUAUCUCCCCUUGUAUCAAUCCUUAUAUAAAGGAGUCUAAGCUAAUGAAUAAAGCAUCUCGAAUUCCCGUCUUCUCUCUCUAGUUUACAACAAAAUGAUAUUUUACAUAAUAAUUUUUAAAGAUUGUUACUAAUUUCGACGAUUAUAUUUAUGGAGGAGCAUAUACAGCACAAUGAAAACUAUUUUUGCCUACUAUUAGGAAACUUAGUUAUUAAAUAGACUAAAUUAAGGACUGUAAUUACUAUGAUUGAUUCAAUUUUUUUAUUGUGUGAGUAUGUUAUUAGAAAUAUAGUUAUAAUGUUUUCCUAAAAUAUGGUUAGUAGUUAUUGGUUAGCUAAUUAUUUGGGAACUUUGAUUUCGUUUAUAUCCUCAAAUUAUGUAUUCGAUAACUAUUUUAUUUUCAAUAAGAGACAACAAAUCUUGUAAAUCUGUAAUUAAUAUCUUCCCUUAAUUAUAGCAAUUAAAUUUGGACAUUCUACACUAAAGAAGAAAAGAUCCAUCAUUUGGAAUUGGGUCAGAAAUUGAAAUCAUAAACCGACCCGAUAAUUAAAGUUACAUUAGUAAUCUUAAUGAGCAUUUAUAAAAUAAUUAGUAGUAAUAGUAAUUAGUGGAAAUCGAUUUUUUUGAAAGGGUGGCCAAAAAGUUGUACUUCAAAAAUGUUAUAAUAUAUAUAACGAUUCAUAUAUUGACAAGGUGUGUACAGAUGAUAUACAUAUAUAUACUUGUACAUAGGAGGACAGUUUAGGUUUAUACCCAUAUAUAGUGUUCCAUAAACAAUAAAAGAUAAUAUUUUGGUAGUAAAGAGAGACACUUCCUUUAGUUCCUUAACAUAUACUACUUAGAAAACCAAAAUAUUCCAACCGUUAAAAAUAGGAAAAAAGGAAGCCAACCAAAACAUUUCAUGGCAUAAAUGUCUCUCUUUUUAAAGGCUAAUGUUCGGAAGAAUCGACUGUGGAAUGGAUGGAAUCUCAAAAACUCUUCUUCGAAGACAAGCUUUAUACCAUAAGAAUGCAACAGCUGCUUGUCUUUUGUAGUGAUGAUAACAACACUCCCUGGACCAAAGCCGCUAAAGUCUGCUUCAAGAGCAUCUAACUGUUCAAGCUUAUCGACGUCGUCUGCCACGAGAAGAACCGUUUGGUUCUUGAGAGUUUCAUAGCUCGUCAAGUAUUUUCCUUCAAUAUUUUUCAGAAACUCUUCGUGUAAAUGGCUUUCACAGUCGCGACCCUGAGAAAUAUUUUUCAUGUUUCCCAUGAAACAAUAGCUUUCAAAGUGUUGACAGGUUGUCUGAUAAACAUAUCUAGCUAGAGCUGAUCUAGCACUGCAUUCUCUAGCCCAAAUCCCAACAAUUCUCAAUCCUUCUUUGGAAUUCAGAUCCAUUAGUCGGUUAAGAUCCUUCAUGUGUUUAUCAAUCCCCACUAUGUUCCUCCCGUUGCUUAUUGUUGUACUUGUAAUAAUAACCAACUUAUUUGAUAUAUCGUCCGCAAUUGCGUUGACCAACUUCAAGUCAUCUUCACUAUAUAGACAAAAAAAAAAUAGAAACUUUAGCAUCGAUUCAAACCAGACUUAACAAAAAUUCAAUCUUUCGAGCCAAAUUAAAUGUAACAGUACAAAUUCAAUCUUUUGAUAUUCAAUCAUAUCUAACCAUAAAAAUUUAAUCUUUAUCACUAAGUUACGAAAUUUUUUUUUCUAAAUAAUUAAGAGGUUCCCGAUGAAAGCUCGUACAUCCCCUCAAACCCAAAACUAGACCAUGUUAUAUAGUUUAGUCCCAAACGCCACUCAAAACCAAUGAUUUCUAGGCUUUUGCGAGAGAUCGUACAUGAUAGUUCUAGAGGUAAUAAGAUGAUAAAUCUUUUGAAGUUACGAAAGUUUACCAUUUCCAUGAACAAGGGCUGGAGAUAUACGACAAAUCUCUCAAUGCUCGCCUCCAUGAAAGCACUUUCUCAUCAUCUUCUCUAGCCUCGUGCUUCUUGAAAUGUUCAGCGACUUUCUUGAUCUGAAACCUCACAUCAAACGGAUCCACGCCAUAGAAGAUAGGGAUCACGGUCAUCAAACCCUGGUUCUCGAAAUCCAUGAUCUUCCUGAGCUCUUUCAGGCACCAAGAAGACGCAGCGUAGUUCUCAGAGACCACAACGACUGUGAAUCUUGACUCCCCGAUGGCGCGAUCGAGCUCCGGGGAAAUCCUCUGAUCAAUCUCCAGCUCUUUGUCGCCUUUGAAAGUUCGUAUGUUCCUUCGAACCAGUUCAUGGUAGAGAAAGCUGCUGAAGGUGCGGCUAGUGUCGUGCCCACUAAAACUUAGAAAGACAUCGUACUUAAAUGCAGUAAGAGAAGUCAUUUUGAUAUUUGAUUAUCUAUGACUAUGUGAAUGUGUAUAGAAUAUGAAUGAUAUAUAUAAUGAAGUUGAGUGUAGUUUAUAUAAGCCACGUAGAGGAGACUUUGAGCAAAGACUUAGAGUAUAGACCCUUCAGUCAAGUGUAUCGUGACAUUUUUUUUUUGUCAGCUUCUGUUUCACUGAACUACUCAGAAAGAGGGGUUUUGUAAUAAGAAGGAAACGACCUGGCCUGCCAAAAAAAAAAUAUUAUUAACAAACGACAAUUAUCAAUUUAUCAUCAUAUCCUCUUUGUUGAAUUUUCCACACCAUAAAAAAGAGUACAAGAAAAAACACAAUCCUCUUACUUUUCCACGAUUUAUAAAAUUUUAGUUGGUUUGAUUAGUAGACUAGUUUGUAUUAGUUCAAAAAUUUAAACAUUGGUUUAGUUAGCGAUUGGACCAAUGAGAAAAUGGCUUAUACUUCAUAGAUAUGAUUAGAAAUUUUUAUGGGUUCAUUCCUAGUAUAACCCUUUUAUUCUUUUUUUUUUUUUUUUUUUUUGGACCAACUAAAAUUGCAUUAGAACUUAACCAAGAGGAUUCGGAGGAUACAAGAGGCUACUCGGAGCCAAACAAACAACUUCUCUGAGCCACAACAUGGCCAAGUAGAAGGGGAAGUUAAAACAACAACCAUAGAACAAACAAAAACAUAUGGAUAAGUGGGGGGUGUAACCCUUUUAUUCAUCUUUUAAUUUCUAACCACUCAAAAUAUUAACCUUACUUUUUGUUUUAGAUUCUUCUAUGUAUAUAGAUUUAACUCACUCUUAUUUAAAUUCAUAGUUUUGACAACGAUUUUACGUUUAAGAUUUUUUUUUCGGUAGUUGACAAGGAGACAUUAACUAUGUCUCCUUGUUAUUUAUUCAAACUAAAACAAAAGAAAAUUACAACCGAAUCUGCCGUGGGAACGAAGUUCCACGGACAUCAUCUCUUAUUAUGGACUCCACAACAGUUGGAGCUUCCUCAAAAAUAUGCAAUCCUAAAGGUUUUUUAAAAACAAAGUUUGCUAAACCAUCCGCAAGGCGGUUAGCUUCUUGAUAAGUAUGCGUAACACGGACUAUCCAGUCCUUAGAAAUAACGCCAUGACGCAAACGCAUCAGGGGAGACAAAGGAUGAGAAUCACUAAUCCCCGUCUUAAGAAACCCAACAACAAUCUCCGAGUCCAUAUUAAGCUGAAUUCAUGUUACUCUCUUCCCCAAAGCAACAUAGAGACCAUAAUAAACCCCCCCCCCAAAGUUCGGCAAGAGGCGCCGAUCAUAUCCCGAUUUGCUGCGAAACCACCACACUUUGACCCGUCGAAUCUCUCAGAGCACCACCAGCCGUAGCUACCCCAGGGUUACCAUGAGAGGCCCCGUCAGUGUUUAGUUUAAACCAGCCCUCUGCCCUCCGGUGGCAGCUUCCACUGCACCAUGCGAGUAACUCUCUCCCCCACCAUACAGACACUCUCCAUGGUCUUGUGUGCUUGGCUCACUUCCAAGGCGAUGUCUUUAAUGAACUUUACUUUAUAUAUCGGCAUUUGCUUAUGUCCCCAAACACAUAGCUACAACGCCACUUCCAUUCCCACCACGAACACAUUGCAAACAAUAUAGCCCAAGAGCAUUCCGUCCCAUCAUCCGACGAACGUCGAUUGUUAUAAACCUAUUCGGUUAACGAACCAUCAAAGAAAACCCGUAGCCUAUUUGGCGGUACUAUCAUUUUACGUUUAAGAUGAUUUAAUUGUUUUAAUUUUUAAUUUUUAUUUAAUGAUAAUAUGAUAUAGUGUAAUUUCAUUCGCUAAAGAAAACAAAAAUGAUGGAAAAGUCGAGAACCAACGUUGUGCACGAAUCGGUCUCGUCGGUUCUCUCUCUUCUCUCUCUUGAAUUUUUCAGAGAGAGACCGACUCACUUUUGUUGCCGUCCGGAUCUUUUCCGGUUACCAAUCCCGUUUAGCGGGCUCUCUCCCAACAUGCACCAGUUCUUCUGCGGUGUUUGGUUGGCUUUUAUCCGAUAUCGAUUUGACUUUCAUAGUCAGUAUGAUCGGCGUGGCCGUCGGCAAUUCUUGCCGAUUUUCUCUUGUUGUUUAUGAAAAAAUAAAGUUUAUGUUGUGGUGGUCAGUGAUGUGCCCAAGCCACUGGCUCUUGAAAUCAAUUUUGAUCCCUAGUUUCAGAUUUAGCUUCUCUUCCCUAGGCCUUCAACCGAUUGAUCCCAGUAUCUCAUCGUUGAGAUGGGUGAUGAUGCGGUUAGGCGGCUCAUUCAGCUUCCUCCAACAAGAAUUCACAAUCAGAUUUGGGUCUACUUCUGCUUAUUCGGUACUCCGUCGAAUGAAUCUCGACUUUUCCGGUGUCAACAUGUGUUUGAUGGUUCCAAAGCUUCAUCUUCGAAGCCCCAUCAAGCUGGGUUUGUAAGUAGAUGUUUUAAUUUUUAAAGUCUAUCAAUUAGCAAAGUAGGACGAGUAGUUCAGAGUUUUCCGGUGCAAUUUUCAUCAUCAUCAACAAAAUUCAGUUCUCGGAAAAGAAGCAAUUGUGUUUCCAGAUGCUAUUCAAAGGAAUUAACUAGGGAUUAAUUUUUAGGUUUCAGUUGUUUGAUUGUGGUUUUGUGCCUUCAAUUGGCUUUUGUUGUAAUUUUAGUUUGUGUUUUUAGAUCCGGAGAAUUUUCGUUUCUGCCGGUUAAUAUCCAGAGGUUUACAUGUAUCCUCUGGCCUUGUAUCAUAUUUUUGUAUCGUUUGAAUAAACGUUCUUGUGAGAAAAAAAAAAAAAAAAAAAAAAAAGAAAACAAAAAAAGUGAACAAAAGGGUUAGCUCCUAUAUUGCUCUUAACUUUUCAAGAAAUCUUAAAUAAUAAUAAAAAUUUACGUGGUCGUUCGAUAUAUGGAAGUAAACAUUUGGAAGUAUACAAUCUUUCUAAAUUAAGAAUUUGAACUCAAGGUAUUUAAAAUCUAAACAGACUUGAAGAUACAAAAAUAGAUUCGAUGAGAAAGACUACAAAAGAGAGUAACUAAGGUUAGAAUCAAUGUUUGGAUCUCUUGGGAGUCUGUGCAUCGACGGCAUCCAAAGAAGCAACAUCCCCACCCUCUUUCUCCAUCUUCUUUCUCGUAAGUAUCUUAUUGAUCUUGUGAAGUUCGUUAUUGAGUUUCUGGUCACGGUCACGGUUCUGCUUCCUCGUCUUUCGACCAUCUUGCAUCUUUACCCCAAAUUGGAAUGCCGCUUUUGGCAUGGCUUCCUUCUGCUCGUUAUAUUUUUCCCAUUCCUCUUCCGUCUCAAAGUCCCAUCGAUGUAAACCUCCCUUUGCCUGUUUAGUGUUCAUCAACACCCAGAAAUUGUAAUGUUGUAGUUUUGGCCUUUCUACAAUUAAAAGAAGAGAAAAAAAGAAAGAUGUAAUUUAGCCAGUGCAUACCUUUCCACCCAUGUCCAUUUUAGACAAGUCAGCUUCUUCAUCGCUACCGACAAUCUCAUGGUUGUACUCUUGGUAACCCGGGUAACACUCUGAAUAGCUCUCUGAUACAAAAGUUGGAUCUUUCUCCCGUGCGUCACUUUCUCUCAACUGUUGAAGCCUUUGGUCGUCACGCUUGAACACUGAUCCUAAACCCCUAUCUUUCUCUUCCUGAGACAUGAGUUGGGGAUCUAGUAAAAUAUCUGUUUCUGGUUGGACAUCGUAACCCUCCAUUCCAGGCUGAAGGUACUGCUCUUGAUACCCAAUUUGCUCUGCAUAUUGGUAAUCCUGCCAAUCUCCAGGAUACCCGGUAGCCACUCCUUGAAUUGGCAUUGCACCAUAUCCACUCUGCAAAAAAUACAAAAGAAAGAAACCUGACUAUGAGAAUAAUGGACAGAUAAUAAGUACAAACUAAAAUGCAAAAGUUGCUUCGGGAAUCAAGGUUUGUGAAUACAUGCAACCAAGGAUUAGUUAGGGGAAAACUGACCAUAUCUUGCCAUUCUUGACCAGCAGAUGGCUGCACCGGACCAUAAGCAGGCUCAUCGAAGUAAGGUACUUUCUCCUUAUCCCUGGGAGAUUCUUCCAUGUCCUCAGAAAUAGGACUCUGUGUCACAUCUUUACCAGGAACUGUAUAGUCGACGCCUUCACCAACAAAUAUGUCAUCAUCUUCUGUUCUGGCAACAGGUGGUUCUUCUUGUUUCUUACUCAAAACCAGAUGGUUGGUCACAGGCGGUAAUGGCGGAGGAGGUGGUAGUUCUUCUCUUUCACUUAUGUUCACAGAAGAUCCAUUCUCAAUCUUAGAUUGAUUAUUGUCUUCAUCGUAAUUAGCAAUAGUUGAGAUCUUUCCUGCAUUAGAAAAAUUGCAGUCAACGUGAGAUAGAACAGAAAUAGCAAAUUAUAUUGCUAAAGAAUCAGAAACCAGCCAAUUUCUUAGCUUAACUCAAAAUGUAUGCUGAUGUGAAAAAAGAACGACAACAUGUACUGGCACCACAUAGGCAUAAUAAUAACAGGAUACAAAACCAUGCCUACAUCCAGAGACCGCGCAAAUUAAAACCACAAAGUGAACACAAGAAGACAUAAUAAGAUACUACUAGUACGGUUGUUGAAGACUAGACAUACUCUUUAUAUUCUUGGCUUCAAAUAGUAAACGCAGACAAUUUGGGGAUAGGCAGAAAAACAACAAUUUCAGGAAGCUUAUCUAACCAGUGUAUGUGAAUCAGUACUGCUAAUACUUAAAGUCAUUGUCACAAUGCAAGUGCAGUUAGAAAGUACACCAAAAGUAUGCUCUUACAUUAUGAAAACUACCUUUACUGUCUUUUUCUUUCUUCUUCUUCUUCAGAACUUUCCCUGAUGAUCCAAGGCGAAGGUAUGACAUGAUUUUAGCAAUUCGAUCUAGUACAGAACCAUCAACAUUUACUGUGACCAGUUCCUGUGAAAGAGAUAAGGCAGGACAAUCGUGCGUGUUAAUGAAACAAUUCUCGCAAAAACUGGAGUAGUGAUGUCAAGUAUAACUUAAAAAUAUGUUCAGUACAGAAACAUGUUUAGCAAUGCCAAUUUUGGUUCCAGAUUAGUAGAAACGAAAGAUAAAUUUAAUCUUAAAGAAGAAAUAUGCUACCAAAUCCUGUUACAUAUAAUCAAAAUAAUAGCAGUAUUCAUUACAUCAUCCCCUGACAUAGAAGAGGUUGCAGAGACCAACAAAAUGGGCUUAUAUCAUUCGAAUCACAACAAUCAUUACAUAUCAACCCAUAACAGCAUGCUGUCCUAAGAAAUUUCCAGGAUAAAGAAGACUAUUACAACACGGAUUCUAAGUUUACAUACCUCAGGCACGGGGCAGUCAGCUUUACUCCUAUAUAACGUGGUUGGUAUGUCAUGGGUAUAGCCACCCUCCUGAAAAGCAUCAUACAGAAUUAAAACUAAAGGGAUAACAUUAAUAUUUAACCUCAGAUAAUGGGUGUUAACAUCACAAGUGAGGCCUUCAAAGGGGAUACUAAAAUCAUACUGUAAGGUUAGCUAGCUUAACUGAGACUAUAUAUCUCAAAGGAAGCUUCAUUCAUAACCAAAUUAUGAUCAUAUAUUCAACUGACUUUUUUGUAGAAUCGUGUCUCUAUUUGCUAAAAAAAAUAUAAGAAUAUGCUUUGACAUGAUGGUUGAACUAAAAAACCAUCCGCUCCUGCUGAUAAGAUUUCUAACAAAUAGUUUAAACCAUGAUUAUAUCAUUAACAGGGCAAUGCAAAGCAGCUUAAGCAACCUUCUUAAAGUUUUCCUUGGGCCCAUGUAUUAUAUCUAAAAGAGAAGAUUUAAGCAACUAAAGACUCGGAGAAGAAUUGUUGAAGCCGUAUACACAUGUAUGAACUACUUCCUCAGACAAAAAAAAAUGAUGUAAGAAUAUCGAAUCUGCCUGAAAAUAAAUAGUUAAAGAACAUUACCAUAUCAUAGACAAAUGUCAUUCUACCAGGAAGGAACAUCUCAUUAGACUUGAUGAUAGUCUGAGGCUUAACAAUCCACUGGUAAACUGACUGAAAAAAGAUCAAAAGACACAAGAAACAACAAACUUUAAGCGUUAUCGACAUCCACAAACUUUCCCCUUAUCUACACAAAUUCGAAACGAAAGUCCCCAUACCUUUGCAGCUAUGGUACGGAAAGUAACUCGUUGAUCUUCUUUAGGCGCACUGUCAAAGAAAAGAAAUAUAUGUAGCAAUUGAACCAACAAAUCAGAUGAGUCAAUUAAUAUAAACCAAAACCUACCUAGUCUUGCCAUCAUCAUCUUCACCAUCAGGUUUCUUAACUAUUUCGCUUCGUACUUUAUUCAAUAAAGCAUAAUCCAACCCCUUAACCAAAUGGGUAUGCUCAACAUCACCUAACCAAUAUAUUAAACACACAAACAUAAGCACUUCAAGAGAAAAACCAAAUCAAGAUUUGUAAGAACCUAACACUAACCUCCAAGAUACUUGCUGUUCUCAAUAGAUAGCUUUAAUGCAUCAGCAGCACUACAAACACACAAAAAAACAGAACUUUAGAGAAACCCAAUUACAAUUAUAACAUAGUUAAUCAGAAACACCACGGAGAGUUACCGGAGAUCGACAGCUCCGGGAGGAGCAACGGCAUGGAAAGAACCAAGCUCUGAAGGAUCAUAAUCAGGAUUUUGAUUCUCUCUUCGUUCUUUAGCACGGUCUCUGUACUUUGGGUUAUCGAUUUCUUCUGAUUUCUCCUCCCUUUAGAUCAAAAAGGUCACAACUUUAACAUCUCCUCAUGUAUAAACCCUAAGAUUGAGGAAAAAGACAAAACAGCCAAGAUUACUUACCUCCGACGAGCAAUCUUCUCUUUGUAAUGAGAUUUUGAGGAACUCAUUAGGUUGUUGUCCUGAAGAAUCAGAUGAUUUCAAUAUUGUUCUGAAUCUCUGGAUUUUAGUGUGUUCUCCGAUAUGAGGACGACGACGUUGGCUGAGGUAGAGGGGAGUAUAUUUUUAAUUUUUAAGUUUUAACCCACAAAUGUCUAAAUCUGGUAAAUUACAUUGAAAAAGGGGAAUUUUAUUGGGUAUGACAUUUUGGAAACUCAAUUUUGUAAAAUUGCCAUUAUUGAAAAUGUCUUUCAAAUCAUGACACAAAUCAUAAAACUUGGACGAUUUUGCCCUGGACAUUGCAGAGAGAAACUUUGUUUUUUCUGUUGGCAGCAGUAGUCAUUAAUUGCUGGGAUUUAACCUAAUAUCUUGUGGGUAAUGAACCAUACAUAUCAAAAAUAGCGGACGAGUAAGUAAUAUAUGAUGGACAAAAUAUGUAAAGUAUAUGUGGUCCAUCGAAAACUCACUUUGACAGAUUUCAAGAGACAACUCCGAUGUGUGUUCUCUGACAUGUCGUUAGUAAGAUUUGUAGUCCAACAAGGUUUGUCUAUGCUUUCUUAAACCGGUGAAAGACAAAUACAAAAAGAUGAGUUAGAAGAAAAUAUGGACAACUGUGUUGAUGGACAUAUUAGAUGCAGUAGAUCUGGUCUAUCAAAACUUACAUUGAGAAGUUUUGAGAGACAACUCUUGUUUGGGUACUACGACCAGGAGUUUGGUCCUCCACCACAGACGUUCUAUAGAAGGACACAAAUAAAGUUUUGAUUUAUUUAAAGGCAUAAUGUAAAUCAGAUCUGUACAAAUUGGUGGGUGCUAAUGGAGGACAAGUAGAGAGAUUUUGUGAAAGUUGUGGGUGGUGAAGGAGCAGAGACAAAAAACGAUAGACAAAAUAGAAAAAACAAAAAAGAGAUCUGGUCCACAAGAUCUGGUCCACUACAUUGGUUCGCCGAAUUUUGUCCAUCUACAGAAUAAUGUAUUGUCCAUAGUGUAAUAAUCGCAUCACUUGUUUCAUCGUCUGGUUGGUCCGCCGAAUCAGGUCACCAGAACUGGUCCGCCGGUGGUCUGCCAGAACUCGUCCGCCGAAUAUGGUCUGUCGGAAUUGGUCAAUUGAAUCUGGUCUGCCGAAUUUGGACUAGAAUUGACUAUGGUCUGCUGGAUCUGGUCCGCCGGAUCUGGUCCGCCGGAUCUGGUCCGCCGGAUCUGGUCUGUCAGAUCUAGUCUGUCUGAUUUGGACCGUCGGAAUUCGUCCGCAUGAUUUGGUCCGCCGGAGUUCGUCCAUCGGAUAUGGUCUGCUGAAAUUGUUUGUUGUUGAAAGAAGAAAAAAGAAAAUGAAGAAGAGAAAAAGAUAAUGAAAAAACACAGAAACAGAAAAGUCAAUUCGUCUAGGGAUACGUUGGUCCUUUUACAUGCUCCUUGUGGCAGGCGUGACAAGAGGUUUUUGUAAAUGGCAGGCGAGAGAAAUUUUGUUACUGUACAUGGCAGAGUUAACAAUUUUCUCUUGAAAAAGUAUUCAAAUUACCAUUUUAAGAGAUUUGAGUUUUAUUAAGAUUUUGAUGAUUUUAGGGAACUUCAUAUUAUUUAUGUAAAAUCCUUUUAAAUCCCACCUAAAACUAUGAGAUUUGGAUUCUUAUAUUUUUAACUAAGAAAGUUCUCUAAAAUCCUCUGAAAUCAUUUAAAAUCAAAUCCACAAAAUGUUUUCAAUAACAGUGGAUUUUAGAGUGGAUUUUAAAAUGAUUAGUUCAAUAACACUGGAUUUCAUGAGACUUUUUAAAAUCCCUGAUUGAAUAACACAAGAUUUGUAAACUUUUUACAAAUCACUUGAAAUUCCACUUUGAAUACACCCCCUAAAAUAUGUGGUGACUUCGACCCAUAUUGCUGUUAUUGUAAGGAUUUGAUUAAAAGAAAAAAAAAAUUUAACUAAAAAAAUUGAAAAUGGGUGUAAUUAAAUACAUACUCAUUUUUAAUAAAAUCUAAAAAUUAUAGAUCCAACCACACUAAAUCCGAAAACCUAUUCCACUAUUGGAUACCUAUCAGAUCUUUCACCAUUUUGUUUUCCUCCUCAUCGUUUGAAAAAAUUAGAAGUCCUCCAAACCCCAAGUAUUUGAAAAAUCCGAAUAUCACAAACAGUUCGUCGAGUACAACUAAGGACAACCCGAGAUUGGGUAAGUCAAAAUCGAUGAUUUUCUGGGUAUUUUAUGUUAGAUACACUUGAAUGUUGUUGAUUUUAGGUGUUUCGAUUUGUUAAUCUUAAUUUGAAGUUGUUGAUUUCGUUUAUUACUCGAGUAUGUUGUUAAUUUGCGGUUGUUGGCUUUGUGUGAAGGAGAAGAGAAUGGUGCGUACAAAGAACGCAAGCUUUAACAAAUAAACAGAUCCAGUAUGUGAAGUCGAAAAGGCAACAGAUGCAAUCGUAGAAGAAGAUGGGACUUGUGGAGAUGAUUUAGAAGAAACAGAGUCAAAUCCGGAAUCAAAUUCUCGGGAUUCAACGGUAUGUACAACUUGGAUAGAAUAGUACAACUUGUGCGAACUCGGUAUAACUAGUUUUUUUUUACUAAAAAUUUGAAACGGUACAACUUAGGAGAACUUGGUAUAACUAGUUUAAUUUCAAUUCAAAAUUCAAAAGGUACAACUUGGGAAAACUUAGUAUAACUAAGUUUUCUUGCAUGAAUCCGAGGAGGGAACAUAAGUAAUGCAACCGCUGAACAUGUACUUCAAUCACUCCGAGUAUAUGAAGCCAUUCAAGCUAUCUGCAAAGUGUUAUAUCACAAAGGUAGUGAACUUCUUGAGAGCUCACCUUAAGUCCCAUGAGUUGGAUGGUUCCUAGGACACCCAUAGUUCAAACAUUUCUUCCAUAUGGCAAAGGAUGCCAAUCACAAAUUGAUGGGUAUGUGGAUGUUGUUUCUCCUGACGGCGUAUUUAGAGAAGAAAGAGGAAUGUUGGUUCUUAGUAAAUUGUAUUCCCAUAAGGUAUUCUCUUAGAGAAAUGGUACUGAUUUGUGGCUUAUACUGCCAUUAGUAUCCCCGGCACAUGGAAUCAUUGGGCAGUACAGAGUUUGUUGGAAAGCAUUUUGGUGUUGGUACAACAAUAAGAUAUGAUGAUGUCAAAGCAAAGCUUUUAUAGAUGAAGAGAGCUUCUACAACUCGAGUGAAGAUGGCGGUCCUCCACAUCUUGUGUAGCGUCCUCAUAGGGAAGAAGAAGACAAUGAAGCAAGCACCAUCUGUAGAGCCAUUCUUUCUUAGGGCUGUUGAUGAUUUGGACAUGUGUAAAACGUUCCCUUGGGGUCGUUUGGCUUUUGAUGAGAACAUGAAGGACAUCUUUCAUUGUAUGAACCACUUUAGUGGAGUUUUGAGGACACAACAACAUGUCUUUCCUAGUUUUGUCAUUCCGUUGGAGGUAAUUCUUGAUUUUUGAAAAUGUGUAACUUAGUAUAACUUAGUAUAACUGAGUUUUAAGUGCAUGAUUUUGUGUUGUGUGUAGGUUCUUGCUUUUGAGGCAAUUUCUGUUCUGAAGGAAAAUUUUUGAGAAUGUGUUAGUAAUGCACAUGCACACCGUCAUUGUCCUCAGAUGUGCAAGAUGAAAUUUAAAGCAAGUAAAAUGAAAAGGGUUUUCAUUGAAGGAAAUUUAUGACAAAUUGGUACAACUAAGGUUAGAAAUAAUCAUACUUAUCUUAUUCAUUUAUUUUUGGUAUUAUUAGGUUGGUUUGACAUUAUAUUUUUUUUUUUUUCAUAGGAUAUUGAGAGUAUCUUGACUCCAUCAUCACGUUAGAUACGUCUUUUAUGUCGUAACAUGGAUGAAGAGAUUCGAUGUAAUGAUGUAGAUGAUCCGGUUGUUGUUGGUUGGAGCAAGCGUUUAGUUGAGGAAGAGAAGUCAAUAUGGUUUGAAGAGCUUUACAACCAAGAUUUGGCCACCUGGGGAAUCGAGACAAAUCAGGAUCCUGAAGAUGUGAAUCCGGAAAAUGUGAUUCUGGAAUAUGUGAAUCUGGAAAAUGUGAUUCCAAAAGAAGUGAAUCUGGAAGAUGUGAACCCAGAGAAUGUGGCUUCAGUUACAGUGGCUCUGGGGAAUUUGGCUCAGCUAAGAGAUAGAUUGGUUCAGCUAGAAGAACAAGUGAAGCAAAGGUUUAAGGAAAUCAUUGAGAAAGUUGAAGGUCUGGAUAACAGAGUCAAAUCUGUGGAAACAUAUGUCAAAUGGGCCUCAAGUGAAGACCAAUAUUAUACGAAUAAAGGUGGUGAUGGAGAUACGAAUGAAGGUGGCAAUGGAGAUACAAAUGAAAAGGAGCAAUAUGAGAAGGAUAAGGCCGAGAUGGAGCAAACCGAGAAUGAUAAGGCCGAGAUGGAGUAGGCCGAGAAGGAGCAAGCUGAGAAGGAGAAGGCCGAGAAGGAUCAGGGUGAGAAGGAACAGGCUGAGAGGGGUCAGGCUGAGAAGGAGCAGGCUGAGAAGGAGAAAGCUGAGAAGAAUAAGGCCAAGAAGGAUAAGACCGAGAAGGAUAAGGCUAACAAUGAGCAAGCUGAUAAGAACAAAGCUGAGAAGGAGCAGUCACAAAAAGAACAAACUGAGAAGGAAAAUGCUGAGAAAUCCGAAACCGAGAAAAAGAAGGUUGAUGAAGAGAAAGAACAACUUGGUACAACUGAUGAAGAGAAAGAACAACUUGGUACAAUUGAAGAAGAGAAAGAACAACUUGGGAAAACUGAAGAAGGCCAAAAGGAAGAUGUUGAGAUGGAACAUGACGAGAAGGAACAUGGCGAGAAGGAACAUGGCGAGAAGGAACUGUUAGACAAGAUAUAUGUAAAUAUAUUAUUUCUUACAUUAGUUAAAGUAUCAAGUGUGGAUACUCUCGUACACGUUCUCGUACGUUACACUAUGUAAUCUCUAUAUAUAUUCUAGUCAAUAAGACAUCUAGGGCAUCAAGCUCUAUUCAAGCUUACAUGGUAUCAGAGCGCUUUUGGCUUUUCCUUCGACCUCUGACCUUCUCUCUCUCAAAUCUUUUUUUGUUUUCUUUCAUCUAGUUCCUCUUCUUCUUCUUCUGUUUCUUCAUCCUCUGUUCUAUCUCUUCUAUUAGACAAGAUAUAUGUAAAUAUAUUAUUUCUUAUAUUAGUUAUAGUAUCAAGUGUGAAUAAUUUCAAAGGGUUUCGAAAGAAGAGAAGUAGAAGUAGAAAAUGGAAGGCGAACACUUUUGCCAAGUUGACACGCAUGACACAAGGUUGUCAUGUCAUUUUUAUUGAAUUCUAAAACCCUCUCAGGCGCAAGAGUGAAACGCUAAGCAAAUAUAUUCACUUCUCUGCUUUUGUUCGUAACCAAUUUGGCUGCCCCAUUCAGUCUCUUCAAUGUGACAACGGCGGUGAAUACAAUAAUCGCCAAUUCCUAUCAUAUCUUACAGCUGAAGGCACAAAAUGCCGUUUUUCAUGUCCGUAUACCUCCCAGCAAAAUGGUCGCGCAGAACGAAUGCUACGUACUCUCAACAACAUUGUACGCACUAUUCUGUUCCAAGCUCAUAUGCCACCAGAAUUUUGGGUGGAGGCCCUUCAUACAGCUGCUCAUCUUCUCAACAUACUUCCAUCGUCAUCCAUUUCCAAUGCCGCCCCAUUCACCAAAUUUUUUCACAAACCCGCACCAUACAAUCAUCUUCGCGUUUUUGGCUGUUUGUGUUAUCCUAACCUUCUUCCUCAAUCUCCGCACAAACUUGCUCCUCGAUCAACAUCAUGUGUUUUCCUCGGAUACCCUACUGAUCAUCGCGGGUAUCGUUGUUUGACUUAAAUACUCGUAAGAUUAUUUUCCCACGACAUGUUUAUUUCGAUGAAAACACAUUUCCGUUUCUUAAACCUACUCCUACUUCAGUUUCUUCUUCUCACUCUUCACUCAUGUCUCCUCCUCCUAUCUCUGUUUCCACUCCGUCUCCUCUGCCAGCUACUGAAAACAUCCUUCCGCCCACAUCUCCUCUUCCACCUAACGAGGCCCCUCCUCCGCCUCCUCCAGCAUUACCCACGCAUCCAAUGGUAACUCGGAGUAAAAAUGGCAUUGUCAAACCACGACAACGCCUUUGUCUCCAUACGUCUGUUGUGUCUCCCCUUCCUUUGACACACGUACAGGCUGCUAAGGAUCCUAACUGGAAUGCUGCCAUGGGAGAUGAACAUAGCGCUCUUAUUAAAAGUGGAACGUGGGACUUGGUUCCGCGACCAGUUGCUACUAAUAUUGUUCGAUCUUUGUGGCUUUUCAGGCAUAAAUUUAAUGCGGAUGGGCAACUCGUGAGGUACAAGGCGCGUCUCGUAGCUAACGGCAAAUCUCAACAGCUUGGAGUCGAUUGUGAUGAGACUUUUAGUCCUGUUGUAAAACCAGCAACUAUCCGUUCAGUUCUCCAUGUUGCCGUUGCAAAAGAUUGGCCACUUCAUCAACUAGACGUCAAAAACGCAUUCUUAAAUGGUGAUCUUGAAGAAACUGUCUACAUGCACCAACCACCCGGUUUUGUUGAUAAAACCAAACCAGAUCAUGUGUGCCUCCUGAAGCGGUCUCUUUAUGGGCUCAAACAAGCCCCACGGGCCUGGUAUAAUCGAUUUGCGAUUUUUGCCAAGAAAAUUGGCUUCACUCAAAGUGUGAGCGACCCCUCUCUCUUUAUCUACUGUCACAAUAACCAGCUUGCCUACAUUCUGCUCUAUGUUGAUGACAUAGUUCUCACCGCUUCCACCACGACUCUUUUUCGGUCCAUCCUUGCCUCACUACACAAGGAGUUUGACAUGACUGAUCUUGGUCGUCUACAUUACUUCCUUGGGAUUUCUGUCACUCGUACUGCGGCAGGCGUGCUUCUACAACAACAGAACUACGCGGCUGACAUUCUUCACCGUGCCAACAUGACGAACUGCAAUCCUUGCUCCACUCCGGUUGACUUGAAGUCUAAGCUCUCUUCCGACGGUAAACCGGUCUCCGAUCCCACAUUGUAUCGUAGUCUCGCUGGUGCUCUCCAAUAUCUCACCUUUACUCGCCCAGACAUUUCUUUUGCUGUCCAACAGAUAUGUCUUUUUAUGCAUGAUCCUAGGGAGCCUCAUUUCACAGCUCUUAAACGCAUUCUUCGCUACAUCAAAGGUACCAUCUCUCACGGACUGCAAAUUCACAAAUCCUCUAUCCAUCAACUUACCGCUUACACAGAUGCUGAUUGGGCCGGGUGCCCGUCUACACGACGUUCUACGUCUGGUUACGGUAUUUUUCUUGGUGAUAGCCUUGUUUCUUGGUCCUCUAAACGACAAGUCACAGUCUCCCGUUCAAGUGCAGAAGCUGAAUAUCGCGGUGUAGCCAAUGCUGUGGCUGAAGCAACAUGGCUUCGAAAAUUACUCCUUGAGAUGAAAUGCCCGCUGUCCAAAGCUACUAUCGUUUAUUGUGAUAACAUCAGUGCCGUGUACUUAUCCUCAAAUCCUGUCAAGCAUCAACGAACAAAGCAUGUCGAGAUUGAUAUUCACUUUGUUCGAGAACGUGUAGCACUUGGUCAAGUUCGUGUUCUCCAUGUUCCCACAAGCCUCCAAUAUGCUGACAUAUUCACCAAAGGGCUUCCAACACAACUUUUCUCUGAUUUCAGGACCAGUCUCAACGUCCAGAAGCCUCCCGAUGCGACUGCAGGGGCGUGUUAGACAAGAUAUAUGUAAAUAUAUUAUUUCUUAUAUUAGUUAUAGUAUCAAGUGUGAAUACUCUCAUACACGUUCUCGUACGUUACACUAUGUAAUCUCUAUAUAUAUUCUUGUCAAUAAGACAUCUAGGGCAUCAAGCUCUUUUCAAGCUUACAGGAACAAGCUAAGGAGAAAGGAGAAAAGAGAAGAAGUUGUUAAUGCUCACCAAGGUAAAAGGGUGAAGAUCAUAAGCAAGAAGAAGUGAUCUAGUGUGAUAAUAAGGAGUUCUAUUCUGACAAGACAGAAUGCGAAGAAUGGUAAUUGAUGAACUAUUUUGGUUAAGUUGUGAACUCUUCAUAUUGGUUUGUUUAGCGUUGUGUUUUUGAGUCAUUUUGUAGGUGAACUCUUGGAUUGGUUUAUAGAUUGUUGUGUUUUUGGAUUGGUAUAAUUUUAAUGUGUUUUGAACUAUUCUAGUUAAGUUCAAUGUUGUUUGUUAAGUUUAUGAGUUCCCCAUUUUAUAUGAUAAACUAGGUACAACUGGAUUCAAUAGAUCAACUUGGUAAAACUACUAUACAAAAUAUUAGUUUUACAACCAUACAUUACAACCAUACAUUACAACCCGAAUACACAAAGUAAGUUCAAAGUUACCAAAAAAGUUAGGCCAAUAAGGAAAGGGAAAAGUUACAAUCAUAUCAAGGACAUCAACCAACUAGUUUUAUACUUAGUUGUACCAUUACAAAAAACAAAUUAUACUUAGUUGUACAACUACGAAAAACAAGUUACACUUGGUUAUACCAUAUUCCCAACCCUAUCACAAGAAUACAACCACAUAAAACGAGUAUCCACGUUUUCUUAAUUUUCUUCAUAUUCUCAUCAUUUCCAUCUUUAUGAGAGUAACUUCUUCUUCUAAAACCAACUUGAAAAUCCAAUUGUUCUACCUCAUCCACCAAUGCUUUAUCAACCCACUUAAAGACAUGUCCAUCGUUCACAAGCUACAUAAAAAUUCAAAAAUUAGAAGGAAAAGUUGGUAACUAAAUCGCAAACACAAUAGUAAUCAAAUAUCUUUACCCUUCUAUCAUAUGCAUAUACACAACGAUAGUAGCGACGGCAUGGAUUUGGUAUGGAUCGAGAGAUUAUGUCAACUAUUGGUGACCCACAAUGGCACUUUUUCGGAAUUCCAGGGAACCUUCGUCAGUUUGAAGAAUUCCCACAUAAGAUUCCCUAUGCUCCAGAUUCGCAGCUCAUUCUCAGAAAUCGCAAACCCAAAAAAAGGAAAGAACGAAAUCACAAACAAACCCAGAAAGAAGGAGAAUCGAUGAAGAGUAAAACAUGACAGUCUACCCAAAACCCUAGCUAUGGACAAGAUCCUAAAGUAUAGGAAAAAAAAAUAUAUAUAUAUAAAUGGACCAAACAACAAUCACGUGAUCCACAUUAGACACGUGUGGCCGUCAAAAUGCACAAGUGUAGCUGCUAAAAGACACAUGUGUAGCCGCCAAAAUGCACUAGUUGUAUCAAGUUACAAGUUGUACUUUUUUGGCAAGUUGUACAUUUCAUUUUUUUGUUGUAAUUAGUUAUACCAUGUUUAAAAGAAAUAUUUUUAGUUGUACACAUGAUUUUAAUUAAUUGAGGUACAUAUACUACAUGUACAUGCCUAAAUAGUUUUGAAAACAUUUAUUUCUUAGCUUAUCUAAUUAUAUGUUGUUUGAAAUGAAAAAGUGACCCUUAAUGUUUAAGGUAUUUCAUGGUAAACUUAGAAUAUGAUGAUAAUUAUAGUGAAGUAUAAUAAUAGCCACACUACUAUCGGCAAUGACGAUGUCAUCACCUAACAAAGCGUAGUCGAGAAAUGGUCUCGUCUGAUGAGGAUAUGCUCUAUUCCUUAUAUAUAUUAGAUAACAUGAUGACAUUUUAAUUCAGUUCAUGUUUAUAUUUAUUUAGUUUUCUCUAUUUUUUUUUCCAAUUCAUGUUUAUAAAAAAUUCAAAUAAAUCCUAAUUUUUUUUAUUUUUAAAUAAAUCCUUAUUUUUGAGUUUUUAAAUUUUUUUUUAUUUAUAACAAUAUUUUUUACUAUAAUAAUUUUAUUUAAAAUAUAUAUCAAUUUAAAUAUCAUUAAAAGAAGUUGACUUAAGAAAGUCCAAAAAUCAAAUUCAAAUUAUUCAAGUUGUACCAUAACAAAAUCAAGUUGUACCUAAUUGUUCCAAUAGGAUAUUACAUAAAAAUACAAUCAAUCAACUUCGGGAACCUGACUUUCAAACCAGCUCGCGAUGGUAGAUUUCUUCUUCCUGCCUCCAUGUUGAUCAUGUUGAUUUAAUCCUCUUUGUUGGAUUUUUUCCUCUUUUUAUCACAUAAAACUUAGGAAAGACAACCAAAUCACGCACAUCGUCCGGAACAAUCCACAUAGACAUGAUAGAAACUGGAUAUAUCGUCCUGGAAUAUCCCAAUGCCACUGCUCCAUCUAAUAAUACUUACUGUACAGCUCAUGCAAUUGGAUCUCAUUACCAGCGUUUUUUGCUGCUUUCAUAGCCGCAGCAAUAGCGUGCACACACGAAUAUCUUUCAAUAUCAAAUUGUUUGCAGUAGCAAGUUUUUUUUCCCAGAUCAACCACAUAACUACUACCAUCACCUCCAAUCAUAAUGUAUUCCAUAAAAUAGACGUUUAGUUCAAUCACCGGUAAGAGCUUUGCGUCAGAAUAUCUAUCAUGCAUCAUCUUCUUAACAAAAGGGACUAACUUUUGCUCUAUUAGUGUCUCUAAGGUUACUUUCCUAUUUAUAUUAAACCAUUCAGCUAGUUUAGCAACAGUCGCAUCUAUCAUUGGUAGUAACGCAUAUGCCCUUAAGAAUCUAAAGACACCAUUAUAGAUUCAACUGUAUUAGUUGUAUCAAUGUUGUAUAUAGCUCUUGAGAAAAAAUAUCGCGCCCAUUUAUGUUGUCCUACGUGUUGAUCAAGAUAAGUACCUGUGGCAGGAAACCUUUUUAAAGAAAUCAGCAUAGAGUUUCUCAAACUCAGAUUCGGUGUAAGCCUUCGCAACUAAAUCUUUGUUCACGUUUUUACAGCUCAGGUUAACAUUCUCAAACAAGUGAUAAAUACAAUACCCAUGGUGAGACAACGGGUACACCGUACUUAUUGACAUGAUCAAGCUUUGAUGUCUAUCAGAAAAGAAUACCAACUCAGUACAAUCUGGUAUAACUGAUUUCAAUUUACUGAAAAACCAAGUCCAACUUGCAUUAUUCUUACUAUCAACUACACCAAAUGCAAUCAGAUAAUGGUGGUGAUCCGGAUCUUGAGCUGAAGCCACGAUUAGUACUCCACCAUAUACAUUUUUAAUAAUGGUUGCAUCCACAAUGAUCACCUUUCUCAUGGAAUUGAAGCAUUCAAUGCACGCCCCCAAGGCGAAGAACAAAUACUUAAACCUUUGGGCUUCAUCUAAUUCAACAUAUGAAACUGUACAUGAUUCAUCUUCUCAAACAUUUGCAUAUAAUAAUAAACCAACUUAUAAUUAUCCUCCGCGGUACCGCAAAGGUCAACUGUAGCUAGCCUUUUCCCUCUAUUUACGGUUGAGUAUGACAAUUUGAUACUAACUUUUGAUUGAACCAAAGGGAUGAGAUUUUUUGGAGUCGGAGUGUCUAUCAGACAUGGGAAAUCUUCACGCAAAACAGAUGCAACUAAAUGAGAUGUGCCUCUCCUUUUUUACUCAUUGUACUUGUUUCUGACCGUACGCAUGUAUGUAUCUUAGUGUAAGUUCUGACCGAGAAACUGUCUGCAAUCCCAUUCCUUGCUGCUCGUAAAACUCACUUGCAACCCUUUCUAAAUUUUGAGCAUUUAAGCACAAACAACAUAGGACCUGACUUCAGUAUAACAAACUCAAACAGUUCUUAUGCGCAGCUUUGUCAACUAAAUCUUUAAUUGCUUGCUUGCUUUCAAAUUCUUGCUGGAUAGUCACAUCCAAACCAUCUUCCCAUUCACGAUUUACAACCGGUGUGAUCUCAGCAGCAGGUGUGAUCUCAACAACAUGUGUGCUAUCUUCUUCUAUUGCUCGUUCUUCGGACUGUUCUUCAUAACGAAUCAUGUUCUCAUCUCUCCCAUCACUAUUUUCCACCAUCUCAUGACAUUCAAACGGCUCGCUUUCAUCAAGGAACAUGGUCCCAUUUGUCGCUUUACUACUUGAAAUAUGCUCCUCAUUGAGUGAGCAACCUACACUUCCUCGACUUUUCUCAUACCCCUGAAUUACGACUUCGACAUGUAAAACUUCGAAAUGAUCUUCAUUCAUAUCCAUAUAACACAUAAUAUCAUCAUCAUCAAAUAUAUAUAUUGGUCUCUUGGGCUCCACUGAUUUUAGAAUGUAACUCAAUUUCAGCUCAGUCGUUGUUUCAUCAACAUUCGCCUUCCUGCACAUCUUGUUCACUACUGCAAAAUAAAUGACCUUCUCUGUCUCCAUUCUAAGAGAUUGAUGAACUUUAUCUCUUGAAUUCCAUCUUUGUUCAUUUUCCCUUGUUGCAUAGUAUCCCCCAUAAUCAUAUAGUAUGUUUUUCGAUGGUUUUUAUUCAUUGUGGCCUGAAAUAGAAUAGGAAAACUCACAUUAUAAUCUCUGUCGUGUUCAUAGUUAUACCAAGUUCUACCAAAAAGUACCAUUUGUACUACCAGGUGUACCCGAAUAGUUAUAAUAAGUUAUACCAACCAGUACCAUUUGUACUACUAGUUUUACCAAUAUAGUAAUACAAGUUGUACCCGAAUAGUUAAACCAAGUUUUACUAGUUGUACUACAACCACUACUAAUUUUCGGAUUACAUUACGAUUCAAUUCGAUUGAACUGUUACAAUGCACACAUUAUGAACAAUAGUCGACCCAAUUCGACUCAAAUCCCUAAUUUCCAAUAAGGAUAAGAAAAAUCGGAUCAAAUCCAAAUCUACAAUAUCUCUAAUUGCAUUGUUAAUAGUUCAAUAGGGAUGAACAAAUACAAUCUACAACAAUUCCAAUUUAUGCCAACGAGUUAUAAAUUUAAGAAUAUGCAUGAAUAAGUAUAUUACCUCAAUUGUUGUGUUCACGUGUUAAUAAAUAAGACGAUGGUGAGUUUAAUCGAGGAGGAGCUCGUCGAUGGAGAGAAGAUGAAGAUCGGACCAGAUCUUGAUUGAAGGAAAGAGAAGAUGAAGACUUUUGGGUGGGGUUUAAGUAUUUUUUUUUAACUUAAAUUAAAUCAAUAAUAGAAAGUGAAAAAUAUGGGACUAAAAUAUAUGGUGCCCUUUGACUCACAUUCCUAUUCUUGUAAGUGUAACGACCAAAUGAAAAAAAAAAAUUUAAUUAAAAAAUCGAAAAUGGGUGAAACUACAUAUCCACCCUUACUAAAAUCUAAAAAUUACAAAUCCAACCACACUAAAUCUGAAAACACAUUCCACUAUUGGAUACCCAUCGGACCCUUCACCCUUUUGUCUUCCUCCUCAUCGUUUAAAAUAUCAGAAGUCCUCCAAAACCUAAGUGUUUUGAAAAAUCCAAAAAUCACAAGCAGUUCGUCGAGUACAACUAAAGACAACCCGAGAUUGGGUAAGACAAAAUCGAUAAUUCUCUUGGUAUUUUAUGCUUGAUCCGCUUGAAUGUUGUCGAUUUUAGGUGUUUUCGAUUUAUUAAACUUAAUUUGGGGUUGUUGGAUUUCGUUGAUUACUCGAAUAUGUUGUUAAUUUGCGGUUAUUGGUUUUGUGUGAAGGAGAAGAGAAUGGUGCGUACAAAGAACACAAGCUUUAACAAAUAAAAAAAUCCAGUAGGUGAAGUCGAAAAGGCAACAGAUGCAAUCAUAGAAGAAGAUGGGAGUCGUGGAGAUGAUUCAGAAGAAAUAGAGUCAAAUAUGGAAUCAAAAUUCUGGGGAUUCAACGGAAUGUACAACUUGGAUAGAAUAGUACAACUUGUGUGAACUCGGUAUAACUAGUUUUUUUACUAAGAAACUGAAACGGUACAACGAGAGAUCGAGCUUCUGUUCAAUUACAUGCACACAAGGUCUAAGGUAUGACAGACUUCCUAAAGCUUUGAGAAAGCAGAGAGAUCAGUUAAGAAAGGAAACAACAGUUGUUGAGAUGGAACCUCAAUAGAAUGCGAAUCUAAGGUGUGCAACAUGCAUAGGUGCAGGAGAUGCUCCUAAUUGCCAUUUACAGAGGUCAAAUAUACUACCAUUGACUGUUCAGAAUAAUAAUUUUGAAAUCAAGAAUAGCCUCAUAUCCAUGGUACAAAUCAAUAAGUUUAACGGUUUACUAAUGGAAGACCCGUUAGACCACUUGAACGAGUUCGACUGCCUUUGUGGGUUAACCAAGAUCAACAUAAUAAGUGAAGACGGAUUCAAGCUUCGCCUCUUUCCUUUCUCACUCGGAAACAAGGCUCACCAAUGGGAAAAGUGUUUGCCUGCUGGUUCUAUAACCACUUGGGAGGAGUGUAAGUGAUAUUUCCUGUACAAGUUCUUUUCUAAUUCUCGCACAGCCCGUCUUAGGAAUGAAAUCUCAAGCUUCGCCUAGAAGAACAGCGAGACGUUGUGUGAAGUAUGGGAACAGUUCAAGGGAUAUCAAUCUCAAUGCCCACACCAUGGGUUCACUAAGGAGUCCCUUCUCACCACACUAUAUAGGGGAGUGCUUCCAAAGAUCUACAUGUUGCUCGACACCGCAAGACAUAGAAACUUCUUAACCACAUAUGUGGAUGAGGGAUGGGAGCUGAUUGACAAACUUGCCCAAUUUAAUGGGAAUUACCAUGAAGAGAAGUAUAAGAUGGACUUCAAGUCUUUGAGUGAUAGAAUUGAUAGGUACUCAUGGCACAACAAAUUGUUCACUGCAUCUUCGACAAAGACCAAGAUGGGGAAUGUGUACCACUUCAAUUCAAUAACACGUUUCAGAAAGGAUUUUCUCCUGCACCACAACUCCAGCCUAUCUCUUCUAUCCCAUCGGUACCAAUUCCCAACCUUGAGUUAAGGACAAUUUCAACCAAAGUCUAGCAAACAGCCAAUAGGACAUUCUUCAAUCUCUAGACAACCUUCAGCAUCAACUUAACUCUUCCUAUUCUUCCAGUACCACUCUACUUGAUGAUUCGAAUCAAAGGGUAUGUGUUGUUGCGAAAAGUUCUGUAUUACUAACACUUCAAAUAAAGGAGUUUGCAAACGCAUUUACAUUGCGAAGCCGUCGUGAAUUACAUACUCGAUAACAUCAUUCUAUUACUGAGGACAGUAAUGACCAAGAUAAAGAAGAUUUAAGCGCACUUGAAGCAGUAAUCGAUCAACUAGAAUGACUAAGCAAUCGAGUGCGAGAUCGAGUCCAGAACAACAAAAGUGUUUUACCACAACUCGAUCAAGCAAUCGACCAAAGCACCCGACCACUCGAUCGUGUGCGUGAUCAUUCACCUAAUUCAAUGGAUCCACCGGCUAUGCAAAAACCUUCUGACAUUAGAACAGUAUCCUGUUUCGUUCCCCCACCUUAUAAACCUCAAUUACACUUCCCAGAAAGAUUCAAGAAAGAGAUAAUGGAGAAAUACGAGGAGAUGUUCAGGAAACUAUUCGAAGGAGUUGAAUUGACUAUGCCAUUGAUUGACGUUUUUGCCUUGAUACCACCCUACCAUAAAUUCUUGAAAGACAUUUUCAUAGAACGGAUGUAAGAAGUACAAGGCAUGAUAGUGUUGAGCCAUGAGUAUAGCACAAUCAUUAAGAAUAAAUUAAUUCCGGCAAAACUAGGUAUUCCUGGAUCCUUUACUCUACCCUGCUCUUUAGGACCUCUAGUCUUUGACAAAUGUCUCUGUGAUUUGGGAGCUUCAGUCAGUCUAAUAUCCCUCUCAAUUUCUAAGAAAUUGGGAUGUGAAUGAUUCAAGCCCUACAAUAUAUCGCUUAUUCUUGCAGAUAUAUCAGUUCGGGUUCCCCAUGGAAUGUUAGAAGAUCUAACAGUUUGUAUUGGGAUAGUAGAAGUACCUAUAGACUUUAUAGUCUUGGAAAUGGAUCAUGAACCUAAAGACCCCUUGAUACUUGGAAAGUCAUUCUUGGCAACUGCAGGAGCUUUGAUAGACGUUCGUAAUGACAAGAUUAAUUUAAAUAUGGGCAAAUAUCUCGGAACAUGGGCUUUUUCAUACCUGGACUAUCUAGGUAUGUUAAUUUCAUAUAGUUGACUUGUCAUUGUGCUAGAUCAUAACUGGACUUAUUGUAAAUUUGAAUUUAGUAACUCGAGAUCUCAUUUCGUGCUGAAUAAUACAAAAACGUGUUAAAUGUGUAACGCUGUUUAACUCUCCGUCGACGUAGAUUCCACGUCAGAUGACACGUAAAUACAUCGCUUAAUGACGUGGCAAAACGACGUCGUUUUGGUCGCUUAGAUGGUAAUUAAAAAUAUGUCGAUAGCAAAGCUCGAACCUCCAACCAAUCACUUAUAUACUGACUACAUAACCGCUAGGCCAUCAACACUUAAUCGAUAUAAAUGAACAACGCAUUAAUAUAUAGUGUUUCGUAUUUCUAUAUAACUAAUAUAUAGUGUUUCCUAUUUUUAUAUAGUGUUUCCUAUCUAAGCGGACAUAAGGAUGCCGAGAGGGACAUCUUAUAGGAGGCACCGAAGUUUUAGGUGCAGCUCGAGAGGAGGAGGCAGACAGAGAGUGUUUAUUUCUCUGGGUAGUGUUAAUUGCCUUUCAUUUGGUCUUCUUCGAGACUGUGAGACCUGGUUUGAUUUUCGGAGUGAUGCGAGGAAGACGAGGCAGAGGUGCUAACAUACAUAGAGUUGCAGCGGAAAAAACAGCACCACGAGCAGAGCCAUACGACAUUUCUGGAGCAGAACCCGUAGACCCAGACGAGAGAGAAAGUUUGAGCAAAGUAUGAUGAUUGAGAACCAAAGUGAAAGAGAGCAAAAGCAUAUCUGAGAGGUUUGAAUCUUCAGGAAAGUGAAAGGUCCAGUCGUUUAAAGGGAAGAACUUGCGUGUUGAGCUUGCUUUCGUAGCUUGUAGGUGUGUUUUCUGAGAAACAACUGUAACACUCAACACACACAUUAAAACUAAACAGGGCCAAAUAGAAUACACAAACAAUUGGCCCGUUAAACUCAUGAAAGCCUCAUUCCAUAUGUGAGACCCCAAUUUGCGGAGAUGUUUAAAUGAAUUUAUUUGGCCACCUAUGUCACCAAAGUCGACUUAUCUUUUCGGUCGAGGGUGAUGAGAGAACUCCACAGUUAAGCGUGCUUAUGCUGGAGUAGUCAAAGGAAGGGUGACCUUCCGGGAAGUGAUUUUCAGAACUACGUGAGUGAGGCCAAAACACAUGGAAAGAUCAUGUGGUGAUUUGUAGGGUCGGUAAACAAGUAUUUAAGCUUCCCGGACAAAGCAAACCGACCGUCGGAUAUUGAUGGGAUCAUGGGACUAGUGGGAGAACGUGAGGCCCAUUAGGAGAGGUGGGCCCAUGGGCUGGUGGUGAACAUGGGGCCCUCUUGAGAGAUGGCAGUCGCGGCGUUACAAGUGGUAUCAGAGCCGAACCCAGAAAAGUGUGGAGUGGUGGACUCACACUGUUAGGGAGUGACCAUCGUCCUGCGCAACGUCCUGAGAGAACUCUACAGUUAAGCGUGCUUAUGCUGCAGUAGUCAAAGAAUGGGUGACCUGCCCGGAAGUGGUUGUUGGAACUGUGUGAGUGAGGUCAAAGCACAUGAAAAGAUCAUGUGGUGAUUUGAAGGGUCGGUUAACAAGUAUUUAAGCCUCCCGAACGUAGCAAACCGGCCGUUGGAUAUUGAUGGGCUCAUGGGCCUAGUGAGAGAACUUAAGGCCCAUUAAGAGAUGUGAGCCCAUGGCUGGAGGUGAUCAUGGGGUCCACUGGAGAGAUGGCGGUCGGGGCAUUACACCAUAUCUCUAGUUAACACAAGCCCACAAUUUUAACAAGUUUCGCCCACUUAUCAGAUGAAAAACAAACCUUCCCCUUUUUUUAAAUAUUUAAACUAAGUGAUCAACACAAUCAACAGAGAACACCCCCUCAAUAGACAAUGAACUUUUCUUUUGUCAAACUGGAAAUUGACACCACAGUUUCCACUUGAGACAUAUAGCUUUGGCUGAGAAUUUAGCAACGAGUUUACCUUACAGACGUACCAAAAAGGCAAGUGAGCACCGCUGUGGUUUCAGGAGAAGUAAAAGCAAUAGAUUCUAGGUAACGAAGAGCAAAAAUCUGUUAUUUUUUGAACCAAAACAUAUACAUACUUCUUACCGGCUCGUGAGAUUUAUUUCAAUCUAAUACACCUCUCAGGUUAACUACACUACAUCAAGAGUUCCCUUGUGUAGAGAUCCGUAAGGUGUGGAGGGACCGCUUAGGCGAGGGGGAUUGAUGGAAGAUUGUACAGAAGAGAUUUUGAAGGAAGAUGUACAUAAGGAUUGUGCACUUCAUAGAUGAGAUAGAACACCAAUCCCUUUCCUGGAAAGAACACUUUGUUAUGUUUCUGUUACAUGAGGUUUUUUUUUUCUUUUCCUUUUCUUUUCCCUUUGGUUUUUUCACACCUUUUUGAACCUUUUCCAUUUCGAACUCGAGAGAGAUAUUUGAUCACCUAAAAGAUUAGCUAGCAAGGGUUUUAAGAUUAAUAGAAGUAAAAGAUUGAAGUUCUCCUCUUCUAUACAAAGAAAUCUGUUGUAAACACUUCUAAUAAAACAACACAUUCCUGUUCACAUAAACCAAUGUACUUUUAUACAUGCACAAAAGUGUCCAAAUCGAAGGGUUUAGUGUAGAUAUCAGCUAGUUGUUGUUCAGAGGUAACAUGGAUGAUUUCCAUAGUUUUAUAUUCAACAAGCUCAUGAAUGAAAUGGUGCCGUAUGUCAAUAUGCUUCGUAUGAGUAUGUUGAAUUGGAUUAUUUGAUUUAUUAAUGGCACUAGUGUUAUCACAGUAGAUAUCAAAGGUUUCAGAAUCCAUACCAUAUUCAGCUAGCAUACGUUUCAUCCAUAGAAGUUGAGUACAACAGAUUCCCAUUGCGAUAUACUCAACUUCAACAGUUGAAAGAGUACAUAGGCUUGUUUCUUGAUGUGCCAUGAGAUCAUGGUGUUUCCUAGGAAGAAACACCCACCAUAUGUAGUUUGUCGAUCAUCAAGGUUAUCUGCCCAAUCUGAAUAACAAAAACCAGUUAGAUUCUGAUUAGUUUGGCUAGUGUAAAAUAACCCUUUAUAAGUUGUACAUUUGAAAUACUUCAAAAUCCAUUUACUGCAUUUAAGUGAAAUUUCUUUGGAUUUGCUUGGUAACUAGCAUAUACACUAACACUGAAGCAUAUAUCAGAUCUACUCGUUCUAGAGAUGUUGAGAUAUUUUUAGGUUCUAUUGUUGACACAAAGCAGAAAUGUUGCAGCAUUUCUUUGAAGCUGAUCUAAACUCCCCUGGUGGUUCUUCCAUCUUUCACGUUCCCAAUGACAUCAGAUUCUGAGUGAUUCUUAUGUAUCUUGAUAGAUGUUUCAAUAUCUUGAGUUUCUCCUUCAGGCCUCUUCUUGUCAUAUGUGUAUUUACCAUGAGAAGUUCCAGUCUCAUUCUCAGCUUUAGUCUUUUGAACAUUCUUAUCAUCUUGAGCCAUAGGAAACAAUUUAGUAAGGCUCUUGUCAGAAAACACAACAUUCACCGAUUCUUAAACUCUCUUCAGCUUUUUGAUAUAAACUCUAUAUGCCAUAUUGUUUGUUGCAUAUCCCAAGAAAAUCCCUUCAUCACUUCUUGCAUCAAACUUUCCCAAAUGAUCCUUGUCGUUCAAAAUGUAACAGAUGUAACCAAAUGUGUGAAAGUAGCACAUAUUUGAUGUCUUAUCUUUCCAUAUCUCAUAUGGUGUGGUAUUGGUACCCCAUUUCACAUAAACACGGUUGAUGAUGUAGCAAGCAGUGUUUAUGGCUUCAGCCCAAAAUCUUGGUGACACAGUGUUCCCAUGAAUCAUAGCUCUUCCCAUUUCCUAAAGAGUCCUGUUUUUUCUUUCAACAAUGCCAUUAUGUUGAGGUGUUCUAGGAGCAGAGAACUGAUGUCUGAUUCCUUAAAUGCUGCAGAAUUUUGUGAACUCUUCAUUCUAGAAUUCUCCUCCAUGGUCACUUCGAAUAUGAACAAUGGUACUUUUUCAGUUUGAAGUUGCAGGGCAAUGAACUGAACCCAAGUGAACUUUGAAAAAUCAUCCACCAAGACAAACGUGUAUCUCUUACCAUUUAAGCUUUAAGUUUGGAUUGGUCCCAUGAGAUCCAUGUGUACAAGCUCCAGAAUUCUCUUUGAGGUUAUUUCAGCUACCCUUUUGUGUUGAACUUUAAUCUGUUUUCCUUUGCUGCAAGCUCCACACAAAUUCUGUUUUUCCUUGCAGCUUUGGUAUCGCUCUGACUACUUUAUCAUUAACAAUCUUGAUCAAACUUUACAUGUUGACAUGUCCAAGACGUUGAUCCCACAUAUCCACUUUUGAGACAGUAGCUGACAUGCACACCUCUAAGUUGUCCCACAUGUAGAAUUUAUUGUUGGAUCUCAUUCCCUUAAGAACUUUGUUUCCUACUUCAUUAGAGGCAUUGUAGUCUCUCUUAGUGAAGGUAACACUCAAAUCAUCAUCCUACAGUUGGCUUAUGCUGAUGAGAUUAGCCUUUAGCCCUUCUACUAGAUAAACAUUUGACAGAUUUUGUUGAUUUGUUCUAUCAAUUCUCCCUUUCCCCUUGAUGAUUUCUUUUGCACCAUCUUCAAAGGUCACUCUUCCUACAGAGAUAACAGAGAAAUCUUUUACCGAAGCAUCACCUGUCAUAUGACGAGAGAAACCACUGUUAAAGUACCAUGAAGAUUCUUCAGUUAGAGAAGUUGAGGUGAGAGCAACUUGAGCAACUUCAGUAAUCAAUUUUGGAUCAGUAACAGACCAAUUGCAUCUUAAGUUCAUAUCCAUUGAGUUUUCCUUUCUGAGCUGAGCAAGAUCAUAAAAUCUACCAUACAACCCUUCUUCUACUUUAGAAAUUUCUACAAUUGUUAAGUCUGAAACUGUGUGAUGUUUUCUUGAUCCAGAUAGAGCAAGGUCAUUUUUCUUGAUCCAGAUAGAGCAAAUUGUGUGGGUUCGAUAUAACAGCAAUUCAGUUUCCAGAGAUUUUGACAUUUUCUCUGAACUUGUAGCAGUGAUCUCUCCUUUGGAAGUUCCUUAAAUAGUACCCACACCAGUUAGUGCCUAUAUAAGCUCUUGUCUGUCUCGUGUUCUUUUGUCUUGAUUCUUGCUGAUUACCCCGUUUCUUCUCGUCUUAUUUUCAGAAGAUAGACCCGAAGAUGAUGUUUCUUUUAGGUGGCCACCACUAACAAAGUUGAUGUUCUUUGUAUCUUUCUGCUCACCAUUGCAGUUGUUACCGUGAUAUCCCAACCAAAAAUUUUGAAAGUCUGUCCUUCCCAUUGACAAAAUCUUAUCCAGAUUCUCAGAUCCUAUGUUCAGCAUUAUAAUAUGUUUAUACUUUUCAUUCAAUUCCACAGCUUUAUCCUUUUCUUUCAGAUAUUCAUCUUCAAUAAACUCCAACUUCCUCCGAAGUUUCUUAGUAACUGGAUCUGAGCUCAUGAGAAGUAUUCGAUCUUCUUCUUCAGCUUCACUCUUUAGAGCUUCAAGUUUUGCCUCCAAGGUGAUAUUUUCUUUUAUGAGUUCUAGUUUAUCACUUCUCAGCUUCACCCAACUGUCAUACAGAGUUUUGUACUCUUCUUUGGGGUUGAUUUCCUCAUCACUUUCCAAAUCUGUGUUAGGAUGAACAUUGCAGACUCUGUAUCAGCUAUGAAAGCAACAAAGUUUAGAAGUUUUUUAGGUUCCACAUCAGACUCUAAGUCACUGCAACUUAAUAGAAAAUUUUCUUUUGUUUAAUUCUUGUUUGGACACUCAAACUUUGUAUCCCCCACUCCUCUACAUUCUUGACACUGGAUUUCUUUUCUUUUUGUAAGAGGACACUCAGGCUUUCUGUGACCAUAUCCACCGCAUUCAAAGCUUUGUUCCUUCCACCGUUGUCAUUUUCAGACCUGAACUGUCUUCCUCCAGACUUAUCUUUGUCACUGUUAUUCCAUCUUCUUGAAUCAGAUGCUUGACUUCUUUCCACUCUUUUUAGUGCCUUGCCAAAAUUUCUGGCCAACAAAGACAUAUUGUCUUUGAUAUCUUGAAACUUGCUAGUCGCCUGUUCAGUUUGAAAGGCAAUAAUCUUGGAUUUCUUUAUUUUGUCGGCAUCAGCUUCCAUCUCUUCACAUUUCAGGAUCCCCACUAGUUCAGCAAACGUAAUAGAAUCGGUGUUUCCAGCCACCCUCAUAACUGCUUUAUGAGCUGCAUACUUAGCUGGAAGAUAUCUAAGUAGCUUCAUUACCAUUUUCUGAUCCUUGUAAGUUUUACCUAAGACAUCUGCUUCAUAAGCGAUAGCUUUGACCUUUCAGCUAAACUUAACUAUAGAUUCAUCAGUUUCCAUCUUAAGAUACUCAAACUGAGUUGCCAAUUUGUCUAACCUUGUUCUUUUUACAAUCGAUGUUCCUUCAUGAGAUUGUUGGAGAAUAUCCCAUGCUUGUUUAGCCGACUUGCAAGCUUGAAUGAUUUUAAACUCAUCUUCAUCCACUCCACUGAAGAUAGCGUUCAUACCCGUAGCAUUGAAUUUGGACAAAUUCUUCUCAUAAGUUGUCCAUCUGGCUUUAUGUUUAGUUAUCUUUGCUCAUUCUUUAGUCAUCUCGUAAGGAGGCUCCAAUCCUUCUUCAGUAGCAGUCCAUGCAUCUUCACCUUGUCCUCUAAUGAGUUGUGUCAUUCUAACUUUCCGGUAGCCAUAUCUCUUAGUAUCAAGUAUGAUGCUCUUACUUGAGCCAACACCAUCUAUAUAUGGUUUCAUUCCCAAGACCUAAUCGGUUUUUAUUACACCUCAGAUCGGUAUAUGGCUCUCAUACCAAUUGUGCACAGUAAAGAAGUAAGAACAACAAACACUAAAAGAUAGUAUAUUAGUGUCUUCUUAAACACUCUUGAACACAAGAUGAUUGAGCCAAGUAACUACAAACUCACUACCAAUGAUUUAUACUUGGCCAAAUUCUAAGUUACCCAACUUACUGUACAUCAACAGCUGCACACACUCUUUAUUCACUCACUAAUGUAACCCACAAGAACUUCAAAUUGUUCUUCUUACAAACAUACAACACUGUUGCAAAACCUAAAAGUGCUAACCCUAAAACGAAAAAAGUAUCUUCUUCUUUUAUACUGAUGUUCCUUGUCCUGAGACCUUCUAUUGUCUAACAGACCUACAGAAGCUCCUUUUACAUCGUUUGAAUUCUAAGCAUUGCUCCCUUUCUGACACACACGACCUCUCGACUGUGCAUGCUUGUCUACCCUCAAAAUCCGCUUCCUUGUAAUAACCAGACAAGGCGUGCAUAUCACGUGCUCUUCUAGAUUGUUUCCUCAUCUCCUGUUAUGCUUCAGGUUCCUUGUGAUGCACUUCACCUUCUUUGUUUCCUCAGAUUCGUCACGUCAUGGUAAAAGAGGGCUACAAUGUAUCAAAUCUGAUCAAAAGGUAGAGACAUUUAAUAGGCUUGUUCUUAAGGCGUGUACGCUGAUUCUCCUUUUUACAGAAGUGAAUUCAGAUUAAAACUCAAAGAGUUAUAUGCAGUUUAGUAAGACGUGUCUUCUCUGUUGUGAACUGGGAUCAGCAGAUUUUGUAAGUGAGAUCGUGGUUUCAUCAUUUAUCUGAUCGGCACCAAAUUUUAUGGGGAGCGUCGUGACAUCUAGGGUUUGCUUUUCACCUAAUGGAUAUGAAUGUUCACAAUUUUGUUUGUCUAUGGCUGUUUGUUUAUGCUGUUUUUGUCCAGUUUGGUUCAUGGGAAAUUUUGUUUUUGUGGCUUUUUGUAGAGCGUUGCUGGGUUGAUGCAGUCGUAAGGAGAGUCUUUCAUGGUUGUAUUUGUUAUUCAAAUCACCUUGUUAAGGUGAGUGCGUGACCACUUUCUGAUGUGUGUUGUGAUUUUGUAAAUGGAUGAGAUCUAUGUUUGUAUCUUUGUUAUCUUGUGUGUUUUAGUGUUGUUUGAUGCACGAUUGUUGGUUAGGGUUCAAUGUGGUCGAGUUGGGUGUUGGGAUUCGUUGUCAGAGAGUGACAAGAGGCGAUUCCAGGGCUUUUGCAGAGGCAAUGCGGAACAGUGCGCUAAUUAAUUUUGUUUAUAUCUGGUUUUUACUUGUGUUUAUGCAUGUUGGUUGGGUUGCUAAGCUUAUGUGUAUAGUCUAGUAGAUGGGAGGAUCGUCUCCCUGAGUAUUUAUGAUAAUACUCACGCAUCUGAUUUUGUUUGUGGUGCAAGUAAAGAUAAAAUGUGAUCAUGGAAUCAAGGCGAGGAAGAGGGCGAUGAUAUAGAGUCGCUGGUUGUUUUCUGCUGAUGGUUUGCGUGUUAGUUUAAUUUGUCAGUUUAAUAUUAAUUUAUGGGGUUAAUAUUGAUGAAUUAAAAGAGUAUGAAAAUGGGUUGGGUCGUUUAAUUUGGUAUCAGAGCCUAACCCAGUUUUUUGCGGGAUAGCAACGACUGGGGGUGACAGUCUUGGUACGCAACGAGGACGUUGCAUUCUUAAAAGCGGGUGAAUGUGAUAAUACCCUAGGAUGUUAGAAUUUAAUUUAUGUGAGUUAAAUUGAAUUCUAUGUUGUGUGAUUAAGCAUUGCUAGAGCAUGUGUGCUAUGUCUGAAAUUAAUUGAUUAUGAAUAGUUAGUCAAUUAAUUGAGCAUGUCUAUCUAAUUGUUGUAUGUUAAUUAAUUGAUUAUGAAUAGUUAGUGUAAGACCCCGGUUGCCGACAACAUGAUCGGCUCAAAUUUAGCCUGAGCUACUCUCUCAAUUAAGAGAUCACUGUAGUACUUAGGGAUCGAAUCCACAAAGACUCAACGAUUACACAAUAAAUAAUUGGUAUUAAAUUAAGCUAAACAAGUAGGUUUUAAAUUAAAUAAAACAGCAAAUUAAAAUAAAGAUUGAUUUUUAAACAGUAAUGAGGAAACGCUGUGCCUAGGGAUAUUCUCAGGAAAUUCAGAAUUGCAAAUAAAGAAUUGUGAGGAUUUAUAAAGCACCGUUCUUGAACUCAAAUCACAAAAAUAUAAUCAAUCAACUUUCGUUGCAAAUACUAUCUAUGUCUAGAACCCUAAAUUCCAAAUCUCUUUGCAAAUUUAUAAGUUUAAGACAUGCAUUUAAUUCAGGUUUGAUAAGUUCACAAAAUCCCUAAACCAAAUCUCUUUGGGAAUAUGUAUGCUCAUCUAGAUUAUUUUCAGAAAUCAAUAACACUUUCAUGUCGACCAAUUAACCUGAGAUCAUAUUCUAGGUUGCUUUCACUCCUUUAGAACAAAUUAACCACAAUCUAGAUGAAGAACUCUAUUGAUUAAAUUUUAACAAUCUAAAAACCUAACAUUUGAUGAAUUAAUUUGAAAACCCUAAACCUAACAAGAAAUCUACUCAGACAUGGUGAUUGAAACAAACAUCAUGAAUAAAAUAGAUAUCAUUAAGGAAAUCAAUAGAAGAAGUAAAUGAGUUCUGAAUCUUCUCUGAAAAAGGUUUUGAUUCUUCUCUCCAGGCUCUCUACAAACCUCUUUCUCCAAAAAAUAAAGCUUGAGUCUUAACAAAACCCUAAAAACUCAAUAUAUAUAUCUUAACCACGAACUGGAAUUAAUUUCAAAUAAGGAAAACUUCUGGGCCGAAUCUGCAAAUCUUCUGAACUUCAAUUAAGCGUGAAAUUCAUUGCCGUCAGAUAUUGGUGUCGAUCGCCACCGAAGUUGUGACGCUCGACACUCACACCAAAUAUGCUCUCCUGGUACGUUUCUUCGGCAAUCUUCUCCAAAUGCUCCCAAAUGCUGCAAAAAGCUCCAAUCCAUGCCAAAUAGCUCAUAAUCCUGAAAUGACUCAAAAAGAUUUGAAAACACUAUAAAACUCUAUAAAUAAGAAUUAUAGCAUGGCCAAAACCCCGUAAAAACAAUGAUAUAUCACAACAUCAGUCGUGGUUCUCUGGCCAAUGGAACAACACCUCUGACGCCAACCUGACCUCUCUUGCGACCCUGACCACGACCCCGAACACCAGUACCUUUACCUCUAACCAUUUGUACUAACCUGACAGAGGCUUACAACACAUGGGAAAAAUAAAUUUCACCAUCACUCCAUAGGCCCACCUCUCUUAAUGGACCUCACGUCCUCUCACUUGGCCCAUGAGCCCAUCAAUAUCCGACGGUCGGUUUGCUAUGUCCUGAAGGCUUAAAGACUUGUUUACCGAUCCUACAAAUCACCACAUGAUCUUUCCCUGUGUUUUGACCUCACUCACAAAGUUCUGACAAUCACUUCCCGGAAGCUCACUCAUCUUGAGACUAGUCCAGCAUAAACACGUUUAACUGUAGAGUUGUCUCAGGACCCAUGACAGAAAAGAUAAGUGCACUUUGGUGACACAGGCUUAUCAAGAGGGGCCGUUGGGCGAGGCUAGUGUGAGUUUCGUGGCGUCAGGUUUGGUCGGAGGUGGUACUGGUUUGGUUGGGAACCAAGUUGGGGAUGUUCCAGUAGGUGUAGCCUAGGGUGGAGAUGAUCGUCUAGCGCACUUGUUGAUAUAGUUACUGGAGCGGUUACCGGGUGCGAUGCCAGUGCAGGCUCCAGUGGGAACACCAAGGGUUGCGGGUAUGCAAAUAGGUGUUGUAGGAGUGCAACCAAGGGUUGCAGGAGUGCAGCGAGGGUUGCAGGAGUACAGCCGAGGCUUGCAAAAGUGCAGCUAGUUAGAGUGGGUGUGUAGCCAGCGGUUAGGGCAGUGUAGGCGGAUACUGCGGAUUUGUAGCAUGGGGUAGGUGCGACGGUUAAGCUGCCGUACUACCUGAGGAUGUUGGAGCAGUUGCUUAGGCUCGGGAUCUUUCUGCAGCAGAUGAGUAGAGAUUGAAGUUGGAGGGCUUCUUUCGUUCUUUGAAGUGCUCGGAGGCGUAUCGGGUGGAUCUGGGAGUCCACUACCAGGUGGGUGCGGCUCACCUUUGGCAGAGGGGUGUAACGGCCAUGAUGGAGAAGGGCCUGAUGGGCUGGGGAGAUGCAGAGGCGCUUGAUGUAAAGAGGUUCCUAAACGAUCUGCAGCCAGACUUCAGGGUCUGUCGCAAGUUUAGGCCAUACGCCAUGUGGGCAGAGUUAGUUGAUACGGUAGCUAGGAUUGAGGAUGACCUUAUUGGUUAGCUGGCGGUUGCUAGUCUGAGAGUUCAGUCGAUGCAGACUCAGAAACAAAUGGUUUCCGAGCAAGGGUGGUAAGCUCGUGUAGGGACCCUGGCCGUGAGAGGGGUGUUAUCUCACGUGCAUUUUGACUACAGAGCGUCGCAUAGUUUUGUGUCACCAGAGGUAGCAAAGAAGGGGAAGUUAUGUGGGUUUUCCAGCAGGCAGCGCAAGGCUGUUCGGGUUUCUACAGCUGGUCUUCUAACUAUCUAUGGUCGGGUCAGAGAUGUGGAUAUUCAGGUGGAGGAUGAGUCUAUGCCGAUAUGGAUUGGGUGGUUAAGUACAGAGUGCACUUGGAUUGUUGUAGGGGUUGCAUCAUGUUCGAGCGAGAAAAACGGUGAGUUGGUGUAUUAUGGUGUGUGACCGAAUUCUGGGAGUCUUGUAAUAUCGACCAUGCAUGCAGAGAGGUUGAUCGGGAAGGGUUAUAAGGCCUAUUUGGUGACGAUUAGCACGACGGAAAAAGUUUGAGAGGUGGUGGUCGAGCGGAUUCAGGUCGUUCAGGAGUUUGGUGAUGUAUUCGAUAAUAUUUAUGAUUUGUAUUGUGUAGAAAUUUUACCGGAGAAAACCUUGCAUUUGCAAACAAAGCUUGUAUAGCCAGUGGAGAAUUAGCAUACGAGGUAACACAAUUAUGCUAUUUAUUCUCAAUGUAUACUUGAAGUUUCUGGUUAAGUAAAAACUCCUUAAUGAUAAGGAAUCAAUUUACAUUUCAGUUUGGUCCUGAAGUCUCACCAAUUAAGACCGAUGUUGUCUCUUCCUUGGGCUCAAUUAUUCAAUACGAAGAGAUGACUCUAGUAGUCUUAUAAAUGAAGAAAUGUUUUAUUGGUCGUGCAUGUCUAGACAUGGCCGGUAAAAUGUUGGAUUUAUUAGGCUGCUAGAGUCACAUCUCCAUAUUGAAUAGUCCAGCCUAAGGAAGAGAUACAUUGCACAAUUGGUAAGACUUCCUAAACAAACUGAAAGAUAUAUUUAUCUCUUGUUAUUAACGAGUUUGUACUUAACCAAAAACUUCAAGCAUACAUCAAGAGUAAACAAGCAUACUGGUGUUACCUCGAAUGCUAAUUCUCCCAUGGCUAUAUAAGCAUUGUUUGUAGAAGCAAGGUUUCCCUCCGUAAAAUUUCCAAUCUAUACAAAUCAUAAAUACAAUCAAAUACAAUAGUUAAGCCUAACGUAUGUAAAAAACCUUAAACCAAAACCAUAUUGAGCUAAUCCACUUUUGAUUUUGUUUCAACAAGUAUUAACACUACUAGCAACUACACAAAGCAGUUCAUAUGCGAGUGAAAUCACCACAUAAUAGUCUUUUGAUUCUGAAGCCUUACCAAAGCGCACACAACUAGAGUUGUUCAAUGAAGACGAAUCAGCUUCGGGUUGUGAAAUGUUUAUCCUCAUUUUUUUCCUUCUCGUACUUACUAUGUCAACAAAAAAACAACACAAGUCAAAACCAGCUUCAGAUACCUUAAUCUAUAACUCAUUAAACUAAUAUGAUGUUAUCGAACUUAUCUCGUUCAACACUUUUUUCUGUCCUUGUAUGCUUUUUCUCCAAGCAUGUUUUACAAAUUACAAGAAAGGUGACUCUUUGUUAGAUUUUUUCCCUCAUAAUUAAAAAAAAAUUAUGACUAAAAAAUAUGGAAAAACUCAUAAUAUAUAUAAAUCAUAUCCAUCAACUCAAAUAAAAAUCUCUAUUUGCUAAGUCAUCUUCACUAUAUAACCAAAUUAUUACUGUGAAGUUUCUUAUGGUUAUUCAUGAUACAGCAAAUUAUUUACAACACAAUUUCUGGCCGCAGUAAAACCAAAUACUUACAGUUAUAUAUAACCAUAAGACUGUAUGAAUUCUAAUAACUUGUGGAAUCGUUUUUCUUUACAAAUAAUCGAAACACUUUGGUUAAUAAUUGUAAAUGUCAGGCCUCUUUGGAUUUAAAACAAUAGGCCCAGUAUAUAGUGGUAGACAAUUUUAUAAACCGUAGAGGCUCACAAACAGAAAAUUAAACAAAGUUUGAUAAUUAACAUAACCUGCGAUGAAUCAUAAAAUUUUGCAGUUUGGUAAUAAUUAUUUAGUAAAUAGUUUGGAAAAAAGCCAAAAAUCUUGGUAUCUGGAAUUUUGAUUGUAUUUCGUUUUCUUUUUUAAGUUCAGAUUAAAGUGUUUAUUGGAGAUAAUACUCGAUGCAAACUGGAUUCAGGUUAUGAUUUUGUUCACUCCAAUAUGAUUUUGCAAUUCUGAAUUCAUGAAUUUUUUUUUCCAAUGGUGAAUUAAUGUUAAUCGUUUAUUCAUGGAUGUGAUCUUGUUGAAUUCUGUUGAACUUGAGGUCUAUAAGAACGCAACGUUGGUUUUAAGAGGUGAUGGUCGUUACUUAAACGAAGAAGCUUCACAUGUUUAUUUCAUUCUUUGUGUCUUUAUACUUGUCUGCUGAAGUACUUUCAUUUGUUGAAAUAGUAUUUCUUUAUUUGUAAAUAAUUAUUUAGUAUAAUUAUAAAAAAAACAGAACGUUGGUGAUUUUAUAAAUUUAGAACACUUGAAACAUGAUUACUUAACAGGAGAAAGAUCUAAUCGACAGUGCAUGUCUACACCAAAUUCAGAAAGACUUAUUUGAAAACCACAUUCAUUGUUUGUGCUUGUGGUUUCCCUUCUUUAUCAAUAAUCAGCACUCUCAAUCAUUUCUUUGAGGUCACCCUAGACAGCGCAACAUAUAAUUGGCCAUGAGAAAAAAUAGGUCGAGGUAGAUAAAGACCUACUUCUUCUAAAGAUUUCCCUUGGCUCUUAUUUAUGUUCAUUGCGAAAGCCACCGCUAAUGGAAAUUGUCGUCUUCGCAUCCGGAAUGGCAAUUUAGUAUCAGAUGGCUUGAUAAACACUUUUGGGAUCAACACUCUAUCUCCCACUCUAUCACCAGUAAUGACUCUUGCUUCUAAGACAUUAUUACCCAUUUGGGUAAUUUGCAAUCUAGUGUCGUUGCAUAACCCUCCUUUAGGAUCUAUAUUCCUGAGUAACAUAACCGGUACUCCUAUCUUCAAAGUUAAACUGUGAUUUGGUAAGCUAGAAAGUCUAACACUGUUAAGAAAGUCUGAAGUGAAGACUGGAUUGCUCAAAGAAUCAACAUCUUGAGGGUCGAUGUUGUCUGCAGUCAAGUAGACCAUAGCUUCACCUAGAAACAUACAAAAGAUAGGUUAUAAGUACUCUUAACGACAAUAUGUUUUAUGUAGCUAAUAUGUAUACCAUUAUAAAGCUAGUUACAUGUAUAUUAUGUUUUUUUACCUUCGAUUUUUUCAAGAAGCCUUUCGUUGAUGGUGUUGACAUCAUUAUUCGUUGGACAAAGUAUUGCUCUCUGUUGAAAAUUUUUUGGAUCUGUUUUAUGUUGCAACUCAGACAAAUCUCCGUAAUCUGCUCUGCUUAUUGCGUCUAUGGGCUCACCAUCAUAUCUGAUAAUUAAGACCUCAGGAAUAUCAAUAAGAGCUUCUCCAUCAUUAGGUUCAGAUACCUUACCAUCACCAACAGCUAGAAUCCAUUUUGAAAAUUCUCUAAUCUCUUUUGCAUCAUCUUCAGAAAGAUCGUUUGACAAUAGACGCAUGUUUUUUGUCAACGUUAAAAAUUUGCAGUGUUCCCAUAGGUAAGAUGAAUUCAAUGCUGCUAGCACUAUUUCAGCCCUACCAGCACCAUUGAUUACAGGGAGUAUUUGCCGGAAAUCACCACCAAACACAACCGUCUUUCCACCAAAAGGCUUAUUAUCCUCAUCUCUCAUAAUAUCUGACAAACUUCUAUCAAGAGAUUCGAAACAGUACCUACUCAUCAUAGGUGCUUCAUCCCAUAUAAUCAAUGAAGCUUCUCUAAGCAUCUUUGCAAGAUCUGAGGCCGGAUUAAUAUUACACAUGGUGAAAUCAUCAAGAUGAAUAGGAAUGGCAAACCUGGAGUGGGUUGUCCUACCACCUUCUAAUAACAAAGAUGCAAUACCACUCGAUGCAACAUUAAUAGCAAUUAAACCUCGAGACCUCACAGCGGCAUAAAGAGUUUUCCACAUAAAUGUUUUGCCUGUGCCGCCAAAACCGUAGACAAAGAAUAUGCCUCCUUUUUUCCCCAAAACUGCACCCAUAAUCUUAUCAUAAAUUGAUCUUUGAUCAGUAGUCAUCUUCUGAAUCCACUCAUCAUGCUUACCCCUCAAGUACUCACGAUCAUAGGUUAACUCCUCUGUUAUAAACCUGUUGGAAUGAUCUACUCUCAUGUUUGUAGGCUGCGGCAUGUCCGUAAUGGAUUUAAGAGUACUACCAUUGCAUAGCACCAGUUCUUUGAUUAAUUGUAGGAUUUAAUUCUUCUUCUCUUCGUCAGUUAGUGUUAAGUAUGCAAUUUUUCAAAAAAAAGCCGUAAAUUAAAAAAAUUUUGAAUUAACAAAAUCGAAAUUUUCAAUAAAUCAGUAAACAUAUAAGGUAAACUUUUAGUUUUAAAACAACCCAAACCUGGAUUACUGAGAUCCUCACGCAUCUGCGUCUCGAUAUCUUCUGACAAAACAACCCACGUCUGUUCCCAAACAUUAUCGGGUCUCGAUAAACAACCAUCUAGAAGCAUCAUUGUGAAGUAGUUGCGUAGCUGUUUUCCAAAAAACCAAAUGCUUCCUUCAAGAAGACUGUCAAUAUAAGCUUGAUCAUCUUCAACGAUCCCACGAGCGAAACAUGCCUUCUUGUAUGUCUCGUAGACAAAUCGUUUAUAUGUUCUGAUAUCAUCGUCAGAUGUCGGUCCAGGUACUAUGCCAAGCAAAAUCCUCAUGUAGUAUUCAUCUUCCAUUUUAUGAGGAACGUAAUUAAUCCUUCCAAUGGAGAAGCCUCUUUCCCUUUGUUUAUAUUGUUUAAGCUUCCCAUCCCAAGUAAAAUACUUUGGUAUUUCUCCAUAAGUAAAAUUCCUGGCGAAUGCGUUCACUUUAUUGAGAUUAAGAUAGGCCAUAAACAUAGAAUCAACAUUUGCUCUUCUGUCCAAAACAUCUUGGAUACUUUCCUUCUCUUUGUAAAACACUGGCUGUUUUCCUGGCGGGUGAAAUGGCAGUUUAAUAACUGGUAUACUCGUAUAUUGAAUCGGGAACUUGAAAAGUCUCCAUGCUGAUUCUCAUGCAGAUACAUAUCUACGGAAAAGGUUAAAAGCAAUGAAAUCAAUGUUUUAAAAAAAAUGCAAAAAUGAUUAUUUAUAAAAAAGAAGACAGACCUGUAGUCGAAGUAGUCUUUGAUUUCAUUUUUUUUCUUUGCUUCUGCAUUAGUAUCUGCUGAGCUCACCCCUUGAUCAGUUCUUGUGACACUUUCGGGAAUAGACCCGAAAGGCUGUUGAGUAGACUCUACCACCAAUCUUGUCCUUUUUUAUGUACUUAAAUAAGUACUUUAUAGAACCCGACUGGUUGCACCACUCCACAUUUAUGUGAGCUCGAUAACGCAAGGAAAGUAAACGGUUAUAAGGUACCACGUAUCUAUUAUCACACUUGAACCUAGACUUCUCCACAUAGUGUGGUGAUUCUCGCCUUCUAUAGAUAGGGUAUCCAUCUUUACCAACUGUGGUGAUAUCGUAAAACUCCUUUGGAUAAAACUUGGAACAUUUACCGUCAACCAAACAUGGUGAACUCGUAUUUGCCGGGCCGCAAGGUCUGUGAAUCAUGCAGUCCUUAACAACGUCAUACAGCUCUGGAUCUACUGUUUGAUCUGGAAUCUCUGCUGAUAUUUUUUAUCAAUAUCAUCAGCAGUUGGUAAUUUACAACUCGGAUCCAUGAAUAAGAGUAUAUGGGCAUGUGGGAGUCCUCUCUUCUGGAAUUCAAUGGUGUACAUCGUUGCAUUAGGAAGACAAACAUAUUAAUCAUUAUGAGGAGUAUAACACAUAAAUUAAUGCAAACAUAUUUUAAAAAUACUCACCAGCAAUAGUCUUCCCUAGUAUGUCGCCUUCAGUUAGGUCUAACAUAAGUGAAUCUAACUUCAUCUUAAAAAUUCGACACAUAAUGUCAGGUCUGUCAUCGGAAGACAAUUUUAUCUUCUUCAAAUACCUUGCAAUAUUGGGCGAUCGCGGGUUACAUGUAAAUGUAAUGAAUAGGUCCGAGAACCCGUACAGUUUACAUAUUGCCAUUGCAUCGUAAUAGUUUUGCAACAUAUAGCGAGGCCCACCAGUAAAAGAGGCUGCUAUUCUAACAUGUGUACCUUGCUCGUCAAGAUUCUUAUUCCCAGCUUCUGAAGCAGCUUGUAGAGAGGAAUAAUUAUCACAUCUGAUGUUAGAUAGAUUGUACUUAAUGUAUGAUAACCGGUUUGACUCGAGAGUAGUGUAUGCAUCAACCAAAAACUGUUGGAAUAAAUGUUUAGACUGUAGGAGAGUGUGAGCCUCAUCUUCUCGUUCUUGAAGUCUAAAAGCGAACCACUGCCUCAUACUUAUGAAUUUGUUCUCUUUAUCUUGUUUGCCAGCCUGGUAACCUUUUUCUAUACCCACACGGAACCCAUCUUCACCGUUUGGGAAUAAGAGAGGAUACUGUAAUGCCAAAUAUGAUACAUGUACUUCACUGAUCCUUUGUAGCUUUCCAGUAGAUUUUUCUUCAACAACUAUAUCACGGCCAGGCAUCUCAGGUCUAAAAUCACCGGGGAUCAAUGCUGCAACUUCUGCCGCGGUUGGCAUGCAAUAUGUUCUCCCAUCUAUCCCUACACGAUCACUCAAUAUUCUCAUAGGAAAUGUCUCAUUAUCAGUAGAUUUGAACUUAUCUUUUGCUUGCCUAAAUUACUCAACGUACGGUUUACUUCGUCUAGGAUUUGUAUGAGUUUUGCAAUAAGCUCCUUUCUUGUACUUUUCUUUCCUUAAGACUUCCCAACAUUUUUCCCUUUGUUGUAAACCAUGUUGGAAGAAAACACAUGUUAUGAACAUUAACUUUUUUAGCAAAUUAACAAUGCUAAUUACGGAAAACGCUACCAGAUUAAGAUUUCACCUCAUCACUGAAGCUCUAUAAUCCACCUCGUUCUCGGUAUCGACGAUGUAUAGCUGGCUAAAUUUAGCAUAAUCACCAUCGUUUGGCUUCAUACUACCAAUCUUAUGGCAAUUCUGUCCAUGCAGCAUUAAUUGUUUUGGUCCUUUACCUUUCUCAACUGUCCGGUCCACUUGCUCACCAAGUGAAGUAAAUGCAAAGAGCAUGUUGUAAACUCUAAUAUUUUCACGGAAAUGCCUGCUAAGUGCAUCAUCUUUACUCAUUAACUCCCUUAUUAGAUCUGGUGGUUGUUGGAGAUACGGCAAUUUUACAGCCCCUUUUGUAAAAAGCACAUAGAGAAUUUAGGCUUUCUUGUGUUCCUAGGCUUGUUAAUAUGUUCUUCAUACCACAUCAAAGCUCCACAGUAAGUACACUUGUAUGUGGGAUCACCAUGAUCCAAAUACUCUUCAGACUUAAACCGAGCUUCUGUGCAAUAACAAUAAUAUAGAUUCAGUUAAGAAAAAGUAAAUUUUUAAUUUAAUUAUAACCAGUUACGGGGUUUUAUUACCUUUGUUGUUCACUCUCGCUUUACCUCUCCCUCUUCGUCUCUCUGAAGUUAUAUUUGACUUACUUUUUUUAAAAAAAUUCACUCCCAUACGACCAUUUUUUCCGUGCAUUCAAUGUUAGUUUCUCGGUUCAUCAAGUAGACACUGAAACAUAUCUUCAUUGACACUGAAAUAUAAGGCAAUUAGUUGUUUCUGGAAAAAACAGCUUACAAAAUUAUUGAAAUUUCUAUUUCUACAUUCGAAUAAUUUGUAUUUAUUAGUUUAUCAUUACAUAAUUCGUUUGAGCCAUUAACGCAAUUAAUAGUCACACACACACGUAAAUAAUUGUGUAUUUGUCUCCGUGCGUCAAUGGGCCUUACAGACCAAUAAUUCAAAGGCCAGGUAUAUAUAACAAACACUUAAAUGAGUCAGCCUAUACAAAAAUCAAAUAUUGUUAAAUGGCCAGGCCUUAAGUAAACAAUAAUAUAUGAACUCACGAUGGUUGUCAGUACAAAUAGAACGCUAGGUGUGUGUUAAACAAAUAAUCAUGUUGAUGGAUGUGGGUUACGUUAUAGAUGGUCGGAGCAUUUUGGAUUUUACCCAGAAAUGACGAAAAUUACCCUCCUCAAUUGAUAAAAUUAUUUUCCCUUAAGACUAAUCAAGGGUAAUUUAACGAAUUGAAAACAUUUUCUGAACCAUGAUUAUAUAUGUACUUCUCUUUUAAUUGUAGUAAGAUUUGUCUCAUUUAUAUAUAAGUGAUCAAAAUUACUAUCAUGUAGUUUUGUGAUGCAACUUAAGUGAUUUAAAUUACUAUCAUGUGUUUAAACUUCUGGCUAUUGAUCACUAAUUUUCACGUCUAUGUUAACAGGGCACUAAAAUACAUGCUUCAGUGAAAAAGGAAUUGAUGAAUCGAUUCCAAAACAAGGUAAAAAUAUUAAAUAUACUCGGCUGCUUAUAGUUAUAUGCAUUUCGACUAUAUAUGUCUUAUAUGUUUGUUUCAUUGUCUGUUUAGGUGAAAAUUUACACAACAACAAAUAGAGGAGGUGGACUUUAUUUUGACAAUAACAGAAGACCUGCUUCGUAUUUAAUAGUUACAAAACUGAACGUUAUUGAAAAUACAGCUUGCAACUCUUUUUAUGUUUGAAUCAGAUUCAGGUUAUUCAAGCAACUAUUCAAUCAUAAGAUAAAGGGAAGAACAUUGUAUAUUAGAUUAGAUUAGAUUAAUCUAGGAACUAACAAUUAAUGUAGUUCCAAGAAAGAGUACAUGGAAAGAGUAAGAUGAAUUGCCCACUCCAUCCCACAUUAUUAAAAAUCUGCAAAUAGUGAAUACAUUCAGGAUCAACGAAUGUAUCGAUUUAUAGAUUGCAAAAAGAAUAANNNNNNNNNNNNNNNNNNNNNNNNNNNNNNNNNNNNNNNNNNNNNNNNNNNNNNNNNNNNNNNNNNNNNNNNNNNNNNNNNNNNNNNNNNNNNNNNNNNNCAACAACAAUAUGUUAAAACUAGUACUGAGUGUUGAAGAUAGAGUUGAUUUAAUACCAACAAAUUCGUAAUGAAGAAGGUCCAUCUUCUUACAAUUACAAAGAAGAUACUAAUGUUAGAUUCAAUAAACUAAAUACUAACAAUGAAGUUCACUUAAUAACCAGGCCAAAUUUGGGAGAACUUAGCAGUUAUAUCAAUAAUUAUGCUGGUAUUUAAGAAAACUCUAACUUCUUCACAACAUAAAACCAAAUGAGAUUAAAUCUGGUUUUGAGCGGUUUCCAUUUUACUCAGGAUAUACUUUGAAUAGGUACUUCAUUAACGAAUGAAGCUACAUGGAAAUAAAUAAAUCCAAGAGUAACUAACCUGAAACACCAAACAAACUUCAUUUCCUACAUGGGUGGCCAUCAUUUGACAUCCCUUAGAGGUUUGCAAAUCUGGAAAAUGAUUCUGAAACCUUGGAUUUACAUGUCCGAAUUGGAUCUCACUUGUAACGAUAAGAGUAGAUUCUUAUGAGAAUUAUAGAGAUAAAUUUGGGAAAAGCUAAAAAUCUGAGUGUUUCAUAAAUUUCAAGGAGAUAUGAUCUGGUCCUAACGUUGAACACCAUUUCUUACCGUAAAUAUCACCAACGAUUGAAGUCCAUAACUAUAGAAAUUUAUUGUUAUUGUAUUAUUGAAUAAAAUGAUACAACUUAUAUAUAAGCACAUAUCAUAAUCAAAUGACAUAAUUAAAGGGAUUACAUAGAAUAAUAUAAUUAAUAUAUAUUAGAGUAAUAUAUGAGAUUUGAGUAAUCGUAGGUGUUAUGAUGAUACUCUUUCCUUAAUAGCUCCCUUAAUCUCAAGGCGGUGAUGAAGUGUACGUAGACAGCGGAAGCAACGUCUUGAGAUUGACAUCGUUGAGGAAUAUAUGGGAAUGAAGAAGCAUAGAAUUUUUUUUUUUAUGUGUUUGGAUGAAUUUACCGUAAGCGGAGCACACUUUGUGUGGAGGUUGGAACGAUAUUAAUCGUUUGAAAGCAUAUAGCUUAGGAUAAAUUGAAAGAAGUAUAUAGCUUAGAACGAAAAAAAAAUUGUGAGUAAGUUUUUUUUUUGUUUAAAAAAAUCAAAAGAAUCAACUUUGCCUUAGAUUCAAAGGCUUAAGAUAAGCCUGAAUGAAUGACGCACUUUUGAUAUUAGAAAAAAAAAAAAGAAGCGCCGUCAAAAAAAAAAAAAAAAGCAUUUGGCUUAAAGCACAUGGCUUAAAAAACUUCAUUUUUAAAAACAGUAAAUAAUAACAGAAAGUUUAAAAAAAAAUAAAAAAAAAUAAAGAAGCAUUUGUAGCUUAAAACAUGCUCUGAUACCAUAUAAAAAUGUAUUGUUAUUGUAUUACUGAAUGGAAUGUACAACUUAUAUAUAAGCACAUACCAUAAUCAAAUGACAUAAUUAAAAGGAUUACAUUGAAUAAUGUAAUUAAUAUAUAUAUUAGAGGAAUAUAUGGGAUUGGAGUAAUCAUAGGUGGUAUGAUGAUACUCUUUCUUUAAUAAUAAUUUUGGAUCUCUGAUCGGAUCAUAGACAGCUUCAGCGCGGGUUGUUGCGUCAACGAAGGCUUUUCGGGCUGCCAAGCAUGUCCAAAUCAAAAUUGAAUCCAUAACUUGGCUCUAAAAACCUUAAGAUGUACAAAACCAAAAUUUAUUACAGAGGAUCAAACAGAGAAAUACUUCAUGGAUCAGAGAUUAUACUUGAAUGAAGAUUAUGGGAGAAAAUUACAGCUUGAUUCGUCAUCACGAACCAACCGACCGUGAAAGAUUUUGGUUAAUCGGUAGAGAGCCAUUGAGAGGCAGAAAAUUGCUCUCCCCUCUCUCCCCACAUUUGCUCCUCUCCCUCCCCCACACCCUUUAAUUUUUUCUGUCCUUACUUGCGGCAAGCUGAGUUCUUGGUUCAGCGGUUAGGGUUAGCCAUGUUUCUAUGGUGGUCUUGUGGAGUGGUAGAUCCCCUCUCGAUGCUCUUUGUAUCUGAAACCGAUGUUAGGAGCUGCCUUGCCGUUUCGCGAUUACUGAAGACUCAAUGGGUGGUUUAAGGUGGCUCGGCUCGCAAUGUUAGUUUCAGAUCUGCAGAGAGUGGCGGAAGUCAAAAGCGGAUAGGAAGGUAUUCACCUUUGUUGGAUCGAUUAACGACUAGAUCUUUCAGAUCUGUGUUGGCUAACUCGGAGUUGUUUGGCAGUUAUGGUGAUGUUGAACAGAGAAUCUAAUUGCUUCCGAGUUUAGUUUUUGAUCCGCCCGGGUUGAAACAAGUGCUAGCUAGGAUAAGAGGUUGGUUAGUUUGCGCAUGAAGUGAUGGUUUGAGUCGAUGCCUCUUGUUGCUAGGUAUGGGACAUGAUGUGGUGGGCACGGUUAUAUUCGAUUUGGUCCAGUCCGGNNNNNNNNNNNNNNNNNNNNNNNNNNNNNNNNNNNNNNNNNNNNNNNNNNNNNNNNNNNNNNNNNNNNNNNNNNNNNNNNNNNNNNNNNNNNNNNNNNNNAUCAAAUAACUGGAGCCGCCGAAGUCGAUGUGUUCCACUGUCAAACCAGGCUCCGACCUUAUCUCCGGAAAUGUUUCUAAUCUGCUUUCCUUUGUAAACCGUUUGAUUCGUUUUGUUUUAAGCACAUUCUAUAAAUUCGUUUUAGGGGGAAAAACAUGAACACAAAGAGACGAAAAAAUCAAAAAGACACACAAUCAAACUGUUGCGAAGAGAUGUAAUUUUUGUUGAUCCAAUGAUCGAUUUUAUCAGCUGCUUCAGAGGUAAUUGAAUUUUGUUUCCAAUUUUUUAGAUUUAGAGGUUUCAGAUACGCGAUUUAGUAUAAUCAUCCUGUUUGUUGAUGUAUCUGGGCUAAGUUAUCAUUGUCUAAUUAAUCAAUGAAAUUUGGUUUCCCGGAGUUUCAAUUACUAAUAUCAUAUGCACUCGUUUCUCCAGGUUAUAACAGUUGCAGAUAACAAUCAAAGUCAGAUAAGUUGUGGAAACUCCUUCUAACCCGAAUUUAACACCAACGAAUACAUUCUUUAACUUGGCUAAUUGCUAUAUUAUUGUUCAUCGACAACAGAUGGAUGUUGUUGUUGUACGACAAUAAUUGAUGUUUGUUGCGAGCGGGUUAUUCUUCAAUGAUUAUAUUUGAUUCAAGGUUAGUUAAUUCCUCUACCUGGAACUCAAUUUUCAGUCCUAGUUAUCAUGUUAUUAUAUUAUUUAAUCGGUAUAAAUUAGUUUGGUCUUAAGAAAUAUGGUAGAUUGAGGCACAAUUACUAAUUUCAAAGAUUUGGAUUGUGAAGUGUUAAAUGUAAUUCCACACAUUCCACAAACUGAACAUUUGAAUCCUUUAAUGAUAUGAAGAGUGGUUCAUUCACUGUAGUAUUCUGACUGAUUGAGAAGCAGUGCACUUUUCAAUUUAGACAGAGGAGUCUCAUAUGUUCUAGUCAUAAUAGUUGUGAAAUAUAAAAAAGCUUAUACUUUCAUAGCUAAACAUAUUGUAAAUUUGGUAAACUUAUUGAAAGGAAAUCUACAAAACAAUAUAGGUUUUGGGAAAUAUAGAUUCUAAUUAAUGCAAAGAAAAAUAAUCAAACUGCUGAAGAAGUUUUAAUCAUAUAACAUUAUUAUUCUUCGAAAACUAUAGCCUGUUAUAUAUACCUUCUAAGAUCCAUAGCUCACAUAAUUGGUGAAACGUUAUUCUUGUGUAUGAAUUGGCACCUUAAGGAACAUGAAUAGUAGUUUAAUAUUCUUGCUGGAUUCAAACUUGGUAAAUUCAUAGAACACCCUUCCUUUAUUGAAAGUUUGCACUCUUGACUUGAAGACUCUCUCAUUAGGAUCCCAAAUAAACAUCUCUUGAAUAUCUUCGUAAUCUAUUGCUCUGAUGUAACGGUAGUUCUUGUUAAGAUCCAACCAAUUAGAGAAUAAUCGAUUUUCGUGUACAUUUGAGUAUGUGCUCUAUAGCCAUAUCAGAAAUGGAGUUACUCUGAACAAAUUUAGCUUUUUAGUUUUUAUCUUAUUGUUUUUGUGGUAAUUUCAUUGAUGUAGUAACAUGGAUUAUUUAUAGAGGUGAGGUAUGUUUAGGGUUUGGUUUCCUAAAUCUAUUUACUGUUGAGAUACAUGAUUACUAGUUUGCGAUUAUUAAGGAAGUCGAAUAUUUGAUACCAUAAGAAGUUUCAUUUAUGAUUUACAUUGCGAUGAAAUUACUGGAUUUACUACCACAUAUGUUUAGUUUAUCAAGAUUCACUUAAUAUAAAUGUUGUUCUUGAUUUAUUUCACCUUGUGUAGGCCAUAUUUCACGUUAAGGCAGAGGUAGCUUUUGGGAAGAACAUUUCCUUAAGGAUACAAAGUCAUAAUAGGAGAUUACACAUUUUUCACCUAUUCGCAAUAACAACAAUGAUUAAGAUAUUUCAUAUACUGGUUGUUCUGAUGAAUUUAGUGGAGACAAUAUUAUUAAGUAAGCGUGAGUAAAACCUUCUAACUCUAAAAGCCUCCAGAAUCAUAAAAAAUAUAUAAUUGGGUCAUUGUCAUAAUCUGGCUUUUGAGCAAUAUUAUCCCAUUUUCUAACAAAUUCUUUUGCGGAUUUGCCCACCGCGGCACACUCUAUGUCUUUUUGGCUUUGAAUUACACAUAAAUUAGUAUUGUCAAGGAGGGACAUUGUUAAGAUAAAGUUAUAUGCCAGCAAGAUUGGGAAAAUAAAAUUAAUGGUGAAGGUCACAACACAUUCUCAAAAAUGUCAAUGGUAAAGAUUUUUCUCAUAGACUCUAGAAAAUGCCAAUGAAGAAUGGUGAGAAACAAGAUAGAUGUUGGCUGGUCUAUUCAAAAAAAAUAGCGAAAAUCUAUUGUUUCCGUUGCAAGCUGUUCAGAGAUGAAAAGGAUACAACUCAAUUGACAAGCACGUGAUUCAAGGAUUGGAACAAUGUCAGAGUAAGGCUUGUCCAACAUGAAAGCAGUCAUGGUCACAUUGUGUGCAUGAGAAAAUGAAUGGAAUUAGAGUUAAGAUUGCAAAAGGAUAUAACAAUUGAUAAGUGUGCCCAAGAAGAAAUCAAGAAAGAGAAAAAUCAUUGGAGAGAAGUUCUUCUGAGAUUAUUUACACUAGUGAAGACUUUGGCUAAAUGAAUAAUUCUUUCCGUGGAAGCAAUGAAAAGUUUGCGAGAAUAAUAAUGAGAAUUUUCUUAGNNNNNNNNNNNNNNNNNNNNNNNNNNNNNNNNNNNNNNNNNNNNNNNNNNNNNNNNNNNNNNNNNNNNNNNNNNNNNNNNNNNNNNNNNNNNNNNNNNNNNNNNNNNNNNNNNNNNNNNNNNNNNNNNNNNNNNNNNNNNNNNNNNNNNNNNNNNNNNNNNNNNNNNNNNNNNNNNNNNNNNNNNNNNNNNNNNNNNNNNNNNNNNNNNNNNNNNNNNNNNAAAUGACUCUUAUCAUUCGAUGUGUGGACGUUUAGUGGAUUCAACUCAAGUAUCCGAAUAUUUCAUUCACUUUUGGAAGUUGUUGAUAAAUCAUGAAAAGAGUUGAUUGAUCUUCUUUGUGAUACAUUGGCUGAUCUUAACUUGGACAUCGAUGAUGUGCGAGGAAAAGGCUACGACAAUGGCUCAAAUAUGAAAGGGAAAAAUAAAAGAGUACAAAAAGAAUGUUUGAUGUUAAUCCACGCGCAUUUUAUACGCAUGUGGUUGUCAUAGUCUGAAUUUGGCACUUUGUGAUAUGGCUAAAUCAUCUCCAAAAGCGACUGAUUUUUUGGAUCAUCCAAUGUUUGUAUUGUUUGUAGUUGCCUUCUACGACUAGGUGGGAUAUAUACAAGAAAAUGGUUGGAGGUUACACACUUAAACCCUUAUCAGAUACUCGUUGGGAAAGUCAUCUUGAAAGUGUUGAAGCCAUACGUUUUCAAGAUCCAGAAAUCCGUGAUGCUCUGUUUUUCUUGGUUGAGAACACUGAUGAUCCUAAAGCUCGGAGUGAUAUUGAGUGUCUUGCGAUUAGUGAAACUCAUGGAAUCAAAAGAUUUGAGUUUUUGUUUGGUAUUGUUAUAUGGUAUGAGAUCUUGGCUGCCGUGAAUAUUGUGAGCAAGACUUUGCAAAAUGAAGAUACAAAUAUUGAUGCAGCGAUUAUUCAACUAAAUGGGUUUGUUUCGUUUUUUCAAAAGUAUAGAGAAACAUGUUUUGAAGCAGAAAAAGUUGAAGCCACAAAAAAUGUUGUUGUUAUGGAUAUCGAACCCAUCUUUCAUGUGAAAAAAAGCGUAUUAUUAAACGAAUAACUCAUUUUGAUGAAGAGCCAAGACAAUCUUAACUUGAUUUGGUAGAUCUUUCGGAUUAUCAAUCUGAAGGAUAUUAAAAAUAAUUAAGCACAUUUGUCAUUCACUUAGAGGACAUAAUGUUACAACAAAGUAAGAGAGUAUAUGUACCUCAUGAAGUGAUACACCAAGAAAAUUAGUAGAUGAUGCACCAAUUAUAUCUGAUGCACAUUGGUCAAAAAGCAAACAUUUAGUCUCACCAGUACUAUCCAUAACCUUGGCAUAAAGGAAGUACCUGCAAUGUAGUGUAAUUAUAUUUAGUGUCAAAUUCUACUUAUAUCAAACAUUGAAGAGAUUAUAUGUUCCACGUUGGUAUUACUUUGCAACUACUCUUGUGACAACAAUCUUGCAAAUGUCACACCAAAAUUUAGGUUUGGAUUUGCUAGCAUCUUUAUUCACACCUCCCUGAUGUAUGGGGGUCACCUUCUUGUUGCAGUUACAACAACUGAAGUAAUGUGAUGUCCAAUCUGUAUCAAUAGCAUAGAUUGUACACAAAAAUCUAACUUUCUCAACAUGUUAUUCAUAUAAAUCUCUUAGUAAACCAAGAGGCAAGUAUUACAACUUAGCAGAAAAUGUAUAUAGGUUUUAUAUAUUAUAGUACCUCAAAGCAACCUAACAUUUCGGCUAUGAUUCUUCUUGGAUGCUCUAGGCAACUAUCAUCUUUGCCCACGUUGACAAAGUCUAACCUUGGGACAGUAUCACAAACAGUAAGAGCAAGUCCAUCUUCGGGUAGUCUAGAUGUUGAUUGUAAAAUAAUCCAAGUUAAUAUUUGGAAUAAUCAAAUCUUAAAAACAUUUGUAAUUACAUUGCUAAAUUUAGGUUACAUACGAUUGAGUGAACACAUCAACUUCUGGAAAUGAUGGAUUAAUCCAAAGCUGAGAAGCAUCAAAUGAGUUGGAAACACUCUUCAUACCUGCAGUUUUUUACAUAUAUNNNNNNNNNNNNNNNNNNNNNNNNNNNNNNNNNNNNNNNNNNNNNNNNNNNNNNNNNNNNNNNNNNNNNNNNNNNNNNNNNNNNNNNNNNNNNNNNNNNNGAUUUGCAGAGUACUGAUAUACCAUUGUAUGUCUUGAUUUUGACAAAUUUAAGAAUACAAACAACCAUGACUCAAUCGGAAUUGACACAGGUUGUUUGAAGUUGGGCUGCAAAUGCUCCCCACAAGGUACAUGACAACCUAUCAUCACUGAAAAUCAAAUAUUCAAUAUAUAUCAUUAAACAUAUANNNNNNNNNNNNNNNNNNNNNNNNNNNNNNNNNNNNNNNNNNNNNNNNNNNNNNNNNNNNNNNNNNNNNNNNNNNNNNNNNNNNNNNNNNNNNNNNNNNNAUGUCUCAAUUUGAAAUCAAUCUUAGUAGUAGUCUUGUUGUUAGCUUCCAGAGUUUCAAUCUCCCCAAUGUUGACUAUCUGGCACAUUACAUCUAGGAAGGAAACAAUAUAAAAUGAUAGUAUUAAAACAUUAUCAGUAUAAGAUAGAUUAAUAAUAUUAUGUAUGUUGAGAACAUACCAAUUAGCAUACAAGGAUUAAAGUCGCCACUCUGAAUUUUAGCAAACUUUGCGAACUUAAAUAGUUUGAAUCAGAGCCAGGAUCACUGAUGGUUACAGUUGUAACGUUGAUGAAAGCCAUCUUCUAAAGAUGGUUUGUAGGUCUAAAUUGACCAGUAGCAUGAGUGAGUUGGAAAUUCUCAAUUAACCUCCAAUCACCAACUAGAAGGUUAUUGAUUACUCGAGUAUUUAACCCGAUAACUUAGCCGAAGUAAAGUAUAUGCGGGAUCGAUCACAGGGAGGAAGGGUACACUAAAGACUUGUGAGACUUGUUCGUAGCUAAAGCGGAAAAGAUUUGUUGUUUGGUUUUUCAGCUUGUAAAUAAAAAUGCAAAUAAAAGAGAGAUUUAAACUUAUAAAUUAAACACAUUGGGCAUCAGGGUAUUUUCAGAGAAUCAAUAAAUAACAAAUAGAAGCAAUAAGGAAUUCAACAUGAAGAACCGUUCUUAAACAUGAACACAAGUUUAGACUAACUCUCUCUCAAGACAUUAAUCACUAAAUUUGACUAUUCAAUUACUAAACUCUCAUUUGUAAUUUCCUAGCCAAAUUCGCAUUAUCAAUCAAGUUCAUUAUGUUCACAAGGCAUUCUAACAUCAACUCUCGCAGGUUAGAAAUACAAUGCUCAAUUUACAUUCAUUCAGGCAUUUUAUCGAACAUCUCUGAAACAAAUAAAAGCCUAAGUUCUAAAACAGGGUGAUCAAUCCUAUUCUAUUAUUGAGAACAUGUAAAUUGAAGAACCUAAAGAUCAAGAAUUCCCUAAAACAUCUAAUCCAUCAAAUCAUUGAAUCUCCUACUUAGAACCCUAAAACCCAAUAGAAGAACUACUCACACAUAUUGUAGAGAAUAACACAAAAGGAUAUGAAAGAAAACAUGAUUAAAUAGAUAAAAUAAGAAUAGAGUUUAGAAAUCUUCUCCAAAUUGUCAAAGAGGAUGGAUUCUUCUCCCCAAAAUUGUUUAGAAAGCAAAGAACAAUGUUUUUAACUGAAAAAUAUGAAAGAUAACUGCUAAAAAGUCGAACGUAGGGUAAAUAAACAAUAGAAGACGAUUUGGGUAUGUUCUGAAAUGUUUCGGAUCGAAUAUGGGCCAAAAAAAUGCGUCAGAGGUAAGGGAACGAUCGAUCCAAAUGUAGACCGAUCGGUCUUAUGCUCCCAGGUUUUACUUCUACAUCAGCUUCAACAACUCGUCAGAAUGACCUGUCUUCACAAAUUCGAGUGUACCUCGUGAAUGCACCGUUAGAUUUCUUUGAAAUCACUUGAAAAUGAAAGCUAACAUCUUUCUUCAUCAUGUGUCAAAAUAUGAAAAAGAUCUAACGGUGGAAAGUUGUUCAUCUGAUCCCAAACAUCUGACACUUCUACAUGAAUCUGCAUCUCCAGAUGUGUGUUUGCUUCCCAAAACAGCUCGUUUUAUUCCAAAGCAACCUAAAACCUGUAAAAAAUCUAUAAUGGACUAAAAGACUCUAAAAACACACUUUGACUCAAUAAAAGUUAUAAAAUGAAAAAGACACUUUGACACACCUGCGAUGAAUCAUAAAAUUUUGCAGUUUGGUAAUAAUUAUUUAGNNNNNNNNNNNNNNNNNNNNNNNNNNNNNNNNNNNNNNNNNNNNNNNNNNNNNNNNNNNNNNNNNNNNNNNNNNNNNNNNNNNNNNNNNNNNNNNNNNNNAAAAAAGCCAAAAAUCUUGGUAUCUGGAAUUUUGAUUGUAUUUCGUUUUCUUUUUUAAGUUCAGAUUAAAGUGUUCAUUGGAGAUAAUACUCGAUGCAAACUGGAUUCAGGUUAUGAUUUUGUUCACUCCAAUAUGAUUUUGCAAUUCUGAAUUCAUGAAUUUUUUUUUCCAAUGGUGAAUUAAUGUUAAUCGUUUAUUCAUGGAUGUGAUCUUGUUGAAUUCUGUUGAACUUGAGGUCUAUAAGAACGCAACGUUGGUUUUAAGAGGUGAUGGUCGUUACUUAAACGAAGAAGCUUCACAUGUUUAUUUCAUUCUUUGUGUCUUUAUACUUGUCUGCUGAAGUACUUUCAUUUGUUGAAAUAGUAUUUCUUUAUUUGUAAAUAAUUAUUUAGUAUAAUUAUAAAAAAAACAGAACGUUGGUGAUUUUAUAAAUUUAGAACACUUGAAACAUGAUUACUUAACAGGAGAAAGAUCUAAUCGACAGUGCAUGUCUACACCAAAUUCAGAAAGACUUAUUUGAAAACCACAUUCAUUGUUUGUGCUUGUGGUUUCCCUUCUUUAUCAAUAAUCAUCACUCUCAAUCCUUUCUUUGAGGUCACCCUAGACAGCGCAACAUAUAAUUGGCCAUGAGAAAAAAUAGGUCGAGGUAGAUAAAGACCUACUUCUUCUAAAGAUUUCCCUUGGCUCUUAUUUAUGUUCAUUGUGAAAGCCACCGCUAAUGGAAAUUGUCGUCUUCGCAUCCGGAAUGGCAAUUUAGUAUCAGAUGGCUUGAUAAACACUUUUGGGAUCAACACUCUAUCUCCCACUAUAUCACCAGUAAUGACUCUUGCUUCUAAGACAUUAUUACCCAUUUGGGUAAUUUGCAAUCUAGUGUCGUUGCAUAACCCNNNNNNNNNNNNNNNNNNNNNNNNNNNNNNNNNNNNNNNNNNNNNNNNNNNNNNNNNNNNNNNNNNNNNNNNNNNNNNNNNNNNNNNNNNNNNNNNNNNNGCUCUCUGUUGAAAAUUUUUUGAAUCUGUUUUAUGUUGCAACUCAGAUAAAUCUCCGUAAUCUGCUCUGCUUAUUGCGUCUAUGGGCUCACCAUCAUAUCUGAUAAUUAAGACCUCAGGAAUAUCAAUGAGAGCUUCUCCAUCAUUAGGUUCAGAUACCUUACCAUCACCAACAGCUAGAAUCCAUUUUGAAAAUUCUCUAAUCUCUUUUGCAUCAUCUUCAGAAAGAUCGUUUGACAAUAGACGCAUGUUUUUGUCAACGUUAAAAAUUUGCAGUGUUCUCAUAGGUAAGAUGAAUUCAAUGCUGCUAACACUAUUUCAGCCCUACUAGCACCAUUGAUUACAGGGAGUAUUUGCCGGAAAUCACCACCAAACACAACCGUCUUUCCACCAAAAGGCUUAUUAUCCUCAUCUCUCAUAAUAUCUGACAAACUUCUAUCAAGAGAUUCGAAACAGUACCUACUCAUCAUAGGUGCUUCAUCCCAUAUAAUCAAUGAAGCUUCUCUAAGCAUCUUUGCAAGAUCUGAGGCCGGAUUAAUAUUACACAUGGUGAAAUCAUCAAGAUGAAUAGGAAUGGCAAACCUGGAGUGGGUUGUCCUACCACCUUCUAAUAACAAAGAUGCAAUACCACUCGAUGCAACAUUAAUAGCAAUUAAACCUCGAGACCUCACAGCGGCAUAAAGAGUUUUCCACAUAAAUGUUUUGCCUGUGCCGCCAAAACCGUAGACAAAGAAUAUGCCUCCUUUUUUCCCCAAAACUGCACCCAUAAUCUUAUCAUAAAUUGAUCUUUGAUUAGUAGUCAUCUUCUGAAUCCACUCAUCAUGCUUACCCCUCAAGUACUCACGAUCAUAGGUUAACUCCUCUGUUAUAAACCUGUUGGAAUGAUCUACUCUCAUGUUUGUAGGCUGCGGCAUGUCCGUAAUGGAUUUAAGAGUACUACCAUUGCAUAGCACCAGUUCUUUGAUUAAUUGUAGGAUUUAAUUCUUCUUCUCUUCGUCAGUUAGUGUUAAGUAUGCAAUUUUUCAAAAAAAAGCCGUAAAUUAAAAAAAUUUUGAAUUAACAAAAUCGAAAUUUUCAAUAAAUCAGUAAACAUAUAAGGUAAACUUUUAGUUUUAAAACAACCCAAACCUGGAUUACUGAGAUCCUCACGCAUCUGCGUCUCGAUAUCUUCUGACAAAACAACCCACGUCUGUUCCCAAACAUUAUCGGGUCUCGAUAAACAACCAUCUAGAAGCAUCAUUGUGAAGUAGUUGCGUAGCUGUUUUCCAAAAAACCAAAUGCUUCCUUCAAGAAGACUGUCAAUAUAAGCUUGAUCAUCUUCAACGAUCCCACGAGCGAAACAUGCCUUCUUGUAUGUCUCGUAGACAAAUCGUUUAUAUGUUCUGAUAUCAUCGUCAGAUGUCGGUCCAGGUACUAUGCCAAGCAAAAUCCUCAUGUAGUAUUCAUCUUCCAUUUUAUGAGGAACGUAAUUAAUCCUUCCAAUGGAGAAGCCUCUUUCCCUUUGUUUAUAUUGUUUAAGCUUCCCAUCCCAAGUAAAAUACUUUGGUAUUUCUCCAUAAGUAAAAUUCCUGGCGAAUGCGUUCACUUUAUUGAGAUUAAGAUAGGCCAUAAACAUAGAAUCAACAUUUGCUCUUCUGUCCAAAACAUCUUGGAUACUUUCCUUCUCUUUGUAAAACACUGGCUGUUUUCCUGGCGGGUGAAAUGGCAGUUUCAUAACUGGUAUACUCCUAUAUUGAAUCGGGAACUUGAAAAGUCUCCAUGCUGAUUCUCAUGUAGAUACAUAUCUACGGAAAAGGUUAAAAGCAAUGAAAUCAAUGUUUAAAAAAAAAUGCAAAAAUGAUUAUUUAUAAAAAAGAAGACAGACCUGCAGUCGAAGUAGUCUUUGAUUUCAUUUUUUUCUUUGCUUCUGCAUUAGUAUCUGCUGAGCUCACCCCUUGACCAGUUCUUGUGACACUUUCGGGAAUAGACCCGAAAGGCUGUUGAGUAGACUCUACCACCAAUCUUGUCCUUUUUUUAUGUACUUAAAUAAGUACUUUAUAGAACCCGACUGGUUGCACCACUCCACAUUUAUGUGAGCUCGAUAACGCAAGGAAAGUAAACGGUUAUAAGGUACCACGUAUCUAUUAUCACACUUGAACCUAGACUUCUCCACAUAGUGUGGUGAUUCUCGCCUUCUAUAGAUAGGGUAUCCAUCUUUACCAACUGUGGUGAUAUCGUAAAACUCCUUUGGAUAAAACUUGGAACAUUUACCGUCAACCAAACAUGGUGAACUCGUAUUUGCCGGGCCGCAAGGUCUGUGAAUCAUGCAGUCCUUAACAACGUCAUACAGCUCUGGAUCUACUGUUUGAUCUGGAAUCUCUGCUGAUAUUUUUUAUCAAUAUCAUCAGCAGUUGGUAAUUUACAACUCGGAUCCAUGAAUAAGAGUAUAUGGGCAUGUGGGAGUCCUCUCUUCUGGAAUUCAAUGGUGUACAUCGUUGCAUUAGGAAGACAAACAUAUUAAUCAUUAUGAGGAGUAUAACACAUAAAUUAAUGCAAACAUAUUUUAAAAAUACUCACCAGCAAUAGUCUUCCCUAGUAUGUCGCCUUCAAUUAGGUCUAACAUAAGUGAAUCUAACUUCAUCNNNNNNNNNNNNNNNNNNNNNNNNNNNNNNNNNNNNNNNNNNNNNNNNNNNNNNNNNNNNNNNNNNNNNNNNNNNNNNNNNNNNNNNNNNNNNNNNNNNNAUUCGACACAUAAUGUCAGGUCUGUCAUCGGAAGACAAUUUUAUCUUCUUCAAAUACCUUGCAAUAUUGGGCGAUCACGGGUUACAUGUAAAUGUAAUGAAUAGGUCCGAGAACCCGUACAGUUUACAUGUUGCCAUUGCAUCGUAGUAGUUUUGCAACAUAUAGCGAGGCCCACCAGUAAAAGAGGCUGCUAUUCUAACAUGUGUACCUNNNNNNNNNNNNNNNNNNNNNNNNNNNNNNNNNNNNNNNNNNNNNNNNNNNNNNNNNNNNNNNNNNNNNNNNNNNNNNNNNNNNNNNNNNNNNNNNNNNNAUUCCCAGCUUCUGAAGCAGCUUGCAGAGAGGAAUAAUUAUCACAUCUGAUGUUAGACAGAUUGUACUUAAUGUAUGAUAACGGGUUUGAUUCGAGAGUAGUGUAUGCAUCAACCAAAAACUGUUGGAAUAAAUGUUUAGACUGUAGGAGAGUGUGAGCCUCAUCUUCUCGUUCUUGAAGUCUAAAAGCGAACCACUGCCUCAUACUUAUGAAUUUGUUCUCUUUAUCUUGUUUGCCAGCCUGGUAACCUUUUUCUAUACCCACACGGAACCCAUCUUCACCGUUUGGGAAUAAGAGAGGAUACUGUAAUGCCAAAUAUGAUACAUGUACUUCACUGAUCCUUUGUAGCUUUCCAGUAGAUUUUUCUUCAACAACUAUAUCACGGCCAGGCAUCUCAGGUCUAAAAUCACCGGGGAUCAAUGCUGCAACUUCUGCCGCGGUUGGCAUGCAAUAUGUUCUCCCAUCUAUCCCUACACGAUCACUCAAUAUUCUCAUAGGAAAUGUCUCAUUAUCAGUAGAUUUGAACUUAUCUUUUGCUUGCCUAAAUUACUCAACGUACGGUUUACUUCGUCUAGGAUUUGUAUGAGUUUUGCAAUAAGCUCCUUUCUUGUACUUUUCUUUCCUUAAGAUUUCCCAACAUUUUUCCCUUUGCUGUAAACCAUGUUGGAAGAAAACACAUGUUAUGAACAUUAACUUUUUUAGCAAAUUAACAAUGCUAAUUACGGAAAACGCUACCAGAUUAAGAUUUCACUUCAUCAUUGAAGCUCUAUAAUCCACCUCGUUCUCGGUAUCGACGAUUUAUAGCUGGCUAAAUUUUGCAUAAUCACCAUCGUUUGGCUUCAUACUACCAAUCUUAUGGCAAUUCUGUCCAUGCAGCAUUAAUUGUUUUGGUCCUUUACCUUUCUCAACUGUCCGGUCCACUUGCGGGAAAACGGGGAAAAUCAACCCAAACUAUUUCCCGAAGGUAUUUUCAUACCCAAACUCGCGUCAUCUGAAUUUUACAACGCAAACCAGCUUUCAAUUCAAAUAACCAACCUGAACUAUAUCAAAUUUUGUCGAUUUCAACCUCGACGUUAACAGUAUACCUGCCCAUCUUGAAGAUUUGGACAAUUAAGCUUAAGUUUAAGCUUAAUUUCUCUUGGUUUUUACAGAAGCUUAAGCUUGAUUGUCCAAAUUUUCAAGAUGGACAGGAAUAUUGUUAACGUCGAGGUUGAAAUCGACAAAAUUUGAUAUAAUUCAGGUGGGUUAUUUGAAUUGAAAGCUGGUUUGGGUUGUAAAAUUCAGAGUACGCGAGUUUGGGUAUUAAAAUACCUUCGGCAAAUAGUUUGGGUUGAUUAUCCCCGUUUUCCCGUCCACUUGCUCACCAAGUGAAGUAAAUGCAAAGAGCAUGUUGUAAACUCUAAUAUUUUCACGGAAAUGCCUGCUAAGUGCAUCAUCUUUACUCAUUAACUCCCUUAUUAGAUCUGGUGGUUGUUGGAGAUACGGCAAUUUUACAGCCCCUUUUGUAAACAGCACAUAGAGAAUUUAGGCUUUCUUGUGUUCCUAGGCUUGUUAAUAUGUUCUUCAUACCACAUCAAAGCUCCACAGUAAGUACACUUGUAUGUGGGAUCACCAUGAUCCAAAUACUCUUCAGACUUAAACCGAGCUUCUGUGCAAUAACAAUAAUAUAGAUUCAGUUAAGAAAAAGUAAAAUUUUAAUUUAAUUAUAACCAGUUACGGGGUUUUAUUACCUUUGUUGUUCACUCUCGCUUUACCUCUCCCUCUUCGUCUCUCUGAAGUAAUAUUUGACUUACUUUUUAAAAAAAAAUUCACUCUCGUACGACCAUUUUUUCCGUGCAUUCAAUGUUAGUUUCUCGGUUCAUCAAGUAGACACUGAAACAUAUCUUCAUUGACACUGAAAUAUAAGGCAAUUAGUUGUUUCUGGAAAAAACAGCUUACAAAAUUAUUGAAAUUUCUAUUUCUACAUUCGAAUAAUUUGCAUUUAUUAGUUUAUCAUUACAUAAUCCGUUUGUGCCAUUAACGCAAUUAAUAGUCACACACACACACGUAAAUAAUUGUGUAUUUGUCUCCGUGCGUCAAUGGGCCUUACAGACCAAUAAUUCAAAGGCCAGGUGUAUAUAACAAACACUUAAAUGAGUCAGCCCAUACAAAAAUCAAAUAUUGUUAAAUGGCCAGUCCUUAAGUAAACAAUAAUAUAUGAACUCACGAUGGUUGUCAGUACAAAUAGAACGCUAGGUUUGUGUUAAACAAAUAAUCAUGUUGAUGGAUGUGGGUUACGUUAUAGAUGGUCGGAGCAUUUUGGAUUUUACCCAGAAAUGACGAAAAUUACCCUCCUCAAUUGAUAAAAUUAUUUUCCCUUAAGACUAAUCAAGGGUAAUUUAACGAAUUGAAAACAUUUUCUGAACCAUGAUUAUAUAUGUACUUCUCUUUUAAUUGUAGUAAGAUUUGUGUCAUUUAUAUAUAAGUGAUCAAAAUUACUAUCAUGUAGUUUUGUGAUGCAACUUAAGUGAUUUAAAUUACUAUCAUGUGUUUAAACUUCUGGCUAUUGAUCACUAAUUUUCACGUCUAUGUUAACAGGGCACUAAAAUACAUGCUUCAGUGAAAAAGGAAUUGAUGAAUCGAUUCCAAAACAAGGUAAAAAUAUUAAAUAUACUCGGCUGCUUAUAGUUAUAUGCAUUUCGACUAUAUAUGUCUUAUAUGUUUGUUUCAUUUUCUGUUUAGGUGAAAAUUUACACAACAACAAAUAGAGGAGGUGGACUUUAUUUUGACAAUAACAGAAGACCUGCUUCGUAUUUAAUAGUUACAAAAACUGAACGUUAUUGAAAAUACAGCUUGCAACUCUUUUUAUGUUUGAAUCAGAUUCAGGUUAUCCAAGCAACUAUUCAAUCAUAAGAUAAAGGGAAGAACAUUGUAUAUUAGAUUAGAUUAGAUUAAUCUAGGAACUAACAAUUAAUGUAGUUCCAAGAAAGAGUGCAUGGAAAGAGUAAGAUGAAUUGCCCACUCCAUCCCACAUUAUUAAAAAUCUGCAAAUAGUGAAUACAUUCAGGAUCAACGAAUGUAUCGAUUUAUAGAUUGCAAAAAGAAUAAACACCAACAAGUUCAACAACAAUAUGUUAAAACUAGUAUUGAGUGUUGAAGAUAGAGUUGAUUUAAUACCAACAAAUUCGUAAUGAAGAAGGUCCAUCUUCUUACAAUUACAAAGAAGAUACUAAUGUUAGAUUCAAUAAACUAAAUACUAACAAUGAAGUUCACUUAAUAACCAGGCCAAAUUUGGGAGAACUUAGCAGUUAUAUCAAUAAUUAUGCUGGUAUUUAAGAAAACUCUAACUUCUUCACAACAUAAAACCAAAUGAGAUUAAAUCUGGUUUUGAGCGGUUUCCAUUUUACUCAGGAUAUACUUUGAAUAGGUACUUCAUUAACGAAUGAAGCUACAUGGAAAUAAAUAAAUCCAAGAGUAAUUAACCUGAAAAACCAAACAAACUUCAUUUCCUACAUGGGUGGCCAUCAUUUGACAGCCCUUAGAGGUUUGCAAAUCUGGAAAAUGAUUCUGAAACCUUGGAUUUACAUGUCCGAAUUGGAUCUCACUUGUAACGAUAAGAGUAGAUUCUUAUGAGAAUUAUAGAGAUAAAGUUGGGAAAAGCUAAAAAUCUGAGUGUUUCAUAAAUUUCAAGGAGAUAUGAUCUGGUCCUAAAGUUGAACACCAUUUCUUACCGUAAAUAUCACCAACGAUUGAAGUACAUAACUAUAGAAAUUUAUUGUUAUUGUAUUAUUGAAUAAAAUGAUACAACUUAUAUAUAAGCACAUAUCAUAAUCAAAUGACAUAAUUAAAGGGAUUACAUAGAAUAAUAUAAUUAAUAUAUAUUAGAGUAAUAUAUGAGAUUUGAGUAAUCGUAGGUGUUAUGAUGAUACUCUUUCCUUAAUAGCUCCCUUAAUCUCAAGGCGGUGAUGAAGUGUACGUAGACAGCGGAAGCAACGUCUUGAGAUUGACAUCGUUGAGGAAUAUAUGGGAAUGAAGAAGCAUAGAAUUUUUUUUUUUAUGUGUUUGGAUGAAUUUACCGUAAGCGGAACACACUUUGUGUGGAGGUUGGAACGAUAUUAAUCGUUUGAAAGCAUAUAGCUUAGGAUAAAUUGAAAGAAGUAUUUAGCUUAGAACGAAAAAAAAAUUGUGAGUAAGUUUUUUUUUUGUUUAAAAAAAUCAAAAGAAUCAACUUUGCCUUAGAUUCAAAGGCUUAAGAUAAGCCUGAAUGAAUGACGCACUUUUGAUAUUAGAAAAAAAAAAAGAAGCGCCGUCAAAAAAAAAAAAAAAGCAUUUGGCUUAAAGCACAUGGCUUAAAAAACUUCAUUUUUAAAAACAGUAAAUAAUAACAGAAAGUUUAAAAAAAAUAAAAAAAAAAUAAAGAAGCAUUUGUAGCUUAAAACAUGCUCUGAUACCAUAUAAAAAUGUAUUGUUAUUGUAUUACUGAAUGGAAUGUACAACUUAUAUAUAAGCACAUACCAUAAUCAAAUGACAUAAUUAAAAGGAUUACAUAGAAUAAUAUAAUUAAUAUAUAUAUUAGAGGAAUAUAUGGGAUUGGAGUAAUCAUAGGUGGUAUGAUGAUACUCUUUCUUUAAUAAUAAUUUUGGAUCUCUGAUCGGAUCAUAGACAGCUUCAGCGCGGGUUGUUGCGUCAACGAAGGCUUUUCGGGCUGCCAAGCAUGUCCAAAUCAAAAUCGAAUCCAUAACUUGGCUCUAAAAACCUUAAGAUGUACAAAACCAAAAUUUAUUCUAGAGGAUCAAACAGAGAAAUACUUCAUGGAUCAGAGAUUAUACUUGAAUGAAGAUUAUGGGAGAAAAUUACAGCUUGAUUCGUCAUCACGAACCAACCGACCGUGAUAGAUUUUGGUUAAUCGGUAGAGAGCCAUUGAGAGGCAGAAAAUUGCUCUCCCCUCUCUCCCCACAUUUGCUCAUCUCCCUCCCCCACACCCUUUAAUUUUUUCUGUCCUUACUUGCGGCAAGCUGAGUUCUUGGUUCAGCGGUUAGGGUUAGCCAUGUUUCUAUGGUGGUCUUGUGGAGUGGUAGAUCCCCUCUCGAUACUCUUUGUAUCUGAAACCGAUGUUAGGAGCUGCCUUGCCGUUUCGCGAUUACUGAAGACUCAAUGGGUGGUUUAAGGUGGCUCGGCUCGCAAUGUUAGUUUCAGAUCUGCAGAGAGUGGCGGAAGUCAAAAGCGGAUAGGAAGGUAUUCACCUUUGUUGGAUCGAUUAACGACUAGAUCUUUCAGAUCUGUGUUGGCUAACUCGGAGUUGUUUGGCAGUUAUGGUGAUGUUGAACAGAGAAUCUAAUUGCUUCCGAGUUUAGUUUUUGAUCCGCCCGGGUUGAAACAAGUGCUAGCUAGGAUAAGAGGUUGGUUAGUUUGCGCAUGAAGUGAUGGUUUGAGUCGAUGCCUCUUGUUGCUAGGUAUGGGACAUGAUGUGGUGGGCACGGUUAUAUUCGAUUUGGUCCAGUCCGGAAAGCGUGUUGCAGGUAAGAUUCUACAGUGGUAAUAGGGUUUUGGUCCGAAAUCGUUAGCUUCGAUCAAAUAACUGGAGCCGCCGAAGUCGAUGUGUUCCACUGUCAAACCAGGCUCCGACCUUAUCUCCGGAAAUGUUUCUAAUCUGCUUUCCUUUGUAAACCGUUUGAUUCGUUUUGUUUUAAGCACAUUCUAUAAAUUCGUUUUAGGGGGAAAAACAUGAACAUAAAGAGACGAAAAAAUCAAAAAGACACACAAUCAAACUGUUGCGAAGAGAUGUAAUUUUUGUUGAUCCAAUGAUCGAUUUUAUCAGCUGCUUCAGAGGUAAUUGAAUUUUGUUUCCAAUUUUUUAGAUUUAGAGGUUUCAGAUACGCGAUUUAGUAUAAUCAUCCUGUUUGUUGAUGUAUCUGGGCUAAGUUAUCAUUGUCUAAUUAAUCAAUGAAAUUUGGUUUCCCGGAGUUUCAAUUACUAAUAUCAUAUGCACUCGUUUCUCCAGGUUAUAACAGUUGCAGAUAACAAUCAAAGUCAGAUAAGUUGUGGAAACUCCUUCUAACCCGAAUUUAACACCAACGAAUACAUUCUUUAACUUGGCUAAUUGCUAUAUUAUUGUUCAUCGACAACAGAUGGAUGUUGUUGUUGUACGACAAUAAUUGAUGUUUGUUGCGAGCGGGUUAUUCUUCAAUGAUUAUAUUUGAUUCAAGGUUAGUUAAUUCCUCUACCUGGAACUCAAUUUUCAGUCCUAGUUAUCAUGUUAUUAUAUUAUUUAAUCGGUAUAAAUUAGUUUGGUCUUAAGAAAUAUGGUAGAUUGAGGCACAAUUACUAAUUUCAAAGAUUUGGAUUGUGAAGUGUUAAAUGUAAUUCCACACAUUCCACAAACUGAACAUUUGAAUCCUUUAAUGAUAUGAAGAGUGGUUCAUUCACUGUAGUAUUCUGACUGAUUGAGAAGCAGUGCACUUUUCAAUUUAGACAGAGGAGUCUCAUAUGUUCUAGUCAUAAUAGUUGUGAAAUAUAAAAAAGCUUAUACUUUCAUAGCUAAACAUAUUGUAAAUUUGGUAAACUUAUUGAAAGGAAAUCUACAAAACAAUAUAGGUUUUGGGAAAUAUAGAUUCUAAUUAAUGCAAAGAAAAAUAAUCAAACUGCUGAAGAAGUUUUAAUCAUAUAACAUUAUUAUUCUUCGAAAACUAUAGCCUGUUAUAUAUACCUUCUAAGAUCCAUAGCUCACAUAAUUGGUGAAACGUUAUUCUUGUGUAUGAAUUGGCACCUUAAGGAACAUGAAUAGUAGUUUAAUAUUCUUGAUGGAUUCAAACUUGGUAAAUUCAUAGAACACCCUUCCUUUAUUGAAAGUUUGCACUCUUGACUUGAAGACUCUCUCAUUAGGAUCCCAAAUAAACAUCUCUUGAAUAUCUUCGUAAUCUAUUGCUCUGAUGUAACGGUAGUUCUUGUUAAGAUCCAACCAAUUAGAGAAUAAUCGAUUUUCGUGUACAUUUGAGUAUGUGCUCUAUAGCCAUAUCAGAAAUGGAGUUACUCUGAACAAAUUUAGCUUUUUAGUUUUUAUCUUAUUGUUUUUGUGGUAAUUUCAUUGAUGUAGUAACAUGGAUUAUUUAUAGAGGUGAGGUAUGUUUAGGGUUUGGUUUCCUAAAUCUAUUUACUGUUGAGAUACAUGAUUACUAGUUUGCGAUUAUUAAGGAAGUCGAAUAUUUGAUACCAUAAGAAGUUUCAUUUAUGAUUUACAUUGCGAUGAAAUUACUGGAUUUACUACCACAUAUGUUUAGUUUAUCAAGAUUCACUUAAUAUAAAUGUUGUUCUUAAUUUAUUUCACCUUGUGUAGGCCAUAUUUCACGUUAAGGCAGAGGUAGCUUUUGGGAAGGACAUUUCCUUAAGGAUACAAAGUCAUAAUAGGAGAUUACACAUUUUUCACCUAUUCGCAAUAACAACAAUGAUUAAGAUAUUUCAUAUACUGGUUGUUCUGAUGAAUUUAGUGGAGACAAUAUUAUUAAGUAAGCGUGAGUAAAACCUUCUAACUCUAAAAGCCUCCAGAAUCAUAAAAAAUAUAUAAUUGGGUCAUUGUCAUGAUCUGGCUUUUGAGCAAUAUUAUCCCAUUUUCUAACAAAUUCUUUUGCGGAUUUGCCCACCGCGGCACACUCUAUGUCUUUUUGGCUUUGAAUUACACAUAAAUUAGUAUUGUCAAGGAGGGACAUUGUUAAGAUAAAGUUAUAUGCCAGCAAGAUUGGGAAAAUAAAAUUAAUGGUGAAGGUCACAACACAUUCUCAAAAAUGUCAAUGGUAAAGAUUUUUCUCAUAGACUCUAGAAAAUGCCAAUGAAGAAUGGUGAGAAACAAGAUAGAUGUUGGCUGGUCUAUUCAAAAAAAAUUAGCGAAAAUCUAUUGUUUCCGUUGCAAGCUGUUCAGAGAUGAAAAGGAUACAACUCAAUUGACAAGCACGUGAUUCAAGGAUUGGAACAAUGUCAGAGUAAGGCUUGUCCAACAUGAAAGCAGUCAUGGUCACAUUGUGUGCAUGAGAAAAUGAAUGGAAUUAGAGUUAAGAUUGCAAAAGGAUAUAACAAUUGAUAAGUGUGCCCAAGAAGAAAUCAAGAAAGAGAAAAAUCAUUGGAGAGAAGUUCUUCUGAGAUUAUUUGCACUAGUGAAGACUUUGGCUAAAUGAAUAAUUCUUUCCGUGGAAGCAAUGAAAAGUUUGCGAGAAUAAUAAUGAGAAUUUUCUUAGCUUUAUUGAAAUGUUUGAAGAUUUUGAUCCAGUGAUCCUGGAGCACAUCAGGCGUAUCAAAGAACAAAAAACUCAAUACCAUUUUCUCAGCCACAAAAUUCAAAAUGAAUUGAUAGCAAUGUUGGGAUCAGAAGUGAAGUUUAAGAUCAUUAAGAAUAUUCAAGAGGCAAAAUAUUUUUCACUUAUUUUGGAUUGUACUCCAGAUGUUAGUCACAAAGAGCAAAUGACUCUUAUCAUUCGAUGUGUGGACGUUUAGUGGAUUCAACUCAAGUAUCCGAAUAUUUCAUUCACUUUUGGAAGUUGUUGAUAAAUCAUGAAAAGAGUUGUUUGAUCUUCUUUGUGAUACAUUGGCUGAUCUUAACUUGGACAUCGAUGAUGUGCGAGGAAAAGCCUACGACAAUGGCUCAAAUAUGAAAGGGAAAAAUAAAAGAGUACAAAAAGAAUGUUUGAUGUUAAUCCACGCGCAUUUUAUACGCAUGUGGUUGUCAUAGUCUGAAUUUGGCACUUUGUGAUAUGGCUAAAUCAUUUCCAAAAGCGAUUGAUUUUUUGUAUCAUCAAAUGUUUGUAUUGUUUGUAGUUGCCUUCUACGACUAGGUGGGAUAUAUACAAGAAAAUGGUUGGAGGUUACACACUUAAACCCUUAUCAGAUACUCGUUGGGAAAGUCAUCUUGAAAGUGUUGAAGCCAUACGUUUUCAAGAUCCAGAAAUCCGUGAUGCUCUGUUUUUCUUGGUUGAGAACACUGAUGAUCCUAAAGCUCGGAGUGAUAUUGAGUAUCUUGCGAUUAGUGAAACUCAUGGAAUCAAAAGAUUUGAGUUUUUGUUUGGUAUUGUUAUAUGGUAUGAGAUCUUGGCUGCCGUGAAUAUUGUGAGCAAGACUUUGCAAAAUGAAGAUACAAAUAUUGAUGCAGCGAUUAUUCAACUAAAUGGGUUUGUUUCGUUUUUUCAAAAGUAUAGAGAAACAUGUUUUGAAGCAGAAAAAGUUGAAGCCACAAAAAAUGUUGUUGUUAUGGAUAUCGAACCCAUCUUUCAUGUGAAAAAAGCGUAUUAUUAAACGAAUAACUCAUUUUGAUGAAGAGCCAAGACAAUCUUAACUUGAUUUGGUAGAUCUUUCGGAUUAUCAAUCUGAAGGAUAUUAAAAAUAAUUAAGCACAUUUGUCAUUCACUUAGAGGACAUAAUGUUACAACAAAGUAAGAGAGUAUAUGUACCUCAUGAAGUGAUACACCAAGAAAAUUAGUAGAUGAUGCACCAAUUAUAUCUGAUGCACAUUGGUCAAAAAGCAAACAUUUAGUCUCACCAGUACUAUCCAUAACCUUGGCAUAAAGCAAGUACCUACAAUGUAGUGUAAUUAUAUUUAGUGUCAAAUUCUACUUAUAUCAAACAUUGAAGAGAUUAUAUGUUCCACGUUGGUAUUACUUUGCAACUACUCUUGUGACAACAAUCUUGCAAAUGUCACACCAAAAUUUAGGUUUGGAUUUGCUAGCAUCUUUAUUCACACCUCCCUGAUGUAUGGGGGUCACCUUCUUGUUGCAGUUACAACAACUGAAGUAAUGUGAUGUCCAAUCUGUAUCAAUAGCAUAGAUUGUACACAAAAAUCUAACUUUCUCAACAUGUUAUUCAUAUAAAUCUCUUAGUAAACCAAGAGGCAAGUAUUACAACUUAGCAGAAAAUGUAUAUAUGUUUUAUAUAUUAUAGUACCUCAAAGCAACCUAACAGUUCGGCUAUGAUUCUUCUUGGAUGCUCUAGGCAACUAUCAUCUUUGCCCACGUUGACAAAGUCUAACCUUGGGACAGUAUCACAAACAGUAAGAGCAAGUCCAUCUUCGGGUAGUCUAGAUGUUGAUUGUAAAAUAAUCCAAGUUAAUAUUUGGAAUAAUCAAAUCUUAAAAACAUUUGUAAUUACAUUGCUAAAUUUAGGUUACAUACGAUUGAGUGAACACAUCAACUUCUGGAAAUGAUGGAUUAAUCCAAAGCUGAGAAGCAUCAAAUGAGUUGGAAACACUCUUCAUACCUGCAGUUUUUUACAUAUAUAAUUUAUGUGAUUUGUAUAUAACCGAUUUAAUCUUAGAUUUGCAGAGUACUGAUAUACCAUUGUAUGUCUUGAUUUUGACAAAUUUAAGAAUACAAACAACCAUGACUCAAUCGGAAUUGACACAGGUUGUUUGAAGUUGGGCUGCAAAUGCUCCCCACAAGGUACAUGACAACCUAUCAUCACUGAAAAUCAAAUAUUCAAUAUAUAUCAUUAAACAUAUAUAUAACCAAUUUCUAUAAACGUUUAGUAAACACAUAUGGAAUUAAAUUUCAUCUCAUGUCUCAAUUUGAAAUCAAUCUUAGUAGUAGUCUUGUUGUUAGCUUCCAGAGUUUCAAUCUCCCCAAUGUUGACUAUCUGGCACAUUACAUCUAGGAAGGAAACAAUAUAAAAUGAUAGUAUUAAAACAUUAUCAGUAUAAGAUAGAUUAAUAAUAUUAUGUAUGUUGAGAACAUACCAAUUAGCAUACAAGGAUUAAAGUCGCCACUCUGAAUUUUAGCAAACUUUGCGAACUUAAAUAGUUUGAAUCAGAGCCAGGAUCACUGAUGGUUACAGUUGUAACGUUGAUGAAAGCCAUCUUCUAAAGAUGGUUUGUAGGUCUAAAUUGACCAGUAGCAUGAGUGAGUUGGAAAUUCUCAAUUAACCUCCAAUCACCAACUAGAAGGUUAUUGAUUACUCGAGUAUUUAACCCGAUAACUUAGCCGAAGUAAAGUAUAUGCGGGAUCGAUCACAGGGAGGAAGGGUACACUAAAGACUUGUGAGACUUGUUCGUAGCUAAAGCGGAAAAGAUUUGUUGUUUGGUUUUUCAGCUUGUAAAUAAAAAUGCAAAUAAAAGAGAGAUUUAAACUUAUAAAUUAAACACAUUGGGCAUCAGGGUAUUUUCAGAGAAUCAAUAAAUAACAAAUAGAAGCAAUAAGGAAUUCAACAUGAAGAACCGUUCUUAAACAUGAACACAAGUUUAGACUAACUCUCUCUCAAGACAUUAAUCACUAAAUUUGACUAUUCAAUUACUAAAAUCUCAUUUGUAAUUUCCUAGCCAAAUUCGCAUUAUCAAUCAAGUUCAUUAUGUUCACAAGGCAUUCUAACAUCAACUCUCGCAGGUUAGAAAUACAAUGCUCAAUUUACAUUCAUUCAGGCAUUUUAUCGAACAUCUCUGAAACAAAUAAAAGCCUAAGUUCUAAAACAGGGUGAUCAAUCCUAUUCUAGCAUUGAGAACAUGUAAAUUGAAGAACCUAAAGAUCAAGAAUUCCCUAAAACAUCUAAUCCAUCAAAUCAUUGAAUCUCCUACUUAGAACCCUAAAACCCAAUAGAAGAACUACUCACACAUAUUGUAGAGAAUAACACAAAAAAUAUGAAAGAAAACAUGAUUCAAUAGAUUAAAAUAAGAAUAGAGUUUAGAAAUCUUCUCCAAAUUGUCAAAGAGGAUGGAUUCUUCUCCCCAAAAUUGUUUAGAAAGCAAAUAACAAUGUUUUUAACUGAAAAAUAUGAAGGAUAACUGCUAAAAAGUCGAACCUAUGGUAAAUAAACAAUAGAAGACGAUUUGGGUAUGUUCUGAAAUGUUUCGGAUCGAAUAUGGGCCAAAAAAAUGCGUCAGAGGUAAGGGAACGAUCGAUCCAAAUGUAGACCGAUCGGUCUUAUGCUCCCAGGUUUUACUUUUACAUCAGCUUCAACAACUCGUCAGAAUGACCUGUCUUCACAAAAUCAAGUGUACCUAGUGAAUGCACCGUUAGAUUUCCUUGAAAUCACUUGAAAAUGAAAGCUAACAUCUUUCUUCAUCUUGUGUCAAAAUAUGAAAAAGAUCUAACGGUGGAAAGUUGUUUAUCUGAUCCCAAACAUCUGACACUUCUACAUGAAUCUGCAUCUCCAGAUGUGUGUUUGCUUCCCAAAACAGCUCGUUUUAUUCCAAAGCAACCUAAAACCUGUAAAAAAUCUAUAAUGUACUAAAAGACUCUAAAAACACACUUUGACUCAAUAAAAGUUAUAAAAUGAAAAAGAAAAUAAAGACUUAAAACCGAUAAAAACACAAUAUAUCAACUCCCCCCGACUUAGAUUCUUGCUUGUCCUCAAGCAAAACAAAAAUCUUAAUCAUGAGAAGAGGUUUGAAAACGUGAGAACUCAUAUAUUCUUUUGGGAUCAUGCUCUUAAUCAAUUGCUUGCAAACCACUAUUACAAAGUUUAUAUCAAACCGUACAAUAAUGUACUUCACCAUGACAUCAUGAGACCCCUAAAUCACAAAGAACUUUAGAAUCAAAUAACUUAACCUUUUAACAUUCAUUAACAGUUGCAUACACUCUCACAAAGGGGAUAAAGAACACGUUAUGGUCUAGGUGUAAAGGCAGUUUUAGGUGGCUCAAGUGUUUAAGGUUCAGCAAUAAUAUAAGAACGGAUGCAAAUCAUUAUGCAAAAUAACAGUGAGACACAGACCAAUUGGGAGGUACAUAACUUCCCUCUAACUCGGAUCACCUUAACCAAGUCAAACCCCAAACAAAUCAUAAGUAUUAUAGAUGCUUUUCAAAUACAACCAAAGACAUAUCGACUUUUCCGGUUCCAUUCUUUCUCCUUUCCCGUUCUUUUCUCUUUUCUUUUCUUUUUUUUUGUUAGCAUUUUUUUCAUUUUUUUUACGGGUGAGUGGAACCGGUUCUCGUCUCACAAACUGCAUCAACAAAACUCAAUCAUGAUCGCUCACAGCACAUGCUCAUAAAUAUGACAAUAUAACCACAAGAACUCAAUGUCAAUCAUCCCAAACAACUACAAUUACAAUCCUAACUAAAGGAAAGUUAUGUCGGUCUGUAUACUCCGUAGUUUUUGCACAUGAAUGCACAUGAUGACAAUGACACAAGAAUGAAUGUAGUAUGAAGCAUGGAUAGGGCUAAAGGUGUGGUACUAGACUAAAGAUGAGUCUACCCAUUCAGAUUUUACAAAGAGUGGUAAAACAAUGCGGAUUAAACUCUGAAUGUAUUAUCCAUUACAUGAUUACCAACCCGCUAAGUGAGAUAUAAUAAGUCCAUAUUAAGUUCAAAUAAGCAAGGUUAAGCUCAAAUCAUCCAAAUUUUUUAGUGAGGGAUUAUACGAGUGAUCUAGUCAUAAAUUUUCCUGAAGUUUCAAAUUAUCCUUAAACAAUGCUAAAUGGUCCCAAGUCAAUGAAAUCAAGCAAGGUGCAGUUCCCUAAGAAAAGCUCAUAGUUCUCAAACAAAAUUUUGACUCAAUAAAACAAACUAACUGACUCAAGAAAACAUCAAAAUGAAACAUAAGAAAAAGCAAAUUGCAUCAGUAGACUAGUGACAUCAUCCCUCAGACUUGCUUCACACCGUCUCGGUGUGAGAACAAUUCCAAAAGAAAACGUCACAACCAAAAAGCAAAAAUAAAUAAAGAUGCAAAAAAGAAGAAUAAAAAUAAGAAAACUUACCUGGGACUUCUAGUGGGUUGCCUCCCACAAAGCGCUUAUUUUUGGUCUUUAGCUUGACCGCUCAACACAAAAUAUUAAUCAAAAGAAUCAAAAGGUUGAGCCAAUGCACCUUUAGUAUUUCUCCUGUUACGGCACACAACAAUAUGCACAAAGUAACACACAAUUAUCCAUGAUAAGGAGGCAAAAUAACCAUAAACUAAAUUUACUACAAGUGUAGCAUAUAUCUUGAAAUCUUCUUUGAUGGUAUAAUGCUCAUGAGGAUCAAAUGCAUUUGGUGGAAAUAUAAAAUCAAUUAAUGAGGUUUUAACAAAAUAGUCAACUUCAUCCCCAUUAAUUUCAUAUAGCACAAUAUUUCCAUCCAUAUAAUCAACCUCAAGAUCCUCAGUCUCAUCCAAGAUGUUAUCAAUAUCAAGCACAACUCCUAAAUAAGAUUCUGCUAGAAGAGAUCUAGAUAUUUCAGGCAUUGAAAACUUAAACUCGAGAUCAUGAACAUUCAAAGCACAAUGAUAUUCAAUAUCAAAACAUAUCUCAUGGUAAUCUCUAGCAAGUUUUUCUGCUCUUAAAGUAUCUAGUUGUUGAGACUCACCUAUGAAAUCAUAACAUUCACUGAUAAUCUUGGGAGUAUGCAAACUAGAAGCAACAUCUUCAAUGCAAGGCAUAGAAAAAUCCUCAAAAUCAUGAAUUUCAAAGGUUGAAACGCAUGUACCUUCUAUGUCGCUCGGUGGAACCCAAUAUAUUACCUUUUCAAGAUUAUGGGCUUCUUUGAUCUCAUAGCCUGUGAGUUGCCUUCCUUCAUAUGCUGCCCGCAGCGAUAUGAGGUACAACCGGAUCAUAGUCGCUAAGUCACUCCUUGUCAAUGUUGGAUUCUCCACGUAAAGUUUAUCCAACUUCACUUUUUGUUCCGGUGUAAGAACACUCUCAUCAAAUAGUAUUCCAUAAGAUUUUAUCUCCAAUAUUAGUAUUAUCAUAAUCAUCAAAUAACUGUAAGCGUAUUUAACCGAAACCAUGAUUAACCGUAACCGUAUAUAACUGUAGUCGUUUUAACCGUAUAUAUAAUGGUUGAGGUUAUGGUUAAAGAAAAUUAUAACCGUUCACCCGUGGUUAAUUAACCAUAACUGCAUUAACCGUAACCGUGGUCAUGCCUAUAAAGAUGCAUGCCUUCUAUAUAUUCUCGGGGCAUUCUUUUUACGGAUUAAAUUGAAACAUGUUAUGGAACGGGACUAUUCAGAGUGUGAACUAUUAAACUAGCUGUCCAAUACUAAACGAUUAACUUAAUUUAAAUAUUAAAGUUUAGUAAUCAUAGUUUAGACUUAACUAAUUUAAAAUUAUAUCUAUAUUUAUUAUAUGCACUACGAAUUAUUGCACAUUAUUAUAUACAUCAAACAAACGUAAAUAACCUACUAUAUCUUACACUCAUUGUAUUUUUAAUUUGAGAACCCUAAACUCACGAAACGGCUUCGUUUUUCUCAACUCUGAUGUCCCGUUAUUGCCACAAUAUCGGCUGACUAAUCGUCAUUAAGUGGUUCACUAACAUCGUUUUGGUAUAUGUUGAUUUUGGCUGAUUUCAUAUAAUUUAGGUUGCUUAUUUGCUGGGUAUCGUAGUUUGAGUAUAAAAAUACCGCCAACAAAUAGUCUGGGUUGAUUUUCGCUAUUUUCCCUAUAACCAUAGUAAUUGAUAUUCAUUACCAUUAAAAUUAACUAUUCAGACUUUGAAUAACUAAAAAUUCUAACUAGACUAUUGAUAAACCAACCCAUUCUAACACGACACAAUAAACAUUCGAAAUGAACCCACACUUUUUGAAAGAACCCAUCCCAUUUUUUUCUUUUAAACAUGCAAACCGGAUUAACCCAAUUAAUUCGAACCAGCUAAACCGGCCAUAAUAAUUUAAAUCAAUUAAAACCAGCAAUCUCAUUAAAGUAAACCAACAAUAUUAUCCAGCGGAAGACUUAAUCAAAAAUCCAAUAAAACAAUUCCAUUAAACCAACAAGUUCAACCAAACAUUAUUCCAAAACAUGAUCAUCCUAACAUGUUUCUAAAUUCCAUUCUAACACCCUAACAAAUCCAACAAUAAUCUAAAACACCAAUGAGUGCCUAGAUCAUCCUCCUCUCCUCGCCAUGAUUCCAUUGAUCACACUUUGCUUUUACAUGCAUCAAAGAAAGAGAUGCAUAAGUAUUUCAUAAAUACUUAGUAAGGGCGAUCCUCCCAUCUACGAGCUAUACACACAAGCAAUGAGAUAACACCCACAUAUAUAACAAUAACAAACCAUCCAGCAAGCUAAACAUCCAAUAACACAUCCAGUUCACAUACAAAUCAUCACACAACAAGUCACUCAAUCCCAAUCGCUUAGAUAAGCUCAUGGUCACGCACUCACCUUAACAAGGUGAUUUGAAUUACAAAAACAACCAGGAAAUACUCUCUUCGUGACUGCAACAGCCAAACAACGCCCUACAACAAACCACACAAACACAAAUCUCUAAGAACCAAAAGGACAGAAACAGCGAAAAAACUACAGCCGCAAAAACGAAGCUCUUAAACAUAAACUAACCGUUAAUUUCUUAAUCCCUACGGUGAAAAGCAAGAUCCCGACGUCACGAAGCCCCCCACAAAAUUUGGUGCCGAUCGGAGAAACGAUGAAACCACGAUCGCACUUAUAAACUCCGCUGAUCCCAAUUCGCAACAGAGAAAACGCGUCUCACCAAACUGCAUAUAACUCACUGAGUAUUAAUCCGAAUUCACUUCUGUAAAAAGGAGAAUCAACGUACACGCCUUAAGAACAAACCUACCAAAAUUCAUUACCUUUCGAUAAGAUUUGAUACGUCGUAACUCUAUUCUACCAGGACGUGACGAAUCUGCUUCUCUUGCCUUAAACACCAAAGCAAAGCUAACACUCUCUUUUUCACAAGUAAACUUCUCCUUCUCCUUUUCUCAACUCAACUCUCAGAAACAAGAGCCACACAACAAAAGAGAGAAGAAGCGUUCUUUAUAAAAAUAGGGUUUUUGGUUUAAUUCUGAUUAAACCAGAAUUUACCUAAACCGACUUUAAUUAAACCUCCUUUGGUUCAAUUAAACAAAUCGACCAGUUUAGCAAAUCAACCGGAAUUAAACCGACUCCACCCUAAUUAAACCGGAAUUAAGGUUUAGGGGUUAAGAUGUUUGUUUGAUAAUUAUUUAUGAUUUUUAUACCAAAUCACAAAUUUUUCAUGAAAUAGGUUUUAGUAUGUUUUUAUAUUAUUAAACACAUAGUAAUUAUAAAUACAAAUAGAAAAAACAUAAACAAUACUAUGACUGAUCAUCCACUUAUCAUUGAACAUAUGUUCAACUACAAAUGUAUAGUGUAUAAUAUCAAUUAAUUAGAUAACUUACUUAUAUGAUUAAACCUAGUAAAUAUCUAUAAAUUAUAGUGCAAUUGACUAUUAAUGUAUCAGUAGACAAAUGUUCAACUACAAAUGGAUAGUGUAUAAUAUAAAACUUAUCAAAAAUAUAGCAAUAUGCAUCUCAAAAUGUAAAGAAAAUAUAAUCAUAACUUAUUAUAUAAAAAUAAAUAGAUAAUUUUUGAUAAUAAAUACAUAAAAUGAUACUCUAAAAUGAUAACAACAAAAAAUAGUACAAGAAAAAGAAAGAAAUGAGAGAAGAAGAGUAAGUUCUUAGAAGGAAAAAAACAAGUAAAAGGGUAUUUUCGUCUGAAAAAAUGACACCUCAAUACAAAAGAAGGGAAUCAGUACACCUUCCCUUAAAAGUGUGUUUUCUUUUAAACAAGUUUACACAAAGUAGGUUAUUGUGUAAUUCACUCUUUGAAAAAUUCACCAAUUUUCUAUCCAUUUUUUAAAAAAAUUCCUUUUCAAAUAUGAAAAAUUGUAAACUUUUAUAUAGUUUAUAGAAAAAAUUGCACAAAAACCUACUUUCUCCACAAUUCAUUUCAACAUAACACACUUUCUACUAUCCCUAUACUUUUACUACCUGAAAUUACUAAACAAUCCUCUAACUGUCUAACUGUCUAACUCUAACUCUACAAUUCGUUCGGUUACUUUUCUUCUCCCUCUUUUACACUUUCUUUUUUACACUGUUUACGAAAGUAAAACUAAUUUAUUCACUCCAAUCCCUAAUUUUUCAACUCCUCCGAUCCCCAAUUUACCAACCACCGUCAUUGCCGAACCUCUUGAUUUUCUCCGGCUUGCCUAACCCUUUAAUUUUCUCACACUUCCGAUUCUCACACCCUCUGUUUUGCUCCGGUUGUCUCCAUUCCCCUAGUUACCAGACGCCGCCGCUUCCAUCGUUUUAACCCAACGCCGCCGCAUCCAUCUAUUUAACCGCCGCAUCCAUCUAUUUAACCCGCCGCAUCCAUCUAUUCCCCCGUUUUGUUAUUCCGCCGAAGAUGCCAUCUAACCGUCGCAUAACUAGAUUUUUCAAACCUAGCUCCGAUGCUCCUUCUUCUUCAAGCCAGCCCCCUCCAUGUUCUCCCUCUCCUGACGUUUCUGCAGACUGGGAUAAGUUUCUUCCCCCUCGUGUUUUUGCUACAGACCGUUAUCCCGAUGCUAGGCUUAAUGUUUAUUCCCGUCCCGACAUCCUGACAGUUAUAUGCGAUGUUCUUAGGGGAAGCAAAGAGUUGGAUAAGAUUUUGAGUUCCCGUUUGGGGUCCAUUUUUAGGCUUCGCAUAAGUGAAUGUCCCAUUUCGGGCAAAUUAAUACAUGCUCUCCUUUGCAGGCAAUUACUAUCCAAGAAUAAAUACGAGAUGUGGACGGUCUUUGGUGGAUACCCAAUGCGUUUUUCUCUGUUUGAGUUUGGUGCGGUAACUGGGUUGUCAUGCGGUGAAUUUCCUGAAGACUACGACCCUGAAUCCACCUACGAAGCUGCAGAUGAAUGUUAUGAGUUGAUUGGGGCAGAUCGUAAGUCCACCCUAGCUGAUCUUGGGAAAAUCGGCCAUUUCAUACCUUACCUAUAGUACUAUGUUCAAUUCAUACCUCAUAUUUUAUGGUGUGCACAAUCAUACCUGGAGUAAGCUAAACAUCUAAUAAACAACCUAAACUCGUUAAUUUGUGCUAAUCUAUACCUUAAUCGAAACGGUACGUGGAUGCCACGUGUGAACGACGUCGUUUUCAAUUUCGGGAGAAACCAAAAAAAUGAGUUAAACGUCGUCGUUUGUCUCAUCUUCUCCCUUCUUCCUUCUUUCUUCUUUGUCGAGAAAGAACCCAAGAGUCACGAUUCUUUUUUCAAUUGGAAUUCGCAUUCAACUAGCAACAAGUGUCGAUUCUGAAGAGUUUAUGACAGUAGAGUAAUCGUUUACGAAAACUGGAAGAAUGAGGUAAGCUUAAUCAAAUUUAGGGUUUUCAAAUUUAGGGAUUUUAGUAAAUUGACUGUAAUUGAUUGUGUCUACAUGUAAAACGUGAAGGAUUUCGUGUCUAUUUGUUUACUUUGGAUGAUAUUGAUCCGUAUUCUAAAGGAUUUCGUGUUUAUUUAUUCUUCAUGUUCUUUCUUUUUUCAGUUCUGAGGAAGACGCAGUAUUCCAGUGCUACAAUGGUGGAAAUUUUCAAGUUGUUAAUGGGAAUAAAGUAGCAUAUAUUGGAGGAGGGAUUCUCAGCCUUAAAAGCAAACCACAAGCUGUUAUGGGCAAUCUGAUGGAGGCACUGAGCGAUUCUCUUUGUGGGGUAAAGAUUUGGUAUAAGUUUCCAUAUGAGGAUUUUGCAGAGCUUAAGUUAUUGAGUGAAGAUCAAAAUUUUCAGAAAAUGUGUCUUGCCUCAGUUUGGAUAAAAUCGAUUGAAUUGUUUUUGGAGAAAGAAAACAAUGUCGAAGUUGGAGAUGGGUCUCAUAGUGAUAGAGAUGUUAGUGACGUUGAAGGUGAUAGGGCUGUUAGUGAUGAUGAAGGUGAUAGGGUUGUUGGAGAUGGUGAUAGAGCUGUUAGUGAUGGUGAAGGUGAUAGGGCGUUUGGAGAUGGUGAUAGAGGUGAUAGGGCUGUGAAUCGGGAAUUUGUUGACAUGGAUGCUAGAGUGGAGGAAAACUUAGCAGGUUUUGUUGAUGAAGAAGAGCAUGAUAAUUGUGAGGAUACUCCUCCUAACUCAGAUUGCGAGGAUGCUCCAAGAAGGUAUGUAAGGUGCAAGAAAGGUAGUGGAGAUAUUAGAUUAGAGCAAGUAUUUGACAGUAUAUCUGAUUUUAAAGAAGCUGUAAUUGACUAUGCUCUUAAAAAGGGAGAGAAUAUAAAGUUUACAAGAUGGGGAUCAGAGAAAAGUGAAGUGAGGUGUUCUAUUGGAGGGAAUUGCAAAUUCAGAAUUUACUGUGCGUAUGAUGAUGAAAUUGGAAAGUACAUGGUGAAGACAUUCAAUGAUGUCCAUGCUUGUACGACAGACGGGUUUUGCAAAGUACUCAAGAGUGGAAUCAUUGCUCAACUUUUCUUGAAUGACAUUAGGAGAGAUCCAACCUUGAAGCCAAAGGCAAUGCAACAAGCAAUUGAGGAGAGGUACACAAUCGUUUCCACCCCUGACCAGUGCCGGAAAGCUAAAGGAAAAGCAUUGAAAAUUAUUCAAGAUGAAUAUGAUGAACAAUUUGCUCGAAUACAUGAUUACAUGGAACAGCUUUUAGAGUAAGUGAAAUAUAUACACUUUGAUUUAUAUAGUUGUAAGUAUAACAGUUUGGUAAUAUGACUUGAAGCUUUUUGUGUUUGUAGAUCAAAUCCAAGGUCAACAGUGGAUGUUCAAACAGUUACUGACGAGUCUGGUGUAGUAAAGUUUGACAGGUUUUAUGUCUGCUUUGAAGCUAUUCGGACAACCGAUCCAGACAAGAAGCUUCGUCUUGCUCUUCUGCUCAUUGUUGAUGGAGUUCUCAUUGCUUCCAGCCAGACUCAUAGGCCAACUCCCAUAUAUGUUGGUACGCUUCAUGACAUUGACUCUUUUCUUGAUUUCCCAUGGGGCAGAGAAUCUUUUUUGAAGACCAUAUCAUCGAUGAUCCCCGAGUUAAAGACGUCAAUAAAACCAAUUGUCAAAAGACCAAGGAUUCAGGGGAAGGUCAGUAGCCCAUUAGAGAUUUUUACAGAACAAUUGCAGCAGAAGUCCCUUCGAUUGCAAGGAUUCCCUCUCUCACUUCAGUUGGUAGCUUAUCGCAACAUUCCCGCUUUACUCGACAAGAUCCCGGGGUCAGCUGAUCCUCGCACAUUCUUGGAUUGGCAUUCAAUUGGUAUUCCCAAGAACAACCUCCCAUUAACUGAUGUUCUGGCUAUUGAACGUUCACCUAAUGUAAGUAAAUUGUCCCCCCUUUAUACUCAUAUGGUUUUUUUUUAAAUUUUUUAUAGAGUUUUCUUUUUUAUACUACCAGUUUAUGUUCUAAAUCUGUUUUUGCAGUUAUCUGUUUCUCCAGUAAUCUAUAUUGAUCCGCCUGAGGAUGGUUGGGGAGAGUUGGACGAUGAAGUGAAGGACAAAAAAGUUUCUCAUUUACUUUCGCUCAUUGAGGAAGGCCAUGUUUUCACCAAAAAGGAGUGGCCUGAUGGCGAUUCUUCACUGCCCUACAUUUCCUUUGAUGACAAGAAGGAUAACGUUGUCCACCGGAAGCAUAUUGUGCCUAUGCGUAAGCAAGUGUCUGGGAAACUUAGAGUUAAACAAUCCCCAUCCAAACAUUGUAGAUCUUCUUCUUCAAGUUGCCUCCCUUCUGACAACACUGCUUUUGAGGAUUUCAAAUUGUAUGUGGACAAAGAGUUGGUUUCAAUGAGGGAAGAGUAUGACAAGAUGUUCAGAAAAUUAACCGCGCAGAACAAGAAACUUCGUAACAAGCUCAAAUCCCUUCGGUUUCAUCGUCACCGGAGACUACACCUUCCUCAUCGUCUUAAAAAGGUUGCUCCAUUUUUUGUAGAGCCUAAGAGUACAGAAGAAGUAACAACCAUGGUUCCCCCAGCUCAUCUUUCUCCUCGGAUUACAGAAGAAGAAACAAUCAUAGUCCCCCAGCUCAUGUUUCUCCUCGGGCCCCCCCCUACACUACAAUUAAUUCUCCUGAUAUAGAUGUUCGAUCUCCUGAAGACAUUUUUGAAUUAGACACAACUAGAAUCAAUAUGCGUCUCCCUCACCCAGCAAUGAAGGGAACAAGGUCAGCUUUUCAUACUUUUGUUAUAUGUCCACCUAUAUCCAUAUCUCUCUCCUCAAAAUUGUUUUCCUCUUAAUUCAUUUACUGAUUGACAGUUGGGUGUUCUUGGGGAUGUUAUUGGGGAAGAGGUAUCUGGCGUUUCUGGCUGCCAUCCUAUUUAUGACACUGAGAAUAAGAGUUCAUAUCCUCAUUCACCCCGAUAUGACACUGUCACAAAAUCUGGCUGUGGUGUUGGUUCACAGGUUUCAAAUUCUUUUGCAAUCCCCUGGUGUAACUGAUAUUUGUCUGAUAUAUUGUACAGUCUACUCAUUUUUUCUUACUUUUUUCUGAUGAACAUUGAAUGUGAUCCAUCAUCUGUCCAGGGAUUCAUUCCUUACACUACUUUGUUACAGGGGAUUAUGGAUAUUGGGAAGGUUAUCCAUAUUAUCUGUCUACAUUCCUUUAAAUUUUUUUAUUCUAACUACCUUCUACCUUUACAUUUUAAUUGUUUUUUUUUUCAGGGCAAUGGUGAAUCAGGAUCCACGACAUUUCAUCAAGCUCCUGUUGAUGUUAAUGUGGAAAGAAGACUUAUUCAAACUGCGGUAAAUCACUAUUUUAAAAUACUGCAUCCAUGAUAUCUUGUACACAUGGAUUUCGCGUUUUCCUUUUAUGCUUUCUUUCUAAAAAUUUUUUUAUUUUUAAUCAAGGCUGAAUCAGGAUCAGCUAUUCAUCAAGGUCAUACUGAUGUUAGUCCUAAAACUAGACAUCCCCAACCAGAAGUUUCCUUUUCUCAUUUAUUUCUGUUUCCACGUCCAUCUGACCACAUGGAAAUGUAAUUUCCUUUUUUGUUUGUUUCACCUUGCCCUCUUUUAUUCAAUCAUAAGGUUGAAUCCGGCACCAUAACCAUUGAGAACAGACUUCCACCUGAGACAACAAAAGAAGAUGUCCCUCAAACAGAGGUUUACACCAUACUUCUUUAUCCACUUGUACAUAUUGUUUCUGCGAACAAUCUUUCACCAUGAACAUAUGCUUCAGGAAACGCAUGAUAAUGAAGCUCAACUCCGCGUUGAUGGAUCCAGCUUUCCACGUGAGACAACAGAAGAUGAUGCCCCUCAGACAGAGGUUUGCAUCGAAUAUACCAUCCACAUCUUACUAUCCACAUGGAUCUGAUUUUUAUUUACAAAUUUACUUUGCUAGUUAAUUUCUUUAACCAUUCGAUGAAUGUUUUUUACUAUCCACCCAUCAAUGUACAUUUGUUUAUCCCUAAACACUCAUUCACCAUCAACAUAUUCUGCAGCUCAACAAUGCUGAAGCCCAGAUCAGUAUGCAGAAAACGCAUGAUAAGGAAGCUCCACUCACACUUCCUCCUGAGAUAACAGAAGAUGAUGCUCCUGCUCCUCCUUAAACAGAGGUUUACAUCAUUUUUUCAUUGCAAUACGUAUUACAUGUGCUUCUUUUAUUACCAUUACAUUUCAUGUACAACUUAUGCUACAGGUUAUCAAUAGUGAAGCACCUAUCAGUCAGGAAACAAGAGUACUUUCCACAUAUUAUUAACUCUAUCCAUGACAACCUAUCCACACGGAUUCAUCCCAUUCUCACUCAUGUAUGUUAUAUGACAAAUGUUUCAGGUAGAUGAGACAUUAUCUUCACAGUCACGCACACUGGUUAUCUUUGAGGUACUACCAUUACGUUUUUGUAAAUUUCAUUUGCUUCUUCAUUUUUUUAACAUGUCAUCACCACAUUUAUAUGACCCUCCUCUGAGCAGGACCCAACUCGUAAUUCCCAACCACCUAGCGAGUCUCUAGGCCGUGAUUCCGAGGUCUUCCAGCCUACUGUAUUAUCAACAAACCUUACAUCCAUUACAUUUUUUCAGACUAUAAUUUCCCUUCCUUCCUAGGUAUCCGGAGAGGUCAGUGAAGACAAUGAAUCCGAAGAGGGUACUGAAGGAGACGAUAACAAAUCUGAAGAGGGUACUGAAGGAGACAAUGAAUCUGAUAAGGUCAUCCAGUUUCCAUAUUUUUACACACAUUACAUCAUGUAUAUGUACAGGAACUUACACAUUUUCUUACUUCCCAGGAACAUAUUGAUGUCAGCGAUUCUUCUCCUGCCAGACCUAGGGAGAGGGGUGUAUUAUCAGCUUCUGAAGCAGAACUUAUGUGUCUUGUAUUGAAUACGCGUACUCCCUCCAUCUCAUAUCAACCCGACUUGUUACCUCGCGUGGACAGAGAGGUCUUAAAAACUUUCAUGAAAACUUUAAAAGCAGUCCCCAAUACGUAAUUCACUUUAUACUUAUUUCUUCUCAUACAUUUACUAUAUAAAGAAUAGUUGGUUACUAAAUAACUCAAUACAGGGCACACCUAACCAAAUGUGGGUUCCCACUUGACAACAAUUUCCUAUAUGCCCUUGCGAAACCAACCAAUUGGGUGAAUCAUUUGGUUUGUUUUCCUUACUUUCAGCUAUAACUUAACCACAUUCCAUAAUAUUUGUUGUUUAUUUUUUGUCUAUACCGAUUUCUAAAACCUUUUCACCUUUUUUCAGCACAUGAAAGUUUUAGUUUCUUAUUUGCAGAGGAGGCAUGAACAAGUUCUCUCCAUUGAGCGAUCACGUUUCAUGUCCCCUUGGCUCGCUAAUUAUCUACAGGGCAAGUACAAGACUUUCAGUGUUGCUAAAAUGAAGACUCGUGUUCGUUGGGACGACCAACUCAAACGUUCUUUGAAUGGCUCUCCAUCACAGUGGUUUGAUUUAUGGGACAUGUUGUACAUUCCUAUGAUUUGGGGUGACUCUCAUUGGGUCGAAUUAGCUAUUAGCCUUCCUAAUUGGUCUAUAGACAUUCUCGAUCCGAAUGUGCUUCUCAACAGCGACUCAAAUGUUGGUAAUUACAUAGCUCCCGUUGUUGAGAUGCUCCCAUACAUCAUUCAAAAAUUCUGCAACCCCCCUGCGACUCAAAGUCAUGGCUUAGCACCUUUCAAGUGGUCUCGACUAAAAGAUGUCUAUGUCAAUGAGAGAUGCGGAGACUGCGGCCCGGUUGCCAUGAAGUUCUUGGAGAUUUAUGCAACCGGUUCUGGUGCAGAGACAAUGUCUCUAAUUACUGAUGAGAUUGUUGAUGACUUUAGAGGACAAUAUGCUUUGGACAUAUACAGGGAUCUCGUUGCACCGAUUUACACGUAGUAUAUCAUGUCCACACCCCACCUAUCCAUUUUGUACAAACGUGUAUCUUCUUGUAUCACCGAUCCAUUUGUACAAACUUGUAUCUUUCUGUUUUUUCUGUUAAAACACUUAUUGUCUUUUGUUGUAAUACUCUGUAUUAUAAACUGUUUAGGAUUUAAUUUUGUGCUAACCUAUCUUUUUUUAUUAUUUCACAUGAUCAAUAUAGCCUUCUUAUCUGCACAAACUUGUAUCUUCUUAUUUAUAGCCUUCUUAUCUGCUAUUGUAAUUACAAGUUCCGUCAAAGUUGCCUUCAAUAACUAACCACAUGUUCAAUAGUUUGUGGAUAGGUCAUUAUUACUUGCUAAUUAUUAUAUAGCAUGUUUUAUUUAACUUCUACAUAUUAUAACUUUUAUCUAUAUAUACUAUAAAAAUGCUUAUUUUGCAUCAACAGUAUGGCCUUCGACCUAAUCAACAAUUUCUAAAUUUAUAUUUACGAACCGAACAUCCACAUGGAUAUCUAUAGAUGGAUAGAUGACAACCUCGAGAGAAGCACUAUAUUUUAUUUUAUUUUUAUUUUUUUUCAUCUAUAUAGGAACACCAAUCUGCUUUUGGGUAUAUAUACUGAAUCCACUAUAUACUGAAUCCUCAACAAUCUAACCAGAAGAAUUACAUAUUAAUAGAAGAGUAACCUUAGACAUUUGUCAACCCAAUUAGGACCCGGAGCAAAGGUUUCCUACGACUGGAUCGCCGCUGUAAUGGAAUUCGCGAAGGGGGAGAGUAGCACGGAUCUGACUCUGCCGAUGUGUAGUUGUGGAUUGCCUGCUAAGAUCUUCACAUCGAAGACAGAACGGAAUCCUGGUAAAAGGUUUUACGGCUGUCAAUUGUACAAGAUGAGUGUUGAUUAUUCCUGAUUUGAAAUAGAAUAUCCUACUGUUUGGUGUUCAACAGUUCAGCUUUUUAAUGUAGGUCGCUGGUACUCAACACUGCAAAUUUUUUAGGUGGAUGGAUAUAGCAAAUUAUAGAGGCAGCACUGAAGAAAAUGUUGUCGAAAUCGAUGAGAAGGAGAACCUAAUUCAUCAACUUGGAAUAGAUAACAUGGAAAUUCGUAGACAUUUCGAAUAUCAGCUGGAAACAGCGGAGAGAGUCAUACACAGGCAACGAUUGGUCAUAGAUGGGUUAUCUGGAAUGCUUGUGUGUGCCUUUGGUGUUAUUGUAUUUGGUUGAUUUUUGUCGUUUAGUAGACAUAUGUAACUCGGGUAUUGUUACGAUUCUGGGUUUUUUGCGUUAAUUUCCAUGUUUCUGAACAUGUUUAGCAUUAUUAUGAAGUUUAAAAUUGGUAUCUUUUUGAUUCCGAGUUUACAAUUUAUGAAGUUUAUGUUUGUGCUUAUAUCGUAAAUAUGUAUCCAUAUUGAGCCCUCCAUGUGGAUUAUUCCUUAUUAAUAUCCCUUACAUCUUGCAAAAGCUUAUAACCCAAAUUAUUUCCAUCUUUUUGUUUAUGUCUUGGCGUUUUAUGAAGUUUCAAAUCUCCUUACAUUGGUUCUAUGUAUCCAUAAUGGUUUACCCCCUUACUAUGUCCCUUAUAACAUUGGGAGAGAUUGAUGGGCUAACCCUUCAACACCCACAUACAUACCUCAAUUGUAAAAGUUGGUUACAGCUAAUACCUUUUUCAUUUUGGAUGCUGUUUUAAUGGUUACCUAAUGUUGUCAUACAACAUGACAAUCCCAAAACUGCUAUUUUCCAUAGGUUAAUAGUGUGUUGCAUACGUGUUAAAGCAACUCUACUAAUCCCUACUAAAUUCACAUAAAACUAGGAGAUCAUUGUAUUUUUCUUUUAUUUAAAGUUAAAGAAGUCCCAAAACUAGGAGAUCAUUGUAUUGAUAUUAUGGCGUCCCCAACCCGCUCCAUUGGGGCUGUUCCUAAAGAUGGUGGUGUAGAGGUAUUUUUUUGUACUCCGAUUAUUGUGUUUCUAUACAAUGUGUUUUAUUGUUAUUUAGUUUGUAGAUAAUGUUUUUUGCAGGGUUGUCCACCUAACAAUAUCCACAUACCAGCUGCGUUGCUUGCCAAAAUCGUCUCGUUAGUUGGAGAGGAUGGUGUUGACUCGUUGAAAAACUGGAUUAAAGCAAGCCCAGAGGGCAAGGAAGCUGUAUUUUCAAAGGAAACACAAUCAACUGUUCGGCUAGACAAAUCUGAAGAUUUCCUGUGGUGCACAAUGCCGAACUCGAUAUACCAUAACUUCUACAGCAAAUGCCUAGCUGAAAACAAUAUGUAUGCAAACUGGGCAUAUCUAAACAAAGUAUUUGCCUUUGAAACUUUAAUGGAAAUCUACCUCAAGAAGGGUCGGUGGUCACCAUACCCUGAGAUUUCACCCCUCCUUCAGACUGCAUCCCUCCCUGAACUAGAGCAUGAAAACGAUGAUAGGUUGGAAGCACCACCGCGUCUAAUGAGAGUAGGAAGACCUAUGUGUCCUCGUUGCAGAAGAACUGCCCACCAUCCCUCAAGAUGUCAGCCUUUGACCCAAUAAGUUCUAAAACAAAACUCGCUGUUUUUGUUAUCAUGUUUAUCUUGUGUUAUGCAUUACCCUUCUAAGCCUGUAAUGUUUUUUUCACCUAUGUUAUAUGCAGUAGGGUUUUUAAUGUAUUAGUUCAUUUUCAGUUCUCCGUUUACUUAAUUCCAGAUACCUGGAGAUGUAAUGUAAUGGAGUUUGAUGCGGAUUGAGGAUAUUAUAUAUCCACAAUUUGUGUUUUUGUUACUCCCCCCAUAUGGAUUAUAACACUUUUUGUGGAUUGAGUGAUGUGGGUCGGUUAUGCUUUAGUGUAUAUGAAUCCACUAUCCUUUCUUUUUUGUGGAUACUUCAAUUUUCUUCGUAUUUUUAAGGGUAUAGUUAUUUUUUAGGAUAUAUUGUAUCCACUAAGCAAGUUUAAUAUUGUUUGAUUUUAAACUUUACGGUUUUAUAUAAGUAAUCCGAGUGUACUCGAUGCUUUAGGGUAUAGAAAGUACCGUUGAUGUUUGUGAGUUAUCAUUUCAUCCAUACAUUAUAUAAUCUGUAGACUAUAUAUAUCAUAGGAAGCUUACAUUUGUGUAUUAUAUCCUCAAAGCAAGUUUAUUAUGGGUUUUUUUUUAACUUUACGUUUUCUAUGUUUUAUAUAAGUCACCCCUUCUUGGAUAAAUACCCUUUUUCUUAUUUUCGAUUGUUUGCUGUCUGCUGUGGAUACUAUCUGCUUCCGCUGUCUGUUUACUCAGUUUAGGGUAUAGUCAAGUAUUAAAUAAUUUUGAAUCAACGAUGUAGUUUGUUUUUGGAUACCUCAUAGUACAGAGGGUAUAGUUAGAUUGCAAUAGAAUAUAUAUAUCAUAGCAAGCAAACAUUUGUGUAUUAUAUCCUUUAAUGAAGUUGAAUAUGUAAUUAUUUUGAACUUUACGUUGUAUACGUUUUAUAAGUUCGAUUAAUAAACUAUCCCCUGCUUCGUGUAUACUCUAUACUUUAGGUUAUAGAUUCCUCAGUUUAGGGUAUAGUAGAGUAUUACAAAUUUUUGUAUCCACGAUAUAGUAAGUUUUUGGAUACUUCAUAUGACAGAGGGUAUAGUUAGAUUGCUAUAGACUAUACAUAUCAUAGCAAGCAUACAUUUGUGUAUUAUAUCCUCUAAGGAACUUUAAUAUGUAAUUUUUAUUAACUUUACGUUUUAUACGUUUUAUACAUUAAUUAUUAAAUUUGUGGAUACUCUACGCUUUAGGUUAUAGGUUCCUCAGUUUAGUCCAGAAACCAAACUCGGUGAUUUAGGGUAUAGUUAUAGUGCUUUUGUGGAUACUAAUUAUAUCUUACGAUGAUUUAGGGUAUAGUUACCUCGAUAGUCUUUAUAUAUUGAAUCCACGAAUUCUUGCAACGUUUGGAUUAGUAAAAAAAAACUACAUUCAAGAAUUAAUAGAUACUCUACGCUUAAUUAUUAAAUUUGUGGAUACUCUAUGCUUUAGGUUAUAGGAUCCUCAGUUUAGUCCAGAAAUCAAACUCGGUGAAUCUACGAUAUAGUGCUUUUGUGGAUACUAAUUAUAUCUUACGAUGAUUUAAGGUAUAGUUACCUCGAUAGUCUUUAUAUAUUGAAUCCACGAAUUCUUGCAACGUUUGGAUUAGUAAAAAAAAACUACAUUCAGGAAUUGAUAGAUACUCUAUGCUUAAUUAUUAAAUCUGUGGAUACUCUACGCUUUAGGUUAUAGGUUCUUCAGUUUAGUCCAGAAACCAAACACGGUGAAUCUACGAUAUAGUGAUUUUGUGGAUACUAAUUCUAUCUUACGAUGAUUUAGGGUAUAGUUACCUCGAUAGUCUUUAUAUAUUGAAUCCACGAAUUCUUGCAACGUUUGGAUUAGUAAAAAAAAACUACAUUCAGGAAUUGAUAGAACUCAUCCCACCCAAAGACACACUUUCAUGUUUCUAACUGUGGAAAGCAUGGGGACACUCUGGAAUGCGAGUCUGGGGGUCACGCCAGGUGGUAAAUCUUGCGCAACGUGGGCAACGAGGUCGUCCAAUAGUCCGAAGUAGUCUCUUAACUUCCCUCUCUGCAUUAGGAGCAUUCCCUAAAUAUGUAAGAGACCAACUACCUCCCAUGUAACCUUCGCUGGCUAACGCCCCGAAAGUAUCACUUGAUUGUCUAUAGCCGCCCUAGCAUAAGGAUUGCCCGCUUCAACACAUUUGUUGAAGAAGGAGAAGUACUUCGAGUGUGGCAUGCACCACCAAAUGAAAUGUUCUGAUUUGUCCAGUCGAACGGUAGAGAGACAUUCUUUUGACAAAACAGCCUCCAUCCCUUCUCUACCAUUCCUUAGUAAGUUUCCUAAAGCUUCGGCACCAUCUGCACCGAGAGACGCUGCUACUUGUGCUAAAACUGCUGCCGGUAUGUGGAACUCAAAGCGUGAAACAUUGCUGGUAAGAUGAACUAAAAUCAGUUACAAAACAACAUCAUUAAGUGGUUGGCAAUUUUACAAAAUUUCUUUACCUUAUGGGAUUCAUUUUCCGUCGGCGGUGUUAGCGUCUUAACCAUUUCUUGAAUGUUAGACUGUUUGUUUUGGGAAAUAUUAUUUAUGAACUUCGUAUAUAUUUAUACACUAGUGUUAACUAUCCAUGUCAUGGUAUCCACAUGGAAAGGUCUACUGCAAAUACUGAUGCUGACCUUUCAACAAUACGUAAAACUAGGGAAGCAUCUAAUUUUGGUUAGUAAAACGUAGUAUGGUCUAGCGGUCCGUUUAGUACUCCAUUAAAGGGUAAUGUACUUCUCUUCCCCAGAACUUACUCCCGAAAGUAUAUGUACUUAUUAGAGCAAAUUUGUACUUACUGCAGCACGAAACCUACAUUGGGAGACAGCUAAGUUGACAAGACCUGCUGCCUUUCAAUGAACCAAAAACAUUUACAUGUGGUUAAACGAUUCAUGGAUAGUAAAGAAGAAUAAAACUGAACUUUAUGGUUAAACUAACUAAACAACUACUACUUUGCUUCAAAACACACAUAGGUGCAUCCCCGGGUAAUUUUUCAAUAGAUCCAGAAUUCAUAAACAGAACUGAUAAUGUUUAAGAACAAGAGUUCAAGUUCUACAAAUUUGCUUUCAAAUGAAGAUUACAGAUUUUAGGAUAAAAGCAAAAUGUCUCUUGAAAGAUAAUAGUAAAUGCAAUCCAUACACCUCUGGCAGUUAUUCUCCCGAAGUGCAUCGUGGUGCUCCCAACACCAUGGAAAAUCGUUAAACCAAGUAUUGGAGUAUGUACUCAAACGGCGCGGACCAAUUGAAUAAAUGUGAAACAUUAAAGCAUCUCCCAUCCUAGAUAUGUCUUCGUAAGGAUACUUGCUCUUCAGCUUACAGAGGUCGUUUGUUUUUAGGCAACCAGCGCAACUUUGGAGCAUGUAGUAAGCUACUUCCGAAACUGGGUAGAUGUCUUUGAUGGAUCCGAGGACUUCAAUGGACUCCUGGAUGUUACACGCUUUAAAAGCAAGAUACAAUCCUCUAACAUAGACCGCAUACGGAUUUUUCACAUGUAAACACGCACUGAAAAAAUUGUAAUACGGAAUACUAUGUCUGCACCACCGAACAAAAUCACUACUCUUGUCUAACCUAACUGCAGCCAAAGUCUCCGGUGAUAAAACAGCUAUUUUCCCUUCCUUUCCAGUUUUGAUCCAAUUCUUAAGAUCUUCUACGCCAUUUGCGGCCACAUUGCUGAUAACCUUGGCUAAUACCGGUCGAGGUAAGUAGAGAUUCGGCAGCGGUGUCCCCUGUAUAGAAACAUUUUUUCUUUUUAAGCGUUCGUUUUCUGGGAAAAUUUUGAAGUAAGGAUUGUGAUAAGGAUUAUACCAACAGUUGGAGGAGGGGUUUCAUAUCGAAAACCAUUGCUAUGUCUGCUUCGCGUGGCCUAAGAUUUAGCUUACUACGAGGGUAGAACUUCGUUUCUGCCGUUAUCCUUCUCGGUAGCGAAUUAUCUUCUGGCUCGUCGCUCGAGUAUCCAUAUUCAGAUUCCAUUCCUGUUAAAGGUGAGCAGUAACUUUAUUGGAAAACCAUGUAGUCUAUAUAUAGUGUAAAAGGCAGAAUAAAUUUGGUUUUAAGUUAACUUUUCCAUGUUCCUGUUAUCCAGGAAAUGUCGUCCAUGAUGGAUACCUUUAAGAGGUUGAUUUACAAGGAACUGAGACCACAUUGACAUCCUAUCUCAAAAAUCUCUACAUGACAUCCUAUCCAUCAUUUUAAUGUCCAUCUGAGACCAAGUUUAUAGUCCCCUAUUCAAUUGAAUGUGUAUGCAAUUUGAUCUGACUAAUGACUACAUGACAAACUACCUAUGUAUACAAUGUCCAUGUGGAUACCCUAACGUUUUAACCAAAAUCUAUACUUGUUAUUCUAUCCAUCUUUACACUAUCCAUGUGGAUAUUAUUUUAUGGUACAUUUUUCAUCUUGAUGGAAAUAAAAGGAACUGGGAUGUCAUGAAAGAUCGUGAAACUUCGAGAUGGUACCCUAUUCAACUAUAUAUGUCCGUGUGGAUGUUACUUUUAUGUGUAUGCAAUUUCAAUGGAUCAAUAUAAAAGAAAAGGUUUCCAAAUGGAUUCAUAUAGGUUUGAUUUUUGUGGAAACAAACUUCCCUUAGAAUAUAGACCCUGUUUCUUGUCAACCAAAAAUCAUACAAGCUUACAAAUAUAUAAAGAAAUACCGAUAAGAUUCCACAUUUCAACUUGUGAUUUACAAAAAAUAUUAUCGGACACAACCCGCACACAAAUAACCUCCCCAAAAAAUUUCAGCUCGCUAGACACCUAACAUCUCACGGCAAUGGGUUCGAGCAACUAGCUCUGUUAUGCCCUGUUCCUCUGCAUCGGCCACACUUAUUAGCUUUUGGUUUUCCAGUUACAUUCUUCUGCCAAAACAAUUAUUUGUUUUCGUUUCAAUCUGACGUUAAUAUAGUUCCAUGAAAAUUGUUGACAAAUAUUUAUACUAACCAGAACUUCACCAGUUGAAGGGAUCCUUAGCUUUGGUGGACGCCCUGAAGGUCUUCUUGCUUUAGGCGGGUACAAUAAAUGUGUUCGAAUUUCUUCCGGGACGUUAACAUCAGUCAUUUCCGGGUUUAUUAUCCCUUCGUAUGUAGAUCUCCAAUCUUCUGUUUUGUAGAAGUCACCAACCAAAGAUGAAAAUGGUAUCCUUUGGCUGUUAGCGGCCAACAAAGCGUGCCCACACGGUAUUUUAAACCUGUCAUACUCCCUGCAUGUGCACUGUUUCAUGUCUAACAAAUUCUUACCGUUAAGCAUUCCAACCACUUCAUAACUCCAACUUGAAAUCAUUCCAAUUUGGCUUCCUUUCACAGUCAACAAUUUUUUUGUCAUUUGCUUGUCCACCUCAGGAGUUGUUAACCCAAUGUGCCUACCAGCCUUUUUUCUCCUAGCACUGAACCACCUCGUCAACAUUGCUCGUAUAAACUUAAGCAACUCAACUAUUGGUGAACCUCUCCCCUUCCCUAAAGCUUUGUUCAGUGACUCAGCUAUGUUCGAUGUCAUCAAAUUAUACCUAUCACCUUGGAAAUAAGCUCUCGUCCAAUGAGCUGCCCCUAUUUUAUCCAAAUAGGCGGCACAGUUGCUGUUUUUUACUUUAAUCAUAUUAUAUGUUUCCCGGUAUGAAGCAAUCUUAUACGAGAACGCAGCUUUUGUAACAAGUUUUGCUAGUCCUUUGUUAUGGAACCUAGCGUUCACAUUCCUUGCUAGAUGAACUAUGCAAGCUCUAUGAUGUGUCAGUGGGAACACCCUUUUCUUCGCAGUUUAAAUCGACCCGUUCCUAUGAGAUAUGAUUGUCAGCGUCUUGCUGUCAGCUAUAAUCUUUUCCAACUUUUCAAAGAACCAUGUCUAAGAAUCGUCAUUCUCACUAUCCACCACAGCAAAGGCUAGUGGAAAUACCUGAAAGUUAGCAUCUUGUCCACUUGCUGUUAGCAGCACCCCUUUAUACUUCUCAGUCAGAUGAGUCCCAUCAACCACAAUCACUAGUCUAAGCUUCCUAAAACCUUGGAUAGAUGCACCGAAUGCCAGGAACAAAUACAAGAACCUUUCACUGCCAUCUUCCUCAAGUUGAGUCUUCAUAUCUGUAAUAGUCCCUGGAUUUGCAUGUUUUAGAACAUACAAAUAUUCUAACAGCUGGUCAUACGACUCAUCUUCUGGACCAAAUAUGUCCUCAACAGCUUUCCCUUUUGCUCUCCAACAUUUGAUGUAUGAUGCCGAUACCCUAAGAUCCUCCAGUACUAAUUGCUGUAGAUCCUUUGGCACAGGGCCUUUCGUGGGAUCAUUGUACUUUGAUCUGUAUACUGCAGCAAUCACCCUAGAUGUUGCUUUCUUCAAAUAAUUGUUCCUUGUUUCUAUAGGGCAAGUUUGUUCCAAAGUAGCUUUCCUUAUCUCAUAGUAACCACAUCCCUUCAAUUCACAUGCUAGUAUCCUCCACUGGCAACGUUCACCGCUACAUUCCAAUACGAAAGAACCUUUCUUGGUAGUAGUCUGGGUGAAGUGGAACAUAUUCUGUAUGGCAUAUAUAGCUAUACCAAUCUGGCACUCUUCCUUACUUGCAAAAAUUUUCCCUUUAUAGAUCCCUUUGCCAUCUUCAUCUAUAUCUAGGUCUGGUAUAUCAUCCCUCUCAUACUCUAUGUCAUUAAACAGAGGAGGUAUAUCAAACUCCUCAUCAUCGAUAUCCUCUAGUUUACGUUCCUCUGAAGUCUGCUGCCCACCCAUAGCUGCCGCCAUAUAUCCAUGUUGCUCUGUCCAUGUGGAUGGUAUAGAGCCAUUAUUCCUCGUCGCUGUUUCAUGUUGAUUUGUCCAUGUGGAUGCUCCAGACCCAUCAACCAUGUUAGGCGCCUGCCCUGUUAAAAUUGGAGGCUCUUGCUCGACUUUCAUAUGAACUCCUCCAAACUCUUGUCCUGUAACACUAUCUGAAUUACACAUCACCUCAACCACAUUGACCCGUCCAUAAUUAUCUCCUAUGAAAUUGCCCCAAAAAUCUGUAUCGUACGCCUUUGGUGUCACAAAAAUAUCACUUUCGCCAUCUAGGUCAUCUACUCCGAAAUCUUCAUGCGCCUCUGUUUGUGUAUCAUCCUCAGUUUGUGUACCAUCCUCAGUUUGUGUACCAUCCUCAGUUUGUGUACCAUCCGCUGUUUCAUUUGCCUUUCUCUGGUCCUCUGCUUCUGCAACUCCUGCAAGGAAGGCCUCGUCUUCCUGCGUUACAUCAAUCACAACAUUCUUUGACCCGGCUGUUGAAGCUUCUCCAACAACAUCUGCAUCCUCACUUAUGUUCAGCCCCGCGGGAGAACCACAACUCCGUUUUCUACCACAUUCACCAUAGCUAAUUUUCUUUUCUUCCUCUAAACCUACUUCGUUUUGUCCCCUCUUCCUUAGUUCCUCAAAUGUCACAAACAAAUUUAAGUGCCUAUCCCCCCGUAACAUCCGAAUAUAAAAAUCCAAAGCAACAUUUGUCGUAACCAUUACUGGAGGCGCCCUUAAACCUGAAGCCAAAUGCAAGUCAGUAGGUAGACAAUAUCUCAAAUAGCUUUUUUAUGGACUAGACCGAACUCCUCCACCACAGCUUCUUCUAAUUCUUGCAAUGUUGUACCAGGCGACAAUGGCACCACUCUCGUCAACAGGACCUGGUCAACAGUGUAGUCGCACACAUUUAAAGUGGUAAAUUCCCACUUCCCCGACACCACUACACAGAAAGCCGGAUAAUCAUCCUGCACAUAAUCAAAUGAAACGUUAAUCAUUGUUUCCGAAUCCACAUUUCCGAAAGCAAAAAACCUUAUCCACAAAAGCAUACCUACGCAGCCAUGCUCCCCAGAAUGAAACCCCAAAAACCUAAAAGCAGCUUAGUGUUUUUAAGUUUUUAAUUGUCUCGCGUGGGUUACUAAAGAGUAACUAAACGACAUCAUCCAAAACUAAUUCAAUUACAACUUAUCUUUCAAAUCAGCAGGAGGGUAUUUUCGUCAUAUAAAUUGACACCUAAGUAGAAAAGAUGUGUAGAAGUUCACCUUCCACCGGAAGUGUGUUGUCUUGCAAACAAAAUCUAGCAAAGUAGGUUAUUCAACAAUUCACUCUAGUUUAUAAGGUAUAUCUAGAUCAUCAUUACUAUUGGAAGUCUCAAUACAAAUAUUUAUAAAGUUUUAAAAAGGUUCUAAUCGGCAUUUAUAAGACUUUUAUAAGGUUUACAAAGUUUUUAUAUGUUUUUUAAGUAAUUUUAAAAAGGGUUUCAAAAGGUAUUUAUAUGGUAUUUAAAUUUACACACAUAGAAAGAUAAUUUGUGUCUAAAUAUAUAAGCUUACACAUUUUUUUUUAUAAAUAUCAAGUUUUUUACUUUUUAAUUAUCAAAAGUACCCUUUUUUCAUACCACUUUUUAAAAAUACCCCUAUUUCAAAUUUUAUUUAAAAAACCACUUUAAAUGUUGAAAUUUAUCAAAAUAUGUGUGAAAACUUGUAAAUAUACACACAAAUUACCUUUAUAUAUGUUUAAAUUUUUAUAUAUCUUUCAUAAUAGCGUAAAAUAGGUUAUAAAUAUCUCUUUAAAACCUGUUAAACCCUUUUAAAAACCACUUAAAAACCUUAUAAAACUUGUAAAAACGAUUUAAAACCUUUUAAAAUAUUAUAAAAUAUUUGUAUCAAAUUUCCAAGUAGUAGUUAUUAUAUAGAAGUACCUUAUAAACCAUAUAAACAUGGAUAUUUUUGAAAAUGGAUAGAUGAAUGAGGUAUUUUUGAAAAGGGGUACACCAAAAGGGGUAUUUCUCAAAAAUUCUCUUUAUUUUUUUAUAAUUAUUUUUUAAUGUUGUUUAAAAAUUCUAUUUGUAUCUUAAUAUUAACAAAAUUAGAUAUAACAUGUUGCGACAUCUUAUGUUUUUACUUGACACUUAUCAUGAUCACGUGAGUUAGUAAAUUUAUAAACCAAGUUUCGACAUAUAAUCUCGUUUAACUGUUAAACUUAAACCAUAAUUUUAAUUUAUAAAGAUAAACCAUAAUUCUUAUUUAUCAUUAUAUACCCAAACCAAAAAAUAACCUGAUUUAAUUGUAAAAUUAAAGUUUAAACCUUAAUCAUCUUCUAUAAACAAAAACCGCCAUAUAUUCUUGUUAAUUAUAAAUUUUAAAUCCCUAUAUUAUUAUUAAACCAAAUUGACAUAACUGAAAUUAGGUUAUUUGUUUAAUUUUAUUAAUAUUUUUAAUAUAUAAUUCUUUAUAAUAUUUAUUUUAUAUAUUUCCUUUUUCGAUAGGGUUAAUAAUAUUUCUAUUUUAUCCAAAUAUUAACAAAAUUACGACACGUGUCAACAUUUUAUCGUUUAUAUGUGUCACGAUCUUGUUAAUGGCUUACUUUGAAAACCAAGGUUUAUAUAAUAAGAUAUAUGUUUUUAGGUUUUUUUAAAAUUAUAUUUUAGUUGCAUCGAAUCAAAUAAUUCGCUAAUAUCACAAAAAAAAAAUCGAAUAUUUGAAAAUGUUUGAAUCGAAACAAAUCCUAAAUUAUAUAUUCUCAGUCGAGAGAAGCAAAUCACAUAUACCGCGGGGUUUACCAAAUUUUCGCUUCGUGUGUAUGCAUAGCGUGUUGACCCAAAAAAAAAAAAUAUGCGUUGAAUUUUCAGGAAAGAGUUUUGGCCCGUCACUUAUUUAUGAUACCUCUGGAUCAUUGAGACAAGAGAACCCAUCAAUCCCCCCCCCCCUCCUAACAGAAAAACAAGAGAACCAAUCAAAUGUCUCAAAAGUUCGAUGUCUUUCUAAGUUUUAGAGGGUCCGACACUCGCCGCACCUUCAGCAGCUUUCUCUACCGUGAUUUGGUUCGAAUGAACAUACGAACUUUCAAAGACGACAAAGAGCUGGAGAUUGGUCAGAUGAUUUCGGCGGAGCUUGAUCGUGCCAUCGAGACCUCGAGAUUCGCGGUCGUUGUGGUCUCUGUGAACUACGCUGAGUCUCCUUGGUGCCUCGAAGAGCUCAGGAAGAUCAUGGAUUUAGUAAGAAACGGUUGGAUCACCGUGAUGCCCGUCUUCUACGGCGUGGAUCCGUGUCAUGUAAGGAGGCAGAGCGGAGUAUUUGUCGAACACUUUCAGAAGCACGAGACUAGAGAAGAUCAGGAGAAAGUGCUUUCAUGGAGGCAAGCACUGACCGAUUUGGCCAAUAUCUCCGGCAUUUGUUCAUCUCUUUGGUAAAAUUUCAGAACAUUUUACAAGUUUUACUAUCAGCAGCAUAAAAUUAUCUUUGAACGUUACGCACAAUACAUAUAUCAAAGUCUUCCCGAUGAUAAAGUUUUACUGUAAAAUUUUAUUAAAUUGAUUGUGAAGUUACAAUUUUUUAUAUUUCUUCUUGUCUCUAGUGAAGAUGACUCGAAGAUAGUAGACAAAAUUACGGAGCUAAUAUCAAAAAAUCUGAUGAUUAAUACAACAAGAAUCAAUGGGAGUGACCUUCGGGGGAUUUAUGCACACAUGAAAGCUUUUAACCGAUUAUUGAAUUUGAGCUCUAAGAAAAGUGUGAGAGUGAUUGGGAUUUGGGAGAGAGGCAGCACGAGAAGAUCGGUUUUAUCUAAAUUCGUUUAUGAGAACAUUUCUCAACACUUCGAAAGCCAUUUUUUCCUGGAAAGUGAUAAAAUGGUUUACAAGGAUCGUCACAUGUCGCAUCCCUUUGAAGAGUGGAUGAGUCAAAUAAGGCACAAGGACAAAAAGGUUUUACUUGUGGUUGAAAAUAUCAAAAAGCUUGAACAGUUCAAUGCUCUUGAAGAGCAUAUUGACAGUUUUGGUCCGGGCAGUAUAGUUAUCAUCACUACACAAGACAAGCAGGUGCUUUUCUCUUCUCGCAUAAAACUCGUUUAUGAAAUAGAGUGUCAGAUAUUGGAGGAAUCAACAAAUCAUGCAAAGGAAUGGUUUGGUCAUUUACGUGGUAAAAUCAGUUCGCAAAAUCCCAUUUUUCAUAGACAUUCAAUGCGUGGCUCCACUCAACAUCGAUUCGUUCUGAGACACAAAGCGUAAUACAGAGUAGGCGGUUGGCUGGUUUGGACGGAAUCCCAGUGGUAGCUACUUAUUUUCAAUUAUUUAGUAUAACUAGGUUUUAACUCGCGGUACACCACGUGAUUAAAUAUUAUUUAUUUAUUUAUUAAUUUAUAUAUUUGUAAAUUUAUUAAUUUUGUUGGAGUCUGUUUGAUAAUUAUUGAGAUUGCAUAACACAAAUUUUAAUUAGUGGGACAGUUUUAAAAAUACCAGAUCACCUUUUUUAUAAAUGCCCAAGUGGGGAGAAUAUAUAACAUUUAUUACAACAAGUUAAAGAAUUAUUAUUAUUGCAUUAAAUAAUAAAAUAAACUAUUGAAAUUUUUAUUAGAAAUUUUUUAAAAUAGUUUAGCUUUAUAUUUUUACAGAACAUGAGAAAUAAUUAAUGUAUUAAACAAUACAAAUUACAAAAUACGUUAAUUUGAUUUUUCUAAUAAAUAUUUUUAAAAUAAUUAUAGCAGACGAUUAGUUAACUAUAAUGAGUAAUAUGAUGAAAUGAAUUAUAAUUUUUAGAUGAUGGAAUGAAAAUAAUAUAUCAAAAUUAUAUGCUGAGUAACAUAUCAGAACUUUUAAUUAUAAAAAACAAUACAAAAUUUUGUAACCUUACUGCUCUUGAGAGUGAACUACAAGCCUUAAUUAUUGCUAUGCAACAUGCUUGGAGCAGAGGGUUUCAGAAAGUAAUCUUUGAAGCUGAUAAUAAGAAGGUUUCAGAGUUAAUGAAUGGUAUAUGUCUCAAUUUUGGGUGUUUCAACUGGAUUGGAGAGCCAAGAUCUUGGAAGGAAAGGUUUGAUGAUGUACAUCCCUUUAUUGAUUCAAAAUGCUAUAUUUUGUAACCUUACUUGAUCAAUUAAUAUAAGUUUGUCGUUAAAAAAAAUACAAAAUUUUAUAUAAAAUAAACUUCAAUCCGUUAUGUAGCACGGAGAAUGAUCUAAUCUACGAGUCUAAGCCAUUUUCUCAAUGAUCCGGUUAGACCACCAUUAUUGGUGGUCUCUUAAGCAUCUCUAAGUUUAAGAUUUGUUAGUAGUAAGGUUACAAAAGUUUAAGACUUUUUAAGAUUUGGUAAGAAAUAUCUUUUAUAUCUUAAAAGCAUAUCUUCGUUAGCAUCUCUUAGCGAUGCUUAAAAGACCACCAAUAAUGGUGGUCUAACUAAACAAAUGUUUCAAAUUUUAACUAAUUUAAAUCAGUCUACUAAUCAAAGCCAACUAAUUUCGUUUUUCUUUUAUCUAACGAAGAGUGCAUUUUUUUUUGGUAUGGAAAAUUCAACCUAGAGGAUAAGAUGAUAAUUGUCGUUCGUUAAUAAUAUUUUUUCUGUUUUGGCUGGCCAGGUCUUUUCCUUCUACAAACCCCCUCUUUCUGAGUAGUUCAGUGAAACAGAAGCUGACAAAAACUGAUGUUACAAUACACUAAACUGAAGAGUCUCUACACAAAUUAAGUCUCUACUAAAAGUCUCCUCUACCUGGCGUAUAUGAAGCACACUUAAUUUUAUAUUAGGAAAAAUUACUUAGAUAGAGUACAUUUUAGGUGUAUUGAUCAGAAUGUACCAAAACCUUUUUUUAUCCUUAAAUAUUUUUUAAUUAUCAGUGUGCCCUUUUUACAUGUUAUCGAAAAAAACUAAUUACAAAAAAUGUCAUCGCCACGUCAGACAAAAUGGCGUGUGUCUCCAAUAACUCAGCCAUAAUGUACGUUACGGCUGAUUAAUGUCACGUUACGGCUGAGUUCUGAACAACGGCUGAGUUUCGGGCUAACGGCUGACUUACGAUCAUAACUUAGCCAACAUUUAUUGCUGACUUAUAAAAAUCUGGUUGUGUUAUGAGAAAACUGCUAAUAACUCAGCCGCCGUUACGGUUCUUGAUGACUACGAAUUGGAUGAGUUGAGCCAUAAGGCAACGAUGAGCUACAUGAUCUCGUACAAAGCUAUGAAAAAUAUGUCCCAUGAUACUCGACGAGUAGUCGCUCAUUAUUAAAAGAUGGGAACUUGAGCCCAGAAAUUAAAGACAACUCCAGAAAUUGCAGGCAAACCCAUAAAUCGAAAGAACCCUAAAUCCCCAGUCUGAUUUCUCGAUUAUGUGUAUAAGAAAGAAGAAACAAUAAACGACGCCGUAUGGGUUAAUAUCGGCCAACCCACAAAAUUAAUUUACGAUAAGUCAUCCAAACCUCAAAAUCUGUCGAAGUAAUAAUUUGGCCAAACCUCAAAUCUCAAUAUCAUAACCAUAACUCAGGCGUAACAUUUACAUAACUCAGCUGUAAAGAUGUUAAAUAACUCAGCUGUUACACUUCAAUAACUCAGCCAAACCUCGAAUUUGAAAUAUAAGAUUAUACAUACAUUCAUGUUAUUACACCACUUAGAUGAGAUGUAAUUAACAUUUUUAUUCACUUUAACAAUGAAUAUAAUUAAAUUAGCUCGUGUUUAUACCUUUUAAGACUUAGGUUUACUACAAAGAGAUAAAUCCCUAAAAUGCUUGUCCAUUACUAGGCAGACAAUGUAAUACACUAACGUAAUACAAUUUACUCUCUCAUAUUAGUGUUAAUUUUAUCUUUUAUAUUACAAAGCUACAUUAAAUAUAUAUUCUAAUACCCUAAUGUUAAGUUUGUUGUUGAAUUUAAAAUGCUUGUUUAUUGUUGAAUUUAAUAUGUUUUUCGUAACUCAGCCACAUCUCCGAUUGUUAAUUUCGAUAACUCAGCCCGAUAAGUUUAUUGAUAACUCAGCCGUGACGCGACCUUUCGUCUUCUUCCCGUGUAUGAUAACUCAGCCGUAACAUAAAAACAUACCGCGAAAACCUAAGUAGAUUGAUAACUCAUCCGUAACGCGACCUUUCGUAUUCUUCUUAUGUAUGACGUGGCAAUUUCGGGUAUGACGUGGCAUGUCGGAUCUGACAUGGCAAUUUUUAAGUGAAAUAUGACCAAGGGUGUUUAUUGUAAUCACACCCAUCUCACUAAACAUCUAAGGAAUAAAAAAAGAUUUGUUUGUUUAAGAAGUAAACAUACAAUUGUGCUCUAUCUAAGUAUUUUUUUCUUUAUAUUAUCCAUACACACUCACAUAGUUAUAGAAAAUCAAAAUGACUUCUCCUACUGCAUCUAAGUACGAUGUCUUUCUAAGUUUUAGUGGGCAGGACACUCGCCGCACCUUCAGCAGCUUUCUCUACCAUGAAUUGGUUCAAAGCAACAUACGAACUUUCAAAGACGACAAAGACCUGGAGAUCGGUCAGAUGAUCUCACCGGAGCUUGAACGUGCCAUAGGGGACUCGAGAAUCGCGGUUGUUGUGGUCUCUGAGAACUACGUUGCGUCUCAUUGGUGCCUCGAAGAGCUCAGGAUGAUCAUGGAUUUCGAGGACCAGGGUUUGAUCACUAUGAAGCCCAUAUUCUACGGCGUGGAUCCAUUCAAUCUGGUAGUAGCUGAACAGAUUAAGAAGCACGAGGCAAGAGAAGAUCAUGAGAAAGUGCUUUCAUGGAAGCGAGCAUUGACCGAUUUGUGGUAUAUCUCCGGCCCUUGUUCAUGGAAAUGGUAAACAUUCCUAACUUAAAAUGAUUUAUCAUGUUAGUACCAUAACUACCACUAGACCUAUAAGGUAAGAUCUCUGGCAAAAGUUUAGAAAUUGAAGGUUUGAAUGGUGUUUCGGACGAAACCAUAUAAUCUGUUCUGGCUUUGAGUUUGAGGAGAUGUACAUACUUUGGUUUGGAACCUUUUAGUUAUUGAAAAAAAAAGAUUAAAAUUUUAUGGUUAGAUCUGAUUUAAUAUCAAGGAUUGAAUUUUUAUUUUUACACUUGAUUUGAAUCGAAAGAUUGAAUUUUCUUGUUAAAUCUGGUUUAAAUCGAUGCUUAAAGUUUCUAUUUUUUUUCUCGGUAGCGAAGAUGACGAGAAGCUGGUCAAAAAAAUUGCUGACGAUAUAUCAAAUAAGUUGAUGACUGUUACAAGUAAAACAAUACAAAAUGGGAGGGACAUAGUGGGGAUUGAUUAACACAUGAAGGAUCUUGACCGAUUAAUGGAUUUGAAUUCCAAGAAAGGAUUGACUGUGAUUAGGAUUUGGGCAAGAGGAUGCAAUGCUAGAUCAGCUCUAGCUAAAUAUGUUUACCAGAAAACAUAUCAACAUUUUGAAAGUCAUGGUUUCUUAGCAAAAGUGAGAACGAUUUCUCAAAGUUCCCACAUUGAAGGCCAUCUAUAUGAAGAGUUUCUGAAAAAUAUUAAAGGAGAAUACUCGACGAGCAAACAUAGUCCCAAGAACCAACGGGUUUUGCUCGUGGCAGACGACGUCGAUAAGCUUGAACAGUUACAUGCUCUUGCAGAACAUUUUGAAGAUGCAGUCUGAACAACGGAGUGUAUUAGUUCAGAGACUAGUUCAGACGUCUUAGCAAAAAUAGAACAACAAAUGAGGAAAGUGAAGAAAGGCGGUUUUACAUGGACACAAGACAACGAAGAAGUGUCUAGAAGCAUGAAGACUUUACUUUUAUAGGGAUAAAAGUAAAACAAGAAGAGUUGGAUAAUUUCCUAAUCCAUAAAGAAAAAGGAAAUUAUCCUAAAACCUAUUUAGAAGUAGAAUGGGAAUUUCCUGUUGUAUGGAGAUGUCCUAGUUCUAUUAAUAGGGAGCUGAGGCUUGAGAAAAGCUUAGCACAUUAAGAGAAAGAGAAUCUAGCAUUAAGAUUUAACUUGAGAGAAAAGAUAGUUAAGAGCUUAGAAAGUGCAAAGGGUUUCCUUGAGAGUUUUCUAAGAUUGUGUGUAUAUCUUAGAAAAAGAGCUUUGAGAAAUUAGAAAAUUGUUUAGGGAAAAACCCAUUGUAAACAGAUUUUCUAUUUAUCAAAGAAGAGUUUGAGAAACCAUGUUUUAAUGUUCUGAUCUAGAUCAAUCCGUGUGGCUCUUGCACUUACACAUUUUGGCACCUUUGGUCCGGGGAGUGUUGUUAUCAUCACUACAUAAGACAAGCAGUUGUUGAAUUCUGACGAUAUAAAGAAUGUCCACGAAGUAGAGUUUUUGAAGUUCCAUCCAGUUCACCAUCAAUUCUUCUGAACAUUAGCUUUUAAAAAGAGAGACAUUUAUGCCAGAAAAUGUUUUGGUUGGCUCUUUUUUUUUACUUUUCGUAACAGCUGGAAUGUUUUGGUUGGCCCUUUUUGUUCUUUUUUUAACAGCUGGAAUACGAGUAGUAGUAUAUAUGCUCACUGGAAAUUGUUACAAGCAUUUUAUUAAGUUUAUCUAUAAAAAUGAUUAUGCAUCUUUUGAUUGUACCAUUUAAUCUUAUCUUUUACAAUACUUGCCUUCGAGGUCCAUUGAUAAAUGGGAAAAAUGUCAGUUAAAUAAUAAACUUUUCCAAAAACGUCAUUUAAACUAUAAACUCUCCCUAAAAUCAUUUAAAAGAACAUGUUCUAUUGACUGUCUGUUUUAAACAUCAAAUGUUGUUGACGAAGCCUAAAUAGCAUCUAACAUUUGUUUACUCCGUCGUUAACUAAUAUGUUUCUUUAAUUUCUUUAUGUCUUAUCAUUGCAUCCCUGAGAUUUCGUGAUUUCCCUUCUUUUCAUGUGUCAAAUUAUACCCAAUGAUUCUACUAUUUUCACCUUUAAAAGCAAAAGUGCCUCUUAUGUUUCCAACUACCCUUCUAAACAGUAUUCCAAAGUAAGAAACUUUCUCUCCCUCUUCAACAGCCGAUUUUGAUUCAACUUGCUCAUCGUGCAUACCAAAACUUUCUACGUUUCUCAACCGUCGAUCAUGUUUUCCAUCGCUGCUGCCCUGACGUCUAAUGUUAACAAAGCCUCUUCUUCUAUUUCCCACUACUUAAACAGUUUCUCAAAGGAAAAAGCUUCCUCUCCACUUCCAAUCGCCAUUUUUUACUCAAAUUUCUCAUCACGUAAACGUUCUUCAUAUCCCAGCCGUCGAACAUAUCUUCAACCACAACUGCCUUGAUGUCUAACGUUACAAAAGCUUCAAUCAGUACUCCGUUAACUCUUCAUAUGUGGAGUUUGGGUAUGUACUCGACCGAAUGACCAAUUCGGCCCCUAAUUAUUCAUCGCAUAUAGUGACUUGCGCCCUCCAAAAGCAGAUCCUUGGAAAGUAUUCUAGCACUCUAUCGAAUCCAUUCCUAAUGCAUAGGCAGAGGCGGAUCAAGGGAUCUAUCGAACUAAACAAACAAAAGAUAAUGAGGGUCCUCCUCUUUCUUAUCAUUUCAAGCUUUUCUUCUUUCUGCUGUUGCUUUACUCCAAGGUCAGCUAAUGUUGUGGCAGAUACCCUUGCAAAACAUUGCCUAAGCUUGUAUGGUCAAAACAUUGGUUGAACUUGACACUAGCUUGACACAAGCUCUUUGGACAAUUAACAUUGCCUCUUUUCUUGCUUUUCUUUUAUAAAUCUCAUCAAAACUGCCUCGAUAAUAAGAUUCGGCCAAGCUUUUAAAGUUUAAUUCCAGCAUCUCCAAUGGUUUGUACAGUGAGAGAUUCUAAAAAUAAAAAAUAAUAAUAUUUUAAUCAGAUAACUAGGUAGCAACCCGUGCCACGGCACGGGCGAUUCGGUUAAAUACAUCUCAAUGUUUAUAGUGAAGAUUUAUACGAUUUACAUAACUCGGUAGGGUAAAGGAUAAAUGGUCCAGAUAAAUGUGAUUGGAAUACUAAGAAUGGCCGUAGAACACAGCAAAGAUUUAUCUAACUCGGUCGGUUGGUCACAAAAUCUCCAGCAGUUUUGUUCCACGGAUUGUAUUGCUCGUGAUGUAUAAUUAGGAGACUGGUAAUUUAUAUAAAGGUCCGGUGAUUCUAUAUAUCUUAUAGUUAUGCAUCAGGCCGAAUAAUUGUUACUCCUGAAAUUAAUUAGCUGAAACAUUCCUAAAUUUAUUAGGUUUCAGUUGAUUUAGAUUAUGAUAUAUUUGAACUUUAUAAAUGACACAAUUAUAUAAAAAAAAAUUUAAACGAAAUUCAAACAAACGUAGUUAAUUUUUAAAAAAGUCCACAACAUAAAAAUAAAGUUUUACAAAACAUGGGAUAAAAUAAAAGAAAUAUAUAUACUACUACAUCUGAAGUAGUAUUAAUCAGAAUCCUGAUCGCUAGGUAGUCGCCAAGUAUACUCAGCCAAUCCUUCAGGUCCCCUAUAUUUCCAGAAAAGAUAAUUAGUAAAGAAUGGAUUCUCUAUUAGGUUUGUUUCAAUGAGACUAUAAAAACAUAAAUAAACUUACAGUAGAUGGCCUAGAUUCAUUUCGUCAUACUCUUUGUCCAAAAACAUUCUAGAAUAUCCAUAUUCAGACAUAAUAUACGGAUUACCUAUUGAAUAAAGAAAACGAUGAUGUGAAGAUUUAAUUAUUCAGUUAUUACUAUUGCAUACAUUUCGUAUAAAAUUUGUGAAUGAAGUUUACUUACCUUCAAAUUCAAAAAUUCUCCAGAAACGAAGAACACACAUUAUCGGUCUAUCCACAGGGUGUUCGAACACAAUAUUUGUCGACUCGUUCAGGAUUUUUCUAGCAAGUUUUCCUACGGCCACACAAAGGAUAUCUUUCCUCCUGUAAAAUUUUGUAAAUAUUAGGUGACACAUUAUCAAAAAUUAAUUGUUGUAUAUAUAUGAUGAAGAAAUUUAAAAAUUUAAUCAAGUAUACGUUUCAUCUGUCAAGGUAAAUGUGACAACACUCUUAGCAUUUGCAUAACCAUAUUCUCCAUCAACGAAAUUAAUUUUGCGCAUGUCAGAAACUUCUUUCAAAACACCGCUUGCAUCUGAAUUGAGAUAGUUAACACAUAAUUAAACGGCAAUCCAAUUAUAAUGGAAUAUUAUUUUAGCAAAACAGUAUUUUUAUAUCAUAAAAUAUCAAAAUACAUACCAACACAGUAUUUGCGGUCCUCUUCAUGUGCAAAGUCAAUUUUUAUCGCAGUGGUGACUUUGAAAUAUUCACUAUCGAUGUACGAAGUCACUUCAUGCAUAGUUGUGCCGUGCACCAUUGUUAUUGUGAGAUGAUUGUGUGAGUUUUUAAUUGGUAAGCGAUUUUCAAUUACCUGGAAGUUAGUCAAUUGGUACCAUGAAUCCUCACGAAUUCGAUUAUGGAAAGGAGAUGCGUAUCUGAUGUAGGGUAUUGUAGCAUCAAUCUUACAACCCUGAAAUAAACAUGAUAGAUAAAGAAAGAUUUAAGGAGGAUGAAUAUACUAAAACAAAGCAAUAAUUUUGUGGGAAAGAGAAUUAACAACUUUGGUCUGACCUUCUCAUCAACCAAAAUCAUCUCUCUUUCCUCUUUCCGUUUGAAUCAGGUUUAGGCUUUCAUAUUGAUAGAACUUUAACAUUCACACUCCAAUUAGUUUAUUUGGUAGUAAGAUCUGAGAAGAAGUUUGUGGUUGCCAUGACUUGUUUACAGAAGAUUGUGUACUGAAUAGGCGUUCUUGUGUUUUGAGAUUUUUGUAGAUGCCGUUUAUAUCUAUGAUAAUAUUAGAUCUACUGUCUUGUAGUUUAUUUUUUGAAUUAAAUAAAUAGAUAUAGAUGUGUUUUUUAAUAUUAUAUAAGUUUACUAUUUUCCGAAAUUACCAGGAGACAAAAGCUGUCAUCGAAGCUUUUUUUAUAUAUAUUAAUCUGGAAUAUGUUAUAUGCAUUGUGGUUAUAUCAUUAUCAUUUUUCAAUGUAUACAGUAUUAAUACUUUUGACUGAACUAAUCUAUAUAAUACUGUUUUUUUGCUGGCCCUAUAAGACAUAUAAAACGAAUAGAAUAAGAUUUAAAAUAGAGGGCUUAUUUGAAAAGUAGUAUAUCUAUCUUAACAUUUUUGAAGUACAUUUUGUACAAAAAUCUAUUUUGGCUUAUGACCUUUUAUUUUUUAAUAUUUACAAAAUCAAACCCUUGCCAUUUGAAUAAAUAACAAAACUUAAAAGUAAAUUUUGUAAUUAAAUCAUAAGCAAAUCGCAAAAUUGGAAACAAAUAUUUAUUAGAUCAAAAAAUUUCCUAAAAUCUCUCUCUAAUAAACUGAAUAUCUGUUCAAUAUAUUUAUAUACUCUUAUUUGUUUUAAAUUUAUAUUAUUGCAUAAAACAUAUUUAUAAUAAAAAUACAAACUUUUUUCCACACAUUUUGCAAUUUAAAAUUUUGAAAACGGACGUAUUUAACUCAAUCAAUAAAGGAAAAAUAUAUGUACAACGUCUACAUAAGAUAGGAAAUUUUAGAUAAUAGUUCAAAACCUUUAUAAAUAAGACUAAUAUGUUUACAACUACAAAUGAGCAUGAACUUUGAUUUCUCAAGUAUCCAAAUUAAAAAAUUUAUUAGUUUAAUACGGUUCUUUAUUUAAGAAAAAUAAUAUUUUAAAAAAGUUUCAAAAUAUUAUAAAUUUUAAUUUUUUUAACAAGUUUAAAAUAGGAUAAAUAUUAAAACUUUUAAAAGCUGAAAAUUAUGAUAUUUUAUUUAAGUUUUAUAGAAUAUUAAAAUAAUGAAAAUAUUUAAAUUCUACAAAAAUUAAUAGUAUUAUUAAUAUUUUAGUUCUACAAAUAUUUAAAAUAUAAUAAUAUUGUACAUAAAUAUGAUUGAACGGGUUUGAAUUUACAUAAAUAUGAUAUAUUUUUCUGCGGAUUGUCUAUAUUUAAAAUAUUUUACGGGUUAAGUUAAAAUAUAUUUUUUUUAUUUACAACAAAAUCGUCUGGUGAUGUACCGUCGGUUUAGCACAUAUAUCUAUGAAUCUACUUAUAAUACAAAUUAAUGAAAUUAUAUUAAAUUAAAUGAAAUAAACAUGUAUAAAACUAAACUAUAUAAACCAAAUACGAAAAUGAUCAACCAAAGAAAUAUAUUAAACUAUGGACCCGUGGUGUACCACGGGUUAAAUCCUAGUAAAUGAAGUACUAAUGUUUUAAAAAACUGAAAAUCUUACAAUUAUUGAUGCUAACAAAACUUAUUGUUUUACCUGGAGCAAUCUUCCGGAUUUAUUAAAGGUUCUGAAAGACUUCUUUGACUUUGAAGACAACAUUCCUUGUUUUUGUUUGCGGUUUUCCUUUUGUAUAUGUUAUCAGAACUUUCAAGCCAGAUUUUGAACUUACACGGGACAUUGCAACAUAUAGUUGGCCAUGUGAAAAACCGGCCUUGGUAAAUAUAUACCGACUUUAGAAAGUGAUUGUUCUUGGCUCUUGUUGAUGGUCAUUGCAAAGGCAACAGAUACUGGAAAUUGUCUCUGCCUCAUUUUGAAAGGUAAUCUUGACUCUGAUGGUGUUAAAACUAUUCUUGGCAACAAAACUAAUUUCCUAACUCUUGUACCAGUUAGGAUUCGUGCUUGCAAAACAUGAUCUGCCAUUUGUAUAAUCUGAAGUCUUGUACCAUUCAUCAGACCUCCAUGGGCAUCAAUGUUGUGCAAUAACAUUACAGGGCAACCUACUUUCAAACGAAGAGCAUGGUUUGGUACACCAGAAACCCUGAUUGAAAUUAAAAAAUCAGGACUAUACGUAGGAUUGUCUUUGUUUCGUUUAUCGGAGGGAUCGAGACUAUCCAAACUUAAAUAAAUCCUCUCUUCACCUGUUAAGCGAUAUACAAAAAUCGAGUUAUAAUGAGUAAUUGUCAUUUUGAUACAGAUAUUAUAAGAUAUAAGGUAAAUAUACUACUAACCGUCUAUUCUUGAUAGCAUGUGGUCAUUAAUUGAAUUGACAUCAUCAUUCGUUGGACAUAAUAUAGCUCGGCUUUGGAAAUAUGAAGGAUCCUUCUCGGUGGCGAAUGAAUUCCCGUAUAUUUCUCUAAUGAUCGAUUCAAUAGGGUUGUCUACUUCUGUGAUAAGCAACUCUUCAGUGAUAUCAAUAUUAGCAACUCCAUCAUUUGGCUCGUUUAGUCUGCCUUCUCCUACAUAAAGUAUCCAUUUAGAGAAUUCUUCAAUUUCAUGGGCCUCAGUGGAACUAAUGUUUUGAAACAACCUCAUAUUCUUUGUCAACUUAAAAAAUUUACAAUGCUCCCAAAGGUAUGAUGCAUUCAAUGAUGAGUUUACUAUAUGUUCUCUACCAGCACCAGCUAUCACAGAAAGUAUCUGACGGAAAUCACCACCGAAAAGCAUAACUUUGCCUGCAAACGGUUUAUCUUCUGCACCUUGUAUUAUAUCUUGAAGACUUCUAUCCAAUGUUUCAAAACAGUAUUUACUCAUCAUCUGAGCUUCAUCCCAAAUGAUCAACUUCGCUAAUUGGAUUAAUUCACCCAGAUCGGACGACCUUGACAUGGUGCACAUUGAAGUUACAUGGACAUGUAUAGGAAUACCAAACCUCGAAUGAGCAGUUCUUCCACCUUCUAACAGAAGUGAUGCUACACCGCUAGAUGCAACGUUUAACACAUUGUCUCCUUUUGAGCUUAUAGCUGCCGAUAAAACUUUCCAGAGUAAUGUUUUGCCAGUUCCUCCAAAACCGUAUAAGAAAAACACACCACCUCUAUCGUUUAGCACAGCGUCUAUAAUCUCAUCAAAUACCUUCUUCUGCUCUUCUGUUAGCAUUUUAACCCAUUUGUCAUGUUUUACUUUAGACCAUCUUGAUUGCAAAACCUUCUUUCAUCUGCUAUUAACUGGUUCAAGACUGGUAGAUCAUCAGUAGGUAGUUGUGGUAACAUCUUAAAAGCUUUAAGAGAAGUCCCAUUCCUUUUCAAAUGCUUGUUUAUUUCUAUCAGAUAGUAUAUUUUCCUUUCAUCAUCCGUGAGAAUAAGUUCUGUGAAAUUGACAGAGUAACAAAAUUAAAUAUUAGUAAUCAUUAUUUAACCGUGACAUUUAUUUAAUAGAUUACUAACUAACCUGGUCGUUUUAAUUCAACUUGUUUCCUCCUUAAGAUAUAUUCAGAUAACAACUCACAUGUAGCUUCCCAUACAAUAUGAGGGGUACUCAAUACAGCAGCAAGUAACAUAAAAACAAACAUUUUCCGAACAAACUUUGGAGAACACAUAAAAUGCGCUUCUUUGAGUCCUUCAAUAUAUUCAUUUUCAUCAUCCAACAACUCCCGAGCAUGGCAAGCUUCCUUGUAUGAUUCGUGUACGACUCCAUCUACAGUUUUAAUAUGGUCAAAACUUCUAGGACCUCAAACAAAAUUAAGUAGAAUCCUCAAAUGAUAAGCAUCAUCUAUAACUGGAGGUACGUAAUUGAUUCUCCCUAUUGCAAACGCUUUGGUCUUCCUUCGGUGAAAGAUUUUGUUUUUUCAAUCCCAAAUGAACUUACUUGGUAUUUCUUCAUAUAACAGUUGUUGAGCUUCGGUAUUAUGCUGAUUCAGUUGAAAUAGAGCAAGAAACUGAGACUCGUCAAGAGUGUCGCGAUCCAGUACAUCGUUAGGAGAUUCAUUAUCUCGGAAAUAAAUAGGCUGCUUUCCUUCUUCGUGGAAAGUAAGAGGCUCAACUGCAGUUUGUCUAUAAUGGAUGUUAUAUUUAUAAAUCCUCCACAUAGUUUCACAUGCAGAUACAUAUCUGAAAUAGGUUGAAUAGAUAAUUCUCAGUAUUUCUUCUGUUAGGUUUAUUUUAAAGCAAGCUAUUAAAGUUCAAUACAUUUAAUGAAUAAUGAUUUAAGGUGAAGAUAAUAAUAUACCUGAAGUCGAAGAAAUCUUGAAUUUCGUUCUUUUGAGCCGGAGUUGUUUCAUUUGAAGAUUUAUUCUGAGUAUCUUUAACAACUUCUUUUGCAACAGGAGAUACAACAACAGUUAUUCUAUCAAGACCUUUGUGGACAUACUUAAAUAAGUAUUUGACAAAGCCAGUUUGGUUGCACCACUCGACGUUAAUAUGAGCAUGAUAUUUUAACGACAGUUGACGAUUGUAAGGCACCACGUAUCUAUUAUCACAUUUAAAACCCUUCUUAUCGAUAAAACGCCCAUCGUUUCUUCUUCUAUAAACCGGGUAACCUUCUUUGUCAAUUUUUUUUGUCUUCUCAAAUGGUUUAGGGAAAAAUUUGGUACAUGAUCCCUCUUCCAUGCAUGGAGAAAACGGAUUUACACUUCCACUUGGACCAUGAAUCAUAUAGUCUGAUAUGAUAUUGUAUAGUUUUGGAUCUGUAUCCUUAUCAGGGAUUUCAGCACAAAUAAUCUUAUCAGUUUCAUCAGUGGUUGGGAACUUACUUUUUGGAUCCAUCCAGAGCAUGUCGAAGGCCCCUUUUUUGAAACUCAACUGUAUACAUCGCUGAAACAAAGACACAUUAGAUAUUCGCAUAAGUAAUGUCAUAUAGAUACAAACAAAGAAAUUAUAAAAUAGUUAACGUAUUGUAGGACUAAAAUAAUGACCUGAUACUGUUUUCCCGAAAUGAUUCCUUUAACUGAUGUCAUCAAGUAGAUUUUCAAGUUUGAUCUUGAAAAUCUUACAAAUAACGUCAGGUCUAUCUUCAGGCUUUAACUUCAUUGCUUUUACAAAUCUAGUGAUUUCUGGCCAUUUAGGAUUACAUGUGAAUGUUAUAAAAAGAUCAGGAAAAUCGAAUUUCUUACAGGUUGCCAUUGCAUCAAGGUAGCUUUGGCGCAUAUAACGCAGACCACCGACAAAAGACGUGGGAAGUAUAAUGGAGUUUCCCCGAAGGGUUAGGUCAUCAUCUCCAGCAUUAAAUGAUUUCCUCAAAUCUGCUUUAUUUGUUCUUCGCAGUUUUUUCUGAUUUCUGUUUGUUUCGAUCAUUGUAUAUGCACCGACAACAAACUGUUGUAGCAACCGUUUUGAUCUCAGAAGAACAUGCUUCUCCUCUUUCCUUUCUUGAAGCAUGUAUGCAAACCAUUGACGCAUACUCAUAUCCUUUUGUUUUUUUGCUUUUGAACCCUUUUUAUGUUUUGUUUUAAGACCAAGUCUGAAGCCAUCUUCUCCUCGUGGAAAAAGCAAAGGAUACUGCAAAGCUAUAUAUGCUACAUGAGAUUCAUGUAUCCUUUUCAAGUUACAAUUACUUUUUUGUAGAACAAUGUCACGCUUAUCCAUUGUUGCAUCAAAAUCACCAGGUAUCAAGGCGGCUACUUCAGAUGCAGUAGGGAUGUUGUAUAAUGUACCAUCUGUCUUUUGAUUGGAAACAAUACGCAUGUGAAAAGUGGACUCUUCUUUUUCCAUCUGAAAACGGUCCCUUGCCAUUCUAAAAGCUUGUACAUGAGGGUUGUAUUUGUCAAGCAAGCUGAUUAUGCGUUUUAUGAGAUCUUCGCGGAAUUUCUUCUUCACAUUGUGAUAAUCCUGUCCAUUAUUUGAGUCCCUUGCAUUUUAAAAUAUUAACUAGGCUUAAGAACAGUAGGGUCGAAAAAAAGACAGCGUAAACAUAAACAUAUUGGAUUGAAUUAAAUUACCUCAUAACAUUCAAUAUGAUUGGUAUACUAAUAUAUUACCGCUAUCUGAGUCGUAAAGAGAAUUUUCAUUUAUGUCAAGAACAUCUAAAUUAGACAUUUUUGGAACAUUGGCAAUGUUCCUCCUCUUGCAGAUUGUUUUUGAUGACACUAUGUUGACUUUCUCUGUGUUUAAGAUUUAAAAAUAAAGAUGUCAGAUUAAAUUAACAGAAGCGAAUAUGAGGCCAAUAAUCUAUACUAUAAUAGUAAAUAAAAUCAGCCGAGAAAGUGUGAAAUACAUGUAGAAACAUCAACCGUUAAUGUAUUUGCGCUAGGUGGACAAAAUGGAGCCUCCUCUAGGAUAUGUAUAGUACUAUUUGUAAUAUUAGUAAUAUCUGAUGAUAUUUGGUCGGAUGUAGGAGAGUAGUAAUUUUCAUGAAGUUGAUCUACAAAGAAAUCUGAACAAAAUAUAAUGUACAUAAUAAAAAUGAAUCAAGGCUAGUUUAAAAUGUACCGCUGCUGAUGUGGAUUUGUCUGGCUAAUUUUUUUAUAUGUGUUAGUCUUGUAAAGGAACGGGAUAAAGAUUAAACAUGAGCAGAUAAUCUGUGAUCAGCUGUUGUAACGGAUUCUGUAUAUGAUUACAAAAACACAUUAAGAGUUAUAUAUGAUUACAAUAUUGAAACAGUAUGAGAUGCUUAAAAUGAGUGAUUAUUCACCAUUAGUUAAAAAAGGAACGUUUUCCUUCUCCUUGAUAUAGUGGUGGUCAAUAGGUAUGGAGAUAGUUGGUGUUCGAUUAUCAAUACCUAUUUGACAGAGAAAUAUGUAUAGUAGUUUCAGUAAAUGAAUAUAAAUUGAAAUUACUUAAUAACAGUAAUAAAAUACAUUUUUAGUUAACACUUGUAUUAGAAGGAGGAGAGACAACAGAAUGAUGGGGAUUGGUAAUAUCAUUCAGAACUCUUCCGAAUACUGAUUUAACGGUGACAACAGAAUUGGGUAAGUUUGAACAUAAUGGCCUUGGCGACCGUAAUGUUUCUCCACAUCCUUUUCUUCGAAUAGUUGUGUUGUCAUGAUCCUUUCUUUGAAGGUGGUUAUUAAGGAAGGUAGGACUUGGUGUCUUAUAACCAAGAACUAUUGACAUCAAAAUAAGGGUUAAUAUGUUACGAAAAUAUAUCAACAUAAUUGAAUUGUUAUACGUUUCUAAAUACACUUGAUACAUGUUCUAGGAUGAGAAGAGCUAACCAAAGAUUGAUGAAUAGUAAUAUCAUUUAGAACUCUUCGAGAAUCAGGUUUCACAUUGCCUCCGGAAGUGGUUAUGUUUGAGCACAAAGGGCUAGGAAUUAUAUCCUUAUUAGCAGAAAGUUUUGUAGACAACUUCCUGUUUUUGGGUUGUUUAGAAAUGUUAUUUGAAAGAUUUUCAUCGGCAAAUUCUUUUCUCUUCUUCAUAGGGAGAACUUGGUAGGGUUUAAGAAAAUAUUGUCGACUGGGGUAAUGCAAAUUUUAUUUAAACGGCUGCUACCUUCAAAUUUGGAAUAUAAUAAUAACGACUAAGAUUUGAUUGAAGAUUAUUUCCAGACCUUGACCAAUUAAAUAUUUUGAAACAAAAAUUACGGAAGCUAUCAAAUUUGAAAAACAAUGAUGCGGGAAAAACGAAUUUGUAAAGACAUGAUUUUGUGGCUUUGUUAAGGCCCAACAAAUUUACGUUCCCUAAUUAUUCUAUGAUUACAUAUAAAUUAAACGGUUAUGAUUAAAAGCUUUCCCUUACAACGAAUGACCGAGAUUAAAAGUUAUGAUUUUCGGCGGAAUUAUUAAACCGUCAGGAUUAACAGCUACCACUUAUAAACGGAUGGCGAAAAUUAGAACAUAAAAUUUUCAGGUUUGGUAAGCGGGUAUAAAAGAUCCGCGCGUUUAUCCGUAUUUUGAUUUGUUUGGCAACAGUUUUAUGAUUUCUUAUACUAUAGUAUUAAUACGAAAAUUUAAUGAUUUUGUUUGGCUACAGGGUUAAAUCGCAUUUACUUUAAUAGUAUAGAUUAUAUUUUAGUUUUUAAAUAGGGAUAUACCAACUAAUACAAGCCUAUGUGUGAAAACAUUAAGAGACCGUAUCUAAAAAAAAUUAUUUAUAACUUUUUUAUGUUCUCUUUCUUACAAUUUGAAAAAAAAAUACAUUAACCCAAAUUUAGAAAUUAAUUACUAAACUAACUCAUAAAAUAUAUGGGUUAAUUGAGUUCUUUUCAUGACUAGAAUAUCUUUUUUGCUUUGUUAGCAAAAAAAAUAAAAGUCAAUUUUACCUUUAAAAAAUUCCAGCGAUUUUGAAAAAAUUGAAAAAUAAUUUUAAAAGACCGUCGGACUAGUUAUGACAGAUUUAUUUAUGAACGAAAUGUUUUUUUUGGCAUGAUAGAUUUUUCGGCAGAUUUAUUUUGGACGACAAAUUAUUUAGAAAUAAGUACGAUAAAUUUAUAAUUAGUGAUAGAUUUGUUUUUUACGACAGAUUUAUUAAUAAACACACCUUAGACUAUCAUAAUAUAUCAUAAUAUAUGACAGAUUUGUUAUAAUAUUUGGCAGAAUUAUUUUUUUACAGUAAUUUCAGACUUAUUUUUUCAUUAAAAAUCAGUCAUAUUAUGACAGUUUUUUUAACAAAAAUAUAAAUACUAGUUUAUCGUCUAGUGAUAACCGAUUUGUUCAAAGUUACAACAGAGUUUAAAAUUUAACCAAAAAUAUGUUGUCUGAUAACAGAUUUGUUUAAGUUUUUCUAAAAUUGCUAGAAUGACCUACGUUGAGACCAUUUUUAUGCAUGUUAUGACAGAUUUAUUAAUCUAGUGACAGAUUUGUUAAAGUUUUAUUUAAAAAAAAAUCUGUUGUUUGAUAACAAAUUUAUAGAUGUAGGUAUAGUGAUAUCAUAUUUUUUUUAUGUUACGACAGAUUUCUAUAUUAAAUAUAGAGAAAUUGAUACCAAUAACCUUUUGUAUGAUACCCUCUUUUAAAAAUACCCUCUUUUUCUGCCAUUUUCAUUUUUGCCCUCUCUUAAAUUUUAAUGGUCAUUUUUACCCCUAUUUGAAAGAAUAUUCUUUCCUAAAUGAAGAAAUAUUCCUUCCAAAAAUUUUCCCCCCAAAAUUUUUCGCCAAAAUUUUUCCCGCCAAAAUUUUCCCGCCAAGAAAUUUUCCCAAAAAAAUUUCCGCAAAAAAAAAAAUUUACAAAAUUUUCCUGCCAAAUUUUUCAAAGGGUAUACAAGAUUUUUUAAAGGGUCUUUCAAAGGGUUUACAAGGGUUUUAAAAGGGUUCACAAGGGUUUUUAAAGGGACUUACAAGAGUUUUUAAAUGGUUUUUAAAAGUUUUUAUAAGUUUAUAACAGUUUUAAAAGGAUUUACAAGGAUUUUUAAAUGAUUUUAAAAAUUUAAAAGAAUUUUUAAAGGUUUUUUUAAAGGAUUUACAAGUGUUUUAAAAAGGAUUUACAAGUGUAUUUAAAGGCAUACAAGGAUUUAAAAAUGGUUUUAAAAGGAUUUACAAGAUAUUUGAAAAAUAUUUACAAAGAUUUAAAAAUAGUUUUAAAGGAUUUACAUGGGGUUUUAAAGGGUUUUAGAAGUUUACAAAGUUUUUUAAAGGGUUUACAAAAGUUUUUAAAGGUAUUACAAGUUCUUUAAAAUGGUUUUUAAGGAUUUACAAGGGUUUUAAAGGGUUUUAGAAGUUUACAAAAGUUUUUAUUAAAUGAUUUAUCACAGUUAUAAAGGGGUUAAAGGGAUUUACAAGUGUUUAUAGAUGUUAUAAAAUGAUUUACAAUGUUUUUAAAAGGUUUACUCAAGUUUUGAAAGGUUUUGGAUGACUUAUAAAAGAUUUACAAGGGGUUUCAAAGGAUUUUUAAGGGAUUGAAAAAUAUUUACAAGGUUUUUUAAGGAAUUGCGGAAAUUUUUUGGAUGAAAAUUUUUGGCGGGAAAAUUUUUGUCGGAAAUUUUUGGCGGGAAAUUUUUCAGAAGGAAUAUUCUUUUUGUUGGAAGGAAUAUUCUUUUUGUUUGAAAGAAUAUUUCUUUCUUCAUCAUGGGUUAUAAUAAAGGAGGGUAAUUUAGUCAUUUUAUACAUUGAAGAUGGUAUUUUUGAAAAUUAACACCUAGAUAGGGUAGUUGUAGAAAAAGGGUAUCAUAAAAAGGUUAAUUAUGCAAAUCUCUCUUAAAUAUAAUCAUGACAGCUUUUAGUUUCUCUUUAUUUUCUUGCUUUUUAAAAUAUUAAAUUUAUAAAAAAUAACCGUUAAAAAAUAAUUAUUUUUAAAUGGUGACUAAAUUGAAGAAUAACGAAGUUAGUGAGACUAAUAAUGAUUAAUUAUUAUUUUUAAAUAAUUUUUUAUUUUUAAGUUCUUAAAUUUUUUUUUUUGUCAACAUCAAUAAUAUAGAUGACUCAAACGAGCCAGGAGGUAGGAACAUUGUUUACAUACAAACAACUCAGCGGUUCGACACGUGCCCGACGUGCUAACAAAUCCGCUUUAAUAUUAGAUCGACGAGAAACUUUUACUAAAAGAAAAGAAGAAAAAAAUACUUCCCUAUCCGCGUAAAUUUCCUCUAAAUAUGUGACAAACGCCGGCCAUUCUUUUGGGGAAGACACCAUCUCCACCAGGUCUGAACAGUCUGUAAUGAAAGUCACUUCACGUCUCUCUGCUGCAAUCAUACAUUUCAUUGCCCACACUAGGGCCUCGACUUCGGUAUGUAACGGCGAUAGACUCCUUCGAAGGUUACCUGCACCCAUCGUGUGUUCACCAGUUGUAGACGUACAAUACCUGCCUAAACCUGCAAAAGUGUCACUAUCCUUCCAAGAUCCAUCCACAAAACAUGUGUAGCCUGGAUAAUCAAUCCUAGGAACGUCGUAAGCGUGAGAUAAAGCACGCGGUAUCCCAGGUUCAUUCUCGGCAUUCUCCCCAGACUGCGCAGCAAACCAUGAUGUUGCCUCGCUCUCUGCCAGUUCUUAAAUUUUAAAUUUAUAUAUUUUAAUAUUUAUUAUAAUUUUGAAAUUUAUUACUCUUUUAUUUUAUUUAGGAAAAAAAAUUAUUUAGAUUUAUUCUUAUUUUAUUUUAUAAAUUUAAGAAAAACAUUUAUAAAUAAAAAAAAUUAUAUUUUGUUUAAUUUUAUAUUAUGUAUUUUUGGAAAUGUCUAUAAACUUUUUAUUUCUAUAUAUCUUAUUUUUUAUUUGAUGUUUUUCGUUUGUUUUUGUAUAAAUUUGAUUAGGUUAUUAUGACAGACUUAAUAUAAGUGUGACAGAUUUCUCUAUUAAUUUCCAUUUUUGAAGUUUAGGUUUUUUGGUCUUUUUACAUUAAUAUUGUGUCAUUCUAGUAAUGAUCAAUAUUAGAGGAUUAAUUAAGUUAAAUUUCACUAUGUUUUUAUCUUUAUUAAAGUAAAAAUCCAAACGUAUUAAGGAAAAUAAAAGACACAACACCUAUGUUGGUUGCUUAAAGCCCAAGAAAGCAAACGACCAAGCCCACAAGUAAGGAUGCGCUGCAUCACUUCCGGAGUCAAGCUCAUCCUUCAUGACCAGCUUUCGAAGUAUAAUUCAGUGGUUGCGGAUUAUACUUCCUUCUUUCUCGAGUUUUAUUCACGAUAAAGAUUAAUAAUUAACAUAAUUUUUAACAAGUUUUGACCAAGAUUCACGUCGGUAUUUAUAUAUAUAUAUCAUAUAUGUAUCAUAUAUAUAUGCGCUUAGGUUAUUUUGGCUAUACAUACUUCAGUAACUCGAUUACUAACCGAAACCGAAACCAAACUGAUUCCUAAAAGAUUUAAUAGAUCUAAUCGGUUAAUUGGUUUCCUGCUUUUUUCCCAAGCCUAGGAUCUACUAUGAGAGGGUACAGUUUGGGCGUUACAAAAUCCCAUGUAGACGGGUCUCACAAGCUUAUGGCUUUGAGUUUUAUAUAGAGUAUACUAGGUUUUUAACUCAUGCUACGCGUAGGUAUAUUCAAUAUAUUUAGGUAAAAAUUAUUUAUGAUUGACGAUUAAUCAAUUAACUACUCGGAACAACGUCGUCCAUCUAUAUUCCUAAACUCGAAGUUAGAUGCCUUUCUACCAUAACUUAGUUUUAUGUUUCCAGAAUACUCAUACCAAAUUUCAUAAACAAACUAACUAACUAAUCAAGAUAUCAAUAAAUAAUAAACAAAGAAAAAAACAAAAAAAAUAAAGAUAUCGAAUUAUAGGUUUUACCUUAGCAUCCUCUGCCUAACAUUAUCUCUAGUUACUUCAUUAAAAGACUUUCCGGAUCAAAGAUCCCUAUCUAGAAAAUACUCUUAUCACAUAAACAAAACAAAAACAAAAAAAAAUUAGAAUUGAACUAAACAAUAACUUUUCACAACUUAGUAAUACUCCUACUACAUUAAAAUAAUCCUAUUACAUACCCUAAAUCAUUUCAUUGACUUUCACAACUUAGUAAUAUCUAUUUUUUAAAAUAUAGAUUAACUUUCACAAUUUAGUAAUAUCUAUUUUUUGCACUUAGCGUGCGGGUUAGAAUACUAUAAUUGUGUAAGUUAUUAACAAAACACUCGAGCCAUCAAGUUAGAAUCUAUAUGAACAUUUUUGAAGUGCCUUUUGGAAAGUAACCUUUUAUUUUGUAUUAUUUGCAAUCAUAAACCAUUGCCAUUUGAAUGAAUAACAAAAGUUUAAAGUAAAAUUUAAAAUUACAUUAUAAUAAAAAUUGCAAAACUGGAAAUCAGUAUUUAUUACAUUCAAUAGAAUUUUCUAAAAUCUCACCCUAAUAAAUCAAAUUAUUCUCUACUAUAUUUAUAUUAUCUUAUUUUCUUUAAAAUUUAUAUUAUUACAUAAAGCAUAUGUAUAAUAAAAAUAUAUUUUUCCGCACAUAUUACAAUUUGAAUUUUUUAAAACGGACGUAUAUUACUCAAUCGAUACAAAACAAUUUUUAUUUACUAAACUAUUGUUGAUAAUGUGUAGCACGGGUCAUGUGAUGGAACGUGUUAUAAUUUACAUAAUUAUGAUUUUAGCUGUUUUUAUGGGUUGUCUGUUAUAGUAAAACUCACAAAAUAAUUUAAUCUGACACUAGACUAUUUAAACGAAAUAUGUUAUGCCAACAUUAUUUCAUUAUUUUGAAUAUUAGAUUUAUUUAAUUAAGUUGAUNNNNNNNNNNNNNNNNNNNNNNNNNNNNNNNNNNNNNNNNNNNNNNNNNNNNNNNNNNNNNNNNNNNNNNNNNNNNNNNNNNNNNNNNNNNNNNNNNNNNAGCCAUUUUUUCCUGGAAAGUGAAAAAAUAGAAUAGGAAGAAAAUGCGAGGAACUUAACCGGAAAGAGUUUUGGGCAAGGCUACACCACUCCUAACAAGACCACUUAUUUAUGUUACCUCUCGAUCAUCAAGACAAGAGAACCAAACCAAUCAAAUGUCUGAAACUGAAGUUACCCUUCAAAAGUUCGAUGUCUUUCUGAGUUUCAAUGGAGACGAUACUGGUCGUAACUUCAUCAGUUUUCUCUUCACAGAAUUGAUAAAAAAGAAUGUUAAAAUUCCACCCUUCAAAUAUGACCGGCAGAUAUCUCCGGAGCUCGAACGCAUAUCGCCUGAGCUCGAACGGGCCAUUGGGGGUUCUAGAUUCGCCGUCGUUGUCGUCUCUGAGAAUUACUCUGCUUCUCCUUGGUGUCUGGAAGAGCUUGUGAAGGUUAUGGAAUUCGUAAGAGAGGGUUCGAUCACCGUGAUACCCGUCUUUUACGACGUGGAUCCGUGCCAUGUGAGGAGGCAGAUUGGGAAAGUCGCUGAACACUUCAAGAUGCAUGAGGGUAGAGAAGACCAUGAGAAGGUGCUUUUUUGGAGGCAAGCAUUGAAAGAUUUGGGGAAUGUCUCCGGCAUCUGUUCAUCUAAAUGGUAAAAUUUCAGAACUUUUUACAAGUUUUACUAUUACAUAAAGUUAUAUUGAACUCGUGAACUAUCAGCAGCAUAAAUUUAUAUUUGAACUUGUUUAUCUACGAAUUAAUAUUAUAUCUUUGAAAGUAACGGCUCUAUACAUAUAUCAAAAUCUUCGAUGAUAAAAUUCGAGUUUUACUAAAAAAAAAUUAUUAAUUCGAUUCUAAAGUUUCGAUUUUUUUUUUUUUUUGGGUCUUUAGGGAAGAUGACUCAAAGAUAGUAGACAAAAUUACUGAGCUGAUAUCAAAAAAUCUGAUGAUUGAUACAACAAGAAUUAAUGGGAGUGACCUUCAGGGGAUUUAUGCACACAUGAAAGCUUUUAACCGAUUAUUGAAUUUGAGCUCUAAGAAAAGUGUAAGAGUGAUUGGGAUUUGGGAGAGAGGAAGCAAGAAAAGAUCGGUUUUAGCUAAAUUUGUUUAUCAGAACAUUCAUCAACACUUUGAAAGCCAUUUUUUCCUGGAAAGUGAGAAAAUGGUUUAUAAGGAUCGUCACAUGUUGCAUCUCUUUGAAGAGAGGAUGAGUCAAUUAAGAGUCAAGAACAAAAAGGUUUUGCUUGUGGCUGACGACAUCAAAAAGCUUGAACAGUUCGAUGCUCUUGCAGAUAAUUUCAACAAUUUUGGUCCGGGGAGUAUAGUUAUCAUCACUACACAAGACAAGCAGGUGCUUUCCUCUUCAGGCAUAAAUCUUGUUUAUGAAGUAGAGUUUCAGAGAUUCUUGGAAGUUCAUGGACAUUUCAGGCAAUUAGCCUUCAAAGAGAAAGACAUUUCUGCUGCGUUCGAUUUGUCUUUGUAUAGGGCAACAAAUCUUGCAAAUGAAUGUUUUGGUUAUCUACGUGGUGGAUCACAAGAUCUGGUUCGCCGGAAUCAGUUUAUAAAGCAAAGUCCCAUUAUUUUUUCAGCAGUAGCUACUUGUUUUUUCUCUCCUUCAUGUUUUGGGUACUUUUAUUUUGCUUCCCUUUUGUGUACUAAGGCUCUUUUGUAAUUGGUUUCAGUUCUUGGUAAUAUAAAAUGGUCUCUCUUUUGAAAAGAAACAAAAGAGGUUAAAGAAUGACAAAGAAAAGUAUAAGACUUCAAAUUUCGAACCUAAAAUGACUUCUUUUUUUUGUUAACAAACUUCAAUAAGAUUGGCUUAAAUAAGCCAACUGGAGGGACAAUUGUUUACAAACUUGACCAAAUACGGAAGGGCACGCACAUUGCGGGCCAAACUAUACGUUUUUACAUUUGCAUUUCUUGCAAUAAGAGAUAGAGAAAAAAAUGAGAACCUAAAAUGACUAACAUGGGAAAAGCAUGAAAUCUCUGAUCUUCUUUUCCUCACUGUCACUGAGUUUGAGAGUUUUGCGUCCACUUAGCUUAGAUCAAAGAUCGAAUACAACAUAUAUACAAGCAACAUUUCCAAAACAACUGGUACAUAUGUAUAUACAAGCAACAUUUCCAAAAUAACCGGUACAUAUCUAACGUUAUCUACAACCAAAGUAGCCCAACAUAGUCCUCAUAGAUGUUACGCAGACACAAACUAACUAUUUCUCAUCGAAAAAGAAAUGUAAAGUAGACUGCGUCUCUUUAGGUUUCUUAACGUUAGACUUUCCCUUUCCUUGCUUCCUUCCGCAUCUCCCACUGCUUGUAACAUCUUGCAACCUCUCACAAUGUUUCAGUGGCUUUUCUUGAGCUGAGAAUACAUCAUAGUCUCGCUUUGUCCCCGUCUUUUUUGCAGACUUCUCGCAAAACUCUAAGCCACCUAGCAUCGUGUUUGCCCCGGUCUUUUCUGCAGACUUCUCGCUAAACUCUAAGCCACCUUGCAUCGUGUUUGCCCCAGUCUUUUCUGCAGACUUCUCGAUAAACUCUAAGCCACCUAGCAUCGUGUUUGGCCCAGUAUUUUCUGCAGACUUCUCGCUAAACUCUAAGCCACCUUCCUUUGUGGUCUCGUCACUUAAAGCUGCUUUCUGGUUUUCAUUUCCUGGUUUAUUAUCUUCAACAGCCUCGUGUGGCUGAUUCAAUUCCUCAUUUGUGGUAAACUGAUGAUGGCCUUGCGUCUCGGGUUCCUCUUUCGGGAUUAUAGGGAGAUCAAGGUUGUGGGAUCCAACUGGUAGGUUGUCAUUGCUUGCACUUGUUUCUUUAGUAAGACCAGUCUUUAUGGAUUUCUUUUCUCCAUUUCUAUCCUCCUCAACUUCAUCCUUUACACGUCCGGGAUGAAAUGCAACAAAUGGUUCUGCUUUCACAGUCUUUGGAAAAUCCAGAUUUCUGGUUUCAUUCGAUACAUCUUUCUCCUCGCCUAAUUCUUCAAUUUUCUUAAUGCUGUCAGGAAAUACAGCCCCAUCAUGACCUUCAACCGUAGGUUCCUCUUUCAAACCACCUGUGAUAUCUGUUGAUGCGGUUUCUUUGUCUGUUUUGGGAUGCUUUGUUGAGAAAAACUUCGAGAUCAAGCUAUUUUGUGAAGCCUUAAGCGUUAUCUGCAAGUGGCAUAAUCCGUAUUUAUAAAUGACGAUAAGCGUACAGAUUGAAACAAUACAGAAUGGAGAGAGUUCCAAGAUAUGAUCCUGACAAUAACAUGACUUGAAAUGCAAUUAUCGACCUUUAGUUGUACACUAACAAAGGGAAUCUGGUUAACAGUACCUGUUGAAUACAUUCUGGUCCAUCAAACGUUGGUUUACCAAUUGCAGAGGUUACUGGAUACCAUACCUGAAAGUUCAUCUUAAGUAUGUGAAAAAGGAAAGAACAUUAUAACAUAGAAGCCAGAAACAAAGUAAACUCACCAAAUCCGAUUUCUCAUAUGGUGAAAGUAACGGCUGCAGUUUUGUCGUCGAUGGAUCAUCUAGCCAUGUGUCGACAGAAUCCUUGUCACCAAGAAUUACUGGCAUUCUGUCUUACGUGAAAAAUAAACGAAUCUCACAUGUCAACUAAAUUAACAAAACUUUCUCCAACAGAAUCUUAUAAUGUGAACUUUGAAUAAGAAACGCAACAGUCCUUAUUAGUCUAAGACCAACUAUUAUUACAUUGAAUCAGGAUUGAUCCAACUAUUAUUAAUACAUUGCAUAAACAGCCUUUACUUAUUUUUCCUUUUAUACCAGUCCCUUUAGCAGUUUAGCAGCAGUUCAAGAUUCUUUUGCAGCAAGACUCGUAACUACAAAAGUAUCUUUUCUAAAGAAGCUUAUCAAAUUAGACGUAACAAGAAAACAGAAACAAUUCAAUACUAGUAUGAUACUUGAAGUUCAUAUCUUUCUUAAUAUACGAACACAAGUUUCAGAGGUUCCACGGAGGAUAAAUAAUUCCCAACUUCAUAUGCUAUGUGCUACUGAGAAUCUUUAGUGGAUAUGAAUUAAGAAAUAUAUCUCAUUUAAGAAAAAGCCUUCCAAGAUAGCUAGUGUAUUCAUUACUUACCAUGGAGCCAAUGGAGGGAUGAAGAGGAAGCAGUUGUCAAAAUCGUGAAGGUGUAAAGUGUCUCACCUGCAACAAAAAUAGUAACAUUUACUUAGAGUCAAAGCAUCUGAGAAAUUUUAGCUACCAAAAAGGGCCUUAACCAAAGAAGAUCAAACCAACAGGUCUUUAAAGUGCUACUUCACUUUUCUAAUACACAUAACUCAAAACUUUUCAAACAUCUGUGAAAAAAAAGGAUAUUGAAAGUCUAAGAAAUGUUUCAGGAUCAGCUUCAAAAAGAAUAGCAACAGAGUUUGGAAUAAAACAAGAUAGAAUGCUUCACCUCCCGAGUUCUGCCAAGAAUCAAAAAGAGCAGCAAAUACGAGUGGCCUCCCGUCCUCGAAAUGGAUAUAGUAGGGUUGCUUUUUUGAACCUUCCUUUUUCCACUCAUAGAACCUUCAAAAUGAAUCUAACUCUAAGUUCUUUUGAAUACUUUAAAUACACAUCGAAAGAUAGUAACAGAACAAUUGCUUUUGAAAGAAUGCUCACAAAAAACAGAACUCAAUAACAAAACAUUAACCUUAAAGAUUGAUUACACAAAGUCAAACAUUGCUGAUCAGAAUUAAAACAUUUCUUUUUGUAAUUUGGGAAUUAAGACAUAGAUUGAACAUAAAUGAUAGAAUACUGAAAAGAGAAGAUAAUAGAUACCCAUCAACUGCAACAAGGCACCUAUUCUUGGGAAGCAAUCGACGAAAAGAAGCUUUCUCCGCUACCGAUUCAGACCGAGCAUUAAACUACAAAUUCACAUAAACAAGCACAUCUUCACUAUAUAGUCAUCAAUCAAAGAAGCAGGUGCAAUAAACUUCUUUGACAAUCAAAUUUUGCAACUCAAAACAAAACCCACCAAAGAAGUAAAAGUGAUACCAUUUUGAAAAAGUCAGGCUUAUCAGUUUUCUUAGUGAAACCUGGGACUAAUCCCCACUUCAUACAAUGAACAACAACACCAUCACCAACUACUUCAUUGUCUCUUCUUAAAACAGGCAUAUAGGAACCAGGGGCAACAUUGUAAGAUGGACGAUAACUGAUUAACAACAAAAAGGAACGAUUUUUAGAGAGUUCAGAGGCUUAAAAAUUGAAACUUGUAACUGAGAAAAGAGAAAAGACCGGUCGGUGUGAAGGAAUCGGGUUUGAACGCCGUGGCGGUGAGAAGCUCUUGGGACAUCGUCUGGUCUUAAAGUACAGCGAGUCCUACCGCACAUCUUUACUGGUUUUGGUCGGAAGAUGUAAAACCCUAAUAUGACCGCUUGAGUGAAAGUGUGAAACUGAAGGAUUUGGUUAAAAGAUCACCGGAGAGAAGAUUAAGUCUUUCACUGUGGUUAACCGACCGAUGAUGACUCGACCUUCGUGUGUUUUUUUGUUUUUUUACUUCUGAAACGUAAUUAAACCAAACCGAACCAAAUUUUUGGUUUUUGAUUUGGUUUCGGUUACUAAAGGUAAACCGAUCGGAAGCUUUGUAACUGAAAUCGGUUAUCAGUGAAUUUUUGGUUCGGUUUACGCGAACCGGACAAUUAACUGAAGAAAAACAAAAUCCCUGUGUAAUUAGUCGCUGUCAAUUUUUUUUUUUUUUUUGUAAAAGGGUUUUCAAUUAAAAACUUAUGCCAUAUGGGCUUACAUAUUUCCGGAUUAUGCCCAUACUAAAACCUAAUAAGGCCCAAUCCAUUACAUUAAACCAAACUAAACCAAACUAAAUACAAAACCGAUCCGGUUUCACAAAACCGAAAUUACCGGUAUCUGUCAAAACCCUAAUCUACAAUCGCAAAACACGAUGUAGACGCCGUCCAAAGACUGCAGAUGCACGCCGGAACAUGACCUCCGAUGUGCUUGGACGACGCGGAUUGAACGGAGUAGGUGAUCCAGGAUCAGUAUGCCUCUCCACCACCGUAGAGAAGAUUUGAGGAAGAGGAAGAAAUCGAUCUGUUUUUCCGUCGAGAAGGCUUCGGGCUCCGUCGUGAUAUUGAAGGCGGUAGGGAGUAGAUCUAGGUUCCAUCGACAGUGGCUUAGCUUCAUGCGGCCGGAGUCAAUCUCCCCCAUCAAGCGGCGGCCACAAGAAACCUCCAGGAUCGCUAGAUCCUAGAUCUAACCGUCUUCUCUCUCAGUCUUCACCGUGAAGUCUUCCUCUUCCACUCUGCGCCGCUACACCAUCGAAGAGCUCGUCGACGGUGACUCGCAGAAGCUUUCCCUCUCCCCUUCUCCCUUGAUUUUGUUUAGUUUGUGAAGCCGAGAAGAAGCAAUAGAUUGCGGAUGAAGCGCCAUGGACCAUGGGUUCCUCAUCGACGCCGGAAUCGCCAGAGGAACCUUUCACUUGGUGCAAGAGAUUUUGAUCAGAAGAAGAGAAAUGGAGGAGAGAGCAGCGAGUAGAUCUCACGCGUCCUUCUCUCUCUAAAAAGUUUUUUCUUCGUGAGGCAUCAUGCUAUCAUUUUUUUUGGAUCUUCACUCAAUUCAUCUUCCUUGCAUUUCUUCUUUUUCUUCGAUGGUCGGAUCUCCUCUUCGCAUCAGCCAUCGUUUAACUUUUUCUGGAUUUAGGAUUACUCGCGUGGCUAUGUUGAAGUUUUCAUUCAUACAAAAACGUUUACGAAUUUAUUUAAAAUGGGCUUGACAUGUUACUAGGCUUCUAUUAUUUUCCAGCGGCACAAAAACCAAAUUAACCUCUUUCAGAACAAUUUUUAAAUUCCGAAUUAACCAAUUAACCGAUCCGAACCGAGUCGAUUAACCAAAUAAACUCUCGAUUAACCAAACUAAGAGGCUAGUGGAAAUAGAGUAUUUUUAUAUACACCUUUGAAGUACAUUUUUUCUAAAAAUCUAUUUUGGGUUAUAACCUUUUAUUAUUUGGUGAAUUAGCUCAAUAUUCAUUAUCAAAAAAACAAUUAAGAAUAUAGCACCAUAACAUUGAAAAUAAAGAGAAUAACCAUUUCACGAUGUGAAAUGACCAAAUGGGGUAAAUCGUGAACUACACACACAACUACAAAAGAGUGUUAUUAUUUUUUAAUUAUUUAAUUUUAUUUAUUUAAAUAAAUAACUCUUACCCCAUUACCUUUUUAUUGUGAUAUAUCUUUUCAUCAAAAUUAACUUUUAAUUUGAAAUUUAUCUUAAAAAGUUAGUAAUAUUUUUUCUGCAUUCGACAUAGCUUAAAUUUUUAAAAUCGGAUGUUGAAAACUAUAAAUGGUGAAUAGUGUUAAUAAUAAGAACAUGUUAUACUAUAUAUGAUUACUAUACUAUUUUCGAUACUAUACUAUUUAUGUACUAUAGUAGUGGCGGUUGCGGUGGAGGUGAGAAUGAUGAUGGCGAUGAGGGUGGCGGUUGAUAGUGAUAAUGACAGUAUUGGCGACGCUGGCAAUAACGAUAAUAGUAGUGAUACUUAUACGUCAUGGUGGUGGUUACAAUGAUGAAUAGUACUGGUAACAAAGAAAACAAUGUUCUAUAUAGAAACACAUCAUAUAAAAUUAUAUGAUUAUAAACUAUUUUUACUAAUAUAAUGGUAGUGAUGGAUGUAGUUGUAACCGUGGUUGUAGCAAUGGUGGUGAUGUGAUGGUGAUGAAUAUUAUUGUGAUGACCAUGGUGACAUUAGUUGUGGUUACGGUAACAUAGACAACAUGACCGAUCGAAUUAAAGGCACACCGAAAAACUGCUACACCCUAAAAGAUACAACACAUGCAACUUAACAAUCGAAUUAAGCGUACACCAAAAAAAAUUAUUAUACCCUAAUGGAUGCAAUAUUGGCAACCCAAGCAACUAAAUUAAACGCACACACAAAAAGAAAAAAUGCUAUACCCUAAUGGAUACAACAUAGGCAACCCAAGCAACCGAGUUAAUUGCAGAAAACAUAAAUAUAUAACAUAUAAGUAUUUCUAAUUAUAAUAUAUUUUUGUAAACAUGUAAUAUACAUAAAUUUGAAAUUUAAAAUGCUAGUAAAAAAUGGAAUAGAAGCGGAAUAGAAGGUGAUUAAAUUGUUUCGCCGUUUAUCACUCAUUGAAGUCUUUAAUGAGUAACGGGGGUAAAGAGAAAUAGAAGUGAGAUAUAAAGAAAAAUAUAGUUUUAAUAUUUUUUAUAAAUAGGAAAACUUAGGUUCAUGCAGCAAGUGGGUUAAGCAAAAGAAAUUGGGGAGAGUGGGCAAUACACACAUAUGAAAGGAGGGUAAUUUUGUAUAUAAUAUAGAAAAUACACAGAAUAUUACCUUUUAGAUGUUAGUAUGGUCAUUGGGUGAAUUAUAAUUUUUUUUGAAGGUUAUAGAUGCCAAAAUCAUUUUAUUUUAUAAUAUUUGCAUAAUUAAACACUUACUAAUUGAAUAAAUAACAAAACUUACAAGUAAAUUUAGUAACUAAAUAUCAAGUAAAUAUAAAUAUUAUAUAUAUUAAAACUUUUAAUAGCUUUAAAUAUUAUAAUAUUUAAUUUAAUCUUUAUAGAAUGUUUAAAAUAUUAAAAAAACUUAAAAUCUACAAAAAAAAUAAAGUAUUAUUAAUAUUCUAACUUUAAAAUAUUGAAAAUAUAAUAAUAUUGUACGUAAAUAUGAUUGAACGGUUUUGAGUUUACAAAAAUAUGAUUAUAGAUUUCUUACGAGUUAUCUAUAUUUAAAUUCUUUUAACGGUUAAGUUAAAAUAUAAUUUUUUACUUACAACAAAAUUAUCAUGCGGUGUACCGCGGGUUGACCACAUAUAUCUUUGAAUAUAUUUAUAAUACAAAUUUAUAGAAUUAUAUAAAAUAAAAAAGAAAUAAACACAUAUAAUAACUAGACUAUAUAAACCAAUUAAGAAAAUGACCAAUCAAACAAAUAUAUUAAAUUAUUGACUUGUUGUGUACUACCGGGUAAAUCCUAGUUUUAAUUUUGUUUUGCAUAAAAUUUAUGGAAAAAGCUUAAAAAAUUCGCCAACUAUUUAAUUUAAGACAACAAAAAGAAACAAUUUUGGGUGAAUUAAAUGAAAAUACACAAAGGACUUGUUAAUUGAGCGUGCAUCAAAUAACAACAAGAAUAAUUAAAUUUGGAGAAAAUAACACGCAGACCCACUUUGUGAGAAAGUCUUUGCGAGCAGACCCACUUUGAAGUUAUAGUGUACUUUUGUUCUUCUUAAGUUGUGUUGGCCUCAAAAUAAAUGACAAUUCUGCCCUCUGUCUUAGUUUUAGUAGAGUUGAAUUGUAACUAAAUCAAAAAUAACAAGGGCCGUAGGAUGGAAACUAGAUGAUUAGAUCCUAUGGCUUAUAUUAAGUUUUGUUUUAAUCGGGACUUCAUGGAUUUAAAGCAAUUUUCAAGUUAACAAUUCGUUUAUUUGUGGAUAAGGAAAUGCUAAACUGAGUUUAGGGUUUUGGACAGUCUUCUAUAAACAUGGAUGCGCAGGUAAGGGUUUGUGGAUAGUUCUUUGUGUUUUGAAACUUGUGGGUUGAUAAUUGUUGCUGAUAAAUUUUGUUGCUGUCGCGCAGGAUGAACUCCCUCGUUAUUGUGUGGUUGUUUCAGGGAAGUGGUGUUUUACCGACAAACACGUUUACGCAGAAGGAUGAAGCUUUCCUUGAUGAAAUAGCAGCAGCAGAGCAUGGUAGGAAAAAUGAAGCAGAGGUAAAGGGGAGGGUAACCGAAGAUGAAACAGAUAUGGGUGAAAACCAAGAGAAUGAUAAAUGCGAGAAAGAAGAAGAUAGUUGGAUUGAAGACAUGUUGAACGAAGUGAAUGUUGAAGAAAAGGAUGUUUAUGUGACACCAAGACAGUAUGACACUUAAUUCUGGGGAAAUUUCAUAAGUGAUAACUAUGGGCGAGUAGAUGUUGUGGAGGUAAUGUGUAAUACACAUUCUUGUUUUGACCAUACUGUGAUAUUGAAUGGUGGAGUCCCAGUAAAGUCUGAGGAUAAGCCGCCAGUAGUUGGUGGAGACCACAAUGGUGUGAAUGAAGGGGGAGUAAUGAAUGGGUAUGUGCCUAGAGUUUAUUCUCAAAGCGCCACUGGACAACCAGGUGUAUCUAGGUGGACAAAUGAGCAUGGGUACAAUGGAAUCAAUGCAGCAUGUGGAAGCAGGUCAGUUCCAAAUGUUGAUGAACGGAAGCUUGAAGAUAUUGACGACGAGGAGUUCGAUAUACCUCCUUUGUUUGAUGAUACUGAGUAUGAAAGGGAAGAUAUACCAGAUCUUGAUCAUCUCUCUCUCUUCUUCUCUCAUCUUCUCUUUAUUUAUCUAACAACAAAUAAAACUCUUCACAAUUUUAAAAAAUAUUAGGAUCAGAGAUUUUUUUCACCCGCGCCUACUCCGGUAAAGAAGUCGAUCGGUUUCAAUUGGCGGAAUUAUGUGUUGCAUCUCUGAUAGACAAAAUCUGAUGGACCAAAUUCGUUGGACCAGAUCUGGCGGACCAGUUUCGAUGGACCAAACCUUUCCAUUUUGAUUAAUUAAUCUUGUCCAUCAUCCAAAUCUUUUGAAACCACAAGUGAUUCACCAGAUGAUGAAACUGGCAUUUUUGAGAAGGUUUUGGUCAAAGUGGCAGAAACAUAAUUUUGAUUUAUGAAAGUGGCAUAACAAACAAUAUUCCCUUACGAAUAUGUUCCAUUUUACAUAGACAACCACAAAGAAGGAAUCGUUUUUUCUACAAUGUUUGGGCCAACGUUGUGACUAGAGGAUUCUUGCAUGUGAAUUAAAGGGUUGUGGAUACUGCAAGAUUAGGAGAGCAAACUUGGAGCACACAUACCCUAUAGAAACAAGGAACAAUUAUUUGAAGAAAACAAACUCCAAGGCCAUUGCAUCUGUGUACAAAAUCAAAGUAUUGUGACCCAACCAAAGGCCCUGCAUCUUUGGAUUUGUAGCAGAUGGUUCUUGAGGAUCUGAGGAUGUCAGCAUCUUAUAGUAAGUGCUGGAGAACUAAAGGGAACGCUGAGGAAGAUUUAUUUGGACUGGAAGACGACUCUUAUGACAGUUGGCUAAAUAUUUGUAAACCAAUCAAGAACAACCUUGACUAUUCUCUUCUCAGUCGCAGCAAGCUUCUCAUCUAGCAAGCGAGACAAAACCCCCAAAUCAACAUUAGAGGAUGACGGAGGCUGUGGGUUGUUGUGUGGUUGGUGAUCCUUUGUCUUUGUAUCUAUUUCUUUUGUGCUUGGAUAGACUAUGCCAUAAAAUUGAGCUAGUGAUUGCUUCAAAGGAGUGGAAAACAAUUAGCUUGUCUCGCGGAGGUCCCAAGUUGUCUCACAACUGUUUCGUAGAUGACCUCAUUUUGUUUGUAAAAGCUUCUGUUGAAAGAGUAAGGAUAAUUCGGAAGGUGUUGGAGAAGUUUUGCGCGGCUUUAGGCCAGAAAGUGGGCUUGGAGAAGUCGAAUUUUUUUUUCUCUCACAAUAUUCAUAGGGAUCUGGCCAAGAUUAUAAGUGAAUAGAGUUGGAUACAAGUAAUCUAGGAUCUUGGUAAGUACUUGGGACUGCCAAUCUUAUAGAGAAGAAUUAGUAAGGAUACUUUUGGAGAGAUCAUCCAGAGGGUUAAUUCACGGUUAUCAGGUUGGAAAGGUCCCUUUCUAUGUCUCGCAAGGAGACUAACUCUUCCCAAAGCAAUGAUGUCAUCUCUUUCAGUUCACUCUAUGAGCACGAUUAGGUUACAGUCCUCACGUUAGAGACUUUGGAUCGGAUUUCACGGUCGUUUCUUUGGGGUAGUACAGUUGAAAAACAUAAACAACACUUGGUUGCCUGGGAUCGGGUGUUCGCGCCUAAGAUGAAGGGGGGAGGGGUUUGGGCAUUAGAUCAGCACGAUGUAUGAAUAAGGCUCUUCUAGGAAAAGUGGGAUGGCGUUUACUUAAUGAUAAGUAGAACCUUUGGGCUCGAGUCUUGCGGCACAAGUAUAAGGUGGGGGAGGUUAAGGACCGAUCUUGAUUACAAGUCAAGAGCAAUUGGUCCUCGACUUGACGGAUUAUAGGUAUGGGUUUGAGGAAAAUGUUUUACAUGGGCUGAGUUGGGUCAUAGGCAAUGGUAAAGUGGUUAAAUUGUGGAAGGAUAAGUGGUUACUGAACAAGCUUUUGGUAGAUAUAUGCAUCGGUGAUAUUCCGGAUCUUUAGGUCGACCUUUAUACUCCUGAUUUAUGGAGGGAGGGUAAAGGUUGGGAAUUGAUUCGCGUUAGCCUUUUCCUUUUGCUGAAUACGCGUUUGCAUCUUAGGGAAGUGAUUCUUGAUACGGUGACUGAUCCUGCGGAUAGGCUGUCUUGGAAUGAGACAUCGGAUGGCGAUCAGGUGGUGCAUCAGGUGAUCAUGACGGAUGUUGAGAGACAUCGGCGUCACCUUACAAAUACAUGCUGGUGAAGAGUUUGUAAGAGUGGUGAGGAGACGAUUGUUCAUGUGCUUAGAGAUUUCUCGGGGGAGUGUGGCGCCGCCUAGUCCUAAGAAGGAAUAUCUGGCUGUUUUUUGUACAACCCUUAUUGGAAUGGCUCUAUUUCAACUUAGGGCACGAGUCUGGUUUGCUUGGUAACGUGGGCCAUAAAUUUUGCAAUGGCUGUUUAGUGAGGGUGGAAGUGGAGGUGUGGUAAUUUUUUUUAUACUAAUUGUAAAUGUAGAGAUUGUGUGCGUUUUCUCCAAGAGCUAGCCAAAGAAAGAUGCAAGGGAUUGCAAGAAAAGAAGGAUUGGUUAAGUGGAUCCCUCCUGGUGAUGCUUGGAUAAAACUCAACACGGAUGGAGCUUCACAUGGUAAUCCUAGGCUGGCUAAUUUAGUUGGAGCUCUACAGGAUAGUAAUGUGAUUCGGAAAGGAGGCUUUGCCCUAAACAUAGGUAUUUGUUUGGUUUCGUUGGCGAAACUAUGGAGAGUCUACUAUGGACUUGUUAUUGCUUGGGAGCGGAGGUUUAGGCGCCUUGAGUUGGAAAUAGAUUCGGAAAUGGUGUUUGGGUUCUUAACGACAGGGAUUAAGGAUGUGCAUCCCUUUUCUUUCCUAGUACGUUUGUGCUACGGCUUUCUAUCAAAAGAAUGGAUAGUCCAAAUCUCUCACGUGUAUAGGGAAGCUAACUGUCUUGCCGAUGGAUUAGCUAACUAUGCCUUUUCUCUUCCGUUCGGUCUUCAUACUUUCGACACCCGGCCGGAGUUCGUGAAUCAGAUAGUUUUAGAUGAUAUCAGCGGGGUUGGAAGGUCCGUGCAUGUUCGCUUGUAGUUUUUAUUUUAUUUUUAGUUUGUAAUUCUUUGAGGGUCUCCCACAAAAAAAAGUAGUGAAAGUGUGAAACUAGAGGAUUUGAUUAAUCGAUCGCCGGAGAGAAGACAAGUCUUUCCAUGCGGUUUUGCCCAAAAUGGUUACCCUAAUGAUGUCUCAAAGUUAAUGCUUUUCUCUCGAGAAAAAACUAGAAAAUGCUUAAUUUAUACUUUUUUGAAUGUUUACACCUGUAUUUUUUUUUUGAAGAAAAAUAUAUAUACUAAUUAACAUUUGUAAUUUAAUUCUUAAAAAAAAAUUAUUUUUAUAUUCAUACUCACAUUGGCAAAACAAAAAUAAAAUUCUAAUUUUAUCUUUACCAUCUGAAUUAAUUAUUGAUGUUUAAAUCAUGUGACAAUAAUUUCUAAUUUUAUUUGAUGAAAACUAAAUUUGAAGUCAAAAGUAAAAUUUGGCUCCCACUCGUAACAUGAGCUAUCAAACUUGAGUUGAAGUAAAUAUUCUGAUUUGAUGUAAUAUGAUAUAUUAAUCUUACCAAAAUCAUUGACUAAUGAAAAUUUUGUAGUAGAUGUUGCAGUAUGAUGUCCAUUAAGUAAAUUUUAAUUUAAUAUAAUUGAUAACUAUAAUUAUUAGUGAUUAUAUUUAAUUAAAUUAUGGAAAUAUAUAUACAAUAUAUCAACACACAUUCUUGAUCUUCACUCUCUUGAUCACUCUCGAAGGUUAAACUUGUUUCGCUCAACUCUUGUAACACCAAUGUCUUCUCUUGGCUUCUAGAGUCUUCUUGACCUGCCAAAGGAGAAUUCGUACCUAGGGAAAUAGUACGUUCAAGACUCAUUUUGGUGAAAGCUUUAGCAAGCUCUUCCUCGGCAAUGAGUUCAUAUCCGUUGUGAUGGAGUAAGGGGUAGUACAGACCAGUUGACGAUAUUUAGCUCUAGUGAACUCACAAUAUCCUGUAUAGCUAAGUUAAAUCUCUUUCUAAAUUAUUUAGACAUUGAACGUCUCAUGGGACCUUCUGGGACGACUGGUACAUGAUCUGGUUCAGCGGGUUGGACAGUUGAAUCAAUGAGCGCAUCAAAGCUCAUAAUUUUAAGAAAAUAAUCAUCUCUUAUGUCCUUAAGACCAUCUCCAAUGCACAAUUCUAUUUUUAACUCUAAAAUAAAGUAGAGAUUCUAUCCAUGGACUUUAAAACCAUGGUCCCUCGAAUCCUUGCCAUUUCACUACUCUGGCGAGAACCAUGGCUUUGGUUAUUUCUUUAAUGUCUCAGAGUCUCAUGAACGUGUCAACUUUUUCAUCCAUGUACUUCUUCGAAGGUGAUAGGUCGAGCAAUCUUGAUCUCACAUGUGCAAAUCGCUUCUUAGCGUUUGUUUGAAAGCUCUCAUAGGUCUUUUCUCGAUGUUUCUUUCCAUCCAUUAAUACAUUGGGGAAUGCUUUUGUUUGUAAUCCUUUAAAUUUUGGGGUCUGUUAAUCCUUAUCCUUGUACUCGAUUUGAUUUGAAUGAAUGAAAUCAUGUGUUUGUCCUGAGAAAGAAAAAGAUUCUCUCCAAUUCCCAGCUCUAGUUUUUACUCUAAAAAUUAUUAUUCUUAAAUGGAUUCUAUUUUUAAUUAAUUAUUUUAUUUAUAAAACUUACAAUUAUGCCCCAUAUCUUUUAUUCUUUUUGCAAACUUUCAUAAAUCAUUAAUAUUAUUUAAACUGAACAUUCAUUAAAUUAAACUACAUUAUAUCAUUUUAAAUAUUAGAUUUUAGUUUAAACAUCACCAUUAGUAAAUCUUUCUCACAAAUGAUCAAUUAACGCAUUUCAAAGUAAGAAAUGAGCUUCUUUAUCUUCGAUUUUUCUAAAUCGACCAAAUAAAUUUUGGAACAAGAUAUUAUCAUUAUCUGUAGUCUCAAUUUGUAGACGUGGAGCUUCUCUUCCAACUUCAUUUGGUGCACUGAGAUCACAUUUAUUAUCUAAACGGUAGGCCAACUUUUCUACUUCCAAUGCAUGCAAUCUAAGCCACCGAGCAUUCAUGGAAUUUCACGCUUUUCACCAAUUUAAAGAAGUCUGGAAACAUCAUUAGGUAACACCAAAUUUAAGACUUCACAGAUGAGGUAACACCAAACCUCAUUUGAAAAUAACACCAAAUUUAAGUCUUCACAAAUGAGGUAAACCAGUAAACUUUUUAUUAUACUAAUGAACCAGAAGCCAAACAGUAAUAAUGGUGACCAUUUCCAAUAGUUAGAAUUUUAUAAGAGAUUCUUAACAAAUUCUUAGUAUAAAUUUUGCUUUUAUCAAAGUUAAAAACUUGAAUAAGAGUUUUUAAAUUUUGUUCCUCCAAUGGUUAGAACCCCUAGUUUUUAUCGUCGAAGGCUAAAUCAAAUGAAAUUUCUGAUUCGGUUGAUUUGGUCGGAGUUUUGGCUUCUUUGUCCAUGAAUUUGAUCAUGUUUCUUUGUUUUUUUUUUUAAGUUUUAAUGGGGAAACUUCGACAGAUACACAUACAAGCUCCCACUGAUUCUUUUCACCAAUGAAGCAAGGUGAUUUAUGAUUUGGAACCAACAUAGUUUGCAUGUGAAUGUUUGUAUCCAAAUUUGAAAGCUUAAAUAUUAGUAUAUUUUAGUUCUGAUUUCUCUUCUUUGCUCAUUUCUUAUCUGUAGUGAGGAAAAUGGUUUAAUGUUCUCUGUUUCGUUUGUUUAGAUUUAGUGGCCGAUUGGUAGGAUACUUUAAGACUUUAAAUAUUUUUAAAGUCUUUAAAGUAAUUAAUUUGCCAAUCAACAUUUUUGGCUUUUAUUUUGUUUUAAAGCAUUGAAAUUCACUUUUAUUUUUCAUUCUUUGUUUUCUCAUUUUUUUAAAAGCGUCAAAAACCUGACUUUAAAUCUAAUCAAUUAAAAAUAUUUAUUUUUCACAUCCCCAUUACAUUUAAAACAUUUCCACAAGUUUAUACAUAUAUUAAAUAUAUAUUUUAUUUUUAUAAAUUAAUUAUUCUUAUUUUUUUCUUCUUCUUUUAAGAUCCAUUUCAAUAAUAAUAAUUUUUAUAAAUUCAUUUUUAACAUAAUUUAUAUUUAUUAUUAAUAUAAAAUAAUAAUAAUAAUAAAAAUAACAGCUACAUCUUUAAUAGUGGUUCAUUACCAAUCAUAUUUUAACAGUAAAAGUUUCUACAGCCAAAACAUAUACAGCCAAAACAUAUACUGCUAAAUUCUCUGCUGCUAAAAUUUUAAAGUCAAAGUCUCUACAGCCAAAAGUAACAGUCGUUACCAAUCGGAGCCUUAGAUUUAGGUAAAGGCUUAACUAUUGUAUUGAUUCUCAAAACACCUUUUUUGGUAAUAAAUGAUUGUUAGCUGCAAGCCUGCAACGAUCUCAGAGUUUGAGAGUUUCAGUCAUGGAUUCAUAUAGUCAGUCUUCAAGCUUAACACAUACCAAAUCAGUCUGAGUAAGAGAGUUUUAUUGUUUUGGUUUGUAUGAACUCUCAGUUUUUUAAAAUAAAUGAAUCAUUGAGUUUAUUUAUUCAAAACUGAACCACUUGUGAAUGGUAGUAAAACAGAAUCAGUAAAUGGCUUUGAGUUUAACUUAGGAAUGCAUUGAUUUCUCUGUGAAAGCUUUGUGUUAGUUGCUUUGGUUUCAGCAGCCGAGUCUCUCUUGAGCGUUGCUAAAUAUAUGUUACAAUUUCAGGGUUUUGACUAAGUUGAGGUCACUAAGUUGUUAGUUUGUUUCCUAUUUUCUAUGUUGCUGCGUUAGUGGACGUUAUAAGGCUUUUAUAUAAAACCAUCUAUUGCUUUUAAUGAAGUACUCAGACUUUUCUAAACACAUUGAGAGCGAAGCUUCUAAUCGUUGGCCGUCUGAGUAUAAUUUAACCUUCCUGAGUUUUCUCUUUUCUUUGUUGUGGUUUUGGUUUGGAUUGGAUUUGAUGUGUUUUUUUUGUUAUUGUUUGGGUUAUAAAAAAAAAGCUUAUGAAUACACAAGUGUGAGUCAACGUAACUAAUGCAUAAUAAGUAACAGUUUUCCAUUAUUAUUAUGCAUUAAUAAUAUAAAGAUUUGUUUCCGGAAACAAAUCUUAACAAGUUAGAUUUGCCUUGGAACACGUCUUUGAAAACCUCAUGCUCAAAACAAAAUCAUCUUCCUUAUAAAUAACGAAUUUUUUUAUGGUUUUGCUUCGUUCCUCUUUCAAUGGCUUUUGGUUUCUGAGGAAGGCGAGUUCGAAAUUCUCAGUCUCCUUUACGGUACUCCACAUCUUCCUAUUUAGCUUACCAAUUGAUUUCUCAUUUAUUCUGUGAUUGAGGAUUCUUGUCUUGUGAAUUUGAUGAAUCUGUAAUCUAAUCUAAUGAUCUGCUUACUUAUUUACUAUUAGGGCAAAAAAAAAAAUUGCAAAAUUUAAAUGAGAAUUAGAUUCGUAUUGUGUUUUGUAAUGACCAAUUAAGAUGUUAUAAUCAGUUUGAUCAUUAGUUAAUUUAAUGUUUUUAUGCAGUUUUGGAUGAGUUGUGUUCUCUGGAACAGUUUGGUAGUAAACAUUUAGGAAGGAAUGGAUCCGACAGCUGUCGUGAAAGAUGCUUUUGAUCGAGUUACUAAGAAACAGAAGCUGUAUCACUCUGUAUCGCUAGAUGUUAUCGACCUAGUUUGUGAAGGAAUCCAAGAUACGUUGAGGCGAAUCCAAUUAGAGGAAGAUGGGGUAGAACCUGAAUUGGUUCUUGCUGAGUUGAGGCGUAAGCUUGAUGCUAUUUACCCUAUUAUCCAGCUUAAGAAAUCACACAAGGAAACCAAAGGGAGUCUUAGCAAGUUGGUGAAAGUUUUGGAGACUUGUUAUCAUCCUGACAUAUCUCUAGCCUGUAGAACCAUUGGUUUCGAUAUCGCUUUGGUGAAUAAGAUACUUAUCCAGCAUUGUUACCGAGAAGGGCUCUUCGAGGUUGGUGAUUGCCUGGUCAAGGAGGCUGGAGGUGAGGAAGAAGCUGAGGUUAGAUCUCAGUCAUUUGAAAUCAAGGAGAUUAUCGAGUCAAUGAAGCUGAGGAACAUUGAGCCUGCAAUGAGAUGGAUCUCUGCCAACAGUGGAAAGCUGAAGGAAAUGGGUUCGAAGCUGGAGUUUAAUGUCGUAACUUUGAAGUACUGUGAUAUGUUGAGAGAAGGAAAGCGUGAUGAUGCUAUGAAGUAUGCGAGAACCCAUUUCCCGCGAUACGGCUCACUCCAUGUACGAGAGAUACAAAAGCUUAUGACUUGUCAGAUAUGGAUUGGAGAACUUGACAAGAGUCCUUACGCAGAGAUUGUAUCUCCAUCAUGUUGGGACAAGGUAACCAAAGAGCUACUCAGGGAAUACUACCAUCUCCAUGAUCAGCCAUCAAAAUCCCCGUUGGCAGUCGCUUUAUCCGCAGGUUUAGAGAGCUUACCGACACUUUUAAAGCUGGUAGAUGUAAUGGCUUUGAAGAAAGAAGAAUGGGAAGCCAUGGAGCAUCUCCCGGUACCUUUGGAGCUGGGGAAAGAGUAUCAGUAUCACUCGGUUUUUGUUUGUUCAGUGAGCAGAGAUGAGAGCAGCAAAGAAAACCCGCCAAUGAUGAUGAUGCCUUGCCGUCAUGUUAUUAGCAAGAAGUCAAUGACGAGACUCAGCAAGAACUGUAGUGACCGCAGAUUCAAAUGCCCUUAUUGCCCUGCAACGACUUCAUCCCAAGCAUGCAGACAAUUAUUCUUUUGAAAAGAUUUGGUGAUUUUGCUCAGAUAUUUCAUGACUUGUUCAGCUCAAUAAGUAGAUGUGGAAAAAAGACACUUCACAAUCUGUUACAAGAUCUUGUUCUCUCUUAAGUUAGAACAAUCCAUAAUCUAUGUCGCAGUUUGUAGUUGCUUAUUCUUUUUUAUUUUUCACCUGAAUCCGAGAAGAUAACAAGUGAAUGAUUCAUGAUUGGGAUCUGUGUUUGUUUUGGGAUGUUGUAGUUAAAGAUAAUUUGAAUGUUAAAAAGGAAAGUUUAAAGCAAAAAAUCCAGUAAAGAUUCAACUUGAGAGUUAAAGUGAUGCAAGAAGAGCAAAGAACAUUGUAGUAGUGAAUGGAGUUUAACAGGCUCAGGAAAAUUGAAUGUGGCUUAAGGUUAACAGUGACAAAGAACAAUCAAGGACACUAUAUUCUUAAAACUAAGCAAUUGAAGUUUGGAAGCUAAAGUACUCUGGCUGAGACGAUACAGGAACUAAGUACCAACCAAAUGAUUUUUGGAUGAAAACGCAACAGUAAGUUGUUGUACACUUACAUCUUUACUCAAAUAUAAUUCACAAAAUAACAGAUUUGAGCAAUGGUGAUCAAUGAUAUCAUCACAGAGUGUAAAGUUAAGAUUUUUUGGUUUGUAAUAUAAUAAUACUUGAUUAAAAUCAUGAAUCCAGACACAAGAUCCCAAAAUCUGAGAAAAUAUCUGUUUCUCAGAGGUUUAACUUGGAAGAUUGACUAUAGAAAGCAGGAUAUAACACCAGAAAAGAUGAACUCUUCCUAGUAUCAGCAAGUUUCUGAACAAGCCAAUAAUAUUAUUUUAAAAAAGGAACCUAAACCACAACUUUGGGGAAGAAGAAGAUCUAAGAAAUAGAAGAUAGAUUCAUCAUGUUACUUUAAUUCUCUGCAUACUUCACAUAUAAACCAAAACUGAAACAAAACAAAGUCUAAAUUACAAAUCAGAAAGGUUAAUCACAUAUCUUGAUAAAUGAUUCUGUGGAAGCUUUGAAUAUAUUGACAUCAAUGAGUUGUAACAAAAGUCUAAUACAUAGUACAUACAUAUAUAGUGAUCAGCGUUUUCAUUUGAAGAAUCAGAAUGUAAACACUAUUUAAAAUUUUAUUGACUUGUAAAUACCUCUACACGAGUAUAUGAUCAUCUCAGCCUUUUAGCAAAUAGCAAUUAGGCUUCUUGUUUCUUCAUUUUGGUCUCGUCCAAAACUCCAACAAGGCAUUUCUCAAGUAAGAUAUCAAAAUUGACCCAAGCAUGGUAUUUGUUGAACAAGAGCGUACCGUCUCUCCCAACCGCUUUCAUUAGCAUAUCGACACCUCCAGGAUGAAAGUUCAUAUAAGGUGAUAUGUUGUACACACGACCUUUCAAAACAGUCCACAUAGAAUCUCUUGAUCUGUGCUUCUUUACUUCAUCCAUUGGAAUAAGCCUCUUGUUUGACUCUCCCUUCAGUCCUGCAAACACACAUAGCCGCUUCAUGUAUGUAAUACAUCAAAAAUGUGGUUUAGGAAAAGACGACUAAAGAGAGAUUUGCGUACGGGCAAGAUCAGGAUGUGUUCGUGUAAGUUUCAUCCAAUCCAUUUGGCUAUAACCCUUUUCAAAGGGAACUUUGGUACGAGUUACAGGCUUUCUAGCGGGAGAUUUGAAAGUCUCAGAUGAUUCAUUGGACGGCUUUUUCGAAGAUGAAUCAAUCACCGUGAAAGACAAAGAACCUAUUUUCUCUUCCUUUGGAGGAAGAGACUUAUCUUUCCAAAUAAGACCAUUGCUUGGUUGAUCUAAUCCAUCGUCAAGGGUAAUACUUCCCACAUUUGAUGCAAGUUCUUUUGCCUCAAGAGCAACUUCACUAUCUGGUCCCGCAACCUUUCAAGAUGGAGCAAACCAAGAAUCAAAUCAUAAAUUCUAAAACUUUCAUGUUUGUAUAAACUGAAAUCCUCAAGAAAAUGGGUGGAAACUUACCUUUGAGAAUGUGAAUUCAUCAUCUCUAGUAGUAUCCAUCUUGAGCUAAAACUGAGCUUGGAACAAUUAGUUUCAAAACAAUCUGCAACCAAUUUUUAGAACAAUUUGUAUCAGUUAAAAAAGAACUAACUAAGAGGAAGAAGACGAAUAUCUAAACAAGACUCAUCAUCUAUUUCACUUCUCUGGUAACUUUACAAAUCAAAGACAAUAAUUAGAGACAAAACAAAGUCUAAAGAUGCCAAAGUUAGGGACUUUAGGUCAAAAUCUAAUAGCUAAACCCGUUCCAACCUUGGUUCUGUUUUUUUUUAUCAUUUUUUUUUUCAAAUUAAGACAACAACACACGUGAGUUAAAAUUAAAAGCAGUCUUAACUUAAGGUAUUACUUGCUUAAACCAAGUAAAAUCUGAGACGUAAUUCUUUUACCAAACAUGCUUUAAAGAAGCCAAAGGAAAUAAUAAUACCUCUUGUCUAAUAGAUGUAAUGAUCUCUUCUGAAUAAUCUUGUUUGGAGAACACCUUUACAGCCACAUCCUGCAUUGACAUAAUUUCAGAUCAUCAAUAAAUGUCUGAGAUAAAUGAACAAAGAAAGCUGUAGAAUUGGUUAUUGAACUAACUUGGUUUUAUUGAUUUCCCAACUUAGGUAUUUAUAAGAACAUAAGACCUGAUAAACCUUAUCUCCCUAAAACAAUGAUCUCUAAACCUUAUCACAAUAGGAAUAUAAAUCAUAAUAACGAUAUGCCUUUAUCACUAAUUGCCUUGGGCUUCACGGAUCCACUUCAAUAAUGGACUCACGGUCCAUAAUAGUUGGUCCGCAAGAUACACAUCUUGCUCCCCAAGAUAUCUUCAAUAAAAGUCAUAUCUAGAUUCAGCAUACAUCAAAGGAGCAGUGUUGAAAGAUGACAACUCUCUUGAACCAAAUGAACCAAGUACUUUUUUCCAAAUUUCGAUUUUUUUUUCUCAAGCACAAAGCCUUAUGAUGGCAAAGAAUCUCAAAGGAUCUUUCUUUACCCUCCAAAUCCAGUGUCACAGAUCCAUAAAUCUCUCAAGCAGCUUCUCUAUCACACAAUUCAUCUACUUAACUAACAAACGAGAAACAAAGUGCCAGCUUUCUUAAGACAAAACAAAAACUUCAGCUCAAUCUAGAGAUAACUUAAGCAGAGCCAAGCUUCAACUAUACCAAGCUCCCACUAUAUCCAAGAACAGAACCUUCUACUCUACCAUCGUGUUCCAAAUCAUACAAAAGAGUACAAAGUAAAUUAUUUGCAAGAACAGCUAGAUCUAUACUAAUACCAAAAACAAUCACGGGUACGAAGAUUGACCUUCAACGAAGACGAUAACGGGUACUAAACCAAACUGCUUCUCUCUCUUUCUCCUGCUCAAAAGAUGGGAUUUUUAUCAAAAUCAGAUUCAUGGAGACAGCUCAAAACGAAAAUUUUCAAAAACCCAAUUAUCUCAGAUGAGACUUAUACCUGGGAGAUGAAGCUUUAGCCUUGGCGAUUGAGAUGAAGCUCAAAAAUUUGUGAGAUGAAGCUUUAGCCUUCGUCGAUUGAGAAGAGAAAACUGAGAUUGAGUUUCUCAAUUUGGAAAAUCAACCUAAAACCGAUGGCGUUUUAAAAAUUUUAAGUUAAUAAAAAUAUUUUGGGCGAGCUCGUUUUAAGCCCGUUAAUAUUGUACAGUCCUGCUCGUUUUAAAUUCGAAAUAUAUUUUUUUAAAGAAGACAGGGCUUUAACCCGAAAAUAUUAAGACGAGCCGGGCCAACCCUGUAAAUCUAAGCACAUUUUAACAACUCUAGUUAUGCAAAUAUGCUGCGGUGUCCAAAGAAGAGUGGGAAAAACAAAGUAAGAUAUGGCCAACUUCAUUUCACCCCCCAACCUAGUAAGUUUCAUAUCUUUCUGUUAGAUUUUGGUUUCUUGGAUUUUUUUUGUAACUAAAAGACUCUACAUUACUUUUCUUGUCUUUUAAUUAUUUAAACUUUAGUCGUUCUGAAGUAAUCCUACUUCUUGAUGAUUUCUAUUAGUGAUCUUAUAUGCACUUUUAUAGCAAUAUAUUUCUUCAUUUAUAGUACAACAGUCAAUUAUUUUUUACUUUUGCAUUUGGUAAUAACAGCAAUAUAGAAGGCAUCGGUGGGUUCAGCGAAGAGGACACACAAUCAAUCUGCAAAUUCAUGAGAAUUGUUAUUGAAAUGGCAGUAUCUGGUCAUAAAGCAGUAAGUAUUUUCUAUUAAUCUACAUAACGUUGAUUUGAAGUUUUAGACAAUAGACCAGGCUCUCCUAUUCAUAUAUUUCCAUUAUUAACAUAUCAUUUGCUUUUCUUUAGUGCCUCAAUCCUUUUUUUCUUGGUAGUAAGAUUUACCAUGGUUUCAUUACAUAGAAAUGAUUUCAACUAAGAAUCUCGACGUGGGUUCUCUGCCAUUCCCUCGCAGUUUCAUCCCUAACCCAUAUAUGAAAAACUAUAUCUCCAUUCGGUUCAUUCACAAUUCCAUCUAAGAAGUCAGAGUCGUUCACCAAGGCAAUUUUCCCAUUGUAAAUCACAAAAUUCCAAUAUGUACUAAUAUGUAGAUCAGGAAAUUCAAUGACGGUAAACUCUUCAGACCUCACAUCAAACUUCAUUACCAGAGGUUCGUGACUAGUGGACCGAGCUCCAUAGUACAAAAUCCCUCCUUUACAUAGUCCUUGAGUUUCUGGUUGAUGAUCCUUCGUACAUGUGAUCCGUCUCCAAGAAGAAGAAGGUUCUUCACCCAAUUCCACAGUCAAGACUUGAUAAUCAUAAGCUCUGAGUGAUGGUUCAAUGUUAUGUAACAUCGUCACACAUAAGACCUUGAACACUUUGGUGGCUUCAUCGUAUCCUAGAAAACUUGUUACGACAGCGUCCUUAUGCGCUUGGAUAUCCGGUAAAGUCUGAAACUUUUUCGUACCCGGAUUGCAAAUCGCAACCUUAGUUUGUAACCGAAGACAGAUCAUACCUCUGAUGGGCUGAGAAAUAUGAGAAUUUGUUGAAUCAAGAGAAAUACGCAACUGUUGUUGACCGAACGACAACAAUGGUUUCUCCUCUUGAUAAACAUAGUGAAACAACACCUCACUGGUAGGUGGGCCAGGGAGACAUCUUUGCUCUCGAGUAACAGAGUGAAACCACAACAUAUCAGGUUCGGGUGGCUAGGAUGCAACUCGGUCGACCAGGAACAACACUCGAGGCCUUGUUAUCGAUGGGUAAAGAUAUCUAAAAUCUUCAGAGCGGAUAAAAGAUGCCCAUUCCUUCAAGUUUCUCCACUUUUUUCAUCCGGUUACUAGGAUUGUUUAUUAGUUUAUAUAUGUUAGGAUUCCAAAUUGUAAUCAAAUUAUGUAAUGUUAUUAUUGUUAUUAUUAAAAGUAUACUAUUAUCAUUGGCUAUAGUAGUAUUUUCAUAGAACUUACAAACGUGAGACAAAACGGUAAAAGAACAAUAAACAAAACCAAAUAUGAUAAAAGAUUGAUCGCAACAAAAAUAAAGCAAUGAGGCAAUUGCAAAUCCAAAUCCUUUGCCGCCUCUGUUUUCUGUUACCGACUAUUUAAAGGUUUUUAAAAAGGUUUUCAUUUUAAUAUUGUGUAAUUAAUACGUCCAAACUAAUUAUUUUGUUUUCUUGUUACUAAACUAGCAGAGAGAUCAUUUGGUACCAAGAGCAUGACUUGGAAGGUUUUGUUUUUACAUGACAUAUACUUAUGAUCCACUUGUCUUGAGUUUCAUCGUACACGUUUUAACAGUUUAAUCCUUCAAAUAAAACUAAAAAUCAAACGUCAAAAUAUAAAUAACACCUUAUAUAGUUUUCUCACAUUUUUUUUUUUUGGGAAUUCUCUUAAAUACCACAAAAAUGGGUAUUUUUUUUUUCUCCAAAAAUAUCAUUAUGAAGUUUAUUUUCCAAAAAUACCACUAGAUUACAAUUUUUUCCAAAAAUACCACAAAACUAAAACUUAAAUUUUAACAUUCAAAACUAAAUUCUAAAUCCUAAACACUACAUAUUACCCUUAAAAACUAUACCCUAAAUGAUAAUACAAUAAUAAAAAAAUUAAAAAAAAAAAAAUCAUCGCGAAAAAAUAUUUGUCGAUAUAUUAUUCAAUUUGACCAUUUUUAUAGUAGAAGAAGAAAUAUACGUAAAAAUUAUAAAACAUUUGCAUACAUAAAAAAUAUAUACUCAUAUUUUUUUUUUUACUGACCACCCCAAAACGGAUUGAGUCGUAAAAAAUUUAUUCAUAACUCUCUUUACAAUAUUACCGUGAUUUUAACAAACUAACCCGUGAAAACCGUAAUUUACAUAGUUUGAUAAAUAAUAUAGUUUCUCGGUAAAACUUAGUUCGUAUGAUUUUUUUUUAAUCAAUCUUUGAUUAAUAAAUUUUGUAUAAACCACCAAAUUUUGAUUUAGUCAUCUAAUUUAGGAUCCGUAAUUCACAAAAAGUUAAUAACUUUUCCAUAUAAUUUGAAAUCAUAUUUCUGUGAGAUUUUUAUUACAAAGUAUUUAAUUGUAAAACUUAAGUGGUGUGUAUCAUGUUCUAACCCAUUACAAAAAUAUCAAUUAAAUUUAAUAUAUAAUUUAACCCAUUGCAAAAUUAUCAGUUAUUUUAUAUAUUAAUAAUAUUUGAACCUUAUAAAAUGUAACAACCAAUCCCGUGGGACCCUCUGCCAUAUGGCACACCUCGCCACAUGGCAGCUACAAGCGCUGCAGCACAUCGACCCUAACCUCUCGCUUGUAGCUGCAAUAUAUAAAUUUUGUGAUUUUGUAUUAUAGAAUGAUUGAGUACGAUAUUCAAAUUUAUAAUUAACGAAAUACAUUUGUUUAGUAACUACCAAGCAGUAUAAAUUGUCAUCUUGUAUCCAAUUUUAAUAAUUUUUAAUACAUUUUCAAAUAAAAAGUGAUGUUAUAUUGUUAAUUUUUUUUUUAUCUAGGUACACUUUUAAAUCACCCUAAAAAUAUCUUUUUUUUUUGGUAGAAUAAAAAUAUCUUGUUUAUUAUAUCAUCUGAACUUAAAAUAUCUCGUUAAAAUAUUAGUGCUAAUUUACUAAUUUAAACCAUACACUACAAACAAAUUUACAUGUUAAAACUUAAAACAUACAUUUUGGUAGUUACAGAACCGUUGUUGGUGAACGAGUAUUGAAAAUCAUAGGUUAAGUUACAACUAUCUAUGAAUUUUGGGUUUUACUUCUGAUAUGAAAUUUGCCAAAAAAAAUUCCAUAUACUUGAACAUAGUUUCAUCAAAAGUAAAAAGACAGCAAUAACAUAGACGACAUGAGCAUGUAUAUGUAUACCUUCGUCUUGAUGAGUAGGAGCAACUUGUUGAAUAGGAUCUUGUGGGUUAUAGACACAAGGAUGGCUAUCAGUAGAGCCCAUAUUAUCGUGAGAAUUGCUUUGUUGGUUUCCGAUUACUUGAGUCAAGGCCGAGACCAUAACACGCAUGUCGUAUUGAGAUUUGGCCGAGCAUAACUACAGUUAAGAAAAAAAAUUUUAGUUAAUAGUAUAGCAGAAAUAAUAAUCUACAUAUAUUACCAUUGUAGAAGCCAAUACGAUUAGGAGCAUUCUGGAUUUUUUAUUCAGAAGUUAUGUAUAGAGUUCCUUUGUGAUGAAAAAAUUAGGUGUGAUAUCCAAUCGGGUAUUUAGUAUUUAGGUAAGAAAUAUCCCAUUCAAUUAUUGUGUAUGUGUGAAGAUGUAUUGAUGUUGUUACUGGUUAUUAGACUCAAGAGAAAUGAUGAGAAGCAACGAGCAUGUUUAAUACAACCAUAAGUGCAUACACAGAUGUAAUGAACAAGUUUGAUAUAUAUGCAAUCAAAUACAGAUGCAGUGAUGCAGUGAACAAAUAUGUUGGUUGUACAACCAGAUACAGACACAGUAAAGUGAACAAGUUUGGUACAACUUCAUGUAUAGAGAAUGAUGUUGUGACUCAUGAGCCAGAGAUUCAGAGAAUCAUGAACAUCCAAAACAUCUAAAUGUAAGGUCACAUGGAAUGAAGUGACGCGUUGAACAUUGGAGUCUUACUGAGAAUAUCCAAGAAGUAAGAGCUCAACCAAUCAUGUUUUAAGCUCAUAAGAACAAGUCAUGCAUAAGCUGCUGAGUAAACCUAAAAGUGCUUCAGAGCAGAAUGAAGGAAGCAGCUGUGUUAUACUAGAGCAGAAAUAUGUUUUCUAGUUGAGUAAACUUGAAGUGAGGCAGAGAAGAAAACAGAGCAGUCAAUGGAGUGCAACAUAAUGAAAGAGCUUCAAGUUGCAGCAAACAAGGGAGUGAACGAGUAUCAGGGGAACAAUUGUGACAUAACAGACAAGGUUCAAAGUGUCAGUGGCUGUGUUCCAUAACAGAGACGGUGAAGUCUCAAACAGAGAAGGGUCAAGUUGACAGCAGCUUGUACAAAAGCAUGGGUCAAGUUGACAAAAGAGCACAAGCUAUUAUCCAUAAGAGAAAAGGGUGAGCUUGGGAACUUAAGGUUUUGGAGAACUCUAAAGAGUAUAAAAAGGAAGAGGUGGGUACAAGAAAAGGUUGCACACCUAGGGUUUCUUUUUAUAUGCACACUUUGUGUGUGGUGUUGCCCCAUCAACAAAAGAAAAAUUGUUGAUGGUUUUGUAAAGGAAUCACACUCGAAAAAACAAUGAGUGGUGAUUGCCUUGAAUUAUCUAGUUAAGAGUAGUAGGCACAAGUGUGUGCUAGAUAUUGGAAAAUGUGACUUUUGCGUUCUUAAGCUAGUAAAUCGUUCUGGACUCUCAGAUAAAAAUAUUAAAUGAGUUAGGGAGAAUGCCUAUCGGGAAACACAACAUAGUAAAUAUCUGAAAAAUUAGAAAACCCAUUAUCUUCAUAUCUUGUAUCCAAUCUGAAAUACAAAACAAUGAAAUAUGUCCCAUAUCGGGGUUGUCCCGUAUUCUUCCACCCACCUGACUAUUAAACCUAUUCAUUUUAAUUGCGAAUGACUGCUGAUUUGUUCGGAACUAGAAUUUACCCCGUGCUAUACCACGGGUCCAUAAUUUAAUAUAUUUGUUUGGUUGGUUUUUUCGUAGUUGUUUUAAAUAGUCUAGUUUUAUACGUGUUUAUUUCAUUUAAUUUUAUAUAAUUUUAUGAAUUUGUAUUAUAAGUAGAUUUAUAGAUAUAUGUGGUCAACCCGCGGUACACCGCAUCAUAAUUUUGUUGUAAAACAAAUUAUAUUUUAACUUAACCCGUAAAAAUAUAUUAUUAUAGACAACCCGUAAAAAAAUAUAAUUCUAUUUAUGUAAACUCAAACCACGAGUCCAUAAUUUAAUAUAUUUGUUUGGUUGGUUUUUUUGUAGUUGUUUUAUAUAGUCUACUUUUAUACGUGUUUAUUUCAUUUAAUUUUACAUAAUUUUAUGAAUUUGUAUUAUAAGUAGAUUCAUAGAUAUAUGUGGUCAACCCGUGGUACACCGCAAAAUAAUUUUGUUGUAAAACAAAUUUUUAACCCGUAAAAAUAUUUUAUUAUAUACAACCCGUAAAAAAAUAUAAUCCUAUUUAUGCAAACUCAAAUCCGUCCAAUCAUAUUUAUGUACAAUUAUUAUAUUUUAAAAAAUUUAGAGUUAAAAUAUUAAUAAUACUUUAAAAGAAAUGUUAUAACAUUAGGGCAUUAGUAAGAGUUUCUAUAAUAUUUUAAACCUUUCUAAUAAAAUUUUUAAUAUUUUAAAACUCUUUAAAAAUUUAUGUUUCUUAAAUAUAUAACUGGAUUAAACAGAAUAAUUUUUUUAAAAAUUUGGAUGCCUAAGAAACCAAAUUUCAUGCUCAUUUGUAGUUGGAAACAUAUAGUCAUAUUUAGGGAUGUUAAAAAGAGCUUGUAUGCCCUGUUCAACCCUGGCCCUGUUUAGCCCUGAAUAUAAAAUGGCUUUGUAAAAUUAAUAUUAAAGGGCUGAACCCUUUCCAGCCCUGGUUCUGUAUUUUUUUUUUCUUUCUUAAUAAGAAGUAAGGUUAUUAAUUAUUAAUUAUAUUUCAAUAAAUCCUCAAAAAUCAGAAUACGGUAUAACAUAAUCUGCAACUUAAAUAUAUUCAAAACCAGAUACCAUGAAAGUUCUUCUUCCUGCAAUGUUCUUGAUAGCAAGCUUAAUCAAAUCACUAACAUGCUUUAAAGAAGCCAAAGGAAAGAAUAAUACCUCUUGUCUAAAAGAUGUAAUGAUCUCUUCUGAAUAAUCUUGUUUGGAGAACACCUUUACAGCCACAUCCUGCAUUGGCAUUAGCAACUCUCAGUAAUUUACAUUUUUAUGUUUAACGUGAACAUUAAACAUUAAACACUAAAUUCAUAUCUAAUUCACUGAACCCUCGGAUUCAAAGACACUACAUAGAUAAAGCAUAUCAUAAGACCCAUUUGUGCAAAAUAAACAUCACUCAUGAUUGCAAAAGUAACCUAGACGUUCUGCUUAUAACAAGGCUUACCAGUUCUUAAUUACCAAAACCAAACAUUAAAUUAAUCAAGGGGAUACAACAGGAAGACAUAUAAAACUAACAAGAAGAAAAGGGUUUUAUAAGAACUAACCAGAGGAGAAAAGGGUUGCCUAAGAUCUCCCCCAAGAUUGCAACUUUGUGAGCAGAGAGACAGUAAAAAAAGUUCCAGAUCGAGAUCUACACUAGAGCAAGAACGCAUCAGUUUAGAGUAGGAGACAAGAAGCAUUAGCAAAGCAAAACUAAAUUUAUUUAGUCCAUGAUCCAUGGUCGCAAGUCUAAAUUUCCAUGAAUAACUUUAACCAAGUCACAUAAACUUUUUUCGUCAGAUCAUGUGCAUAGCUACGAAAUGGAAGAUAUACAAUGGUGUAAGCAUUAGAAUUUUGAAGUUUCCAUCAAUAUCCUUAUCACAUAAACUCUGAACUUGACUCAAAACCAUAUCUAACAUGAAUAUUUGUAUUAGAUGAACUCUUUAUGAGUAACUUGAAUAUUUGUAUUAGACAGAGUAAACAUAUAACAUGCUUAAUAUUCAUAAUACACAAUAUCAAAGAUGGUUCAUAUGUGACAGUGACCCAAAGUUCCAUUUCCUAAAACAUCAGUAUUUCUAACACAGUGAAUUUUUUGAUGCCCAAAUCCAGAACUACACAACUACAUCCCAAUUCACCAACGCAAAGGAACGAGAAAUCAUAAGGUCUGAUUCAAUUUCUCUACUUCAAUCUAUUUGAACCAUUUAUGGAAUCAAACACAAACAUCUGGAGAGAACGAAAAGCUUUUGGGAAAAUGAAAUGAAAAAAAAACACUUACAUUUUAGGAAUGAAACGAAGAUGAACCAAUGGUGAGGGGAAGAGGGAGGAAGACGAGCAAAAAUGGCAAAACUGAUGCGGACAUCGAUUAUCCUGUCCAACCCGCUGAACUAGAUCAAGUACCAGAUCCUGUACCACACCCUGUACCAGUCGUCCCAGUAGGUCCCAUGACUCGUUCAAAGUCUAAACAACUUAGAAAGAGGUUCAACCUAGCUGUACAAGACAUUGUGAGCUCACUAGAGCUGAACUACGUCAACUGGUCUGUACCACCGUUACUCCAUCACGACGAAUAUGAUCCCAUCGCCGAGGAAGAGCUUGCUGAAGCAUUCACCCAAAUGAGUCUUGAACAUACCAUUUCCCCAGGUAUGAAUUCUCCUUUGACAGGUCAAGAAACAUCUAGAAUCCAAGAGAAGACAAUGGAGUCACAAGAGACGAGCAAAACAAGCUUCACCUUCGAGAGUGAUCGAGAGAGUGAAGAUCAAGAACAAGACAUCAAGGACUUGGAAGAGCUUCAAGAGACUGAUCAAGCUACCCAAGAGAAACUCCAAGAAACCAUCUACUUCAAGAAACCAACAAACAAACAUGCACCUGACAAGACCCCUGAAGUUGAUCAAGACGUAGUUCAGAGAACAUCGAUUGGGCCUAGAUCGCAUCCAGGUAAGUUCUAUUCAAUAUUUUUGAUAAUUGCAGGUCCAUUAAGCCCCAACAACGGCUAGGAGACGUGCUCAUCACGAGGUUUCAAGUUUGUUUUAGUAUUUUACUUAUUUUCUUUCCAAAAACAAUGGCUUUGUAUUUGUAAUUUUAUUUGUUUCCUUUGUUGCAUUUUUACAUUUAUUUUGGCCUUAGGGCUAGCUGAAGGACUCUUAUAAAGUCCCCCUGCAGCAGUUGUACGAGUUUUUUACCCUUGAUUAUCAAUAAAGAACCGAACUUUCUUCAGUUCUUCUCUUUAAGUGUUCUUAAGAGAAUAAGCUUGUUCUUUGUCUUGUGUGUGUGAUUCCACAAGGCUAAGAUCGUGUACUGUAUCAGAGACCAAUCAAAUCUCUGUGGUGUACUUCAAUCCGCCAGCACUUCCCCUUCAUUCGAUCCCACACGAGAGAAGCGACCGCCAUCGUGUCAGAUCUACAUCAACGACCAUCUUUCCUACACAAGAGAGAAGCGACCGCCAUCUUGUGUAGCCAUCAUAUCUAUCCUGAUACAAGCUCACCACCGAGUCUUGUAUCAUCUGGUAUCAGAGCCUCACGCUCUUCCCUUGCCAUGUUUACCUUUUCCAUCUUCUUUUGAUAGUUUUGAAUUCUAGUUUUGUUUUAUUUUUCAAAAAAAAAAAUAAUAAUAAUUAAGAACCCUAGUUUGCUGCAGUCUUGUUUAUGUAGGUUGUUUAGUUUUAUUUUCCUUAACAAAAAAAAAAAUUGUCACUAUUCUUUCCUUAAAUCGUCUGCUUUAGUCUUUGAUUUAGUUUUUGUACUAGUUAAAGGUUUUCGUAAAAAAAAAAAAAAAAAAAAUAUUUCGUUUUUAAAUUUUUGCGUCAUUAUCUUUGUUAGCUAGUAUUGUUUAAGUAUCUUAAAACUUAUUUAAAUAAAAAAAAAAGGUUUUCAUUUUCUUGUCUAAUUCAGCACGUCCAUCAGUUUCUCGUUUCUAAAGUUUUCAUUUUCGAUUUCUGUGGUACGUUGAUUUCUUUGUUGUUUUUGUCUAAGUGCAGG